AGGGUAGACAGAGAUAGCAGAUAUAAGAGGACCAUAGACUCCUCCGUCAGGUAUAGCAGUGGUUCCUUUCCCAGCCCAAUAGAAGCGUAUCUCCAGAGUGCCCUUGGUCACGAUGGCAGCAAAAUUUCUCAUGACCUCCUUUCCAACUCCACCUGCUUCAAUCUCAAUGUUGAAAUCUUUCCACACCAAUUUCCCCUGAAAUGAUAUUUCAUCUGAUUCAAGUUGAGUUUCUCCACACUGAACAAGGUAAAACUUUUAGUCUCCAUAGAAUGUACAAAUUGUGAAAAAAUCAUGAUUUGCAAGUACGAGAUAUUUGGAUAAACUUCCCAACCAUAACGUAUUGAACGCUUUAUGUGCUUUAUAUAUUAGAACCAGCACUCCAUAAUGCUCCAAGUUUACCUGUAUAUAAAUAUUAAAAGCUCUCCUUCCAAGGCUUUUAUAACUUUUGUUGCCUGUGAACAUUAUCUCCGCAAAAUGAAGGGUUACAUUGUAGGGCCCAUCCAUCAGACAAAAACCGUAAUAAGUUAAAGAGAUGGCAGAACGUCGUGCUUCCAUGUAAAGUUGGGCAUUAUUCAUGGACAGUGUGGAUGUGUUUUUAACUUCAUAGCCAACUGCAGUGCUAGCGUCAUCGGUGAAGUAACCAGUGCUACUGUAGCCCCAGUAAUCACUCUUGAAGAAAAUUGAAGGUGUAGCCCUCUGUGAGUCAUCUUCAUAUGUGGUGCCCCUUACUUUUACUUUGCUCCCACCACAAUUUAUGAAGAGGUUAUACCGAGCUGGAUGGAGUAAAGAAGCAGCCACAGAGAAAAUUCAGUUUUUUCUAUUUGUUAAUAUGGAGUGGACUUUCCAGACACACUAAAUAAGCUAGCAUUCACUUGUUGGGAAAUUACAUAGAAACUCCCAAGUUAUGAGCAACCCAUUAUUUCAUGCAGGUAGCUUUUGAAAUUAUUAGGGUAAUUAUGCAUCAACCAUCAAAGAUCGACACAAUAGCCAAGAGGAGAGUUGACAAGGAGAUAAAUUUGAUGAGAAAUUACACAGAGAGUAAGAUGCAAUAUUAGAAUCUGAUGAUAAUGAUAGGAUAUGUCAGAAUAAUUUAAAUAUAAAAUCACCUGGUCAUCUAACAAUUUAAGCUUUUAAAACAGUUGGCUGUGAUCUUAUAAAAUCUUAUAUUGUAUCAGAGAUGGAUUUCAUGAGUUCAAAUCUUUCGAAGCCUCAUUUGCCUCCCUAAUUAAAUAUGUCCACACUUCAUCUAAUAGUUUAAACUUUUAGAACAGUUAGCUGCGGUCUCACAAAAUUUCAUAGGAUAUACAGCACGUCAAUCUACUUUUUAUACAACAAUGACUCUGCAGCAUAUUAACUUACUUUUUGCACAAUGUUGACUCUGCAAACAUGAGACAAGUCCACUUGUGGCAGAACAUGAGGUUCUGAGCAAGUCAGCAAAGAUUUUACUGUUAUAAUCAUCAUCAUUCUUAAUGAAGUUCGAUGCUAAGUACAUAAACAAUAAAAAUGCGGGUCCUUGGAAAUCCAAGUCUCUCGUUGAAAAGUUAAUCACAAACAUACGCAUUCUCAACCUCGGAGCUUGCGAACAAGUUGCUGUAGAGAAAAGACAAAAUCAACAUUCAGCAGAGAAAUGGAAAUAUUAUACACAAACAGUAUAUAAGUUACUCAAUAAGUGCACAUUUGAGGGGAGUUCUGGACUGACUGAAGGAAGUAGGACAUACACAGAUCCUUCACGACAUUCUGAGCCUCCAGCAGUGAAGUUGUUGUAUGAUAAAUCACUACACAGAGAAACAGUCAACCAUUUCCAAAAUCUCAUCAAUUUGAAGAAUACACUAACAGUCAUUCCAUCAAAUGAUUUUUUUUUUAAUAAUUCCAUCAAAUGAUUAGUAUGUACAAAUAUGCAGAUAAGUUGCAAAAUGUGGACAGGUAAGGCAAGAUAAAAGGCGAAAACAUCACAAGAUGAUGAAAUUGAUAUUUUAUUCCUACUGAAAAUAUCUUAUCUUAGAAUAUGAAAAGGAGAAAGACUAACUGAAGUAAACGGAGACUUUAAAACUAUUUAUAGUGUAUAAAAACAUUUUUACUCAGUAACAGUACCACAGUCAUGAUGUCUAAGGCAAAGAGGCUUUAAUAAAACUGUGAUUCCGCCUACUACUACAUCACGUCUUGUAAUAAGAAAUUAUCCAAACCACAUUUAUCUGUUUAAACUACCUCACAAGAGCUUCAUUCCUACACCCAUAAGAUAAUAUCAACUUCUCCUAAGUACACUCAUUUUGGUUGUAGAGUUUCUCAAAUACACAAACCCAUAAAAACAUUGUUAUCAGCAAGAAAUAGCCCAAGCAACUAAUCAUAUACUGCAGGUGAUACGUUAGACAAACUUUCAAAGAGGAUUAAUAGGAGGUAAAAUUUUUCCAAACAUAACUUUAAUCAUUCCAAUAGGUCUGAAAAUGAUCUACAGCUGGGAAUGGCUUUUUGUAUAGGGGAAAAUGGAGCUAACUAAGCACUUCCAAGAAAAUUCACUUUAUAUUCUUUCAUGCAUAUCAUACAGUUCAGCCUCUUUUGUUACAUACAUCCAUCCAAUUAACAGAUCCCAACGAGGAGAAAGGUACUUAUAAUGUUUCCAUUUAUCUCCAAAGGCUACUAACCAUAAAGAUGCAAUAUGUGAAUGCAUAAUUGCUUGGUACAGAGCAAGAUUACCCAGAUAAAGCUAGAAGCAAAUUCAAGAUUAAACAAGAUAUUUUCUUCAGGCAGCAAAGCUUACACAUUUUGUCCUUUCGCCAGGAUCCAAUCAGGGACUGCUCCAGUCAACUGGUUUCCAGUUAGAUACCUAAACAAGAUUAUUUGAAUGAGUCAGCUCCUCAUGUACUUUAUACACUCUAACUGAAAAUUAUUUAAGACUUAUACCUCAAAAACGCAUUAUUUAGCAGAUUAUUAGCAUUUGUUUAUUAGUGGUGUAGAAAAAAAUCAGUUUAAGUCAUGAUAACAAUAUAGAGCUUUCAGCUGGAGAUGAAAGAUUAAGGAAAUCAAUGACAGAGGAAAACCCUGAUCCCUGCGAAACUUUGAGCGCCUGGAGAAAGAUUACCAUAACAGUAGUACACAAAGCUGGACUAGUGAAGGGUAUCUCCAAAUUAGCUUAUCAACUAUUUCCUUGUAAUAAUGUUUUUGUCCUUCUAAGACAUAAAAUAAAUAAUUAAGGAAGACGUGCCAUUGUCAAGCUUCAAUAAUUGGGCAGAAAGAUGAAAACCAAUGUUAAACAGUCCUAGAAGCUUAGGAGUACAGUUUCUCAUCAUUCUCAAAACUAGGGAUAAGAUACCAAGGUCCUCCACAGACCUUCUAAGUAGCACUUGAGAGCUGCACUCACCAAACUUCUAGAGCCAUUGUUGUGGAAAGAACCAAGUAGAGAGCCUAAGGACUUUUGCUAUAUUUAAUCUCCUAUACAUCAUAAAAUAGGCACACAAGACAUGCAUUGACUACAGAAACAUACAACUGUCAAACGCCAAAGUAUCACUGAUCCAUUUAACUCUUCCAGCGUAAACAAGUAACUUUUUGAAACUUGUGAAUCAUGCGGAGAAAUUAUCAAAAGGGCUGCUCUUUAAGCAACAGAAUAUCAAUGAUCUAUGCCUGCUCCAUGACUAAAGUCCCACCAAAAUAAUUACUUGACAAUAAUCAUAAAUUCUUAACUCAAUUCAUUACAAAAUUUGGAUGGUGAAGUAAUAAGCAUUCACGACCUGAGGACUUUGAGAGUUAAAAAUUGAAUAUGUUAUCAUGGUCUAAGUUCUAUUGACAGCUCAACUACUUUAUGGUAAAAGUUGCCUAUAGCUUGACCACUAGAACAACUAGAGACUUUAGAUUCUUCUACAAAAUAUGAAAAGAAGCCUAAGUUCAGCAUCAAAGUACUUACAUAUAUUCUACUUUUUCCAGGCUGCUGUAGGAUUUAGGGAUUUUGCCACUCAGUUUGUUGAAGCUGAGGUCUCUGCAAAGCAAGUAUAUGUGAAUAUAUAUUGAGAAGAUACUUUUAACUGACUCCCCCAGUACACUCUUUCAGCAUACUUCAAAUGAUUGUACAAACACAGACAACAUCAAUGAACAUACAAAGUCCAGUUCAGAUGUUUAGACACACAGGUCAACUGUCUAGUGCCUCAGCUUUCUACUAGACAUUCAUCUCCAGAGGCAUUCAUUGCCUAAAUCCAAGUUUCAAGCUGGUCACAUGCUAUAAGUAUACAAAACUGCUGUAAAUCAAAUUUACAAAAUGGAAAUUUCAAUUUAUAUAACUAGAAAAGCUAUUUGGGUACUAAAUUGAGUAUGUCCCAGGGAAUGCACCAUAUUAUAGUUCAGAUUGGGAGAUUUCACUAAUCUAAUAGGACCAAAACUAAAGCUAAUCAUAAUUUGUUGAAAACAUCUCCUUCACAAUAUAUUAUUUAUGAAUAAAGGGAUGCCAACUCAAUACUAGGGUGCUUAGAAAAGGAAAUAUCAGCUUCAGUGAAUAAAAAAAUAAAGAAUAAAAUGAGGAUUUCAAAAAACAAGAAAGGGAAUAGAGUAUGUGAUAAGCCGCAACAGAACCAUAGAAAUUUGGUCAUUCAAGAAUGUCAGAAAAACAAAAAAUUAAAGCUCCAUUUGUUCCAUGGAAAAUGUAACGUUUUUAGAAUAUUUUCCAUGAAGUUAUUUUUUUAGGAAAAUGAAAAUAUUCCGGUGCUUGACUGAAAUCCUGAAAAUACCCGGAAAAUAUUUUCUGUUGUUUAGUAUGGAAAAUUUAAUUUGAUUUUCUAGGUAAAAAUUGCCAAAAAGUUCGAAUUUUUUAAUUAAUUCUUUUAACCUUUUCUUUUAACUUCUUCCUCGGCCGGUUGUCAGCUAUGGCGACAGGCCAUGGGAUAAAAAAAUAUUUUUAUAAGAAUAAAUAUUUCAUUAACUAAGGAUCCAAACUUGAGCACCAAGGACCUGCACACGGCCUUCGCGGACUCAACCUAAGUGCUGGGGACUAGAGCUUGAGUGUCAAGGACCCAAGCACUGCUUUUAUGUACUCGGGGUAAGGUAUUAGGGCAUUGGGCUUGGGCACUAGGGCUUCGGGCCCAGCCUCGAUGGACUAGGCCCAGGCGCUAAAGACCUAGUCCUGAACGCUGAGGACCAAGAACCAGGCGUUGGGGUUCCCAUGUCCAAGCAAAGAGUUGCGGGUCCAAGCACCAAUACCAACUCAUAAUUUGGAAAAUGUUUUCCCACUUUUUCAAAAGAGAAAAUCAUUUCCUAAAUUUAAACAUAGAUCUUUCAUUGACUCAGAAAACAUUUUCCAUUAACUCAUUUUCCUAAAGAAACCAAACGCUGGAAAAUUAGGAAAAUGUUUGUCACGAAACAAACAAAGCCAUGACAGAAUGGCAAAAUGUUGCUGUUAAAAGUAGCGUUUAUUAAAUCUUACAGAGAUGACCACAUGAACAAGAAGAAUUGACUUGUAUAGAGAUGCAUUUGAAGCCAUGCUUUCGUUUGAACUAUGAAUGUUAUGUCUAACAAGUGUACAAUAGUCAAGCAUAAAACUCCAGCUAGAUAUUGUAGGGCUGAGAUUCAAGAAUAUAAACCACCGGAAGGAAAGUUUCCAGAUAAUCAACCACUAGAAGCCUCCAUUUUGCAUUAAUGCUCUUAAGAAGUUAAGAUAACAUAUCAAAGCAAAAGUAAAUUAGACGAAAUGGGAAACCACAACCAAGGUAAGAAUUCUUGCUGGAAAAGUGAAAACAAAGAAAGUGUUAGAAUAUUUAAAUAACAAACCAUGCUUUCAUCUAAUAGCUUGAGUUUUUAGAACAGUUGACAAUAGUUCCACAAAUUCUCACAGAGAGAAAAAAUCCAUAUACUUUUGUGCGAAACUGUAUAUUCUACAGCAGAGGCCACAAUCACCAAGAAUUUAAAUGCCACGUCAUUCACAAUUCAGCAAUAUCAACAGAAAAUAUCAAAACACCAUUGAAGUCAGUAAGGGACCUUCAAGCCAUCUUCAAUGGGUUCUUUAACUGCAACCAAUAGUCAACCAAAAACUAGUAGAAAUUUCACUCCUUAAGGGUAAAAUUUAUUUAUUCUGCCUGGAAUAGCCAAAGGGAAAAGCCGCUUUCUACUCACAAUAUUUUUAGAUUUGUCAUAUUUGUUAGAUAACCAGGUAGCUCUCCCAUGAGAUUGCAGCUCCUCAGAAUCCUAUAAGAAAAUAACACCGAUAUCGUCACAUUGCUAAGACGAUUUGGCUCUUUUGCAUAAAGUAAACUAUCUAUGAAGAAGCAUUGAUCUCACAGUGUUUGAAUAUAUGUACUGUUAAGUUGUGGAACAUGAGACUCGGGUCCAUCGAGGUCACUUAUUCUCCUGCAUAUCAAAAUUAAAUAGGAGCUUUAUUUGAUUGAUAACAUCUUAAAGAAAGAGAGAUCAGAUCGAAAUGCCAAAAUUCCAUACUGACAAGUCGUUCAAUCGCUCCAAAAGUGCGAUCCCAGAGGGAAUCGGCCCUUGCAAUCCACUUCCUUGAAUAACCCUGAUGAUACAAUUCAUAGAUGGAAUUGUCUUGGGGGUAUAUCUAUAGAGACCGACUUAAAAGGGGAAGAAGCGUUAAGCCUUACAGUAUUGUGAGAUUUGUCAAGUUCUGAAUAAAAUCGGGUAUCUUUCCCGUGAACUGAUUAUCACCAAGUGUCCUACAGUGCAUUAAACAACAUGAUUCAUAUGAAGGAGAAAGGAUAGAAAUGGCUAAAUAUUAGCUGAGUUUGUGGAUACUAGAAACUAACAGGUCAAUUAAUUCCGUGAAGUUAACAAAUGUUUGAGGCAGCUCCCCCGUGAAAUUAUUUGACGUAAGCCACCUGAAACAAGAAAAACCCAGGACAUCACAUUGGUUAAUAGAACCUGAAUGCUGUAUCUCUCACCAGAUCACUCCAAUGGAUAAAAUUCCCUCGCCAGAUACAAAAUCAUCAGCGAAUAAAAACUCGAUGCCUAACACAGAAAUUUGCAUCAAGAGACUCACAUAUAAUUUAACCCGGACAAGUUCCCGAGCUCUGGAGGAAGAGGUCCAGAAAGCCAAUUGCUUUCGACGCUUCUGAGCGGAAUAUGAAAGUUAAAAUCUUGAAACAUCAAUCAAAUUUAAAACAGCGAAGAGGCCAAAGGCGAGCGUCGGGAUGAGUGGUCACUCACAAUCCCAAAAGUGUGGAUAUGUUCCCCAACUCCUUCGGGAUUGGACCAGUCAAUCGGUUUCCGAGUACAUAACUGCACCCACAUCAUCGCGUUUCCCCCAAUCAAACAAUAGAAUAUACACUCGUGAGAGAGAGAGAGAGAGAGAGAGAGAGAGAGCAUACAUGUAUUUCAACUUCGUAAAGCCCCAUUCUUUAGGAAUUGUGCCGUUCAGGUAGUUGCGGGUGACAUCACUGUUUAUAGAGAGAGAGGAUGAAGAAGAAGAAUAUCGAAAAUGGAGAAAAGGGGAAAUGGAGAAAGAGAGUGCUUACAAGUUCUCGAGGAAAGGCAAUCUGAACAAUUGAGGCGGAAGGGUGCCGGCAAGAGAUUGCUCCCAAAGUUGUCUGUUUACGCAACGACACGAAGGCUUUAUUCUAGCUUUACUUGAAAACUAGGCAUCCAAAUGAUGUUACAAAAUGGCUUUAUUACAUCUAUUGAUAUGUAUACAUAAAUCUCAAUUGAUUCUAAAUGAAAAAAAUUCUGAAACUACCCUUACGAUUAAAGUUAGAGGGAAUAUAACUCUCAUCACUUUGAUAUUUAAUCAUGAUCUUUCAGUUUGGCAUUCCCAUUAAUCACUAAAAAUAUAAUUUAUAUAAUUAAAUGCUAAGCAUAUAAUAUGUGAUUGUAUUGAUUAAACUUAUAAAAAUUUGUAUAAUCAUAUUGUGAACAAUUAAUAUUAUGCUCAUAAUUACUUCAUGAGUAAUUUUAAUAUGAUAAGUGAUUACGUAUUGUUGCUACAUUUCCACCAAAAAAUCGGCUAAUGUUUCUUUUUUUUAAUGAAAUACUAAUAUGAUGCAAAGAGAUUCAAUUCGGCAGCUAGUUGACUCUAUAAAGAGAAAAGAUUGGUGUGCAAUUGCGUUAUUAAUAUUAAAGUCUAGUGAGGAAUCCACGAUGGUAUAUUCAUGAAAUUGAGGGAGAAAGAGACAUGCUGAUGACGUGGGAAAUGUUGUUGUUGUGGGCGUCGGUGGAAUUCUUGCAGGUGAUAGCGUUGGUAGUUGUACCACUUACUUCAUUGUCACCCCAUCCACUCUCUACACCGCAUGGAUCUGCGUCGAAAUUCCAAUCUGAUUUCCCUAACAUCUUUGCUAUUUCUUUCAACGCAUCCACUGAAAGAGAAAAGAGCCGAUAAGUCAAAAGGAACAGCAAUGCAUCAUGCAAAACAAGCACAAAGAAUGUUAGAUUCACGUGUGCUUGAGGUUGAAUAUAUGUAUGAAAUACAAGCGCCAAAAAAAAAAAAAAAAAAGCCUUGGAGUACGUUGGAGCCCAAAAGACAAAGGAACAAUACGAUGAAAGCAAUAAAAGAUCGAUGGGUUUUUUUUCUUCACCUUCAUCUUGGGGCAGAAGAGUGGCAGCAGUAGCUAAGUUAGUGAUGCUGAGAAGGACGAGCAUAGAGAAGAGAUAUCGAGCCGAGAAGAGAAUCGUCAUCAUUUCACUCUCAAGCUCAACACACACAUAGAGAGAGAUCUCCCAUUCUUUAAUUGGAGUCUAUGAAAACAAAGCUUGGCUAAGCGAGGGAGCAAGAGAGAGAUAAUUGUUAAGUGAGCGAUCUAACUUCAUGCAUUUAUGUAUGAAAAAAGGGAGAGUUGAGAAAGAGGUUUUCCUUUCGUAUAUUUGACAACCUCAAGUCUUCCUCACACAUAUGAAUAUUCAUCUAGUAUUGAGUGAGUGCUGGUUCUCCUUUUCUUGCAUGAGAGAGAGCGAGAGAGAGAGAGAGAGAGAGAGAGAGAGAGAUGUGAUUGUUAAGUGAGUGGUCUUCAUGAAAAGAGAGAACGGACAAAACUCUUUGGUCUUGUAUGUCUGGAUGUGAGAGUGAUGUGUGAGAGUGAGAGAGAGACAACCCCAAGUCUUACUUGAUUAUUAAGGAGAGACAACCCCAAGUCUUCACAAAAAAGAGAGAACGGACAAAGACUCNNNNNNNNNNNNNNNNNNNNNNNNNNNNNNNNNNNNNNNNNNNNNNNNNNNNNNNNNNNNNNNNNNNNNNNNNNNNNNNNNNNNNNNNNNNNNNNNNNNNNNNNNNNNNNNNNNNNNNNNNNNNNNNNNNNNNNNNNNNNNNNNNNNNNNNNNNNNNNNNNNNNNNNNNNNNNNNNNNNNNNNNNNNNNNNNNNNNNNNNNNNNNNNNNNNNNNNNNNNNNNNNNNNNNNNNNNNNNNNNNNNNNNNNNNNNNNNNNNNNNNNNNNNNNNNNNNNNNNNNNNNNNNNNNNNNNNNNNNNNNNNNNNNNNNNNNNNNNNNNNNNNNNNNNNNNNNNNNNNNNNNNNNNNNNNNNNNNNNNNNNNNNNNNNNNNNNNNNNNNNNNNNNNNNNNNNNNNNNNNNNNNNNNNNNNNNNNNNNNNNNNNNNNNNNNNNNNNNNNNNNNNNNNNNNNNNNNNNNNNNNNNNNNNNNNNNNNNNNNNNNNNNNNNNNNNNNNNNNNNNNNNNNNNNNNNNNNNNNNNNNNNNNNNNNNNNNNNNNNNNNNNNNNNNNNNNNNNNNNNNNNNNNNNNNNNNNNNNNNNNNNNNNNNNNNNNNNNNNNNNNNNNNNNNNNNNNNNNNNNNNNNNNNNNNNNNNNNNNNNNNNNNNNNNNNNNNNNNNNNNNNNNNNNNNNNNNNNNNNNNNNNNNNNNNNNNNNNNNNNNNNNNNNNNNNNNNNNNNNNNNNNNNNNNNNNNNNNNNNNNNNNNNNNNNNNNNNNNNNNNNNNNNNNNNNNNNNNNNNNNNNNNNNNNNNNNNNNNNNNNNNNNNNNNNNNNNNNNNNNNNNNNNNNNNNNNNNNNNNNNNNNNNNNNNNNNNNNNNNNNNNNNNNNNNNNNNNNNNNNNNNNNNNNNNNNNNNNNNNNNNNNNNNNNNNNNNNNNNNNNNNNNNNNNNNNNNNNNNNNNNNNNNNNNNNNNNNNNNNNNNNNNNNNNNNNNNNNNNNNNNNNNNNNNNNNNNNNNNNNNNNNNNNNNNNNNNNNNNNNNNNNNNNNNNNNNNNNNNNNNNNNNNNNNNNNNNNNNNNNNNNNNNNNNNNNNNNNNNNNNNNNNNNNNNNNNNNNNNNNNNNNNNNNNNNNNNNNNNNNNNNNNNNNNNNNNNNNNNNNNNNNNNNNNNNNNNNNNNNNNNNNNNNNNNNNNNNNNNNNNNNNNNNNNNNNNNNNNNNNNNNNNNNNNNNNNNNNNNNNNNNNNNNNNNNNNNNNNNNNNNNNNNNNNNNNNNNNNNNNNNNNNNNNNNNNNNNNNNNNNNNNNNNNNNNNNNNNNNNNNNNNNNNNNNNNNNNNNNNNNNNNNNNNNNNNNNNNNNNNNNNNNNNNNNNNNNNNNNNNNNNNNNNNNNNNNNNNNNNNNNNNNNNNNNNNNNNNNNNNNNNNNNNNNNNNNNNNNNNNNNNNNNNNNNNNNNNNNNNNNNNNNNNNNNNNNNNNNNNNNNNNNNNNNNNNNNNNNNNNNNNNNNNNNNNNNNNNNNNNNNNNNNNNNNNNNNNNNNNNNNNNNNNNNNNNNNNNNNNNNNNNNNNNNNNNNNNNNNNNNNNNNNNNNNNNNNNNNNNNNNNNNNNNNNNNNNNNNNNNNNNNNNNNNNNNNNNNNNNNNNNNNNNNNNNNNNNNNNNNNNNNNNNNNNNNNNNNNNNNNNNNNNNNNNNNNNNNNNNNNNNNNNNNNNNNNNNNNNNNNNNNNNNNNNNNNNNNNNNNNNNNNNNNNNNNNNNNNNNNNNNNNNNNNNNNNNNNNNNNNNNNNNNNNNNNNNNNNNNNNNNNNNNNNNNNNNNNNNNNNNNNNNNNNNNNNNNNNNNNNNNNNNNNNNNNNNNNNNNNNNNNNNNNNNNNNNNNNNNNNNNNNNNNNNNNNNNNNNNNNNNNNNNNNNNNNNNNNNNUGGUCAGUCAGAUUGAUCCGUAUAUAUCGAAACGAGUCUGUGAUUAGACGGUAGCUCGUGCUCUUGGAUAUAUUGAAGUCUUCACUACUCACGGUCUUCGAUACAUAUAUGCACUUAGCAGCGCUCUCACAUGAUUAGUGCGUGGUAGAGAUCGAGCGAGAGAGAGAGAGAGAGACAGAGAGAGAGAUAAGUCGAGUCAUACUGUCAUCUGGAAUAGAGAGAAUUUAUAAAACUCUGGAUAUUAUAUAUCAGGAUGUAGUGAGGGUUCGUGUUCUAGGCGUGUCACCCUCAAAUCUUCUCUUUUGUUUAAUUAGAGCCGCCCUCACGUGUUCAUCACCCUCAAAAAUGUACAAAGACAUGAACAUGUAGCAUUUUGGAGGGUGGGCUGACGCGAGAGAGAGUUGUGAGAGAGAGAGAGAGAGAGAGAGAGAGAGAGAGAGAGAGAGAGAUGACCCCAAGUCUUCCUUGAUUGUUAAGGAGAGAGGACCCCAAGUCUUCAUGAAAAAGAGAGAACGGACAAAGACUCUUUGCUCUUGUAUGUCUGGAUGUGAGACUGAUGUGUGAGAGUGAGAGAGUGAUGACCCCAAGUUUUCCUUGAUUGUAGUGAUAUCCAUCUAGAAUUGAGUUGUUAAGCUUUUGUCCAUCUCUUCUUGCAUAAUAACCUUUUUCACAUUGUCAGUUUUGAAAGGGCUAGUAACAACACCUAGAGGGGGGUGAAUAGAUGUAAAAAUAAUUUUGCAAGAUUUAGUAAAAGUAAUUUGCUUUUAGAAAAUGACAAACUAUAAACAAGUUCCGACUCUAGCAACAAAGUAAGGGAGAAGUACACUAAUGGUGUCAUAAGUUGUGUACGGCACUCACUUUGGUGCCAAAAGUUUCCGUCGGAUCACUUAAGUGCCAAAAUUUUUGAAAAACGGUCACUUUGGUGCCAUCGCCGAUUUGGUUGGCCGGAAAUAGGACGUGGCAGUUUUUUAUUAAUUUUUUACGCCGACGUGGAUCGCCGGAGAAUACAAUCACCAUACAAAGAACAAAAUGAUGCCGUUUACCAUUUUCCCCCAAAUAUGAAACCCUAAAUCCCCAAUUUCGACUAGUAUCGGAAGUUGAAAACCCUAAAUUCCCAAUUCGACCAUUUCGAGUGCAUACUUUGUUUUUCUCUCAAAGUUAUCAGCUCGCUCUUGCAAAUGGAGGACAAAAGCUUCAGCAACGUGUGGCAUCCUAGAAUUCCUUACUUGUCAUUAUGGGUGCUCAAAUUAAUGUCUUGUAUUAAGGACUAUGGCCAAAUUUAAUGGAUAAAUUUUGGAAAAGGAUGAUCUAUCUUUGGCCAUAUGUAUUGUGGGUUAGAAUCUAUGAAUUUGUGAUUUCAAGUGUAUAAUUAUUUAAUUUAUACACUAUAGUACUUUGGUUCAAUAAGGAUUUAAUUAGCAUUUAAAAAAAAAUGGGGGUUGAAAUUUGAUUUAAUUAGGCUUGGGCCUUAGGCCCAAGAGUGUGGACCUUUGAUGGGCCAAAAGGCUAGCCCAUGAAGCCCAUGGAUAGGGCUGCCGUUGACCAAGGAGAGGGAGAGUGGCCGGCCCACUUCCAAGCCCAUUAUGCAUGGGUCUUGCCAAGUGGCAAAAAGGAGACUUCAUCCAUUGGCCAUUGUGGGAGGCAUCUCAUGAUGACUAAUGAUUGUGAUUAAAGGGGAAUAAAAGGGAGAGAGUGGCCGGUUUAGGGGGCUGUCGCCCAUGCCAAGUGAGAGAGAGAGAGGUUUGCGAGAGAGUGAGUGCGAGAGAGAGAGAGAGAGAGAGAGAGAGAGAGAGAGAGAGAGAGGGAGAAGCUAUGCGAAGGGGAGGUCCGCUCGUCCGUCGCCUGUCUGUCCGCUCGUCCGUCGCCGUCCGUGUGCCGUUGUUUGCUUGAUUUGAAGGCAAGUUGGGAUCUAUAUUCUGCUCUUGCAUGCUGUGUCUUGUUUGUGUGUUUGAAUGGUGGUGAAUCUCGGAUGUUUAGGGUGUGAGAAACCGAAGCUUGAGUGUGUUGUUCUUGAAAAUGUGUUCUGUUCUUGACACUCCUUUGAGAAUCUCACCUAGAUCCCUUCAUGAAAUUUGUAGGGGACCUCUUGAGACAAAACAUAUCAAAAUUUCAGAGGAAAUGAAGAAAUAUAAGUAGGCGAAACCUCGAUUUUUCGGAGACAGCUAAACUGGACUGUUCGGUACUAGGAACAGGAGCUUCGACCGUCUAUAGUUAAAUAUCUAGAGCGAAUAUGACCUAGAUGUCCGUAUGAAAAAUAUACCUUAGGGUCUUGACUAUAACCUGGUAAAAUUUCAUAAAUUUUCGAGGUCAUUCGGGUAUUUUAAUUGAAAUAUUUCAAGAACUGCGCAAUCUGAUUUUAUCCGAAUUUUGCAUGCUGUAUUGUGUGAGCUAUAUCUUCUUGUGUGAAGCUCUGUUGGGCAUGUGUUCUUCAUGGAAUUGCUACCUUUGUGUCUUGGCUAUUACAUGCUCUGAUUGUAUGAUUUUUGAAGAUCAUAUGGACAUUUAAUUGAUAUGUUUUCCAAAAUUUUCCAAGCUGGAAUUUGGUAAAUUUCAAAAAGCACAUGAUGUAUGGAUUAUUCUAAGUUGUAUGGACCCCAUGGAUUGCAUUGUCAUAAGUGAUUGUAUCUUGCUGCAUGUAUGAUGAUGAUUGGAGAUGCAUACAAGAAUCAAAUGAUGAAAAUGAUCUUGUUUGCCAUCACAUCAUAUGCCAUGUUGGAAUUGAGCUAUAAUUGAAAAUGUGAACUAAGAUAAGUGAGAAGGCCGUCGGAGGUGUGAGCCGACGAUGCCCUGGGAGUGUCGGGAUGCUUGGCCAGGGAGUGUAAAUGCCAGAUGCCCAGUGGCCUUAAAUGGCUGAAUGCCAGAGGGUCCUCGGGAGUUUCGAGAUGCUCAGAGCGUGGGGAGCCGGAAGCCUAGAGGUUUGUGCCGGGGGAUACCUUGUGAUGCCAGUUGGGGUGUGAGAUGCUCGGCGAGUGUGUGCCGGAUGCCGGGAAGUUUGUGCCGGAUGCCGGGAAGUUUGUGCCGGAGGUUCCUCGCGAUGCCAGGUGGGGUGCGAGCGAUAAAUGUGGGAUGCAAAUAUUGGUCCCGGGAAAAAGAGAAAUGUGGCGGUUCAAAAUGAAAAGAUAAAAUUUGGAAAUUGAAAUUGAAUUAUGCAUGGUAUGGCCAUAUGUAUGCAUGGAUGCAUGAUGAUGAGUGCAUGGAUGUAUGUGCACCUAUGGCAUGAUGGUACAUGUGACAUGAUGAUGGAACUGCAUGGAUGUAUGUGCACCUAUGGCGUGAUGGUACAUGUGACAAUGAUGAUGAGAAGUGCAAUGAAUGUAUGUGCACNNNNNNNNNNNNNNNNNNNNNNNNNNNNNNNNNNNNNNNNNNNNNNNNNNNNNNNNNNNNNNNNNNNNNNNNNNNNNNNNNNNNNNNNNNNNNNNNNNNNNNNNNNNNNNNNNNNNNNNNNNNNNNNNNNNNNNNNNNNNNNNNNNNNNNNNNNNNNNNNNNNNNNNNNNNNNNNNNNNNNNNNNNNNNNNNNNNNNNNNNNNNNNNNNNNNNNNNNNNNNNNNNNNNNNNNNNNNNNNNNNNNNNNNNNNNNNNNNNNNNNNNNNNNNNNNNNNNNNNNNNNNNNNNNNNNNNNNNNNNNNNNNNNNNNNNNNNNNNNNNNNNNNNNNNNNNNNNNNNNNNNNNNNNNNNNNNNNNNNNNNNNNNNNNNNNNNNNNNNNNNNNNNNNNNNNNNNNNNNNNNNNNNNNNNNNNNNNNNNNNNNNNNNNNNNNNNNNNNNNNNNNNNNNNNNNNNNNNNNNNNNNNNNNNNNNNNNNNNNNNNNNNNNNNNNNNNNNNNNNNNNNNNNNNNNNNNNNNNNNNNNNNNNNNNNNNNNNNNNNNNNNNNNNNNNNNNNNNNNNNNNNNNNNNNNNNNNNNNNNNNNNNNNNNNNNNNNNNNNNNNNNNNNNNNNNNNNNNNNNNNNNNNNNNNNNNNNNNNNNNNNNNNNNNNNNNNNNNNNNNNNNNNNNNNNNNNNNNNNNNNNNNNNNNNNNNNNNNNNNNNNNNNNNNNNNNNNNNNNNNNNNNNNNNNNNNNNNNNNNNNNNNNNNNNNNNNNNNNNNNNNNNNNNNNNNNNNNNNNNNNNNNNNNNNNNNNNNNNNNNNNNNNNNNNNNNNNNNNNNNNNNNNNNNNNNNNNNNNNNNNNNNNNNNNNNNNNNNNNNNNNNNNNNNNNNNNNNNNNNNNNNNNNNNNNNNNNNNNNNNNNNNNNNNNNNNNNNNNNNNNNNNNNNNNNNNNNNNNNNNNNNNNNNNNNNNNNNNNNNNNNNNNNNNNNNNNNNNNNNNNNNNNNNNNNNNNNNNNNNNNNNNNNNNNNNNNNNNNNNNNNNNNNNNNNNNNNNNNNNNNNNNNNNNNNNNNNNNNNNNNNNNNNNNNNNNNNNNNNNNNNNNNNNNNNNNNNNNNNNNNNNNNNNNNNNNNNNNNNNNNNNNNNNNNNNNNNNNNNNNNNNNNNNNNNNNNNNNNNNNNNNNNNNNNNNNNNNNNNNNNNNNNNNNNNNNNNNNNNNNNNNNNNNNNNNNNNNNNNNNNNNNNNNNNNNNNNNNNNNNNNNNNNNNNNNNNNNNNNNNNNNNNNNNNNNNNNNNNNNNNNNNNNNNNNNNNNNNNNNNNNNNNNNNNNNNNNNNNNNNNNNNNNNNNNNNNNNNNNNNNNNNNNNNNNNNNNNNNNNNNNNNNNNNNNNNNNNNAAGCAUUAUGUGAAAGGAGAUGUAGGACUCUGUCUGUUGGAAUAAUUAGAUGAAAGGAAAUUGACAGGACCUGAAUUGGUACAAGUUACCACUGAAGCUGUUGAAAUUAUUAGAAAAAGGCUUAAAACAGCUCAGAUUAGGUAGAAGGACUACGCAGAUAGGCAUAUAAGACCUUUGGAGUUUAGCGUAGGAGACCAUAUAUUCCUUAAGGUAUCUCCAAUGAAAGGAAUAUCUCGAUUUGGUAUGAAAGGUAAGUUAAGACCUAGAUUUGUCGGACCUUUUGAGAUACUUGAAAAGAUAGGGGAUGUAGCUUACCAUUUAGCACUGCCUCCUAAGUUAGGAAAUUUGCAUGAUGUGUUUCAUGUAUCGAUGCUGAGAAAGUACCAUCUGGAUCCUGGUCACAUACUUGAUCAUGAAGCCAUUGAAGUGGAUGAGAAAGUGAGGUACAUUGAAGAGCCUGUAUAGAUAUUGGAUCGAAAGGAACAAAUUCUUAGGAUCAAGACGAUUCCUCUGGUUAAGGUAUUAUGGCGACAUCAUGAUAUGGAGGAAGCCACAUGGGAAAGUGAAGAUCAGAUGAAAAAAAAAGUACCCCUACUUGUUUCAAAAUGACAUGAGUAACGUCUAAUUUUGAGGACGAAAUUCUCUAAGGAGGGGAGAAUUGUGGCAUCCUAGAAUUCCUUACCGGUCAUUAAGGGUGCUCAAAUUAAUGUCUUGUAUUAAGGACUAUUGUGGCAUCCCAAAAUUCAAAGUCAAGCUAUAAGGUGUGUUAAAGCCUCUAAUUAGGUAAUGCAAUUACCUAUGGUUUAUGUCUUAGCCAUUAGUUUUCUUAAGGCUAUGUGUUUUAUGCUUGUGUUCUUGAAUUUCCUUUAUUUAGAACUAUAGGAUAAAUUAAUAAUCUAUGAUUGACCAUGCACCUCAUAAAUUAAUCUCUAUAAAUAAAGUGUUAUAAGACUUUGGCCAAGUAUGUGUGGCAAAUUGGAACUUAUGGAAUUAUAAUUUUAAGUGUUAUUGUAACCUAAUUCUUUAAUUUAAAUAGAGAUAUAAAAAAAAGGGGAAAAGUUAAUUUUUAGGUUGGGCCUUAGGCCCAUUGGCUGAAGCCUUGAUGGGCCAAGCUAGUCGGCCCAAUUAGGCCCAUAAAGGGGGCUGUCGCCCGCCCCAAUAGGAGGCCCCAGAAGAAGGUGGGCGGGCNNNNNNNNNNNNNNNNNNNNNNNNNNNNNNNNNNNNNNNNNNNNNNNNNNNNNNNNNNNNNNNNNNNNNNNNNNNNNNNNNNNNNNNNNNNNNNNNNNNNNNNNNNNNNNGGCCGAGAGAGAGGAAAGCCGAGGAGGGAGUCGCCGUCCGCGCUGUCCGUCCGCCGUGUUUGCCGCCGUGUACCGCCCUUCGUGUGGUCUAGAGGCAAGUUGGAGUCCUCUAGCUGCUCUUGCAUGUGUGUUUGUUACAUGUAUGGUUGAUAUAGUGUCGAGUUUGGGUGAUUAGGUGAGGAAAACCGAAGUAUGGAUGGAUUGUUCUUGGGUGGUAUGGCUGUAUUCGCUUGAACAGUUUGAGUCAGAAUGUUGUGUGAGCUUGCAUGAAUGUUUGGAGUCAGAUUUUGGCUUCUAUUUUUUCAUGAAAGUUGUAGCCAACAUCUUGAACUACAACAUAAUAAAAUUUGGUGGAAAAUGAUGGAGAUUUGAGGGGUUAAAAUCUCAUCCUACAGAGACCUCAGAUCUGGAAAGAUUUUACUGACCUCUUGUUGGAUUUGUUGUUGCAUGUUGAUUUGUGCUAAGAAUAUUUCUUCGAUCCCUUCAUGGAAGUUGUAGGGGACAUCUUAAAAUACAACAUACUCAAAUUUUAAGUGAAAUGAACAAGUAUAGCCUAGUGAAUCGACUAGAUCUUGAAGAUGGUAAUUCUGGAGAUGUAUUUCGGGACACCCGAGACUUCAUGGACCUAAAUGUCGACUAUACUCUUGAUAUUUGACUUGGACCUCUUCACAAAAAGUGUAUAUAAUAUCUUGAUGAAUAACAUAUCCAAAUUUCAGAGGAAACUAAAGAGAAUAGGUAGGUGAAAAACUCAGUAUUUCGGAGAAGCAUGUACUGGACGAUGCGGAAAUGAAUCCAGAAGCUUCGUGAGACUAUAGAAAUUAAUCUAAAAAUAAUCUGGCUUGAAAGUCUUCAUGAAAGAUGUACGAAAAUAUCUUGGCUGUAACUCGGUAAAAUUUCGUAAUUUUUGGAGGUCGUAUGGAUAUUUUAAUCGAAUUUCUUCAAAAGCUGUGCAUUCUGAUUUCACCCGCAAAUGACAUGCCAUUUUGUGAGAAUUGUGAAAUUGUGUGAAAUUCUAUUUGGCCAUGUAUUUUGCAUGAAAUUAUUAUUUUAUUGUCUUGUUUAUCACUUGCCUUAAUUUUUAUAAUUUAUAGAUAUUAAAUUUAAUAUUUUUGAAAAUAACAAAAGCUGGAAUUUAAAUAAAUGAAGAAAGGGCAUGCAAAAUGGAUUAUUUUAUUGGCCAUAAAUUCCAUUAAAUUUAUUUCAUAAAUAAUUAUACCAUGUAGCAUGUAUGAUGAGGUCUUGAUGUAUGCAUUGAGAUGCAUGUGUGAAUUCAAAUGUNNNNNNNNNNNNNNNNNNNNNNNNNNNNNNNNNNNNNNNNNNNNNNNNNNNNNNNNNNNNNNNNNNNNNNNNNNNNNNNNNNNNNNNNNNNNNNNNNNNNNNNNNNNNNNNNNNNNNNNNNNNNNNNNNNNNNNNNNNNNNNNNNNNNNNNNNNNNNNNNNNNNNNNNNNNNNNNNNNNNNNNNNNNNNNNNNNNNNNNNNNNNNNNNNNNNNNNNNNNNNNNNNNNNNNNNNNNNNNNNNNNNNNNNNNNNNNNNNNNNNNNNNNNNNNNNNNNNNNNNNNNNNNNNNNNNNNNNNNNNNNNNNNNNNNNNNNNNNNNNNNNNNNNNNNNNNNNNNNNNNNNNNNNNNNNNNNNNNNNNNNNNNNNNNNNNNNNNNNNNNNNNNNNNNNNNNNNNNNNNNNNNNNNNNNNNNNNNNNNNNNNNNNNNNNNNNNNNNNNNNNNNNNNNNNNNNNNNNNNNNNNNNNNNNAGGAUGAAAUUGAUGAUCCGGAGGAAGGAUGAUGGUGGUGAUCAAGUUGAAACGUUAAAAGUGGACAUCAUAGCAUGAUGAUAUGCAUGAUGAUGAUGGUGAUGAUAUAUGAUAUGGCAUGAUGAUAUGCACGAUGAUGAUAUGCAUGAUGAUGAUGAUGAUAUAUGAUAUGCAUGAUGAUGAUAUAUGAUAAGGCAUGAUGACAUGUGUGAUAUGAUGAUGCCAUGAUGAUGAUGACAUGUGUGAUAUGAUGAUGGCAUGAUGAUGAUGACAUGUGUGAUGUGAUGAUGUCAUGAUGAUGAUGACAUGUAUAUGAUUAUGAUGAUGAUGCCAUGAUGAUGAUGCCAUGAUGAUGAUGACAUGUGUGAUAUGAUGAUGCCAUGAUGAUGAUGACAUGUGUGAUGUGAUGAUGUCAUGAUGAUGAUGACAUGUAUAUGAUUAUGAUGAUGAUGCAUGAUAGUGUGUGCAUGGCUUCAAGGUAAGUAACGUCUGCAAUGCAUGUAUUUUGCAUGAUGCAUUGAGUGGUUGUUGGAUUCCUUUACCUGCUGAGUGGUUGUACUCACUCCUUUUGGGGACCAACAUUUCAGAUUAGUAGCAUGCCGCUCUCUGCUGUUACGCGGGGUGUAUUUUACGGUCUUCCAUCUGAUGUCGAGGUUGAGUGCGAGGAGUUCGGCUGUCCUUUUGUGCCUGGAUUGACGUAUAUACGCGUGCGCUGUUUUGUCAUGUACGACAUAGGCCUAGCUGGGGGCUCGAUUGUCCAGGAGUUCGUCUCUGUCCACGUUCGUCGCGACGGGGUGAUGAGAGGGAUGUUGCCACUGCCACCGCCUGAUGCACCAGAUUGGAUGUGAGGCCCGUGCGUGACGAGUAGGAGCUGGAUCUUUUUAGAUAGUUAGCCGACACUGAUGAUGGGGGUUGUGCAUGUGAGAUGUAGAGGGUCGAGGGUUUUUUUUUUUUGGGGUUUUAGGCGGGAUGUGGCUGAGUCCUGGCUUUUCCUUUUUGAUGUAUCGACCCAAAAGAAGUCCCAUCUUGAAAAUAUAUGUAAAUAAAGUGUCGUGGCUUGUCUAUAAAAUCAUGAUGAGUAGUGGUGUGUAUUUGUAUCAUGGUUGGUAGGGGGAGAGAUGGUGAUGUUUUAAUUUGCUUCCGCUAAUGAGUCGCGCUGGGAUUGUUUUGUUUUUUCAAAAAAAUGUGUCUAUGACUUACGACGUUUCUUCUAAGGAGAAAGGUAAUAAGGUGUAACAUUGGCGCUGGUGGCGACCUACGAAGGGUUCGGGGUGCCACAACUAUGGCCAAAUUUAAUGGAUAAAUUUUGGAAAAGGAUGAUCUAUCUUUGGCCAUAUGUAUUGUGGGUUAGAAUCUAUGAAUUUGUGAUUUCAAGUGUAUAAUUAUUUAAUUUAUACACUAUAGUACUUUGGUUCAAUAAGAAUUUAAUUAGUAUUUAAACAAAAGGGGGUUGAAAUUUGAUUUAAUUAGGCUUGGGCCUUAGGCUCAAGAGUGUGGACCUUUGAUGGGCCAAAAGGCCGGCCCAUGAAGCCCAUGUAUAGGGCUGCCGUCGACCAAGGAGAGGGGGAGUGGCCGGCCCACUUCCAAGCCCAUUAUGCAUGGGUCUUGCCAAGUGGCAAAAAGGAGACUUCAUCCAUUGGCCAUUGUGGGAGGCAUCUCAUGAUGACUAAUGAUUGUGAUUAAGGGGGAAUAAAAGGGAGAGAGUGGCCAGUUUAGGGGGCUGUUGCCCAAGCCAAGUGAGAGAGAGAGAGGGUUGUGAGAGAGUGAGGAACUGAGAUAGAGAGGGAGAAGCCGCACGAAAGGGAGGUCCGCUCAUCCGUCGCCCGUCCGUCCGCUCAUCUGUCGCCGUCCGUGUGCCGUUGUUUGCUCAAUUUGAAGGCAAGUUGGGAUCUAUAUUCUGCUCUUGCAUGUUGUGUCUUGUUUGUGUGUUUGAAUGGUGGUGAAUCUCGGAUGUUUAGGGUGUCAGAAACCGAAGCUUGAGUGUGUUGUUCUUGAAAAUGUGUUCUGUUUUCGAGUGUGCCGCCUGAUCCAGAAUUUUGUAGAGGCUUGCAUGUGGGUUUUGAGUCGGAUUUUGUCUUCGACUUCUUCACGAAAGUUGUAGACAACAUCUCAAAGUAUAACAUACUAAAAUUUGAGACAAAAUGGCUUGAGUUUUAUGGGGUGAAACCCUUUCUCUACGAAAACACCAGAUCUGAAACUGUUUUGUUGACCUCUUGGUAGUUUUGUGUGCUGCAUGUCACUUUUUACCGAGAAUCUCACUUCAAAUUCUCACGAAAGUUGUAGAGAACAUCCUAAAAACUAACAUACUCAAAUUUGAAGUAAAACGAGCAAGUGUAGCCUAGUGAAACGAUUUUCUUUUGAAGACGGUAGAUCUGGAAGUAUGGUACUGGACUCCCGAGACUUCGUGGACUAUAUGGUGACUACCCUUUGAGAAUCUCACCUAGAUCCCUUCAUGAAAUUUGUAGGGGACCUCUUGAGGCAAAACAUAUCAAAAUUUUAGAGGAAAUGAAGAAAGAUAAGUAGGCGAAACCUUGAUUUUUCGGAGACAGCUAAACUGGACUGUUCGGUACUAGGAACAGGAGCUUCGACCGUCUAUAGUUAAAUAUAUAGAGCGAAUAUGACCUAUAUGUCUGUAUGAAAAAUCUACCUUAGGGUCUCGACUAUAACCUGGUAAAAUUUCAUAAUUUUUGGAGGUCAUUCGGGUAUUUUAAUCGAAAUAUUUCAAGAACUGCGCAAUCUGAUUUUAUCCGAAUUUUGCAUGCUGUAUUGUGUGAGCUAUAUCUUCUUGUGUGAAGCUCUUUUGGGCAUGUGUUCUUCAUGGAAUUGCUACCUUUAUGUCUUGGCUAUUACAUGCUAUGAUUGUAUGAUUUUUGAAGAUCAUAUGGACAUUUAAUUUAUAUGUUUUCCAAAAUUUUGCAAGCUAAAAUUUGGUAAAUUUAAAAAAGACAUGAUGUAUGGAUUAUUCUAAGUUGUAUGGACCCCAUGGAUUGCAUUGUCAUAAGUGAUUGUAUCUUGCUGCAUGUAUGAUGAUGAUUGGAGAUGCAUACAAGAAUCAAAUGAUGAAAAUGAUCUUGUUUGCCAUCACAUCAUAUGCCAUGUUGGAAUUGAGCUAUAAUUGAAAAUGUGAACUAAGAUAAGUGAGAAGGCUGUCGGAGGUGUGAGCUGAUGAUGCCCUGGGAGUGUCGGGAUGCCUGGCUAGGGAGUGUAAAUGCGGGAUGCCCGGUGGCCUUAAAUGGCUGAAUGCCGGAGGGUCCUCGGGAGUUUCGAGAUGCUCGGAGAGUGGGGAGCUGGAAGCCGGGAGGUUUGUACCGGGGGAUACCUCGUGAUGCUAGUUGGGGUGCGAGAUGCCCGGCGGGUGUGUGCCGGAUGCCCGGAGGUUUGUGCCGGAGGUUCCUCGCGAUGCCAGGUGAGGUGCGAGCGAUAAAUGUGGGAUGCAAAUACUGGUCCCGGGAAAAAGAGAAAUGUGGCGGUUCAAAAUGAAAAGAUAAAAUUUGGAAAUUGAAAUUGAAUCAUGCAUGGUAUGGCCAUAUGUAUGCAUGGAUGCAUGAUGAUGAGUGCAUGGAUGUAUGUGCACCUAUGGCAUGAUGGUACAUGUGACAUGAUGAUGGUAAGUGGAUGGAUGUAUGUGCACCUAUGGCAUGAUGGUACAUGUGAGAUGAUGAUGGUAAGUGUAUGAAUGUAUGUGCACCUAUGGCAUGAUGGCAUGUGUGACAUGAUGAUGGUAAGUGCAUGGAUGUAUGUGCACCUAUGGCAUGAUGGUAUGUGUGGCAUGAUGAUGGUAAUAGCAUGGAUGUAUGUGCACCUAUGGCAUGAUGGUACAUGUAUGACAUGAUGAUGGUAAGUGCAUGGAUGUAUGUGCACCUAUGGCAUGAUGGUACAUGUAUGUUAUGAUGGUGAUGAUUACAUGAGGAUGUAUGUACAUUUGGUAUGAUGACAUAUGCAUGGCUCCAAGGUAAAUUAUGCAUAGAUGCUUGAAUGACAUGUCUUAUGCUAUGAUUGUUAUGAUUGUAUUGUGUGUUGCAUUGAGUGGUUUAUUGGGUCAUUUACCUGCUGAGUGGCUGUACUCACCCCUUCGGGGACCAACAUUUUAGAUUAGAAAGAUACCGCUCCCUGCUGUCACGCGGGGCGUCUUUUAUGGCCUUCCUUCGGAUGUGGAGGUCGAGUGUGUGGAGAUCGACUGUCCCACCAUCCCUGGUCUGACGUUCAUUCGAGUUCGCGCAUUAAUGAUGUAUGACGUGGGCCUAGCUGAGGGCCUUGUCAUUCAGGAGUUUAUAUCUGUUCAUGUUCAUCGAGAUGGAGUGAUGCGGGGGAUGUUGCCGCCGCCACCGCUUGACGCACCAGGGUGGGUGUGACUGCACGCACGCGAGAAUAGUAGGAGCUGUAACUUUUUGGAUAAUAGCCGACAUUAGUGGAUGGAGGAUUUUGCAUGAUCGACAUAGAGGGUCGAGUGUAGUCAAAAGUCUUGGCCCUUCUUUUGUUAUACCGACCCGAAGAAAUCCAUCAUGAAAAUAUGUAAAUAAAAGUGGCUCGACUUUAUCUUUUCCUAUGGAGUUUAGUGGUGUGCAAUUGUAUCAUGAUAGAUGGAGGGAGAAAUAUGAUGAUAUUUCAAUUAUGCUUCCGCUAAUAAGUUGCGUUGGGACCGAUAUACAUACAUACAUACAUACAUACAUACAUACAUACAUAUAUAUAUGUAUAUAUAAAAUAUGCCUAUGAGCUGCCAUACUUCUGUUAAGAGAUGUGAUUAGCGUUCAUUAGGUAUAGCAACAGGUACCUGUGGCGACCUUAGGUGUUUCUGGGUGCCACGCAACGGCUCACAUUCCUAUAAGAAAAGCGAAUUAGAUGGUGAGUGUUACUGUUAUUGUAGGUUACCAAGUCCGAGAAGAACAUCUUGGACUCAGUUGAAUCCAAGGAGAAGAUUCUAUGGGUGUGUCAGAUAUAGAGAAGGCUCGAAGUGCCAAUAUUUCAAAUGGGUUGAUAGGAAAUUCUUUGAUCGAGCGACAGAGGUGAUAUUGGAGUUACUUGAAGGCCGAAAUCAACAUCCACCUAUGUUAAUGGACGAGUUGGAGGUUGUCGACUCAAUGCAAGCUCAAGUGAAGGGUUUAACAUUUCUGGUGGACCAUUUGAAGAGGGAGGUUUCAAGGCUAAAAAUUGAAAGAAACUUUUAUUGAGCGUUGAUUGUGUUCUUAUUCUCUUGGGUAGUUUAUUCAAAUGUAAAGUGAGUAAUGAGAAGAAGUGGAAUAUGCACUUGUAUUGGAUUAUUUAUAAGUAAAAUGUGUUUUUUGGUAAGUAAAAUGUGUNNNNNNNNNNNNNNNNNNNNNNNNNNNNNNNNNNNNNNNNNNNNNNNNNNNNNNNNNNNNNNNNNNNNNNNNNNNNNNNNNNNNNNNNNNNNNNNNNNNNNNNNNNNNNNNNNNNNNNNNNNNNNNNNNNNNNNNNNNNNNNNNNNNNNNNNNNNNNNNNNNNNNNNNNNNNNNNNNNNNNNNNNNNNNNNNNNNNNNNNNNNNNNNNNNNNNNNNNNNNNNNNNNNNNNNNNNNNNNNNNNNNNNNNNNNNNNNNNNNNNNNNNNNNNNNNNNNNNNNNNNNNNNNNNNNNNNNNNNNNNNNNNNNNNNNNNNNNNNNNNNNNNNNNNNNNNNNNNNNNNNNNNNNNNNNNNNNNNNNNNNNNNNNNNNNNNNNNNNNNNNNNNNNNNNNNNNNNNNNNNNNNNNNNNNNNNNNNNNNNNNNNNNNNNNNNNNNNNNNNNNNNNNNNNNNNNNNNNNNNNNNNNNNNNNNNNNNNNNNNNNNNNNNNNNNNNNNNNNNNNNNNNNNNNNNNNNNNNNNNNNNNNNNNNNNNNNNNNNNNNNNNNNNNNNNNNNNNNNNNNNNNNNNNNNNNNNNNNNNNNNNNNNNNNNNNNNNNNNNNNNNNNNNNNNNNNNNNNNNNNNNNNNNNNNNNNNNNNNNNNNNNNNNNNNNNNNNNNNNNNNNNNNNNNNNNNNNNNNNNNNNNNNNNNNNNNNNNNNNNNNNNNNNNNNNNNNNNNNNNNNNNNNNNNNNNNNNNNNNNNNNNNNNNNNNNNNNNNNNNNNNNNNNNNNNNNNNNNNNNNNNNNNNNNNNNNNNNNNNNNNNNNNNNNNNNNNNNNNNNNNNNNNNNNNNNNNNNNNNNNNNNNNNNNNNNNNNNNNNNNNNNNNNNNNNUUGCUGGUGCAUCUUCUUACACCUGAGUUGUUGGUGCAUCUUCUUGCACCAGCCCAUACAUGUGUUGAUGCAACAAGAUGUACCAGCACCCAAAGUGUUCUUGUAGCAACACAUAUAAUCAGAACCCCACAAAUUCAUUAUAAUCCAUAACUUCAACCAACAACAGCAACAUUGCAGCAGCAGUAACAACAAAAAUAAAUAAAUAAAAUAUACAGCAUAACUGACUUGCUAGCAUUCUAGUCGAAACCAACACAAAAGAAAAUGAAUAGUCAUUCCAGUACUUGCCAUUAACAUUGAUUGAUUGUUUACAAAAGAAAAGAAAAGCAUGUCUAACUUCACUCCCCAAUCAUCGAAAGUUCAGCACUCUCUUCAAAAAAAUACAAUGGCAAUAUGCAGGCAACAACUACCAUCAAUGAUAUAAUAUCCAGCACACUCCUAAAAAAAGAAAACAUGAAAAGAGACCAUGUCCAGCACUCUCCCAUAAGUCAAUAUUGACAACACCCUGAUCUCAUUUUCGUCUUGGAGCACUCCUUCGAACUGGAUGUGCAGGUUCUUUAACUGGGCUUUCUGUCACCUCAUUUUCCUUUUCCUUGUUUUUUACGGCGGCUAUUUUUGUUCUAGCACGUGUCAUGUGUUGGUCCAUAUCAUCACUACUACUCCCAAUCGUUGGUUGAGAUGGAACUGGUGCUGGGUUUUUUUUGGAUGGCUGUUUCGCAGCUAUACCUGCUGUCUUCUUCUUCUUUGGAGCAUUCUUCUUUGGUUGGGCUCUUGAUUCUUGAGUUGGCCCACCUUGAGAGAGAAGUACCUCCAAAGUUCUCCAAAGCUACAAGAACAUAGUGAUAUUUUCAACCAAAUGAAUUGAAGUACAACAAAUUAAAUGCAUGAUGCCUAUAAAUAUUACAUUCAAAAUAGUCAUUCCAGUAUGUUCAUCUGUGUAAAUCCCAUAACCAUAUUGCCUUAAUUUUUUUCCAAGAGCCCCUCUUGUUCGCUGUGGUGCAUCAUUUUCAGCAACAACAAUCCUUGUAGCAACCUCUGCAACUUGUGCAGUUGUUCAUAUUCUCACAUGAGAAAACACAUAACAAAUGUAAAUUUUAGCCCUUAAAAGACCAAACACAGCGAUGUACAACUUAUAGUAUAUUUUUUCUUGUUUGCUCAACAAUGGACUCAGUUAUUGUUGUUGUUGUUGCUGUCCUGCCCAUUCUAGUCCCUGUCCCUGCACUUGAGCCUACAACAGGGUUUUUUUCUGGCCUUUUAGUAGGCCUUACAAAAUGUACUAUAUUAGGAUUAUGAACAACUACAACGAAUAAUUAAACAUUUACUCAUUUUCAUGGUGGAAACAAAUGGAGAAAACUUCUCAAAUUGCAAGUGCAUGAUAGAGGAAAAGCACAAGAAAAGCCAGUACACAUGGUCAACCAUCAAACUCUAUUGAAUAAGAACUGUAAAGUUACUAAGACAAAGGGGAUAUUUACCUUACAGCAUGGUUUUCUGUUUGCCCUUCAGUAGGCAUUACAGCAGGGCCUUCUAUCCUCCAUUCAAUAGGCCCAACAAGAAACUCUUCAGUAGGUCCUGUCCCUGGCACUGAAUCAACCAUUACAUCUUGCUGUUGAUGCUAUUUUUUUAGUUCACAACCUUUCUUAUUGUGUCAUUCCUUGCGGCAUUAUGAGCAUUUCAUCUUUGAUCCAGUCCUACUCAUCCUUUGACUUGAUGCCUCUUCUUGCUACAUUCUUCGUCUCUUUUUUGGCCUUCCUAUUUGCUUCUUUAGCGGUAAAGGUAGAGGGCUUUCAUGAUUUGUUGGCUCUCAAAAUUUGUUGCUUCUGAUAGGCUGCAUCAUGAAUUGGUAUGAAGUAAGGUAUGAGCUUUUUUUGUACCAAUCAUGUAGGUAGUCAUAUGGGUUUUCUUGCUUCAUCUGAAUAGUACAAAUGGCAUGGGCACAGGGAAUUCCAUUCAAUUGCCAGGCUCGGCAUGAACACUUUCUUCUAUCCAGGUUGACAACAUACUUAUCCUGAUUUUGAAUAAUCUCAUAUUCAUUAUCUCCAUUCCAAACUGGAUGGUAGAACCUACUAGCAGAAAUAUUUGCAUCCAAUCUCUUCACAAUCCUAGGGCCACAGUCUCUACUCUAUUUUGUAGCCUCAUCUCUUUGCCUAUGCAGUCUAGUCAUAACCAUAACUUGAAUAUCAUCAAGUAUGCUGAUGAUUGGUUUGCACCUGGCCUCUAAAAUUCUACAUUGAAAGCUUCACUAAGGUUGUUAUAAGUGAUAUCGCAUUUGAACUAUUCGCUGAAGAAGGCCUGACACUAGUGCUUAGCUUCUGUCUGGAAGAGUGCAUCAAAACCUUCCUUUGUCAGCUGCAACAAUUCUUGUUUGGCUAAUCUGAAAUCAACCAUAUUCGUACUCUUUACUAUCUGCCAGAACUGCUUCUGCAGCCUAUCUCCUUUGAAGUUCCUUGACCAGUUUGCAUAUAUGUGCAUCGCGCAUAUUCUAUGCUCAGCAUGUGGCAUCAACUCAGCCAAUGCAGGAAUAAGUCUCUACAAAAAUUCAAACCAAUAAAUACAAGUCAAGAAAAAUAUGCAAGUGAUUAAUAUUAAAAGGGAGUGAAUUAAUUGACAAUGAAAUUACCUUCUGUUGGUUGCGCAUGAAUGCCCAUCCUCCCCCAUCGGUUAUCUCAAGGUCAACCAUUAAAUUUUUUAGGAACCAAGACCAAAUAUCCUUGUUCUCUAUCUUUACCGCAGCCCAAGCUAUCGAGAACAUUUUAUUAUUGGCAUCUCUUCCCACAACAGCCAACAACUCCCCCUUGUAUAAACCCUUUAGAAAGCAUCCAUCCAAUCAUAUAACUCUUCUACAACCAGCCAAGAAGCCCUGUUUGCAUGCAUCAAAACAAACAUAAAAUCUAUCAAAUCUAGGCCCAAGAUCAAGGAGUGGCCUCUCCACAACCUCUACAUAUACCCUAUUAGAUGGGUUUUGAAACAUGCAUUCACCAGCAUAAUCCCAUACGUGCGCAUAUUCUUCCUUAUACCCACCCAUCAAUAUUUUCAUCACCCUCAUCUUAGCUCUCUUAUAUUGAUUCCUCGACACAUUAACCCCCACUUGCUCCUUCACUAACUAUUGAAAUUGAGGACUCUUGAUCUCGGGCAUUGCUUUGAUAGUUUUGAAAAAAAUGCUUUGAUAACCACAUAUUUGUUACCCUUUUAUUGUUAAAAAUAAUUUGACAAGUAUGCUCCUCCUGAAAGGACCUAAUCUGGAAUGACCCAUUCUUACUAAGCGCGGCAAAGAGCUUCUACGAACAAUUAGGUUGUGAGAACUUAGUUCUCACAAAUUACUUCGUGUUUCUAAUGAAUUUAAUGCUCCUCUGUUCACCAAUUGAGUUCUUCACAAUAGCUUCCUUGAAUUAUUUGGCAUCGUCAAAUUUCAUGCCCACCGACAAAACAGGUUUAUCAAUAGUCGGAUCAUAGAAAUGGUACUUACUUUUUCUUCGAGGAGCAGGUUCUUCAUCAUCAUUGUCAAGCUCAUUUUAUGAACCAGCAACUUCAUCACCACAGCUUUCUUCUUCUUCACUUCUAUUACCCUCAGCUGGUUCUCCAUCCCUAUUUACUGGCUCGGGCCUUUUUUGUGACACCCCGAACCACCUAGGGUCGCCACAGGCACCUGACGUUACACCUAAUGGAACACUAACUACAUCUCUUAGAAGAAGCGUCGCAAAUCAUAAACACAUAAUUUUUUUUUUUGGAAAACGGUCCUUGCGUGACUCAUUAGCGGAAGCAAAAUAUAAUAUCUCCAUCUUCCCCUCCAACAACCAUGAUACAAUUGCACACCACUAAUCAUCAUGAGAAAAGACAAAGCCACGACACUUUAUUUACAUAUUUUCAAGAUGGGUUUCCUUGGGUCGGUACAUCAAAAGAAAGGCCAGGACAUGGAACCACACUCAGCCUAAACCCAAAAAGAAACAGUCGACCCACUACGACUCACGUGCAAGAUCCCCCAUCACUAGUGUCGGCUAACCAUCCAAAGAAGUUGCAGCUCCUACUUCUCACGCAUGGGCCCUCACACCCAUCUCGAUGCAUCAGGCGGUGGUGGCGGCAACAUCCCACGCAUCGCUCCGUCUCGACGAACAUAGACUGAUAUGAACUCCUGGACAACAGGGUCCCCAGCCAGGCCCACAUCAUACAUAACUAAACGGCGCACUCGGAUGAAAGUCAAUCCAGGAAUGGUGGGACAGUUGAUCUCCACACACUCGACCUCUACAUCGGAAGGUAGGCCGUAAAAUACACCCCGCGUGACAGCAGGGAGCGGCAUCCUGCUAAUCUGAAAUGUUGGUCCCCGAAUGGGUUAGUCCAACCACUCAGCAGGUAAAGGAAUCCAAUAACCACUAAUUGCAACAUGCAAUACAAUCACAACAUCAUACAUGUCAAUCAUACAUCUAAGCAUACUUACCUCGAAGCCAUGCAUAUACCAUCAUACAUUUUCAUCACAUGUCAUCAUGCCAUAGGUGAUUAUCAUCAUAUCAUGUCAUCUAUGCAUAUCAUCAUCAUAUCUUAUAUACAUGUCAUCAUGCCAUAAGUGAUCAUCAUCAUAUCAUGUCAUAUAUACACAUCAUCAUCAUAUCUGAUAUACAUGUCAUCAUGCCAUAGGUGAUCAUCAUCAUACCAUGUCACAUAUGCAUAUCAUCAUCAUAUCAUGUCACAUAUGCAUAUCAUCAUCAUAUCAUGUCACAUAUGCAUAUCAUCAUCAUAUCGUGUCAUAUAUGCAUAUCAUCAUCGUAUCAUGUCAUACAUGCAUAUCAUCAUCGUAUCAUGUCAUAUAUGCAAGAUUCAAUUUCCACUUUAACUUUCAAUUCGAUCACCACAUCACUCUUUCUCGGGAUCAUCAGUUUCAUCCCAUACUAUACACUCGCACCCCAUCCUGGCAUCGCGAGAAAAACCUCCGGCAUUCAGCCAUUUAAGGCCACCGGGCAUCCGACACCCCCACAUUCCGGGCAUCUCGCAUCCCAACUGGCAUCACGAGGCAUCCCCUCGGGUAAAGACCUCUGAGCUCCGGCACCCAACCAUUCUGGGCAUCCUGAUACUCCCAGGGUCAUCCGGCCAUGUAUCUCUAUACAUUAUGGGCAUCCGGCACCCCCCAUCUCGGGCAUCCUGAUACUCCGAGGGCAUUAUCAUCUGCCACAAUAUAUUCCUCAUUUAUCAUUGAUCAUUGUUGACACCUAUUUUUAGCAAAUCUAGGAAAAUAAGGAAAAUAAAAAUUGCAUUUUGAACAAAUAAAAGGAAAAAAAAUAAAAAUGGGGAAGAUUGAUUUGAUUGAUUAUGCAUGGAAGUUUGAAAUUUUGAUGAGCAUUCGGAUUUCGUUAAAUGCAGAAGUAAUUUAAAAAUCAAGUGAAUAAGAGGCAAGAAUUUUGCAAAAUGGAAGAAAUCUGAACAGGAUCGAGCUGAUUGCGAAAUCAUGCUCUGAUUUGCAGGAUUGAUUUAAUGCAACAUAAGAUGGAAAGCCGAAAGUUGCUAUAAAAUGGCCAUCUGAAAAUCACUAUAAAAAGAGCCAUAAUUUUCGUGAGCCGGGAGGAGAAAAUUCAGAAAAAUUUUCAGAGGUGUGAAAAAAUUGAGAGAGAUUUCGUGAAGAGAGCGCGGGAGAAAGUGAAAAGAGAGAAAGAGAGAAAAAAGCUUUCUCCGUAGUCAAAAGAAGUCCUUUUCUUUUCCCUUCUGACAACCUGCAGAAAAAAGAAGAAAGAAGCACGAACGUGAGAGAAAGAGUAGGAGAGAAAAGAGAAAAGCAAAAACAGUAAAGGUUGAUUUGACCUUUACUGUUCAUCAUCUUCCCCAAAUCCACUCCUCACCCGCGCGCUGCAACUCGCGGAGACUCGACGCCGGAGCUCCGACGAAGCCCGCCGCUCCUGAUGAUCGCCGAGCGCCACCCACCAUUGCACCACCGCCGCUCCUGACCUCGCACCGCGCCCCAACGACCGCGCUCUCACCUUCGCCGACGUUGCGCCGCUGCAACACCCCUGCUCUGCCCGCGACGCCGCCCAUUGAUCUCCAAGCUCCGCCGCGCCUCCGCCAGACGCCGUCGCUGCCCCUCCCGACGCCGCCGCGUCUCUGCAACCCGCGACCAGCGCCGAGCAUGGCCCAGCCAACGCCUGCAACUCCGGAUCCGCUGCCCGACGUCGCCGGAGCCAGCACCGUCGCUGCUCGCCUCAACUCAACGCACCCCAGCCGGAGCCACGCCACCGCGACACCAGCCACCUCCGCGACCCGAGCGCCCCAACUCCACCUCAGCCCGUGCCGAUCCGCUCGACGCCGCUGGUUGCCGUGCCAAGCACCUGCAACGUCGGCACCAUCCCUACUGCUGCACCACCAAAGCCCGACGCCUCCGCCUUGCCUUGCGCGACCCGCAAGCCCCUCGCCGCCGACGUGCCGCUCCCGGUGCCUCGCCGGACCUCCGGUCAGCCAUCCUUGGCUGGACCCCACGGCUGCCAAGCCCAAUAAAAAAAAACAAGAGAAAACACAUUAGGUAGUUUUCUUUAUUUUAUUUUAUUUUAUUUAUUUUACUUUUAUCUUUUUUUUUAGUAUAAUUAGUCUUUAGUAUAUGAUUGGAAAUUCAACAUAUUACCGGAUUCGCAACCGCGCCAGGAUUUUUUAUUUCAUCUAUAAGGCCUUAGAUGAAAUAAUUAAUUAAGCGGGAAUAAAAUUGAUAUUUUGAUCUUUAAGGCUUAAGAUCAAUUUAUUGAUUUUAUUAGUGAAAUAUUGUCUCUUGAUCUGAACGAUGUGCGAUAUUUCUGAUGAUUUUGAAUGAAUUGUCUCGUCUUAAUUGCCUUGUUUAUCUCGAGAUAUGUUUGAAUUAGAAUAUUGCAUGUUUUAGGGUUUACAUGUUUAGAAUAAGAAUUUUAUUUAAAAAAUAAAAAAAAUCAAUUUAGGUUGCUAGAUUUUAAUUUAGGUUGCAUGUUUUAAUUAUUUGGCAAUUAUUAAUUUCGAAAAUUAAUAAAAACAACAAAAAAUCAUCAUGCAUAUGUAAUGUAGUGUUAAAGCAUAUUUUGCAUGUCAUUGCAUAUUAGAGUUAAAUUGCACCUAGUUUAAUUUAGAUUUUUUAAUUUGUUAUAAGUUUAGGCAUUUUUUAGAUAUAUUGCAUUUUAGGAUUAUUUAGGUCAAGAUAAUAUUUUAGUUCAAAUUAGGAUUUGGCUCAACCUAAUUCCUAAUAUAAACUAAUUAGGAUCUUAAUCUAAUUAGGUAAUCUUCACAUUUCAUCUAAUUUCGAAUUUCAUGAAAAAUACAAAAAAAGUCAUAUUAUUUAGGAAAAAAUACAUUCUUUUAGGAAAGAGAAAAAAAUGCAAUAUGCAUGUCAUUAGGGUUAGCUUCAUUUAGAUGCAUGUCAUUUAGGGAUUGUUAUUAGAUCCAUUUAAUUAGAAAUUGCAUGACAUUAGAAUUAAGUCGUUUAGUUAAUAUUGCAUUGCAUAUUGCAUGAUUCUCAUUAAUUAAGUGAAAAAUAAAAAAUAAAUUGCGUGUUAAUUAGAAACCAUAUUCAGGGUUGUUGAUGUGGUUUUUUAACUUAACAUUGCAGAUGCUUUCGUUGCUUUGAGGUAAGUUUUUGCAAUUUAUUUAUUGUUUAUCUGGGUGUUAAAUUGGUGGAUUGCGCACCCGCAUGAUCACCUCACAUGUUAGGAAAAUAGAUUUAAAAUCAAUUUUAGCUGCCUGCAAAAACAUUUUUUGAAAAUAAAAGAAUGGUACCAAAAGGGCAUUAAAGAAAUCUAAUGUAACCAAGUCCCCGUACCCAUUGUCUCUGGUUCGUAAGAGUAAAGUGAAACUCCCUUUACUUUACUUGGGUUUCUAAUCAACCCACCAAAAAAUAGAUUAGUGGCGACUCCUGAUUAAAAAAUCAAUUGCAUGUUAAGAACCUGAACUUAAGUCGCGAAUUGGUAUGGGCUUGGGAGAGCCCGAAUUAGGUCUAGGCUUAAUAAUCCAUUAGCCAAAUUUUAGGUGGUUCACACCCGAAAAAAUAGGUCGCGACAAUCAUGUUCACCAAUUUAGGUCUCAACUUAACAUGGCACAUGAUGUAAUGGCAAACAAAAUCACUUUCAUACUUUGAUCUAUACAUGCAUUAUCAGUUAUCAUCAUACAUGCAGCAAGGUACAAUCAUCCAUAAAGAUAAAAUUCAUGGAAUUCAUACAAUUUAAAAUAGUCCAUUUAUCAUGCCCCUCUUUUUUUUUUUUGAAAUUUAUUUAAAUCCCAGCUUGUACCAUUUUCGAAAAUAUUUAAAUUAAAUAUCCAUAUCAUUCUCAAAAAUCAUGAAAUUAAGGCUAGUGAUAGACAAGACAAUAGGGUAACAAUUUCAUGAAAAACACAAGGCCAAUCGAAUUGCACACAAAACUAUAAUUCACACAAAUACAGCAUGUAAUUUCGGAUAAAAACAGAAUGCACAGUUUCCGAAAUAAUUUGAUUAAAAUAUCCAAACGACCUCCGAAAAUUAUGAAAUUUUACCAGGUUAUAGCCAAGACACUAAAGUAUAUUUUUCAUGAAGCCUUCUAAGAAAAUUUAUUUUUAGAUUAUUUUAUACAGUCACACGAAGUUUUCACCUACCUAUGAAAUUUUUCAUGAAGCCUUCUAAAAUUAUGAAAUUUUACCAGGUUAUAGCCAACACCGAAACGUCCAGUGCAUGUUUCUCCGAAAUACUGAGUUUUCACCUACCUAUUAUUCUUCGUUUCCUCUGAAAUUUGGAUAUCCUUUACUUCAAGAGGUCCCCUACAACUUUCAUGAAGAGAUCUAAGUCAAAAUUCUAGAGUAUAGUCAUCAUACGGGUCCAUGAAGUCUCGGGUAACCUGUACCGCGUCUCCAGAUCUACGGUUUUCAAGAGUAAGUUGAUUCACUAGGCUACACUUGUUAAUUUUGCUUCAAAUUUGAGUAUGUUAAACUUAAAGAUGUUCUCUACAGGUUUCAUGAAAAAGUAGAAAAGAUAUUCUUAGUAAAAAUCAACAUGCAACCACAAAUCCACCGGAAGGUCAGUGAAAUCGCUCCAGAUCUGGUGUCUCCGUAGGAUGAGAGUUUGACCCCUCAAAUAUCCAUCAUUUUGUACCAAAUUUUAGUAUGUUAUACUUUAAGAUGUUGGAUACAACUUUAAUUAAGAGAUAAAAGUCAAAAUCUAACUCAAAACAUGCAUGAAAGCUCUCACAAGAUUCUGGGUCAGGCAGUUCAUGCGAAAACAUUCCAGAUCUAGCAUCUCCGUAGGAUGAGAGUUUGACCCCUUAAAUCUCCAUCAUUUUACACAAAAUAUUAUUAUGUUGUAGUUUAAGAUGUUAGCUACAACUUUCAUGAAGAGAUCAAAGUCAAAAUCGAACUCAAAACAUGCAUGCAAGCUCUCACAAGAUUUUGACUCAGGCGGUUCAUGCGAAAACAACAUGCAAACUCAAGAACAAGUCAUCCAAACUUCGGUUUCCCCCUCCUAAUCACCCAAAAUUCGAAUUUUCUACAACAUACAUGUAACACACACACAUUCAAGAGCAGCAAGAGGACCCCAACUUGCCUCUAGACCGAAGAGAACGACGGCACACGGGCGGCGACGGGCAGACGGACGGCGAGCUCCUUCCUCUCCCUCUUGGCUUCUCCUCUCUCGGCCUCACUCUCUCCCUCUCUCGCAUGAUUCUCUCUCUCUCCCUUUCUCACUUGGCCGAACAACCAGCCACCUCUCUCUCUCCUCUUCCCUUUUAUUCCCCCAAUUCCUCAUCAUUUACUAUGAUUGAUUGCCACUCCAAUUGGCCAAUGCAUGGAGACCUCCUUGCCACUUGGCAAGACCCAUGCAUGGGCCGGCCACUCUCUUCUUGGGCCUCCCUUGGGCCGGCGACAGCCCCAUCCGCGGGCCUAAUUGGGCCGACCAUCUUGGCCCACUAAAGCUUAGGCCAAUGGGCCUAAGGCCUAAACCUAAAUAAAAUUAAAAUUUUCCCUUUUAUACUUUCUUCUAUAAAUUUUAAAUUUUAAAAUCCACAGGGCCAAAGUCUUGUAACAUUUUAUUUAUAGGAAUUUAAUUUUAUGAGGUGCAUAGCCAAGCAUAGAUUAUUCUCAUUAAUUUAUCCUAUAGUUCUAAUUUAAAAAUUCAUGAACACAAGCAUAUAACACAUAGCCUUAAGAGAAAACUAAUGGCUAAAACAUAAACCAUAGGUAAUUUCAUUACCUAAUUAUGGGCUUUAAUUCCUCUAGAGGAUGUCUAGAAUUUUGGGAUGCCACAUUUUUGCUGAAGCUGCAAGUUUUUUUCUCAGAAAUUCCCUUUGCUUUUGUCUUGACUGUGCGAGUUCAUCAUCAUCUUCGUCAUUUGGGAAAUUUACUAAAGCCAAACAUUCAUCUUCCAAUUCAUUAGAUAAAGUAAUUUCCCAUUCUAAUCCAAUGAAGUCUUUAUCACCCACAUCUUCACCCAAAUCUUCACCCAAUAUUUCAGGACAUCUCUCUCUUUGUUCAUCUCUAUCAAUAUGACUUAUCUCCCUCUCAUUUUGCCCUUCAUCUAACCUAAACUCAUCCCCGAGCUGAUUACUCGCUUGAACAGGAUCCGUCACUUCUCCUCCUUCAGUGGUCGUCUGCUCAUCCCCAUCCUCAUCCUCACUAUAAUACUCAACAUAUACUUUAGCUUCUUCACCGUGAAGAUAAUGGUAAAUGAUAUCCUUAAUACCAUUAUCGUCAUUAAAAAAUCUCAACCCAUCCUUCAAUUCCUUCCUAAGAACAUAGUAAUGUAGUUUUUGCACUUUGCAUCGUAAAAAAUACACCAAAUCUCUCAGAAAAUCAAUAUAUGAUGGCUUCCAAACAUUGACAUAAAUAGUACCUUCACUUCCACCACUAUAUUCCCAAUCUUCAGUGCCAAUAACAAACUCUCCACCAUAGCAAACAAUGACGCCUACCUGAUUCGCGUCCAUGUUGAUGCUACACCUAAUGAAAAAAGAAGAAGAAGAAGAGUCAUUGUCGUUUUGUUGGAACCACAUGACAGAAUUGACAACUUCACAUGCAGGUCAUUGUUGUUUUGUUGUCAAGGAACAAAUGCGACUAAAAUCUCCUCAAUUCGGUGCAUUUACAGAAACAAAAGAAACCGAAUUAAAUAAACAAAGUGAGGUCCCCACCACCCAUUUUUCAAUUCAAUCACAUUCACAUUCGGUCCCCCACAAAAGCAGUCCAAUUAAUUAAACAAACAAAUUCGGUCCCACCAUCGUUUCCCUCCGAGUUAAGCCCCUCCGCACCCAAUUUUUUUAUUCAGUCCCUACAAUAGAAAGCGAACAAACGAUGGAAUAAUCAAUUUUUCUAUUCCGUUCCCAUAAAAGUGACAUCCCCACCACUUUCCCCACUUUCUCCUUGAGCCGAGCCCUCAAUUUGCCCUCCGUGCCCUAAGUUGGCCGUCAGAACCCUAAAUUUUUCACAAAAUUGAUCCACGUAGAGAACAUGACAAACCUGAACGAUCGUGAACAACGACACAACUACAGCGGUGGCCAAGCGACGACGGGCGAGCGAUGGCAGGUGAGCGAAUGAUGGUGGGUGAACGACGGUGGGUGAGCAAGCUACAACCGGCGUCAAGGAGAACUGUAUACGAACCCUAUUUUACUCCCUCUUCAACAACAUCGUUUUUUGCUAUGGAGCAACGCAGCGUCGUUUCUUAUGUGAAUCCACGGUGGAUGGCAAGAAACGACGUCGUUUCUUACGAAGAAAGGAAAACGGCAUCGUUUUAUGCUAUCCACUGUGGACAAUCUUAAGCCACAUUGAUUUUUUUUUUUAAAAUAUAAAAGCCACGUAAUCAUUUUGGCUGGAAUUUCUCGCCGGUGGCACCAAAGUGAUCGUUUUUCCUUCGAUUUGGCACUUAAGUUAUCCGACAGAAACUUUUGGCACUAAAGUGAGCGCCGUACACAACUUAUGGCACCAUUAGUGUACUUCUCCCACAAAAUAAAGGAGUUCAAGGAAGAGAAUAAGAACACAAGGUUAUAGUGGUUCGGCUUAGAUCAGGUCUACAUCCACUUUCCCAAGCUGACAGCCCACUAGUUGGAUUCCACUAAGAAACAAAAGAGAUUUUAUAGCUUUGUGAUCUCAACUUCAUAGUGAAGAGUCUGUUUUUCUCUCACAAAGUCACACUAUAAGUUUUUCUCUACUUUGAGUACAAUUUUGAGCUCAGUGAAUGAAAUAGCAAGGAACUAGAAAGUUUCAGACUUCGAAAUUUUUUUUUCAUGCACACAUCGAAUGACUAGAGACAUCUCCUUUAAAUACUCUUUCAUGUCAUCUUGACCGUUGGCACUUUUCAAAGAAAUUCUUCCAAUCUACCCAUUGGACAUAAUCAAUCAAGGAGAUCUCGAGUCGUUCGAUGAUUGUGAUGAAAGCCCGUCAAUCCUAUUCGCCCAUAUAAUCAGGAUUUUGGUUUCCAUAAGUAGAUAUUUUCCAAGUUUACUUGCCUUCAAAGAGAUUUAAUAUCGAAAUUGAUUCUAAUAAAGAUAGUCAAUCAUGUAGGUGCUAUAUUCGACUAGAAAACCAUCCAUAAGCCAUACGAAUCGAAUUCUUGAAAAAAUAAAGAUAAUCCUGCGUCUGGAUAAGUCUUCAUUCUCCAAUAGCAUUUAGUCUAGAAUUUGUCAAUGUAGGCAGACUUUGAACUUAAAGUCUGGUAGUCUUCAGACUUUGACACUAAAUUAUGGAAUUCUUAAGAAUGAACUUUGGAUAAGUUUUGUCAAUUUCAAAAUAUUAAAGGAGUUUUCUCCAAUAAUCUCCCCAUUUUUUAUAGUGACAAAACUUUCUUGCAAAUUUAAGAACUUUUGAUCUGCAAAACAACUCUUAAGUAGUACAUGAUAUCUUAUAAAAAUAAGUUGGUUAGGUUUUGGACAGCAUUGAUUUUGCAAUCAUAGAAAAACGUGUUAAUCUUGAAACGAUACAACAAAUAUCAAGACUUAAACAACUAUCCAUCCAUAAUCACAAAAGUAAGUUGCCUGCAAAGGUCAAACAACAAAAUAACUGAAUAAAUGUAAAGGUCCAACAAAAGUUCAACAAAAGUCAAAGUCAAACAAGUCAAAUCUACACAUUCUUCCCCUUUUUGUCAAUAGCAAAAAGUGGAGAAAGUAAAAAAAAAAAAAAAACAAAUAAAAGACAAAUGAAAUCAUUUUUGUUUGGAAUUCGAACGAGCUGGAAAUCUCCCAUCGACUGAAUUGUCUCCUCAAUCUUCUAGCAUUGGAGAGAAACAUUUUGAACUGUAGUCUGAACAGUCUCCAGCAUUUCAGCAUUUUCAUCAUUCUUUACCACAUAUUGAGAAACUUGUUGAUUUAGAGUCUAUACCUGCGUGUCCAAAGAAUGUACCUUUAUGUCCAAAGAUCGUACUGUCCUAGUGUGUAAUUCAGAAGACAAUUUGAGAGCAGCAUUAAGUUUUUGUAUCUCAUACUCCAUAGCAUAUUGCUGGGCUUUCACCUCCAAAAGAUGUUCCAUCAACCUUGGAUAAUCAGUAGUUGUGUCAGUUUGUGCACUAGCCUCAGCGAAAUGAAUUCGAGGAGUGUUGAGAAUUGAGGGAACUUCAGCUUGUCAAACACCUUCACUUGGAGAGGAUUCCUUAAUGCUAGUUUUAGGAAAAUGGGAAGCAUAGACAUCCUUUGGAUCGGCAGGAGAUCUACUAACAUAAUCACCUGUAAAGAUAGGAGGAGAAGAAGUACCUAUUUGCUCGCGAACUCCUCCUGAUUCUGUGGCUACAAGUGGAGAAAGGAAUUCUUCUUCUUGUUUCUUCUCAGUUUCAGCAUCAGAGUGAUGGUCUUUUUCAGUUUGAGCUCCUACAGUUCCACUCCUUGUCUUCUCUGAAUCCUCAAAUAAGGAUAUUGCCAAAGUUGGUUCAAUGGAGUCAUCCUGACCCUCUUCUUCUUUAGCUUCUCUUCCUGCUUCUUCUCUUGCCUCUAUUCCUUCUCCGUCUUCACUUCCUUCUUUUCUUUGCUCAGUUUUUCCUCUAGCUCUGUCUCUUUGUCCUGUUGCUGCUCAAAAUUGACAAAACUCUGAAAAUUCUUCAAUGCAAAGGCAGAGAUAGUAAGAUCAUCUUCAUCAUCUUCGUCUUGUAGGAUAAGAGAUCUUCUCUUCUUGGUAGGUUUAAGCAUGAGCUCCUUGCCUUUUCUUUUCUGUACAGCAAAGUCUUGUUUGGUUUUGCUAGGGGACUUUUCCUUCAAGUGCUCUAGGGCUUUGUUCAAUUCAUUCAACCUCAUCUUGGACACCAUCUUCAAUCCUAUAACGAUAGGAGCAAUAGUUCGAACACAGAGAGAGGCUGGGAGUUGAAUGUGAAAAUGUCUGAACCAUUGUGAGACCAGUGCUGAGUAAGGGAGCUGUCCCUUAUCCUUUACAACAGUCCUGUACAUAUGCAUCAGGAUUGUAUGAGGCAGAGAGAACUUCAUUCCAUUACUGAUGGCAAACAUCAAUUUCGCUUCAGAUUGAGAAACAUCUGUCUUUAAAGUUGACUUUGGUCGGAUGUGGUUGAUUAUGACUUUGUGCGGCAAAAUGUUUGAGCCAGAUAAUCUGGAAUAAGUAAUGCCGCCUUUAGAAAGUCUGUCCCUAACAAGAGAACUUGUCACAUGACCAACAAAGACAUUUAUUAGUUGGAAACUACCUCUUUCCACACCAAUAACGCUAGUCAACGUGUCAACAUCCACCACGUAAUCUUUCUCCAUCAUAGUAAAACGAAAUCUAUUUGCGUCAAGAAAAGACAGGUUCGAAUAGAAAUAAGCAGUUAACUCAGAAUAAGCAACAUAAGUUUCGGAGCAAAAUUUUUCAAGUUGAACCAAGAAAUCAAGUUCACCUUUAUCGAAUUGAGAGAGUCAACUUCUCCCUCAAGUUCACCUUUAUCGAAUCCAAGAAAUCAAAGUCCACCGAUUGAGGGUUCAUCACCCCUCUUUUUAGCAAUUUUGAGUAAGUCUUUCUGUGAUCUUUAGAACGAAACAAACUUGUUCCAUCACUACGCACUUCAGCAGCAAUGUCCAUUUUUAGUUGAAAAUUCAAGUACAUUCUCUCAUCAUCAUCCUUGCUCUUUGGCUGGUUGAAAGAACCAAAACGGGGAUCAAUAGGAAAGUUACGAUUGUUCAAUCUACCUCUCCUUCAGGUGAUAUUCCCAAUCUUUCCAUCGUUCGCAAGAAUUGAGUUUCAUUCUUGUAUCCUCUUUCUUUCAAAAGUCAUCAAUAAAAGUCAUAGCAGAACCACCCUUCUUCAAAUGACUAUAAAGUUUAUAAAUAACCUGGGGUUUCAUGAAUCUGAGAGGUUCGGCAUCUUCCUCGAUUUCUUCUUCCAUUGGUUGGUGCGGAGGAUUUCGUGUAGCACGCUGUGGAGAAUGUUGUGGAGAAUCUUCUUCCUCGGUCAUAUCAAAAUGUGUAGGACCCUCAUGCAUAUUUUGUGGUCCUCUGCUUGAGAUCCGUGACGACUUCCUUUGUAAAGACAUCUUCACAGUCUUUGAGGAUUUCCCGAAUACGUUUGAAUGAAAAAGAUGAAAACUUGUAGAACAAACUUGAGAGUAAAAACGAGAGAGUAAAAAGUCCGUAUGCUAGGGUUUGGUAAAAAGUGCUCCAAAGGAAUACGAAAGGUAUAUAAAGAAAAUGAACGGUCAUAAAUAAAAGAAAACGAACAGUCACAACGAAAAUUACCUUUUUCGAAAUAACUGAAAAUAAAAACUGCCAAAAAUUCAAAAUUUGAAAAACAUAACUUUCAAAAAUAAAAUAGGCAAACAAUGAUUCGAUUAAACAUACAUUUUCAUUCCAAAAAUAAAAUAUGUGGAUUCGAGACUUUCUUUUAUUGAAGUAUAGCCUGGAAAGUCUAAGUCUGACCAACAUUGGAUUUUCACCGGUAGGAGGUAAAAUAUUCAGUCUACUGCAAAUAGACUAAAAUAAAUUUUUCUCCAGAGACUGUAAAUAUACCUGCCAACUGAUUCUUCGAGUCAAUGAAUUGAAUCAUAAUCUCCUUAUUUUGGACAUGAUCUCUUAUGAAAUGGUGUUGAAUUUCUAUACGCUUUGCCCUAGAAUGAAGAAUUGGAUUCUUCGUGAGAUUAAUAGCACUGGUGUUGUCGCAUUUGAUCUCAAUACACGAUUCUUCAAUUCCAAAGUCUUUUAACUAUUGUCUUAUCCACAAAAUUUGAGAACAACAGUUCCCAAGAGCCACAUACUCUGUUUUUGCUAUUGAUAGAGCCACAAUACUUUAUUUCCUUGAGAACUAAGACACCAGCAUGUUGCCCAGCAGUUGACAAGUAUCAAAGUACUCUUUUUAUUGACUUUACAACCUGCUAAAUUUGCGUCUGAAUAUCCAAAAAGGGUAAAGCCUCCUUCCUUGGGAUACCAUAGACCUAGCUUCGGAGUAGUCGCAAUAUAUUUGAUGAUGCGUUUUGCAGCACUUAAAUGAGAUUCUUUGGGAUCAAAUUGGAAUCUAGCACAAAUGCAAACACUAAACAAAAUGUUAGGUCUAGAUGCAAUAAGGUAAAGAAGAGAACCGAUUAUGCUUCUGUAAAGCUUUUGGUCUACUUUAUUUCCUCUUUCAUCCUUAUCCAACUUCAAAGAACUUGAUAUUGGUGUCUCUAUUUUCUUGCAAUUCUCUAAUCCGAAUUUCUUGAUGAGAUCUUUUGCAUAACUCUCUUGAUGAAUAAAGAUACAUUUCUUCGAUUGUCUAACUUGCAAUCCCAGAAAGAAAGUUAACUCACCCAUCAUACUCAUCUCGAAUUCAUCCUGCAUACAUCUAGAGAAUUUCUUGCAUAUAUUUUCAUUAGGAGAUCCAAAGAUAAUAUCAUCAACAUAAAUUUGAACCAGCGGAAAGUCUUUACCCUCUAUUUUUAUGAAGAAAGUAGUAUAUAUCUCCCUUAACAAAACCGUUUUGGAUUAGGAAUUUACUUACCUUUUAUACCAAGCUCGAGGUGCUUGCUUUAAUACAUACAAGGCCUUUUUCAGUCUGUAGACUGAGUCUACGUUUCUUGGAUCUUCAAAUCCUUGUGGUUGUUCCACAUAGACUUCUUGGAUGAAUCCGUUUAGGAAGGCACUCUUUGCUUCUAUCUAGAAUAACCUGAAAUUUUUAUAAUAAGCAAAAGUAAGUAAUAAUCUAAUUGCUUCUAACCUCGCUACUGGUGUCUAGGUCUCGUCACAUUCUAUCCCUUCUUCUUGUGUAUAUCAUUUGGUCACGAGUCUUGCUUUGUUCCUUACCACUUUUCCUUUCUCAUCCAUCUUGUUCCUGAAAACCCAUUUUGUCCCGAUAACAGGCUUACCUUUAGGUCUAGGGAUUAGCUCCCAAAAAUCGUUGAUGCUGAACCGUUUGACCUCUUCUUGCAUAGCUUCAAUCCAGCUUUCAUUAGACAGGGCUUCUUCUACACUUUUGGGUUCUAUCUCAGAAACAAGUGCUAGAGCUCUAGACUCUUUUCGCCUUUUGGAUCUGGUGCGAAUUCCUUCAUCAUUGUUGUCAAUGAUGAGUUCUUUAGGAUGACUUGACUUAUGUUUCCAGUUAACGAUUGGUCUGAGAGUCUGCCAAUCCUCUGCUUCAGUUGAAUCUUUUAGAUCUGCUUAUUGCUGGUCUCCAGAAGUCUGAACUUCUUCGGGGGAAGUAGACUUUGAAAAAUCUAUAACGGGUUCAGAUUCUUCAAGUUGAGUCUGAUCUAGCUGAUUUUGCACUGAAUCUUGAAAUUUGACAUUCAUGAAUUCUUCCACAGAUUGAGUCUUCUUAUUAAAGACUAUGUAUGCUUUGCUUGAAGUUAAGUAGCCAAGGAAAAUUUCUUCGUCUGAUUUUUCUUCAAACUUCCGAUUUGAUCAUUUGAAUUUUUUAAAACAUAACAUUUACAGCCAAAUACAUGGAAGUAAGAAACAUUUGGCUUCUUCCUUUUAUACACUUCAUAAGGAGUUUUCUCUAAAAUAGGCCUUAAGAACACUCUAUUGAUGAUGUAGCAAGCUGUAGAAAUUGCUUCAGCCCAAAAUUGAGAGGAGAUUUUGCUCUCAAUUAAGAGGGUUCUAGCCAUCUCCUGUAAAGAUUUAUUCUUUCUUUCCACAACCCCAUUUUGUUCUGGAGUGUAUGGAGAAGAGAAAACAUGUUGGAAACCAGAUUCCUCACAGAAUUUCGCAAAAUCUUGAUUUUCGAAUUCAUCUCCAUGGUCUAUUCAUAUGCUUGAAAUAGCAUAUCAUUUUUCAUUCCGAACCUUCUUGGCAAACUUUGAGAAGUAUGAGAAGGCUUCAGACUUAUUUGCCAGAAAGUAAACCCAAGUAAAGUGAGAGGAAUCAUCCAUGAUUACUAGACGCUACUUCUUUCCAUCAAUACUUUGAGUUCUGGUUGGUCUAAAGAGGUCCAUAUGCAGAAGCUACAAAGCUCGAUUAGUAGAAACUUGAUUUACAGAUUUAAAGGAACUUCUAACCUAUUUUCUCAAAACACAUGGAGUGCAUAGAUCGAACUUUUAAUAAGUCAAGUUGGGAAGACCAAGAACAAGCUUCUUGGAAGAAAUCUUGACAAUCUGCUUUAUGUUAACAUGACCAAACUUUCAAUGUGAAAGAUUUACUUCAUCUUGAAGACCACUGAGAACUUUCUAGUUUUAUAUCCAGAAGGUAAAUAUGCUCAUGCCUUUGUUCAGUGAAAGAUUGAGAGAAAUCUCUACUCGUUCCCGAACAGAUGCCUUCUUGGAAAUUUAUUUUGAAUCCAGUAUCGCAAAACUGACUUAUGCUGAAUAGAUUGUAAUUCAGACCUUUCACCAAGGAGACAUUGUUGAUUGUCAGGCUUCCAAUCUUCACAGUUCCACAUCCAAUAAUCCUUCCUUUGUUGUUUUCAUCAAAAGAAACUUUUCCACCAUUCACUUGAACAAGUUUUAUAAAACAACUCGAAUUUCCUAUCAUGUGUCUAGAAUGGCCACUAUCCAAUUACCAUUUGAUAGUGACCUACGAUCAAAAUAGAAAUUCAAACUUUCUUUGGUACCCAGAUUUUCUUGGGUCCAGAAAGGUUAGUAUUAAAAACAGUCUUAGCCCAAUCGCUCUUAAUAGGUCUCCAAACCUUGAGACAUUCCUUCUCGAAAUGUUCUGAGCUGUUACACUUUAAACAUUUGAGAGCACCUCAACCAACAGGUUUUACAAAAACCUUUUGAAAGUGACUUUUGUAAAAUGCCAUUAUAGGUCUUUGUUUGAUUCUUUCUUUAACUUUGGGAAAAUCAAUUAAAGGAAUAGUUUCUGAAGUUAUACCCAAACCAGAUUUGUUAAAAUAAGGUCUUUGUACUGAAAUAAUUUUCUCCAACUUCUCAGAUCAUUUUGAAAAUCUUUUUGUAAUAUUUGAAAUAUCUUCUUUGAAAAAGGCAUUUUCCUUCGAAAAAAAAUCAGAAUUUACUUUCAAAUCAACAAGACUUUUAUCCAAACUUUCAAACUUUUCUCUCCAAGAAGUUUCUUGUUGCCUCAAUUUAGAAUUCUCCCUUUUUAGUUUGGAAAUCUUUUUAAGAGAUGUUUUUAGAUUGAGACAGAGUUCAUCUAUAUACUUUGAGACUUUAACAGGAAUUUUUAAAUUGCUAACCUUAAUUUCUUGAUUUGAAUCUGAAUCAGAGUCUAUUUCUGAUUCUGAGUAUGAAUUGGAAUGGGCCAUCAAACAUAUAUUGGCAUAUUCCUCUUCACUUUCCUCGCACUCGGUAUCACUCCAAGUUUUUGCUUUGAGAGCCUUUUUGUAUCUCUCAGUUCUUCCAUUCUUUUUCUUCAAUAGAGGAUAGUUAGGUCUGAUAUGCCCAUUUUUCUUACAUUCGAAGCAUACUACAUUUUUGCUAGUUUCAUUAACCUCUAUCGAUCUCUUCUGGAAAUUUUGAAUGCUCUGCUUCUUCCAGUUGAAUCUUCUUCCCUUCCUAUUCAACUUUCUAAACUUCUUAAUCAUAAGUUCUAGCUCCUCAUCAUCCAAGUCAUCUUCUAAAUCUGUAUCAUCAGAAUCAUCGUUAGAUUUUAAAGCAAUUGACUUCUUACCUUUAGGAUCUUCUUCCUCAUUGAUUUGCUCCACUUCAUAUGAUUGAAGUGUGCCUAUUAGUUCAUCUACUGAAAGAGGCAUGAUCAUCUAGGUUUCUCUAAUUGACAUUUUCACAUGAUUCUAGUCUUUGGAGAGUCCACACAGCAGUUUAUUAACCUUCUUUGGUCCUGAGAUUGGCUGUCCUUGAUAUGCUAAUCCAUUCACAAUUUCAAUGAAACGACUGAAUAUAUCAGUGAUGGAUUCUCCAGGCUUCAUCUUGAAUGUAUCAUACUGUCCGAGUAGAAUAUUGAUUUUCGUUUCCUUUACUCGAUUAGUUCCUUCAUAGGUAACAUGCAACAUGUCCCAAACUUCUUUCGUUGUUUCACAGGAAGAAAUUCGGUUAUACUUAGUAGGAGAUAAAGUACAGUAUAAAGAGUAGAUAGCUUUAGCGUUAAGAGCUUGUCUCUUGGUUAAUUAUGCUUGUAUUAUUUCGCUGGCAUCUACAUCUUCAUUUCCUCUUUUUGAAGUUGAUGUAGUUUUGGGAUUGAUCCAUUUUUCUACCACAUCCCACUCCAGGGGAUAUUUUGAUCUCAGAUUUUCAUACAUUAUACUCCUUCCCAUCAAAGUAAGGAGGUCUGGUGUUGCUUUGGCUUUCCAACCAAACCUGGUGCCAAAACUCUUUGCUCUUGUAUGUCUGGAUGUGAGUGUGAUGUGUGAGAGUGAGAGAGAGACGACCCCAAGUCUUUCUUGAUUGUUAAGGAGAGAUGACCCCAAGUCUUCACAAAAAGGAGAGAAUGGGAAAAGACUCUUUGCUCUUGUAUGUCUAGAUGUGAGACUGAUGUGUGAGAGUGAGAGAGAGACGACCCCAAGUCUUCCUUGAUUGUAGGGAUAUCCAUCUAGAAUUGAGUUGUUAAGCUUUUGUCUAUCUCUUAUUGUGUAAUAACCUUUUUCAUAUUGUCAGUUUUGAAAGGACUAGUAACAACACCUAGAGGGGGUGAAUAGGUGUAAAAAUAAUUUCACAAGAUUCCGUAGAAGUAAUUUGCUUUUAGAAAAUGACAAACUAUAAACAAGUUCCGACUCUAGCAACAAGGAGUUAAAGGAAGAGAAUAAGAACACAAGAUUUAUAGUGGUUCGGCUUAGAUCAAGCCUACGUCCACUCUCCCACGUUGACAACCCACUGGUUGGAUUCCACUAAGAAACAAAAGAUAUUUUACAGCUUUGUGAUCUCAAUUUCACAGUGAAGAGUUUUUUCUCUCCCACAAAGUCACACUAUAAGUUUUUCUUUCUUUUGAGUACAAAUUUGAGCUCAGUGAAUAAAAUGGCAAGGAACUAGGAAGCUUCAGACUUUGAAAAUUUUCUUUCAGAGACACAUCGAAUAACUAGAGACAUCUCCUUUAAAUACUCCUUCAUGUCGUCUCGAUUGUUGGCACUUUCCAAAGGAAUUCUUCCAAUCUACCCGUUGGACAGAAUCAAUCAAGGAGAUCUCGAGUUGUUUGAUGAUUGUGAUGAAAGCUUGUCAAUCCCGUUCGCCCAUACAAUCAGGAUUUUAGUUUCCAUAAGUACAUACUUUCCAAGUUUACUUGCCUUCCAAGAGAUUUGAAUAUCGAAAUUGAUUCCAAUAAAGAUAGUCAAUCAUGUAGGUGCUAUAUCCAACCAGAAAGCCAUCUAUAAGCCAUACGAAUCGAAUUCUUGAAGAAAUAAAGAUAAUCCUACAUCUGGAUAAGUCUUCAUUCUCCAAUAGCCAACCAAAAAAAAAAAAAAUUCUCCAAUAGCACUCAGUCUGUAAUUUGUCAGUGUGGGCAAACUUUGAACCUAAAGUUUGGCGGUCUUCAGACUUUGACACUAAAUUCUAGAAUUCUUCAGAAUAAAGUUUGGAUAAGUUUUGUCAACUUCAAAACAUUAAAGGAGUUUUCUCCAACAAGUUUAUCCAAUCCCUCUUUUCAUAUUGUUCUUCCAAUGACAAUAGUCUUUUUCAUUGCUCUAAUUUUGGCAGUCAACACCAAAUUUUGGUUGUCGACUUAAAGUUAAGUUAUAUAGAAAAUUAUGGAUUAAUUUUUAGCCUCUAAAAAAAAUCCAUUAAAUUACAUAGCAAAGCACUGGUCAAUGCUAGAGCAUGGAGGAGGAGAAGGGAUUGUUGGGGUAGCCUGAGGAUUGGCCAGCACGUGAGAGAUUGAAGGGUGAAGGGUCUCUGCUGAUUAGACUCUUCCAUAGGUCAAGGGCCUAUAAAAGGAGGCCUUUGGAUGCUUACCAAUGAGUUUAAAGAGGUUCAGGACAGAUGGGUAAAAAAAACAAAGAGAAAAAAGAGAGGAAAAAAGGUCCGCGGUGAGAAAUCGAGCGAGUGUCCUCCAGCAACAUACACACUUGAAACCCAACCGACAACCUACCGAUGUCCGCCUUCUUCCCGCUUCCCGAGCUGAAGCCACGGUAGGUCUUGGUUCGAAUCUUGUUUGUUCUUCUUCCGGGUGUGUCACUUCGAGUUCUCGAGGAUUCUGGCUCGAAGGCACGCAAGGCGACCGAACAUUGUCUAAUCUAUCGAGCUCACCCUUAUUCGCCACCCCCGAGCUAGUUAGGGAGCACCAUUGACGGCCCCUUUUUGUCCCUCGUCAUUAUGAUUUUGUGGCCUGAUUUGGGCUCACCGGACCGAGAUACCGUUGUCAAUAAGUCCAUAAGCGUUCCCUUGUUGCUUUAGGUUUGAGGAAUCUGGGCUUGUUUUAAUGUGGAGAGUUUGAGUGUGAUUCGGCAUUGAUAAUGGUGGGUUUAGUUCGGCUUGUUGAGUUUGGGUUUAAUUUGGUUGAGUGGGCUUGGAAUUUGUCUUGGUUGUGGCCGAAUUGCACUUCAAUUGUUGAGCCCAUCCCUUUCUUUAGGCUUUUAUUCAGAGCCUGACCCGAAGGCCCACGGUAGUCCACAUCCUGACCGAGCUCUAAGGCCCUACCUGAAUACGCAUCUUUGGAAUACAAAAUUAAUAUUAUUUAAAAUAUUUUAAAAUAUUUCCUAUUUUUUAUAUAUUUUUUAAGUUAGGACAAAGCUUAAUAAUUAGUUUUUGAGUAGUUGUCUCUUAAAAUAUGUGAAAAUCCUUGAUAAAUAGAUUGUGCUUUAUCAUAUUGUUAUUUGCAUAUUUCCAUUAUUUCGAUUGUGCGCUUUUUAAAGUCUAUUUCCUUAGCCUACUUAAGAAUAUGUUUCUUGGACUCAUGAAUGCUGUAUGAAUACUUUAUUUGGUGAUUGAACAAGAAUAAGUACCAAAAGGGCAUUAGUUGGUUAAUUAGUGUAAUUAAAUUUUCGACUUUAGAUUAUCUGGUUCAAAGUAAGUAAUCCUCCAAGCACUUGGAAUCUAAUCGAUCCACCUUAAAUUGAUUAGUGGGGUGAUUUGUAUGUUAAAAACUCAAAACAUAAGUUGUGAAUUAGUAUGAGCUUGAGGAAGUUCGAGCUAGAUUUGAACUUAACAAUCCAUUCGCCAAAUUUUUAGUGGUCCAUCCAAGGAUAGGUCAUAACAAUUUUUUUUUGGUUAAGGUAAGGUCAUAACAAUUUUGCUAUGAGCAUAUCUCAUAUUUAGGUUAUUAUGCAAUUUAUCGAUGGUUAGCUCAUUUGGGGUUAUGGCUGUAGAGACCUAAUAAUGUGGAGGCUAAUGAAAUACCCUUCAAGCCCUACAAAUUGGUUAAGUUCAAAUCUACCCUUCAAGCCCUACAAAUUGGUUAAGUUCAAAUCUUUGAACCUAGACCUAAUAUUAUUUGCACACUAUUGGUGGUAUCAUAUAUGUUAAAUAUAAAUAAUGGAAAAAAUUGUCCUAUUAAUGUGGUUACAAAAAAAAAAAUCAUAUAUGUUGAGUUAGAAUCUAAUUUUGAUAGACAAAAUAAUAAUAUCUUAGGAUUUUUUAGGACAACAAUUGAAUUGUACAAUCAUGGAAACUAAAAUAUUUGGCAGCAUAGUCUAUCCCAUUCAUUAAUAGGUGCAUGUUGACAAGUGUUUCACCCAUUCAACAUGGAAUUAUUUGAAAUAGAUUUGAUCGAAUUUGGAUUCGGAGCGUGAGGGUUUUGUACUUUGACUUGCUUUGGCCUAACAUGGCCUCUUUUAUCUCCGUUCCAUGUUAUAAAUCUAGACACCAACUGUAGAAAAAUCGCGGCACAUAAAACAAAAGUUUAGACUUAGACCAAAUACUAAUGGUUCCAUGGGUGAGGUCAUGCACAAGACUUAGGCAAAACGUCAUCUUCUAUGCAUGUUUUAUCUGAUUAAUGUUGAGUCAUGAAGGGUUAUUUUAAUAUUGUCAACCAACGCAAUUAUAUUGGACUUGCAAGUUUAGGAGAGCUUUGAAAAUUCCAAGUUAACUUUAAAUGAUGAAUUCUAAGCAUGUAAUUUCAUCAUUUACUGUUAACCCCCGAACUUCGAGUGUGCAAACAUCCCACAAUGGUCAAUUAAAAUGGAACUUCUCAGGAUGCAUCGCUGACCCAUUCUUUUAUCUUUCGGUUAAACGCAUGCAAAAACACUUAAGAUAAACAGCACCCAAUCAAACAAUAAAUAACAGGGAUAGUAAAAACACAACCAACAUUCCCAAAAUAGCACUUUCAUCUAUGAAAUUUAAUAAUUACAAGCCUUUUUAUGACCACUUCCUACUGACCAUCUCGAAAACCCGUAGGGUCAAGGUUAACUUAAACUUCACUAAUGAUGAGGCCAACUAAAAGUGACACCAUGCAUGUCCAUGUCUUGAUUCAUCAAGACCCCAAAUCGCACGUGACAGUUCUCCAUACUACAGGCCUAAAAAUAUUUAACAACAACUGGGUGAGAUAUAAAUCUUAAUGAGUCAACUCCUAAACCUCGAUUAGGAAGCUAAUUCGCCUGGCAACCUAAACACGCAAAGGCAUACGGACUUACAAUCUGUGAACGUAAUCAUAUUUACCCCCAACAACGAAUUCCUUGAGUUGAGACUUAUAGAUUCUCUCCUCAAGCUCGUCAUGCAGAAAAGCAUUCUCGACAUCAAGUUGCUUAAAUUCUAGAUUCAUAAAGGGUUACUAAUGCAAGUAACACACGAGUAGAAUAAUGUUUUACAACUAGAGAAAACACUUCAUUAAAGUCAAUCACCUUCUUCCAACUAAAAAUCCUUCGCUACCAAACAUGCAUUGAAUCUCUCAUCGUCACUCCUGGAAUUCCCUCUUUCAUCUUCAAUCCUAGAGCUUCAUGUUGUCAUUUAGCCCUCCCUACAACCAAACUCUAAGGUUCAAUUUAUUCUACUUUGUCUUUGAUAGAAUUUGAGUCUUGUUUCUCCUUGUCAAUUUCUAACUGAAUAGGAACAUCUUCAAAUUUUUUCCAAGAAUGCUCAACAUGAAACUCCACCUCUUUUCCAACAUUCUCCUUCUAGAUACCCAUAGGCUGUAGAUUCAGUAACAACUUUUCCCUUUUCAAGUAAGGAAUUUUCAUCAAAAGCAACAUCUCUACUAAUUAUAAAUUUUGAUGACUGAGGGACAAAACACCAUAACCUGUAUACUUUAACUCCGUCUAUAUAAAUGACGAAAAUACAAUUUUUGGCCUUAGGUCCAAGCCUACCCUCUUUUACAUGAUAAUAAGCGAGACAUCAAAAUAUUUUUAAAUCAGAAUAAUGAGAAGGGUUACUUGAUCAUCUAUCAUUAGAAAUCUUACAUUCAAUUGUGAUUGAAAAAGAACGAUUCACCAAAUAAUAUGCCGUGUUCAUGGCUUCAGCUCAGAAAUCUUUCCAAAGUCUAACAUUAGGGAGUAUACACUUAGCUCUGUCUAAAAAUAUCUGAUUCAUGCACUCCGUCACCUCAUUCUGUUGAGGUUGUGUGCCCGAUUGUUCGAUAUUGAAUAAUCCUUGCGUCUUCACAGCACUUGUUGAAAUCACCUUCGAAAAACUCAAGACAUUGUCCAUUCUAAGAUGCCUUAUCUUUUUCCCAAUUUGAUUUUCUAUCAAUAGUUUCCACUUAUUGAACAUAUAAAAAAUGUUACUUUUACACUUCAAGAAAUAAACCCAGACUUUCCAAGAAAAAUAUUCAAUAAAUUUUAGAAGAUAAAUUGCACCACCUUUAAAUAUUACUUGUGCUCGUUCCACAAAUCGGAGUGAAUAUAGUCAACUGUGCCCUUUGUCAAGUGCACACCAGUGUUGAAACUAAGUCUGCGUAGCUUCUCGAAAACAUAAUAUUUGCAAAAGUCAAGUGAGACCGUAUGAUCCUAACAAAAUAAACCAUAUUUGCUCAAGAUAGUAAUUUCUCUUUUGCUCAGUGGCUUAACCGCAUAUGUCACAACAUUAUUUUUUCAAAAUCUGAAGAGGAUGACGUAUUUAAAGAACCCACAAUGGUACCUCCCUAUAGAACGUGAAGGUUUUUCUUUAUGUUGCCCCUCAUCACAAUCAAGGAGCCUUUGAAAUUUUCAAAACUCUACAUUCACCAACGUACAUGCACCUAAUGAAAUCUAAAUUGCUUAAUGCAAUAAGGUUUUUCUUCAAAUCUGAGAUGUAUGUCAAAGUUCUUAUUACAUUGUCAUAACAUUUAAUCUGCAUUAUACAAUCCUGCAAAUUGCAGUUUUGCCUAUCAAAACUAAACUACCACUGACUUUCUCAUAUGUGUGGAACCAUUCUCUAUAUGGAUACAUGUGGUAUGAACAUGUUGAAUCCAAAAUCCAUUUGUCAUCGACCUGAAAAUCUGAAGACAAAAUAGUAAGAACAUUGUCUACGUUAGCUUAUUUGUUAUUUUUCACUAGAAUAGCUAAAUCAGAACUCUCCAACGACUUUUUCCCCCUUAGCUUUGAGCAUUUGACACUUACUUUUAUAGUGUCUAAAUAUGUGACAAUGGUAUCAUUUCACCUUACUCUUAUCUUUGCAUAAUCUAGACUUCAAACACCCUUUAAUAUUACUAUGUCUAUCGCGAUGAUUUGACUUUUCCUUGACAAUUAAGUCAUUAGCUUUAUCACCACUACUAUUGUAACAUCCUCAAUUCCGACCCGAUGAGGAUUGGCCAUAAGGUCCUGAAUGGAUUGAUCAUGGGCCAUUAGCCAUGGGAUCGUUCGGUUUAAUUAGUAAGGAAUCAAGGAUCAGUCAUGAUUCGAUUGACCGAUCGGUCACGAAUCGGUCGAGGUGUCGGUUGUGAAUUGUCUAUCGACCAAACUAGUGGGAUCGAAUCACCAGCUCAUAAGAUGACUUUUGGAUCAUGAGGAUUGAUCAUGGGAUAAUUUUAGAUUGGUGGAUGGUCAUGGGUUGAUCCAACCGGUCAUAGUGUCCAGCCAUGGGUGAUUCCCCCCAACUAUGCACCAAUACAUGGAUGAUCCAACUCGAUCAAAUAUGAUCGUCUUACAUUCAAAAAUGCAUCAUUCCCUAUUUAAUUCUUAGUGAUCGGAAAUGAAUCUUGAAUUGGUGAUGUCCAAUUGUGGAUUAGUAAUGCACCGGUCAUUAACCAUAAAGAUGGAUCGGGUGCUUAUUCGAAAUGAGCCCUAGGAUAGCCUGGUUAUUCCAUCACUAAUUCUAAGGUCCAUAAGUAUCUUGGCUUAAUGCUAGGCCAUGGAUAGCCUUAGGCCUUAAACCAACUGAAGGACCAAAGACUGAAAGUAAAGGAAUUGGUUGUGACAGUCUUAGCGAUAGGCCCAGGGACCGGCCCGAGGGCUAGUCUUGGAUCUAGACGGACGCAACCGUGCUAACCAAAGGGUUAGCCAAGGUGCCGACCAAUUGGCCGACCCUCUAGGCCGAUUAGCCGUCCAGGGGAACGAUUUGCGUGAGCAUGGGGCACAAUGGCCAAACCUUAGGUGCAUGUGAUUCAGUUUUUUAAGGUGUACCUAAUGAUCCAUUUUCCGACCCGGAACCAACUUAAACAAUGGAUUUCUCCGGACCGCCUUCUUGAGGAAGAAAAAGACAAACUAAAAAAUGCUCUAGAACAUCCUCAUUAAAUGAAAGGGAUGAAAUGUCCUUUGAAUUUUCAAAAGCCAUGAUGAGGUCAAAAAUAUCUUUGACAGUCAAGAAAAGGACGGCACACACAUGGCCUAAUUGGAAAGCGAUAACAGAAUACCUCAUUAAUGACCUAAGGAAUCUAGAUGUCGAGUUAGCAACUUUGGUGCCAUCAUCUUCAAACUUCAUUAAAUGCCCAUAAAUGUGGGGUACAAGUGGUCCAAUGAAAAGGUGAAAAGUGGGCCAUCAUUGAUGAUGUCCAUAAGCUAGAUUGCCAAGCGAGACCUUUUUAGCCAAACCAACUCAUUCUUUAAGCGCAAUCAUUGGACAAGUAGGCUUGCCACCCAAGGAGCGUCACUUAAAAAAUUUAGAAUGGACCAUUUGGCCUGGUCAUGAUGGCACCAAGGAGUAUAAAUAGGAGGAAUUAUCUUCACUUCUCACCCUUGCCAUCCACUUUCUCCUUCCUCCUCCUCCUCACGCCUCUUUCUCUCUCUUCUUCGGCCUUCAAGCAAGCCGCCCUCCCUAUGUAGUUCAUGUCUUAGUUUGAGGUUUAUCUAGGUAAGUAUAGUUUCUUCCUUCCUCUAGUAAUAUUCAUGAUGUCUUCGACCCUAGGAAAUUCUCUCUUGAACAAGCUGAGGAUAGGUCGAUUGAUGUUUAUAUGUGUUGAUGUAUUCUAUAACUUUGUUCAUAUACUUGAUUUUUCUUGUGUGACCGGAAUGAAGUCAUGGUUCAUCACUUUUGUUCGGUACAAGUCAAGGUUUGCCCAUAGCCAUAAGAUGUGAUUUGUUAUUGAGGCAUACCGAGUUCACGUCUUGGAUUAGUGCAGGGUUCCUUUAUACUUGUUACUCGAGCGGGGCCUUGGGCUUAGGCUUAUUUGUGAAGUUGUUGGUGAGGAAAUUCAUGAUUUCAUGGCAUGUGCAUUAUAUUUGAGCACAAAAAGCAUAAUUCAUGACACGUGCAUAAGGCUUGAGUACGCCCUUAAAAGGGGAUUAGUACUCAAGCAAGAUGAGAAAAGAUAAGAACGCGGUUCGAGUCCUCGAAAUCCUAGCAAGAGCUAGGUUUGAGUCCCAGAGACUAGCAAGAGACUUGGGUUCGAGUCCCGAGCAUAUUAACUGGGUUUGAGUCCCAGAAGCCAGCAAAAAUCAGAAGCCUGGAUAAAAGCUAAAAUUGAAUUCGGUUCAAGUCCUAAGAUGGCUCCGAGAAGACUUAGGUUUGAGUCCCAAGUAUAAGAGAAAGCUUAAUAAGCAUGGCAUGCAUGAGCAAAAAAGAAAGACUAGAAGUGCAUAAGCUCAUGGCCUGCAUCACGUUCAUGAAUGGUUGCCAGAGUUUCCAUUUACAUGUGCAAGAACCAUGGUUGCAUCCUUGCAAUUGAUUUGCCUUUGACACGGUUUGCAUGAGGAUGUUUUGAGUAGUGUUGAUAAUGAAGCAAUGUUCUAGUCGAAGGUUAGAGGCUAUACUUAUUGGAUAUUCCAAGUACUCACCCAUGUUUCUUUUACAGGUACUUAGAAUUAUGGCCACUAUGUAUUUUGGCUGUCCUGUCAAGACUUAUAUAACCACAUUAGACAUAGUAGAUGUAGAGACCAAUAUUACUUAUCAUAAAGUGUCAUCCAUCGUGUGGAUAGAAAAGAGAUUGGAUGAACUUGUUUUGACACAUUUUGAAGCUUGGUUUAGGUGGUAUGAGGACAUGUGGAGAGGGCCUCUUCGAGGGUUUGACAACCCGAACCCAAAUCUUGAUGAUAACGAUGAUCCAUCCGAAGACUCAAACUAAGCUUAUGUGUACUGGCCCAAGUAGUAGAACAAGAGUUCCCAAUUUUGGCUAGUAACUGCCAUAGUGGAGAUAGGGAUACCCCAAGCUCUCUUUUGGUGUAUGUGAAAUACGGUUUUGAAGUUUGUAAAAUGUGUGGGGCCAGGGAAUAGUCUUGUAAUCGUCACUACUUAUGUAAGGUAUAAAGUGUGUUAGUGAUGUUUGUAUCUCAUGUUCCCAUGAUAUUUGUGUCGGGGAUUGUAUGUUCAUAUUUUCUGCAUGCGCAUAAAUAAGAGACAAAUGAAUUUGGAACAACAACAAAGCCUGGAUGUCACAAAAUAACCCGUAGCUCGACCUCAAAGUAAAGGGGGGCGUGAUAGUGUUUUUUGCUAAGACAAAUGAAUUUGGGAUGGUGACGAAACCUAGGAUGUCACAAAAUAACCAGUAGCUCGACCUCCGAGUAAAGGGGGCGUGACAACUACUCACAUUCAAUUUUGUACGCAUCUUCAUGGAAUUCAACAAGGCUUUCACAUUCCCAAGAGUUAUAGAUUCCCUUCUAUAUAGUAUAGAAUUCACAAAAAAUUUCAUACGAGCUGGGUAGUGAGCAUAAUACAAUUAGAUCUUGAUCUUCAUCAUCUAAUUUCAAAUCUAAAAUUUUCAUAUCCAUAAUGAUCUUAUUAAAUUCAUCUAAAGGUUCUUGGAUAAGAGCACCUUUUUGCAUCUUUAGUGUGUAGAGACGCUUUUUCAAGAAUAAUUUUUUUAUGAGAGAUUUCUUUAUGUAGAGGCUCUCAAGCUUAUUCCACAAUCCCAAAACCGUUUAUUCAUCCCUGACUUCAUGAAGCACCUUAUCAACAACGACAAUUGGAUGGUGCUAUGCGCCCUCUCUUUCCAUCUCCUUGAUCUCAACUAUAGUCAUAUUCUUAGGAUAAUUCCAGUCCAAGGCUCUAACUGAACCUUCCCAACGCAAUAAAGCUUUCAUCUUGAUCCUCCAUAGCUCAAAAUUGUUUUGGCCAUUGAAGGGUGCCACUCUGAAUUGGAUAGACACCUUCUCGAACAAGAAGACCGAAAUCCUUCACUUUUAUACUAAUUUGUUGCGGGAAAACACUAAGGCCCUGUUUGGUAACCAUCCAAACAGGGCCAAAUUCUGAUUCUUUGUUCCCAGAAUCAGUUUUGGCCCAGAAUCGCGUUUGGUAACUUUUUUGUUCCCGGGAACAAAUUUGUUCCCAGAAUCAGUUUUGGACAAGAAUUUAGAAUAAAAAAAAAUAUGAUUCUUGAUUCUGAAUCAGAAAAAAGAAUCAAAAAAGUGGCUCUCUCUCCUCUGCUCAACGUACCCUCUCCUGCUUCACGUUUUCUCUCUGUUCGAACCCUUUCUUUUUCUUCUCUCUUUUGCUCGACGUUCUCUCUGGUUCGUUCUCUCCACAACAACGGUGACGGCGAUUGCUGCUUCUUCAUCGUUGAAGCUGCUCGUUCAAGGUGAGUUCCCUUCACUCACAGCUAGCGUCAUUGUCGGCUGAUCUGGGUGACGGUUUGCUCACCAUCACCGUCGUUCGUUGUCUGCAACGGUUGGCAGGAGCGCCACUGGGCUCGAGUCGGCGGGCGCCCGCGCCAAUUUGGCUGAGGAGUCACUCACCGAGCGACCCCUUAGGCCCGAAUCGGCAGGCGCCAGCGCCGAUCUGGCCGCCGAGCGACCCCCUGGGCCGAAAUCGGUGGGCGCCAGCGUCGAGCUCGCCGAGGGGUAGCUCGCCGAGAAACCGCGACCCCUGGUCGAGUGCUUUGGUGAAGGCAUUGAUUAGGUUUCAUUUGCUUUUUAGGGUGGGGGAUUCGAUUUGGUUCCGUGGGGAGUUGGUUCCGUGGGGAGUCUCUGCUCAGAAUCGAUUGGUGCGGUGCAGGGAUUAGUUGGGUUCGUGCGGUUUUGUUUGGGGAUAGGAGUGAUUUUGAGGAUGAAAGGCGUGGAGAGGGUACUGUUGUGGUCUAAAAUGUUAAUGAUAUAGCUCCGAGCUCGCGUGUUUUGCUUGGUGUUCUGUUUGUCAAUGCUGUGAAUGGCAUAUAGGGUUGCUGAACUAGGAAAAAGAAACGGAGGAGAGAAAAAAUGUACUAGUUCGUCCUCUACUGAUAAUGAAACAGCAAGUUCUUAUUUUUUUUCUUUGAUGCGCUAAUUUUUCAGUGAUGCCUUGACCCUGUUCACGGUGGUCGAGUGCUUUGGUGAAGGCAUUGGUUGGGUUUCAUUUGCUUUUUAGGGUGGGGGAUUCGAUUUGGUUCCGUGGGGAGUCUCUGCUCAGAAUUGAUUGGUGUGGUGCAGGGAUUAGUUGGGUUCGUGCGGUUUUGUUUGGGGUGAGGAGUGAUUUUGAGGAUGAAAGGCGUGGAGAGGGUACUGUUGUGGUCCAAAAUGUGAAUGAUAUAGCUCCGAGCUCGCCUGUUUUGCUUGGUGUUCUGUUUGUCAAUGCUGUGAAUGGCAUAUAGGGUUGCUGAAGUAGGAAAAAGAAACGGAGGUGGAGAGAAAAAUUGUACUAGUUCAUACUCUACUGAUAAUUUCUCACCAAGUUCUUAUUUUUUUCUUGAUUAGAUGUGGUGUUCUCAUUUUUAAUGACCAUUGACCAGAAUUCUUUCUUUGAAAAAGUUAUUCUUAGAGUUAAUACUGAAAUUCUUUUCUUCUGUUGGGACCUUUUACAGAAAAGGCUGCAAGAGUUUGAAGCCACUUUGAAGCCACACUUACUACUUCUCCAAGAGAUACCACAGCGCUUGAAGUAAGUAAUGAGUCUAAUAUCAGCUCUCCAUUUGCAUUUAGCUCUCUAUAGUACAUAUUGACUCAUAAGUUUAUAUUUUCCAUGAUAGUUUUAAGUCUCAUCUCAAUUAACUUGUAUGAUGCUCAAUCAAGGUUAUUAUGGCAUCCCAGAAAGAGAUGUUCAAUGCAAAAUGGACCGAGCCUUUAACCAACUUGUUUGUAAGUUUGUUGGUAGAGGAGGUACAAAAGGGAAAUCGCACAACUUCUACUUUUAACAAAGCAGGGUGGAACAACAUACGAGCAGAAUUCACUAAACAGUCAGGAUACCAAUAUAACCUAUUGCAGUUGAAGAAUAGGGUGAACAAACUGAGAAGACAGUAUGGUAGUUUUAAGAAGCUCAUUUCACAAUCUGGUUUUGGCUGGGAUAAUGUGAAUAACAAAGUUGUUGUCGACGAUCCGAGUAUUUGGGAGUCUCACAUCACGGUAUGUUUUAAGUUUCGAUCAUUUUGAUAUUAUUAUAGAUGUAAGUUUUAGAAGAUUUGAUUAUGUUAUUGACAUUUUUCAUUAUUGUGAAAAUUGCAGACCAAUAAUGGGUGGGCAAAAUUCAAGAAGGAUGGAUUUCCUCAAUAUCCCCAACUGUGCAUUGUAUUUGGUGAUACAUAUGCUACUGGAGAUCAUGCCGUAGGAAAUAUCCAAGAUUUGACGGUUUCAGAUGAAGGUGAUGGUGGUGGCAAUGCAAUCAGUGAUCCAGAAGACUUAAGUGAACAUCCUAUUGAUGAUGACGUUUUUACAUUCGGCCAUACUUCAACUCCCAUUCAUAACCAGCACAGGUUGGAUAGAACUCCAAAUGUCAAGAGGAGAAGAAAUAGUAGCUCAUUUAGUAUGGCAGACACGUGCAAAGCUAUACAGGACAUGCUCAAAUCUAGGUCAAGUCAAUCUUAGAGUGGAUCUAUUGGCUCACAAGUGACAUCACCACCUAUGACACCACCACCUGUAGACCCCUUCUCUAUAGCAGUUGUGAUUGAUAUCCUUGUUACUAUGAAUGACUUGGACCAAGAUCUUUACAACAAGGCAGUGGAGCGAGCAUGUACUAAUGCCAUAUGGAGAGAGGCAUUCGUCAGAACACCAACUGAAAGGAGACAUGGGCUUCUUCAAUUUCUUUAGUGGAUGUUGAGAUGUGUUUUGUGGAUUGCACGUGGUUGCACUUGAUUGUGUGUUUAAUUGUGGAAACCCUAUAGUUGUAUGGAUAAGACGGAUUGUUUGACAUUUUUAUAUUUGAUUUGCUUUUACUUUAGAACUUAUAUUGUUGAUUGUUAUUGGAUUAUUUUCAUCUCUCUUUAUUAAUGUUAUUGUAUUUGUGUGAUAAUAUAGGUACCAUGGAAGAAGGAUCAAAUAGUAUGUCUAAUGAGUAGGUAGAAUCAGUUGACCAAUUCUUGGAUGACGAGAAUCUUGAUAUAUUGGUAGCAUGGUCAUGCAUGGUUGCGAUGGACAUGUCCAUGCAUACGAGAGAACCUAUUAGGGAUAGCAGACUAUCGGGCUCGGAAUGGAUAAGAGAGAUUGUUUGUGGACAUUUAGAUAGAAUAUAUGAAGCCUUCAGGAUGGAGAGACAUGUUUUUCUGAACCUAUGUGAUUUGAUGAGGAUAAGAGGUUGGUUGAAAGAUAGUCGGUAUGUUAGGAUAGAUGAACAAGUUGGGAUAUUCUUGUCUUUGGUUGGUCAUAAUAACUCUACUAGAGAUUUAUGUGAGAGAUUUCAACGUUCAGGACAAACAAUCAGCAAGUAUUUUAAUUUAGUGUUGAAAGCAGUUCUGAAACUUGCAAAAGAGAUUAUCAAACCACCAUCCUUUGAUAUUGUUCCACCGGAAAUUCUUAUGAAUCCCAAGCAUGAACCCUAUUUCAAGGUAUAGUUUUCAUAUCAAUUUUGCAUCAUCAAAUAUAUGUAGUUGAUAAUCUUUUCUUUUCAUAAACGCACGUGAUUUUUUUUUCGAAAUAAAUUCACAGGAUUGCGUAGGUGCUAUUGAUGGCACCCAUAUAGAUGCUACCGUCCCCACGUCUCAGCAAAUCCCAUUUAGAGGCAGAAAAGGAACUACCACUCAGAAUGUGUUAUGUAUUUGUUCGUUUGACAUGAAAUUUACUUUCGUAUAUUCUGGGUGGGAAGGAUCUGCCAACGAUUGUCGAGUGCUUUCGGCAGCACUUGAGACUCCUGAAUUGCAAUUUCCUCGACCGCCACCAGGUAUUUAAUUUGUUUAUAAGAAGAAAUUCAUUUUAUGAUUGUUUCAUCGUUGCAUAUCAUAACUAAUUUAUAUAUAUAUCCACGAUAGGCAAAUACUACGUGGUAGAUUCUGGCUAUGCAGCACUCCCGGGAUUUUUAACUCCGUUUAAAAAAGAACGGUAUCAUCUGAACGAUUAUAGGGGGAAUGGAAGACGGCCAAGGACAGCAAAAGAAUUAUUCAACUAUAGACAUUCUUCUUUAAGAAAUGUCAUUGAGAGGUCAUUUGGGGCAUUAAAGAAUCGCUUCACCAUUUUGAGACGCAUGCCUCCAUUUACAAUUAAAAAGCAAGCAAUUAUUGUAAUUGCAUGUUGUGCUCUUCAUAAUUAUAUUCGUGACCAAGACAGGAUGGACAAAAACUUUUCUCGAUAUGGAGAUCCGGAGUACCCAUUUGGAGCUAGAGAAGAGGAGGUUGUGGAUGAUACAUCAAAUGAGCAAGCAAUGGAGAUAAACAUACUUCGGAGAAGUAUCGCAAAUCAAAUGGCAAGGGAUUACAAUAUGCCAGAGAUUCCAUAACUUUAUGUUUCCGACUUUUGUAAUAUUGUUAUUAAUUAUUGACUUAUCAAAGCCAAUAUUUCAAAGUUGAACAAUGGACUAAGUUACUUCAGUAUUCAUUUAUGGAUAAGUUGUAGUGAUGAGUUUCUCAUUAAAGUCUUUUUUUUUUUGUUUCAAAGAGUCAUGUUGGUUUGAAGAUUUAUUCUUUUAAACGUUGGGUGUUCGGUUUUGGGGAAGUGAAUAUAUAUAUAGAGCAAGAGAGAGAGAGAGAGAGAGGGAGAAGAAUCUUGGUUAAAUUAAAAUUAACAUCCAUCCAUAUUAAAUUCAAAAUGGAUUAGAUAUUUAAUCAUAGAAAUGUAAAUAUUUAUUGAAAAUGAGAAAUCACCAUGAUAAAAAAAAAACUCUUAUUUAAAUAUAAAUAAUAUUGAAAUUCUAAUAAGAAAAAAAAUUAAAAUAACAACAAUUUUCGUUUUUAUUUUUAUUUUUUUUUAUUUCUAUAUUUUAUUUUAAUUUCCUCCUAUUCUGAAAUAUAUAUUUGCUAUAUAUAGAAUACAUAUUUAAUUUUGCUUUAUAAUUUAGUAUUUAUAUUUAUUACAUAUUUUAGGUAUAUUAGUAUAAUUUAUACUAUGGUUUAUUAACUAUUUAAUAAAAAUUGACUAGUUAAUAUUUUUAUUACUUAGUAUAAAUAUAAUUAAUCAAUAAUGAGGGGUUUAUGAGAAUUCAAUAUCAAAUUUAUUUUUUUCUAAAAAGGCAAUUAAAAAGUAAUUGAAAUAGAAAUUUUAUGCAGUUACCAAACACGUUUCUGUUCUUUUUCUAUUCUAGAAUCAGAAAUUUGUACAGUUACCAAACACGUUCUUUUACUCAGAAUCAGUUCCGGGAACAGAAUCAAAAAGAAUCAAUUCAGAUCAGAAUCUACUCCCGGGAACAGAAUCGUUACCAAACGCGCCCUAAAAGAUGCACCGAUCGAAGCACAAGUAGCAAAGGAUGAAAGGAAAAUCAAAAUCAUAGGAGACGCAAGAGUUACGUGGGAAACACAAAACGGGAAAAACCAUGGAGAGAGAGGAGUUUCACUAUCUUCAACAAAGAGCACAAGAAUAUAAUCCAGAAGCUCAGAAGACUACUUGAUGAGCCAUAAGAUCUAAAGAUCUUACAAGAAGAUAAGGGGAAAAAAAGGAAAUAAUAUGGAGGCUAGGGUUGGAGUUGUGUUAUUAAACACAUUCCUUCUAUAGUCUUCAUUAAAAAAACCCUAAAACAAAUGGCGCAUGAUCUAAAAUACCCUUAUCUUUAAUUUAAAAAUCAAAACCUCAACGAAAUUCUUAUGCAAUCAUUUUUCUUGUCUUUCCCACUAAGAAUUUUGAAACUAAUGGAGUUACAUUUAUAUUGAAGUAGAAUUUUCCAGGACUUAAGUUUUCCAAAACUGAAUCUCUUCCAUUGAAAACUGAAGGAUAAUCAAGUCUGCCAGUUGAAUAAGAACACUAACUCCAGCAAGUGGAAGUAGCUCAGGGUUUUGAUUCAUCGAUCCUUCAUCAACAUAUAUAGGGACAUUGGAUACUCCUGGUUGAGAAUCAUGUUCUAUGUUUUAUCAUCAAUUAGUACAGGAACUCAAUAUUUUGACAUCAGAUACAACAAUGGGGUGAUUAUCAAACAGAGGAAAGUGUGUUUCAUUCACCUACGGAUUCAUGAUAUGUUUGUCUUGUGGUGGUGUCCCUUUCCUCGUUGAAGAACUUAAGGUAUAGCAAAGUGCUGAGGCUGAUCGAUUUUCCUCUAUUAUAUAUCAGUAGUAUCUUCAUACUUGAGGUGAUAUUAAAAUGAUUUGUUGAUACGACUGGAACUAAGUUUCCUCUGCAGGCCAGACAAGCUCCACANNNNNNNNNNNNNNNNNNNNNNNNNNNNNNNNNNNNNNNNNNNNNNNNNNNNNNNNNNNNNNNNNNNNNNNNNNNNNNNNNNNNNNNNNNNNNNNNNNNNNNNNNNNNNNNNNNNNNNNNNNNNNNNNNNNNNNNNNNNNNNNNNNNNNNNNNNNNNNNNNNNNNNNNNNNNNNNNNNNNNNNNNNNNNNNNNNNNNNNNNNNNNNNNNNNNNNNNNNNNNNNNNNAAUCUCAUCAUCAAAAUAGGAAUAUAAAUUUAUUACAUAACAAAGAAGAAAUAUCAUCAGUGUAUGAAAUCCUUUUCUUGUCUAAAUCUGUUAUUUUACGCUGAGAGGUUCAAUGGACAUUCUGGUGAGACAGUGGCUGUGCUUGCGAAUUUCCUCUCUUCACUCCCUUUCUUGGUGGCGAAUUCUUAUAAAAUACAUUGUCAUUCAUAGCUAAUUUCGGUGGAUUCAAGUUCUAAUGAUGAUGGCAUCGCAGAUCUUUAGACUUCUCCGUAAUCCUCCCAAGUUCUUUUGGCGGUACCCCAUGUCCUACAUCACCUUUGCCAAAUGGGCAGUUGAGGUAGUUAGUACACAAAGAUUCACUAUUUUUCUGAAAUCAAACUUGAAAAAUUAUCAGCAUAUAAUAUACAUAAAGCCAUGAUAUGGAAAAUACUCCUCUCCAGUUUAAAAAAUGCUAUCUGACUAGUAAAACUCCACCUGGAGCAUGCACUAUUGUGGCACCCCGAACCCUUCGUAGGUCGCCACCAGCGCCAAUGUUACACCUUAUUAUCUUUCUCCUUAGAAGAAGCGUCGUAAUUCAUAGACACACAUUUUUUUUUUAUUUAAAAACAAAACGGUCCCAGCGCGACUUACUAGCGGAAGCAAAUUAAAACAUCACAAUCUCUCCCCCUACCAACCAUGAUACAAAUACACAUCACUAAUUAUCAUGAUUUUAUAGACAAGCCAUGAUACUUUAUUUACAUAUAUUUUCAAGAUGGGACUUCUUUUGGGUCGGUACAUCAAAAAGGAAAAGCUAAAACUCAGCCAUGUCCAGCCUAAAACCUCAAAAAAGAACCCUCGACCCUCUACAUCUCACGUGUACAACCCCCAUCAUAAGUGUCGGCUAUCUAUCCAAAAAGAAACAGCCCCUACUCGUCACGCACAGGCCUCACACCCAGUCCGGUGCGUCAGGCGGCGGUGGUGGCAACAUCCCUCUCAUCACUCCAUCGUGGCGAACGUGGACGGAGACAAACUCCUGGACAAUCGGGCCCCCAGCCAGGCCUAUGUCGUACGAGACAAAAUAGCGCACACGUAUGUAUGUCAGUCCAGGCACAGAAUGACAGCUGUACUCCUCACACUCUACCUCGACGUCAGACAAUAACCCGUAAAAUACACCCCGCGUGACGGCAGGAAGCGACAUACUGCUAAUCUGAAAUGUUGGUCCCCAAAAGGGGUGAGUACAACCACUCAACAGGUAAAGAAAUCCAAUAACAACUCAAUACAUCAUGCAAAUCAUACAUGCAUUGCAGGCGUUACUUACCUUGAAGCCAUGCGCAUACUAACAUUGCAUCAUCAUAUCAUAUGUGUCAUCAUCAUCAUGGCAUCAUUAUAUCAUACAUUUCAUCAUCAUCAUGACAUCACCACAUCACACAUGUCAUUAUCGUCAUGGCAUCAUUAUAUCAUACAUGUCAUCAUCAUCAUGACAUCAUCACAUUACACAUGCCAUCAUGCCAUAUCAUAUAUCAUCAUUAUUAUCAUCAUCAUGUAUAUCAUCAUGCAUGUCAUGCCAUGGGUGAUCAUCAUUAUUUCACAUCACAUAUCAUCAUCAUCAUCAUCAUCCAUAUCAUAUAUCAUCAUCAUUAUCAUCAUCAUGCAUAUCAUGCAUGUCAUGCCAUGGGUGAUCAUCAUUAUUUCACAUCACAUAUCAUCAUCAUUGUAACGACCCGGGCCCACUGUAUGAUAUUGUCCGCUUUGGACACUGAGUCCUCACGGCUUUAAAACACGUCACACAUAUUAAGGGGCCCAAACCAUUAUAAACUGGCCUUGGACUCCCUCCCUAAGCGAUGUGGGACAAGAGGGAGAGGACCCCUUCCUUGCGCACGUCUGGGGACCGAGGCGUGGACGCACCGCCAUCCCUCCUCCCCGCGCACCACCGCUCAGGCCGUCACACUCUCCCCCUAGCAGAACAACGUCCUCGCUGUGGCCCCACACGCUGUCGGGAGUCGGCUCUGAUACCACAUGUAACAUCUCGGGCCCCACUAUGUAAUAUUGUUCGCUUUGGGUCACCCGCCCUAGCGCGGACGAACCGCCAUCCCAGCCAUGGUCUUUUCCCUCACGGAUUUAAAACGCGUUUCACGUACGCUUCUACUGCGCUGAAAACAAAGCCGUGAGGGAGGACAGGCCGGUGGGCUGUGCCUCCAAAGUGGACAAUAUUAUGGCUUGGGAGAGGGAAGGCCCGAGGGAUGGCCCUCUGCCCCUGCAUAACGCGUUUAAAGCAGUGUGGGAAAAGACCGUGGCUGGGAUGGCGGUUCGUCCGCGCUAGUGCGGGUGACCCAAAGCGGACAAUAUUACACAGUGGGGCUCGGGAUGUUACAAUCAUCAUCCUCAUCAUCAUGCAUAUCAUCAUGCAUAUCAUAUAUCAUCAUCAUUAUCAUCAUCAUGCAUAUCAUGCAUGUCAUGCCAUGGUUUAAUUUCCACUUUUAGCUUUCAAUUUGAUCACCACAUCACCAAUUCCUUAAAUCAUCAAUUUCAUCAUCCCCUCGGGCAAAGACCUCCGAGGCUUCCGGCAUUCAGCCAUCCCAGGCCACCAGGCAUCCGGCCCCCCACAUUCCGGGCAUCUCGCAUCCCAACUGGCAUCACGAGGCAUUCCCUUCGGGCAGAAACCUCCGACAGGGCUUCCGGCAUUUACACUCCCUAGCGGGGCAUCCCGCACCCCAAUCCUGGCAUCGCGAGGCAUUGCUUUCGGGCAGAAACCUCCGACAGGGCUUCCGGCACCCCCACAUUCCGGGCAUCCUAAAUCUCCCAGGGCCAUCCGGCAAUGCAUCUCUAUACAUUCCGGGCAUUAUCCUCCACCACAACCACCUCCUCACUUAUCAUUAUCCACAUUUACCAUAAUUUUGAUCUCAAUUUAACAUGGCAUAUGGCGUGACAUCAAACAAGUCAUACUUGGCAUAGGAUUCACACAUGCAUCACAAUUCAAUGUCAUACAUACACCAAUAUCUUAUUAUACAUGCUACAUGGUGUAAUCAUUUAUGGAAUUUAUGGCCAAUAAAAUAAUCCAUUAUUAUUAUUAUUAUUAUUAUUAUUUUAUAUAAAUAUUAAAUUCAAUAAAAAUUCAAGCAAUCAUUAAACAAACCAAUAGGAUGACAAUUUCAUGCAAAAUUCAUGGCCAAAUUGAAUUUUACACAACCUCACCAUUUUCACAAAACAUCCUAUGAUUCUCGGAUGAAACCAGAACGCACGGUUUUCGAAGAAAUUCAAUUAAAAUAUCCAUAUGGCCUUCAAAAAUUGUGAAAUUUUACGGAGUUAUAACCAAGACCUUUUCGUACAACUUUUAUGAAGAACUCCAAGCCAUAUUAUUAUUUUAUUAUUUUAUACAGUCUCACGAAGCUUCUGGAUCCAUUACCGCAUCGUCCAGUGUAUACUACUCCGAAAUAUUGAGUUUUAACCUACCUAUUCUCUUUUGUUUUCUCUGAAAUUUGGAUAUGUUAUACAUAAAGAUGUCCUCUUACAACUUUAAUGAAAAUAUCUAAGUCAAAUAACCAGAGUAUAGUCAUCAUAUAUGUCCAUGAAGUCUCGGGUGUCUCGGAAUACAUCACCAGAAUCACCGUCUUCAAGAUCUAGUUGAUUUACUAGGAUAUUCUUGUUUAUUUCACUUCAAAUUUGAGUAUGUUAUAUUUUAAGAUGUCCCCUACAACUUUCAUCAAGAAAUUGAAGUGAUAUUCUCAACACAAACCAACAUGCAACCACAAAUCCAACCAAAGGUCAGUAAAAUCUUUCCAGAUCUGGGGUCUCCAUAGGAUGAGACUUUAACCCCUCAAAUCUCCAUCAUUUUCCACGAAAAUUUAGUAUGUUGUAUUACAAGGUGUUAGCUACAACUUUAAUGAAGAAAUCAAAGCCAAAAUCGGACUCUAAACACACAUGCAAGCUCAAACAACAUUCUGACUCACAGGGUACGAGCAAGAACAGCCACACCAUUCACACAUAAAUCGACCAUGCUUUGGUUUUUCUCACCUAACACCCAAGAAUUUAACAUGCAAGCAUCAUACACACUUGCAAGAGAAGCUAGAGGACUCCCACUUGCCUCUAGACCAGUCGGUCGACGGCGUAAGGUGGCGAAUCACGGGGGCACACGACGAACGGACGGCGGUUCUUCCUCCUCUCUCUCUCAGCCACUCUCUCUCCCUCUCUCUCGCACAACUCUCUCUCUUUGGGCGAGCAAUUAACCGGCCACUCUCCUCUCUCUCUCUUCCCUUUUAUUUCCCUUAAAUCCCAUCAUUAGUAAUCAUGAGAUUGCCUCACCAAUGGCCAAUGCAUGGCCUUCUUCUUGCCACUUGUUAUAAUACUUGUAUGAUGGGCUUGGGCCUCCUCUUCUUGGGCCUUCUUUUGUGGCCGACGGCCACAUCUCCUUGGGCCUAAAUGGGCCGGCGACAGCCCCUCCAUGGGUUCCUAUUGGACCAGCUAUCUUGGCCCAUUAAAAUCCACUCUUGGGCUUAAGGCCCAAUUAAAUUUAAAAUCCUAAAUUUCACCUUUAAUCACUUUCAAUUCUUUUUUUUAUGGAAUUUAAUUUUUUUUUAAUUUCACAUGGCCAAAGUCUUGUGACAUUUUGUUUAUUGAAAUUUAAUUUAUAAAGUGCAUGGCCAAGCAUAGAUUAUUAUCAUAAUCUAUCAAAUUUAAAUUUUCACAAUCAUAUGCACACAUCAUCUAUUCUAAAAAAAAAAAGACUAAUGGCUAAAGCAUAAACCUUAGGAAAUUUUAUCACCUAAUUAAAGACUUUAACACACCUUAUGGCUUGUCAUUGAAUUUUGGGAUGCCACAACUAUUGCUUGGCACUGCAUAUUUAAACUCAUUGAAGUUAAAAUUCUCAUCUUCCAUCCGUGAUACAUUUAUGAGAAAGAAAUCUCAAAUCAACAGAAAUUAAGUACAAAGCCUUUUAUUUUGCUGUGAAGAAAUGGAUUGAAUAAUUGACAGUUUUGCCAUUCCUUUCUCCCUUUAUGGAUUGUUGGCCUGCUCUUCCAUAUGCUAAAGAUGAUGUAACCAAUGUAAUAAUGUAACACUACGAAGAUUCUGCCAUCAGUCACUUUCCUAGAUUGAUCAGAACACUACCAGGCUUCACCGCAUGUUUCACUCUGUCUCUUUACUCAAACUAGAGCUUCAGAUAAACAGGGCUUCUUAGAAACAGUUCUGCCACUAGCCAUGGCAGUCAACAAUACAAACAUGUUUUAGAUUAGUGAAUACAAGUGCUCACAAAUAUCUCAUGAGCAGGGUCAAUACAAGUAUGUCACAACCGGUCUUGAUUUUGAUUCUGCAGAGCCUAGAGAGCCAAAAUUGAAAGGCGAGAUAAUCCUAAAAACAGCUUUCGGGCAUAUCACUGGAUAAUUCCAAGUGGUGGGAUGUAAUUGUGCUUCUGUUUCAACUGUUUGUUUACAAACUACUAAUCUUCUUAGUGCUUAGGUACAAGAAGAGAAUAGCAUCACGGUUGUCUCGGUUACAGUUGUCAUCAUAAGUGUUAAUCAGGAAGUUGUCUUGACUGAUGAUUCUUGCACCAAAUAGCAGCCACCAUCCAUGAUGUUUCCAGAAUAUAGCUACUUUAUCAGCAGCUAAUGCACCAAGGUUAUGUAAAUGAUGCAUAUAUCCUAGUUGUCACAAGUUCCAAAUACAGUUCACCCUCUCUGUUUAAUGUAAUGACAAAUUUGAUUUUGGUAUACGUAAUGUGGCAAAUCUAGACCUAAUUCUUGGCCGAAGGUCCACCUUUUCCUCUUUGUAAUUAAUGUAGAUUAUAAUCCUCUUACAAAGCAUAAAAUUUGGAGAUAUGGCUCCCAUUUAGUGCUUCUCUCUCUCUCUCUCUCUCUCUCUCUCUCUCUCUCUCUCUCUCUCUCUCUGUGAAAACAUAUGUCAAAGCAAUGGAGUGACAACUUCCAAAUAGAUUGAGACAUAGUUAACCAAUUCCAGGGGUUGUACAGGAGUCCAGAUAUAGCUUGCCACUCCUGUACAAGAAAAAAAUGGCAGGGAAGUGCACAUUGUCUUUGAACGGCAUCUAUGUCCCCUUAUGGCGCACCAAAAAUUCGGACAAUGAGCUUAUCAUACUCAUGACCUCCAAAUGUAAUCCUUGGCUGUGAAGCAAACCCAGGUGAAAGAUUCAUAUCUUUGUUUUCCCCCAAAACCGAGAGGGCCAAAUAUGUGCUAGCCAAGAAAGUGCACUUGUCGUCGAAUGCACAACUUUUAAUGUGCCCAGGAGAAACAAUAUCUUCAUAACUUUAAGAUGCUUCGCAGAAAAAACCGGUAUUUUCAUCCUUCCUACUUAUUUCUUCUAUUUUUUCCACGCAGCGUUAUUGCCAUUGCGUGCUCCGGAUGCUUUAUGUUUCUCAUUGAGGUUUCCAUGUUCAUGCUACCUUUUAGUUCCGUCUUUCUCUUUUCCUCGCUUCUAAGUCGGUGAAAAGUCCUCUUCCUUUUCUUUCCAGAUUCGUUGGAUUGAAUCUUAGAAAAUUUCCGUGCAGCUGAACCGCCAUCCUUUUUAGACCCUUUUAAUCUGCCAUCAGCAGCAAGAAAAGUUUCAUUUUCUCCUGAGUGGGGGGAACCGUCUUUGUUCUUCUAUCUCCUUUUAUGUCCUCGUCCCCUGACAUCUUUCUGACUUGCAGAAGCUUCCUUCUUUUCUAUGCCGCCUUCAUUUGAGGUUUUGUUUCAUCGAUUCUGAAAGGUCAAACUUGUGAUCAUUUCACAAAUCAAUAUUCCAACCUUCAAAAAUCAUGCACUGCUGGAUUUUCUUUCUGUAGGAAACACAUCCAAGCGUGGAAUUCAUUCCCAUGUCUUAUAAUGAAAAGGGAAUCUACUACAUCCACAACUGUCUUAAGAAAACCCUUGUACUUUUCUGGGGUAACAGGCUGAACAAAGGCAAAACCACACUUCCUAGUCAUUAUCUCAAGACUGUGACCUGUACAUACAACAAUAUUGGGCAUUCAUUACGAGCUUGCCAAAAAGAGGCCCUUCGAAGGAUGCAUGCAUGAAAUUAUCACAAAACAUGUCCUGCCCCGAACCUUGAGCUCGUGCACAUUCUUCGGUGGUUGAUAAAAUUGCGACGUUCCCAAGACACGUCGUCGACCCAAUCGAUUUAUGCACGAGUGGAAGCGAAAUAAACAAUCUCGAAACAACAAUCAACAUGAGAUAGAAAAGCAGGAUAGUCAAUUUCAACAAAACAUACUUUAUAAACAAACUAGUUUAUACACAGAGGCCAACUCUAAGGUCUAUGUACAGAAGUCUAGAUCAAAAACGGCUACUGAGCUAACCCCAUCUCGGACCCUAUCUACUUGGGAUUCGGGUUUAUCACGACACCGUCAAGGAUGUCGAUGUUAAGCGGGUCAGCAACCUCCUCACCCUUAAUGGCGAGUCCGUUGAAACCAACCAGGGGACCUUUCCGUUCCCUGUUAAGCCCAUGAAGAAACCAUGCCUUGAAUCGAUGAGGCACUAACUGUGGUAGGCCCUCAUCGACCAAGAUUGUGGUCACGAUGAGCUCACGGGUCCAGGGACUCCUGAGGAUAAGGAAGAUGGUGCUCUGCUCGUUAUACCCCCGCGGCUGUCCAAAACAAACUGGUCUCACCUCCAUCUAAGGACUUGAAAAAGUUAAACCACAACGGGGUGAGACAAUGUCUCAGCGAGUUCACGCCUUAAACCCCAAUUAGGAAGAUAAUACACCUAGAGACAGUCUAACCACACAACCAAGGAGACUUACCUCGCCUCAGUUCCUUCCUGCAUGUCAACACAAUUCAUAAUACAGAUAUAUGCAGUAAUAGCACUCAACAAUUGAAACGCCUCAACAUAUAUCUCAAACAAUCACAGGGGUCCCGAUUAUAAGGCCAAAUCAUUAUGACACGUCACAUUUUAUGCCACACAAUUUUCGCCCCAUAAUCAAGCGUGGCUAAAUCACUCAUUCAUGCGUUCUAGUUGAUUACGGCCUCAUGGGCACGACCUACUCGACGUUCAGCGGUCUUCCGGCAUAGUCGAGCAUCAUCUCGCCACACCGAGCACGACAAUGUCUACCUCGAGACGGCAUUCCUGAAGGAGCAUCGGCUUAGCCUCUAUUGCAACCGGCAUUCGUUGACAAGGGCAUUCCAUAUAGGAGCAUUUUCCGGUGUAAACGCUCACAACGGGUUCACAUAAUAGUCACACGACCAUCCAAUCCCGGCCUAGGACAUUGUGCUUUGCACUCAUAUGCCUCAAUUAAAAUUAUGUACUUGGCCUAUUUUCUUCAUAUUAAAAACACUCAGUAAAAUAAUCGUGUGUGCGUACACGGUCAAACCGAACCAUAAAAAGUGACAUCAUUCCUUUUAAAAAUCCUAAUAUUUGAUAUAGUACUUAAAAAUAUUUUUGGCGUCAAAAACCGAUGCUAGGUAUUUUCUAAUUAAAUACCCCAAAAUUUCAUAAUUUUGAAAUAAUAACUGAAAAUCAACAAUCAUCACUCAAUUACACAAAUUAGCACUCAAUUGCAUAAACUAAUUGCACCACGACAAUCAGCACGAAAUUCUGACAACCGGUUAUCCCAGUAUAAUUUCUGAAAAAUAAUAAAUAAUUAAAUAAAUUACCAAAUUAAUUAAAUAAAUGUAAAAUAAUUAAAUAUACUAAUCUAACCACCUAAUUAGCCUAAUUAACCAACUAAACUACUAAUUAAACUAACUAAUCCACCUAAACUAACUAAUCCACCUAAACCAAUCUUAACCUAAACUAAACCUCCCUAAGCAAGGUUUAGCAAUUAAACUCAUUAGAUUUGCGAGCUGAUGAGUUCAUGGCGACAGAAACGGCAACGCGGAGGUGAGCGAGACUCAAGCCUACGGCGACACCCGACGAGGUCUGGAAAAGCCCGAAAAAGACCCACAUAGCCCAUAGCCGAGUUGGAACUUUGAUACUGUGGCUAGCUGGAAAGGGCUAGUCGGCGGCUUGGCGGGCGAAACUGGGCGGCUAGGCAUCGACGGAGGCACCAGGCGGGGCUGCUGGCAGCUGGGGAACAUGAUAGUAGCCUGGACGGGCGGCGGGGGUUGUUCAACGGGCUGGACGAAGGGCUCGAGAUGGUGGACUGGCGCAGAUGACGGCGUACGAGCAGGACAGGCGCAGGCGCGGUCGAGUGGCUUCAGCGGGCUCGGGCGGUGCUCAAACAAGCUUGAGGGGCGGUCGACGGCUGCAUGGGGUUUGCUAACUAGUUUCUCUAGUUCUUGGGCUUCUAAAACAGCAACAAUAGACCACCAAGGGAGCAAUAAGGAAGAAGAAUGGCUGCUACAGCUGGCUAAGGUGACAAAGGCCACAGAAGUCUUCUCGAAAUAUCUCAAACCAUCAUCACUUGGCCCCCACUAGCUUCAGCCUCAUCCACAGCCCAUUUCUCCUCCAAGACUUCUCCAACAAGCCUCAAAUGGUGCUGAAAUGUUGCUACACCCCCCCCCCCCCCAUAGCUACGAAUUUCAUGAGUUCUUCUCCCAAUUUCAACUCAAUUCUCUCCAACUGGCCUCAAAUUAAUGGCCAAAAUUCCAAGGGGGAUGCCCACAUCAAAUUCCAUAAUUUUCCUUAUCAAUUGAUACAACUCGACAACCAAAAAUUCAUACAAAAAUGGCCCUCCAAAUUUCCUGGUCCAAUUUCGUCAAAUCUUGAUUUUUUGCCAAAAAUCCCAAACUUGCCGAAAAUUCUUAAAAGGAUGAGUUGACGUUCCUAAUAUAAAUCGUGAUGUGACAAAACUUUCAAUUUCUGAAAUCGGGUUCAGUUUCUUGGUUAAUUUCAACCGAACGCGAUUUUAGCGUGACCUAACAUACCGGGUAGCUUUUAACCCGUGGUCAAUUAUUUUCAAUCCACAUUGUGCAUCUCCAAAUCAUAGGCGAUUUUUGGUUGUUGUAAAAAUCUCGAGAUUUCAAAUACAAGCACAAGGUACAGAAACGAUAUAAAAAAAUCGAUUUAAUGCCGUUCAACGCGAAUUUUGCAAUUAGGUGAUUCACUUUAAUUACAUGUCUCUCUUGAAUCGACCUAUCUCCGAUCUUUAAUCAAUUUUGAUGGUGCCGUAUUGACCCUUGUAGAUUAGCAUGGUUGAACAGUUGAUUUCUGAUAGAAUUCUCAAGUCUAUCGCAUUUAGAUUCCUUAACGGCUUCACCUGAUAGAUUAGUUAUCUCAUGAGUGAUCAACUCAAAGAAAAAGACUAUAUACACAUCGACGAAAAGCCCAAUUCAUUUAGUCGAAAACAUAAUCGAAAAAUCAGGCUGUCACAAAACAUCUUAGCAACCUCCCAGUAAAAUAUCACAACCCUUUGAUCUGAAGCGAUGCCUAUCUAUAAUGUGAUCCCACAUUUUUAGGGAUAUAGUUUUUUAAAUUAAAAAUGUAUCCUUUGACAUUGACUCACUUUUCUCUUUCAAGUGAUGGUUAUUUCACUUAUGGUUUUCCUCAUUUAUACCUUCUCGUCACAACAAUUGCCCGUCUGAAAACCGCCUUAUAGGGGCCAGUUUAUUAAGAUCAAUUGUUUUGUAAGGGCAACACAAGGUUUAAUACAAACCCUCUCAUUUGGAAAUAUGCCAUAAGUAUGUGAUAGGAUUGGGGUAGUAGGGUGUGCUUGUAAUUGUCAUCAAAUUUUCUUGAAUUUUCGACGAACGCAACCUCAAACAAUGGCUGGAGGUCAGAUUUAUUUUUUAUCAUGUCUUCCUCAUAUGAUUCUAAUUGAUGCUUGAAUUCUGAUCAAUGCAUGAUUAGAAUCACUGGUUUUUUGUCUAACAAGAUGACCAUGAAAUAACUCCAUCAACAUUGUCCAAACGUAAACUUUGAAGAUCAUCAUUUCAUAAGCAAGACGCUAAGGGCGCGUUUGGUAACGCUUCUAUUCUCGGGAACAAUUUCUGAUAAAAAAUUAUUCUUUUUUAUUCUGUUCCGGGGAAUAAUUUCUAAACAUUUUAAGCCGUUUGGUAACUAUUCAAAAUUUCAAUUCCUAGAAUAGAAUUGCGUUUGGUACCGUUCUGAAAUUUUUUAAUCCAAAUCCUUUUUAUAUAAUUUUUUAAAUAAUUUUAUUACUUUUUUCUUCUUUUCUUUUUUUCUUUUCUUUUUCUUCUUCUUCUUCUUCAAUGUCCGCUAGGUGUCGGCCUUGGGAUGACUGGCGACCGGCCAGUCGAGCCCUGGCGAGGCCGAGCUCGCCUAGCUGCCGACGGGGCUCGACCUCAUCAGGAUAAUACAAGGUCAGUCUCGCCUUGGCUUGGUGACACCGACCUCGCGGUGGCCCGGCAAGGCUCGCCGGUGGUUGAGGGAGGCCCAGGCGAGGCCUGCCUGGCCACCAGCAAGACUCAGCCUCGCCAGAUCUGGCGAGGCUGAGCCUCCGACGGCGGUGGGCGGUGGAGAGUGGUGGACGGCAAGGGCGGCAGUAGUGGCAAACGGCAAUGGCGGCAGUGGCAACACUUCAAGAACAAGAGAGAGGGAAGAAGAAUGAGAAGAAAGAAGAGAAAAAAGGAAAAAUAGGUUGACUUGAUUCUAGAAUUGUUCCCGAGAACAAAGAAUCAACUUUUUUUUUACUUUUCGAUUCCGUUCCAAAUCUACUUUCGGGAACAAAAAAAUAGAAAUUUGUUCCUGAGAAUUUUUUUACUAAAUGCAUUUAUGUUCCAAAUCUACUCUUGAGAACAAAAAAAUAAAAAUUAUAACUGUUUGACAAGUUAACAAACAGGUCCUAAUACUUUCACAAAACCUGAAACAGCCUGCAAAAUGUGCACGAAGUAACUCUUAAGCCGUUCCAAUUGGGGCAAGAAUCUAUUUAGGUAAUGCUAUACUCACUUUUAUCACUUCCACCACUUUGCUUUGUAGCAGAGAAAGAACCGGAGGAAUAAGAUCAGGGAUUUAUAGGCAGAUAUCUGUAUCCUUGUAAACUAGUUCGGACAAUGCAGAAAUUGCUCCACUUGUAGUUUAAAGCGAUGAACCAAAAAGAUAAUCCACUAUCUGAGAGGACGUUAUUUAGAAUCAUAACAAUAUUGCUUGAAUAAAAAUACAAUCCUGACAAUUGUGAUUGUCCAGUAAUAAGCCACUGUUAAGAACAACAAGCAAAAAGGAAAAUCACUGGUUAGGUUCAACUAUUUCCGUAUGAUACAUAAGUAUGUUCUCUUGAUCUUCUAAGAGGAAGUCCUGCAAGCAAAUAAAAUUCCCAGAUGUUCGCAACACACGUAAGGUAAGGUAAGUGUUUAUCUGUUCAGUGCAUGUAAAACUUCUUUGGGCAACCAUUUACACGAGGAAUCCAAGCUUCAAGAAUAACACACGAGAAAGGGACUACACUGCCCUUUGAUAAACCAAUUUGACUUCUUAAAAUUUCUGCAUUAUUUGUCGGAUGAAACAAAUGGAUAAUUUCGAUUGAAUAGCCAACAUCCACAAGAGACAGACCACAUGAUUUUGAAUUUUGCCACUGGUAUUUUGAAUUUAGUGACAGUGAGGUCAACCUCACCGGCCACUAGGGAGGGUGAGCGUUGCCUAUGGCUAGGUGAGGUCGAGCCUUGCCAAGGGCAAGUGAGGCGAACCCUUCUCACAUGGCAAGCUUGCCCAACAAUGGUGAGGCAAGCCUUGCUAGUGGUGGCAAUGUCACACCCUAAAUCCUAGAGGGAUGAGGGAGUGACAUGGCUGUCUUUUCUGUAAAGGACGCAAACUCAACUAUAUCCAAAAUAUCCAGCUUCCAAAAGAUCUCACGAUAAGGCUCUUGCUCUAAUGGCCACUAACUAAGGAACUUGAGAAACUUGAUAAGAAAAAUGAAUGAGCUAUCAUAACCCAUUGAGUAAUACAUUUCUUUUAGCAAAUCGAACACUUACUAUAUAUAUAUAUAUAUAUUUAAAAUACAAACAUAACUCAUUUUCACCAAAAACCGGAAUUUAACAAACCCUUAAGCCCAAAAUGUGAUGUUUUUAUUACUUUAAUAUAAUAUGUUCAUAAAAAAAUUACUAAAGAUAAUAACAAAGCAAACAUUAAUGGUCCAGGCCACUGAUCAAUUUCCUAAAGACAUACGUCAAUGGUCCAAUCCAUUGACUAAUGUCAUGUUCAAAUAUCUAGCAAUGGUCAUGCAUAACGCCCAUGACAAGACAACCAAGAUUUCUCCAUUGGUUAAGUCUCCAUCUAUUAAUAGCCGGUGGCUCAAUUUACAAGGAUAUCCUAAACUAGUAUGCGCAUACCCACACAUCCCUUAAUAGAUUCACAAAGACAUUGAGCAUAAUCUAUCAACUUAAAUCGCUAGUAAAUCCAAAACCAAAACCAAAAAUCAUCUCACAACUUUUCACCAUCCAAUUCAAAUAUCAAUGGUCAAGUCUAUUGAUUAGUCACUAUUAAAUCACAUUUUAUAUAUCACAUUAUGUUUUCCAAGCUGUUUGAAACUCCAUUUCAUAAACCAGUUCAAGAAUUAGUAUAUAAACUUUCAUACCAUAUUUAAAUUCAAAAACUUCUUAGGAGUCUUUCCCAAAAGGUUUUGCAAAUCCAUUUGCAGGCAAUCAAUUUAGACAUAAUCAAAAGAUCACUCUUUCACAUCUAAUAUGCAAAUGGUAAUAAAUGCUCGAUCCAAUUUAUGCAAGAAAUAUGCUCGUUUUUAACUCAUAACAUAACUAAUCCAUUUCAUUUUUGAAAUAUGAAUUUACAAACUCAAAGUAGAAAUAGUAUCACUCACCUAGGAAAAGCUGAAAACCAAUCUACGAUGGUUACUUGAGCCGACACACUCCAAUUCCUAUCAAUUAAAUGAAAAACGUAAUUAAAAAUGAAGUAAUACACAACUCUAACGAACGAUUUGACCAGACCACGUUCAUCCAUCAACAUGUAAACUUCGAAGCCAUACGAAGAAGCUCGUUUAUGGUGUAUGUUUGUCUUUCGCCAUUACACAUAUUAUUGUCGCAACCUAAAAUUUCGGUGCACUACCUAAAACUAGGUUAAUGGACUACUAAGUCUUAAGCUUAGCUCGGGCUCUCCCAAUCCCAUACCAAUUCGCGACUUAAGGUUCAAAUAUGCAAAAGAUUAUUUUCUAGGAGUCACCACUAAUUAGUUUUCAGUAGGUCGAUUAGACACCUAAGUAAAAUAAUAUGAGCAUUAUUUUACUCAUACGAACCAGAGACUAAGGGUACGGGGACUUUAUUACACUAGUUUCUCUAAUGCUCUUUCGGUACAAUUUUUUUUUUUAAUUUUCAAAAAUGUUUUUGCAGGCAGCUUGGAUUUAUUUUAAGCUAAAUUACUAAUAUGCAAUGAGGUGAUCACAUAGAUACUCAAUCAUUAAAAAAACUAAUAAAUAAAUAAAUUGCAUCACACAAAGCAAACAAUUUUUUGGGUCUUUUUUGGAAAUAGAAUUUCAUCAUGCAUUCUAACUACAUGACCUAAUUUUAUUAAUGAACAAAUUAUAAUUAAAUGAACCUAUUAACAAUCUCAUGAACCUAAUUCUAUAUGAUGUGUGCAUAACUAUUCCUAACAAAAACAUGCAAUCUAUUUGGGAGAAAUUAUCUAAACCUAAAAUAUGCAAUCCUAACAUACCAUGACGUGCAAAGAAUGCCAUAAUUCUACAUGACAUAUGCAUGAUAUUUUUCAUAUUUUUUUGUCAAUAGAAUUCGAAAUUUAAAAUUGCCACUUAAUUAAACAUGCAAUUUAAAUAAACAAAAACUAACAUCCUAAAUGAGUGAAUUUUUUUAUUUUAUACUUUUUUUUCUAAAUUCGAAAUAAAAUCCCUAUUAUAAAAAAAUUUAUUUAGGGCCAACACUAACUUAUUUCUAAAAUUGCAAUCCUCAAAAUAUAAUCCUAAAAAAAUCUAAUUUACUAAACCUACAUGCUUCGAUGCAAGGUUUUGACUUUUUGAUUUUUUUUAAAAGAUAAGUAAUUAUUAAAUAAAUAUUAAAUCUAAACUAUCAACAAAAUAAUGGAUUAAAAUAAUCGAAAAACUAACGUGUUGUCUCACGGGUCAAAUUAACGAUUACCCUAACCCUAAUUAUCACGACAAAAAGUUCAAAGUAAUUAAAAAUAUGAUCUGAAAUCUUACGGAUCAAAUUAAUAAUUAUAUUGAUUCAACAAUUAAAAUACUAUCAACAAACCCCAAGAAUUAAUAUAAUUAAAAAAAUGAUCUGAAAUCUUACGGAUCAAAUUAAUAAUUCUAUUGAUUCAACAAUUAAAAUACUAUCAACAAACCCCAAGAAUUAAUAUAAUUAAAAAAAUGAUCUGACAUCUUACGGGUCAAAUUAAUAACUACAAUAAUUUUAGGGAUAACUCCUGCCAAUAAUGCCUAUAAAAAAACAAAACUCAAUUCCCAGUAUUCCAAUGGGUACAAUAAUAGCAAAACUUAAAAAGGUAAAUAAAAUAACAUAAAAUAAAUGAAAGAUAAAAGUAAAAAUAAAUAAACAACCUAAGGAUAGGGGGCAGCAAAUGGGUUAACAGCAUUGGGCCGAGGGAUGCCGUUGGUCGGAGCUUCGGCGCGAUGGUGGGUGAGUAGGAGGCGUCCAGCGGCUGGAUCGGCGUGGCGUCGGGGUGGAGACAGGUGUGGUGUCGUGGUGGUUGGAUCGGUGCGGUGGUGGGCGGCAAUCAGAGGCUCGGGUCCGGCCUCAAAAGAGCUUCGGCGGUGCGGCUGAUUUAGGGCUCCUGUGGCGUCCGGAUCUGGCAUGACGGCAACACUGGUGUGGCGGCGACGCGAGGGCUCUGCAGGUGGAGCUUCGGGUUGGAGUCGGGUCAGAGCAGAGUGUCGCGGGUUGUCAAGUGGCGCGGCAGGAGCAGGUGGAUUGGAUUGCAGCGAAUGGUGCUGUAGGUGCUACGAUGGGGGGCGGGAUGCGGUGGUACUUCAGAGACGGUGAGCGAGCGGUCGAAGGUGCGGUGGCGUCGGUUGUUGCAGAGGUGUGGAUUGGGUGGCACUCCGGCGUUCUGGCGGGUGAACAGGAGGUCGCAGGUGGUGGCAAAGCGGCUCGACUCGGGCUCAGGUCGUUGCGAGGAGUCGAUCGGGGAUUGUUGGUGUCGCGUCGCCGCGGGUGGAGCGACAGGCGGUGAUGGCAGGGCAACAAUGGCUGGCGAGCGGUCGACUCAGGCGGCGAAAGUUCAACGGAGAAGAAGCACAGUAAAUUAACUUUACUGUGUCUUCUCUCUCCUCUGCUGCCUUUGUUUUCCUACUUUUUGCUUCUUCUUACGUCACUUUCACUGCUCCCUCUCUCACGUUUCUCUGCUGUGCUUCUCUCCCUUUCUCAAGAACUCCACGGACAGCUCCUUUAAGCACAAAAAUUCUUUUUCCUUUUUAUGAAUUUUGACUUUGAAAACCAAAAAGCCCCCCAAUCUCUCUCCGUACAUGUUGCUUUUAUAGGUAAAAAUAGGUGAUCUUCGUAGAAUAUUUGAUCUCGCUUUUUUCAAUAUACACGAAGAUAGUUUAUAACCUCCCGAUCACCAAAAAUCCUCUUAUUUUCUUUAUCUCCUUAAUAUUCCCAAUGAUUUUAUCGCCUAAAGAUUAAAGAUAAGAUUGCAACCCGAUUUUCUUAAAUUUCAAGAACCACCGCAAUAUCAUAUCAAAUCUUGAUUUAGAUAAUUUUGGUCAUUAAAAAAAAUGGGCUCGGGCCAAUUUGCUCAUUUCAUGGGCUUAGUCCAACCUGUUAAUUUAAAACUCAAAACUACUAAGUUGACCCAUCCGCCAUCGGUCCAAUAAAUAAAUGCACAAAAUGCAAAUUAAAAACAAAUGCAGGUAGAUUAAUAUGAUAUGCAAUUAGUAUAUAUAUAUAUAUAUAUAUAUAUAUAUAUAUAUAUAUAUUUUAGGUGUUAAAAAUUAAUCCUUUAUUUUUUAUGCAAUAAAUAAAAUUGCCAAAAUUUAGGUGUCAACAGCUGCCCCACUUUGAAAGUGAGCUCGAAGAGGUUGCCUUCGAAGACAAAUUGAGACCUAAAUUUUGACCAUGCACAUAUAUUGAAUGAUUUUUGGAAAAUGAAUUCCAUUUUUUAAUGCAAUUUAUAUGAUGAAAACACAAAUGAUAAAUGAACCUACCUGGAAUUACUUACCUUUUAAGGAGGAUAGAGUAACUCAAGAUAGAUUGGUGUUACAUGUCCAGGACCCGUACCAUUUUACGGUCACCCAGAAUAGCAACAUGGCUUCGCAAAGAGAUUGCUUUCCCAGGACUCGUACCAUUAUACGAUCGCCCAGUAUGGCAUUGUUUGGUUGCGUCUAGAACCCGUACCACUCUACGAUCGCCUAAACAAGGAUUUACCUUCCAGGACCAGUACCAUUCUGCGGUCGCUUGAAUAGGAAAACAUGUUUUGUCUAGGACCCGUACCAUUCUACGGUCGCCUGAAUAGGGAAAUAGGUUUUAUUUAGGACCCGUACCAUUGUACGGUCGCCUGAAUAGGGAAAUAGGUUUUACUUAGGACCCGUACCAUUCUACGGUCGCCUAAACGGGGAUUUACUUUCCAUGACUCGUACUAUUCUAUGGUUGCCUGAAUAGGGAAAUAAACGCUAUAUAGGAUCCGUACCAUUAUAUGGUCGCCUAAACGAGGUUUUGCUUGGCUAAGACCCGAACCCUUCUUCGGUCGCCCAGCUUUGCAAUAGAGAUCAUCUAACCAAGACCCGAACCUUUCUUCAGUCACCUUAAUCAGAUUGAAUUUGGAGAAAAAUAUUUAGGGAGGACAACUCAAUUGAGUGUCGGUUUACUUGUGCAACGACAAGUAGUUAAAGUAUGGAUAGGGAUAUACUUACCUGGUAACAUCUCAGAUCCUCGAGGAUAUGUCUCCUGUAAAACAUGGUUGUAGGAGAGGCAACAUACAUUUGUAAUCGCAAGCACACAUUAAUUCAAUAGAGGUUCAUGAUGAUUUCUAUGAAUCUCGCAUCACCUAAUUCCAACAGGAAUGAUUUCAAAAGUAGAUUCCAAUAUGAACGCAUGAGCGUCAUGGAUGUGUCGAAUGAGGGAUCAUUUAGUCUGAAAGGACUUUUCACUCAUCCUCAUUAAAAUGAGCGGUUUAUCCUGACCUUUGCUAUAGGAUUUUAACAAUCACUUUAUUUCACUGUCAUCAUGCCAAACAAGAGUCUGGGCAAUCUCGCAAGUGGUACGACCUUACCAAUCUGAGAGGCUUUUUACGGGGACCGUAAUAUGGGCUUGGUCAACGGUUUAACCAAGGAGACUCUUUGAGUCGAGGCUAUUGAAAAAUGACAUUUCAUAAUCGUCUUGGGAUUUAUACAAAAUGAGGCAGAAAUUAUCUUACUCGCACUUCUUCAAGCGAUGCUUUUGAACAUGUGAACUUUUACGUUAAUUCAAAUGCCAUAAUCUGAAGAGAUUUUGCAAGGGACGUAACGUAGGCUUGGUUCAUGGAUUGAAAAACGAACGGAUUAUUAGGCUCAAAAAGUGUUUAGGGGAUCAAAGUUGGUGAUCAUCUUCACAUUUCUAUCAGUUUUCUUCUCCACUGUCGAAAAUUUCCUUCAUAUCAUAACUCCAUUGAUUGCAAUAGCAUUUGAGUUUUUUAGUAUCACCCUGCUAGGGAUACGACUUCAACCAAUGUUUGAUUGAUUGAUUGAUUGAUUUUUAUUUUUUUGGCAUCGGUCUUGCUUUUACCAGGCACACUGCUUUUUCAUUCUCCAUUUUUUACUUAUUUUCUUUGGACAAAGUCUCUAUUUUUGUCAGCAAUCUAGUUCAUGCCACUUGAAUGUUUUUGUCUGGCCCUAGUGUGGGGGAUGAUCACCAACUAGAUUUAAUAUGAAAUGAGUUUAUAAGCUCAAGUGGGCUAUGCAAUGGAUAAAAAAGUAUAGGAUAGAGAAAUAACUGCUCUUCAUCAUCCUAAGGCACUUUAAAUUACCGUACAAGUUACACUGUGAAAGCAAUACUCAAAGAUUGAUGCAAGUGUGAGUAACAAGAUUCCUACCAUUCAUUUCAAAUUUGUCCCAAUGUGGGAUGAUUCUUGACAGGGGAUAAUUUAAAAAGAAUCUCCAUAAGCGUUCGCUUAUGGGGCUCAAAGGGGUUAAGCAAUUGAUCACCUGUAGUAUUUGGGAUAGAGAAAAGAAUGCCUUCUAUCACUUUGGUUGACGUACCCUUUGCGAGAUCACCUUUCCCUUGCAGGCAUGGAAUUUUCCACACAACUCACUGGAGCUCAGUGUAUGAAAUAGCGUAUGAAAUAAGUCUCGCCUUUCAUCACUCCAAGAUAUCCCAUUUGACACAUUCAAUUUAUCUCACACAAUUCAUCAAGAAAGAAAAAUGCAAGUUUUGCAGCAAACUUGAAUAAUUCAACUCAUUGAAGCAAUUUAUUUAACAUAAAAAUGCUUGCAGUUCAAAACAUGACAUGGUAAAUUCUAUCACGGGUAAUACUUCUUGACAGCAUCGGAAUGAACCGGAUUGGAAAACUCACGACCAUCCAUUUCUGCAAGGAUCAAGGCACCUCUAGGAAGUACCUUCUUCACCACAUAAGGACCACUAUAAUUUGGAGCGAACUUGCCCUUAGGAUCUGGAAAUAUUGGUAACAGCUUCCUUAGAAUGAGAUCAUUUACCUCGAAAUAUCUCGACCGCACCUUCCAAUUGAAAGAUCUGGCUACUCUCUGUUGAUGUGUUUGGCCAUGGCAGAGAGCCUUCAGUCCUUUUUUGUUAAUCAAGUUCAACUGUUCAAAUCUUUAUUGUGACCAUUCCGCCUCAGAUAGAUUCACUUGGGAUAAAACUCUCAGAGAAGGAAUCUCCACUUUGAUAGGCAGAACUGCCUCCAUAACAAACACCAGAGCAAAAGGGGUUGCCCCAGUAAAAGUGCAGAUCGAUGUUCGGUACGCCAUCAAUGCGAAAGGUAACCUGUCAUGCCAAUCUCGAUAAUUCUCGGUUGUCUUAGCCAAGAUCUUCUUAAUGUUCUUAUUGGCCGCUUCAACAACCCCAUUCAUUUGAGGGCAGUAAGGAGACGAAUUUAGAUGCUUGAUCUUGAACUCGUUGAAGAACCUAUCAACAAGUUUGUUGUUCAAAUUUGUCCCGUUAUCAGUAAUGAUUGUUUUAGGAACGCCAUAAUGAGCAAUUAUGUCAUGUUUAACGAAUUUCACAACAUUGCGGGCAGUUACAUUUGCAAAGGAUGUAGCUUCGAUCCAUUUGGAGAAAUAGUCUAUCGCCACCAAGAUGAAUUGAUGCCCAUUUGAAGCUUUAGGGUUGAUUAGGCCAAUCACAUCAAUGCCCUCACAUCGAGAAAGGCCAUGGUUCAGAAAACUGGUGCAACUCAAUUGGAGGAACAUUUAUCUUAUUUCCAUGGAUUUGGCAACGAUGACAACUUAGAACAUGCUGGAUGCAAUCAUUUUCCAAUGUGAGCCAGUAGUAGCCUAAUCUCAUGAUCUUCUUGGCUAACAUGUGUCCAUUCAUAUGAGGGCCACAUACUCCUUCGUUUAUUUCUUGCAUGAUUUGAGCGGCAUGGGCCACAUCUACACACCACAACAAGACCGAAUCGUAAGAUCUCUUGUACAGAUUCUCACCACUAAUGAAGAAUUUCGAGGCCAUCUUCGUGAUGUACUUCCUAUCAGCCUGAGUGCUUCCUUCAAAUAAUUCUUACUUUUUAAUGUAAUUCAUGAUAUCGUAAUACCAUGGUUUUCUAUCAGGAUCUUCAGUCACGGUCAUAAAAUAAGACGGUUUUGGCAAAACCUCUAUUUUCAGAAGCUCGACCUCUAACCCAUCAGUGACUUGCAACAUAGAAGACAAAGUUGCAAGUGCGUCUGAAAAUUGAUUAUGAGACCUUAGCAAGUAUUCAAAUGAAAUUUCAUCGAACUCCUUUACCAGAUCUUCUAAAUACUUAUGAUACAAGAGCAAUUUCAUCUUUAGUCUUCCAUUCACCUACGGUCUGUAGUAUGAUCAUCGCUAAAUCUCCGAACACUUUUAACUUAGCCACACCCAUCUCAAUUGUGGCCUGAAGCCCAAGGAUGCAAGUUUCAUACUCGGCCACAUUGUUAGUGCAUGGGAAUAUCAAUUUUGCAGCUACCGGAUGGUGUUGUCCCCAAAUGGAUAUUAGAACUGCUCUAGUACCAGAUUCAGACAAGUUCAUGGCUCCAUCAAAGAACAUUGUCCAUGAAUCUUCACUUACGUUCAAGACACGAUCAUCUAGGAAACUGUCAUCAUAAUUUGAGACCCCUAAAUUCUCAGCCAAUAGAUCAACAAUCACUCGACCCUUAACUGACUUUUGUGGCAUGAAUUGCACAUCAAAUUCUGAGAUCAAAAUCUGCCGUUUAGCCAACUUACCCACCAAAGUUGGCCGAUCAAGUAAGUACUUGAUAUGAUUGUUCUCAAUCAUUAGGAAAGUCUAGUAAUGCAGCGUGUACUGUUGCAAUAUAUGCAAUACCCACACCAAUGUGGCACAAGUCUUUUCCACAUUAGAAUAUUUUAGCUCUGGUAUCGUGAAUUUUUUACUCAAAAAAAAAUGGCUUGUUCUUUUUUAUCGACAGGACUUUCCUGAGCCAACAUUACACCCAGUGACUCACUAUGAAUGGUGAGGUAGAGAAUCAAAGGAUGCCCCGGCGAUGGCUAGACAAGCAUCGAUGGAUUCAUCAAGUACUACUUCAAUUUGUCGAAUGCUUCUCAACACUCAUCAUCCCAGUUGACUCAUGCGUUCUUCUUUAGGAGCUUGAAGGAUGGUUUGGCGGUUUCAAAAAGCUGGGAAAUGAAUCGAGCAAUGUAAUUCGACCUCCCCAAAAGGCUCCAGACUUCUUUCACCGUUGACGGAGGUUGCAGCUCACAAAUGGCCUUAGCUUUAGCUAGGUCGAAUUCAAUCCCUUUAUUGCUCACAAUGAAUCCAAGUAAUUUACCAGAUGUUGCUCCGAACACGCACUUAGCGGGAUUUAGUCGAAGCUUGAACUUGCGGAGUCGAUCAAACAACUUCUUCAAGGUCUCAACGUGGCUUUUUCCAGGUCCAAUCUUUGCAAUCAUAUCAUCAACAUAGACCUCAAUCUCUUGAUGCAAUAUGUCAUGAAACAAUGCUAUCAUGGCUCGUUGGUAAGUUGCCCCUGCAUUUUUUAGUUUGAAGGGCAUAACUUUAUAAUGAUAGGUUCCCCACGGGGUGAUAAAUGCAGUCUUCUCCUUGUCUUCCUCCUUCAUCCUUAUUUGAUUGUAACCAGAAAAACCAUCCAUAAAUGAUAAUAGUUCAAAACCAGCGGUACUAUCCAUAAGGACAUCUAUGUGUGGUAACAAAAAAUCAUCUUUCAGACUAGCCUUGUUCAAAUCCAAAUAAUCAACACAAACGCGAACCCGACCAUCCUUCUUCAUUACUGGUACAAUGUUGGCCACCCAUUUGGGGUAUUGUGAGACUUCAAAGAAUCCCACCUUCAAGAGUUUCAUCACUUCCUCCUCUAUCUUCUUUAAGAGUUCAGGCUUAGUUCUUCGCAGCCUCUGCUUCUUAGGUGGCACGUUCGAAUUAGUAGGUAGGUAAUGCUCCAAAAUUGACGAGUCUAGCCCGGGCAUGUCAGCGUAGGUUCAUGCAAAGAUGUCUGGAUAUUCCUUCAGUAACUGAAUUAGGCACUCAAUCGUGUCUUUGGGGAGACUCGCCCUAAUUUUCACUUCCCUGGCUUCUUCAGUGUCACAUAAAUUAAUAGCGACGAUCUGCUCGGACGUAAGAGCCUUGGCUUUUUCAUGUUGUUCCCAGCUACGUUGCACCUCAAUGGAAUCCUUAAUCGAGUAUUCGGGAUCAUCAUUAUCAGCACUUGUUGCAUUAGAUUGGACCAUUUUCACACAUUUGCGUGCUAUAUGAUCGUCCCUGAAACAGAAUGUAGAUAGAUCAAAAAGACAAACGGGGUAGAUCAUAUGUAUCUAUCUUCUUUUUUUAAAAAAAAAGAAUUUUCUUUUGAAAAAAAAUGAAAAGUAAUUGCAAAGGCAUUUUUUGAAACAUUUUGACACAAGAAAGCAUGAUGAAACCCAAGCCUCAGAAUUCUCCUUGGAUUUUUCAUUUGUUUUAUCGGUUGGAUAUCAUCCCCUGGGUAGUUUGGUCUGCCUCAUCAUGCUCUCAAAAUAAAGGUUGUAAUUUUAUUGAAAUUCAUCAAUCAAUUACAAUUUAUUGAAUGGAAAAUGCAAUUCAAGUCCUAAGAAGAAAAAUAAGAAAUCGAAACAAUCCCUAGAAAGCAAUAAAAAUUUCCACGCAGGGGAAUGUGCAAAAGUGAUAAAUGGGUUACUCUUGUGGGCCAGGGCCCAUUUCUUCUAGAAGUUCUCCAUCAAUGGCUCCUAUGAUGAGGUCAUCAAAUAAGUUUGCAACUCCUUCCAGCUCAUCAUCAAGGUUUUCGGUCUUCAGGGGUGUUGAAUCAUCCAUACCAUCCCACCCAUCUGGGACCAUGACAUGUGGAUCAAUAUAGAAGCUGGGAGGAGCCAAAUACUUCACUAGGUAAUUAAACUUGCCACUAGGCUGCCCCAGAGUGUCUAUCACUUCCGCCUCAUCCUACAUCAUUCUUGGAGGACCGGGGAAUGUCUCAUGAAUGCUCAGGGGUAGCGGGUUUUGCCUCCCUCGCUCUUGAUCAGGUGGUGGGUUAUGCCUUCCUUGUCUUUGUCCUCUUGAACUUCCCCUACCUCUUCCAUGGUACCCUAAACUAGCAGAACGGGACCUCUGAGGAUGGGGCUUCGAAUGCCCCGACCAUUCCUUCCAAGACCAUUGCCAAGAACAAAACCAUUUCCGACAAUUACGCUUCCCACCAUGAGGGCAGCAUCUGAAACUUCGGGAAUAGGCGGUGAUGAACCUCGAGAAGUAUGUAUGGUGGAUACUAACUCAAAUGAGUGGUAACUUGAUUCGAACUCAGAAUCCGGCUCUACAUAGGGGAUAGUCGUCUCAUGAUAGAUCCAGUGGUCUUCCUCACCAUACACGAUGACCAGCUUCUUUUCGAUCACAAAUUUCAUAGCUUGAUGUAGACUUGAAGGCACUACUCCAGCAGUGUGUAUCCAGGGACAACCCAGCAGGAAAUUGAAUGCGGUAAGGAUGUCCAGCACUUUCAAGGGAAUGUUGAAGACGACUAGCCCUAUAUGUACAUCGAGAUGGAUUUCUCCGAUCACCUCCUUUUUAGUUCCAUCAAAAGCUCGUACCAAGGUCUUCGCGGCAUGUAUCCUCGACGGGUCUACCUUGAGGCAGUGAAGGGUGGCUAAUGGACAUAUGUUCACAGUGGACCCAUUAUCGAUGAGCACUCAGGACACAUGAGAAGACUUAUGUUUAACAGAUAUGUAGAGUGCUUUGUUAUGUCCCUGGCCUUUGAGAGGGAAUUCCUCAUCAGAAAAGGCAAUCAAAUCCUUGAGAAGGAUCGAUCCCACAAAUUCUUCCAACUUGUUCGCCUCAACCGUCUUUGGCACAUGAAUUUCACUCAACACCUUCAUUAGUGACUUCUGAUGUACGGUAAAUGUUAGCAAGAGCUCGAGUAAGGAGAUCUAAGCGGGCAUUUUUCACAAUUGGUCAACCACGUUAUACUCGCUCGCUUUGAUUACGGUUGGAAACUCCUUAGCCUCUUCAUCAGUGACCGGCUAUGCAAAUUGAGCAUUGGCUUGACCAUAGGUUCGACCAGACCUUGUAACAAGGUCAACAUCUAAAUCAUAAGACCAAGGCACUACCUUAUUGUUGACAUACUCAUAUGGUUAAGGCAUCUCGAUCACAAUCUCCUCAUUAGAUGCAUCUUCUAGCAGGGGCAUAUCCGCGAGUGACGGAUUUACUUCUUCCUUACCAUCAUUGAGAGCAGCUUGCUCCUCCUUCUAAUCAAUGAUGAUGUGAGAAAUAGUGGAAACUACGCAAUUAUAGUCAGCAUACACAAUGAUACCGUCAUCCACCAUUUUGAGAAAUUCUUUCUUUCAUCAGUGAUAGGGGAACAUCUUCUUGAUCUGGAUAAUAUCCAGCUCUCACCAGUCCAUUGUAGGCAUUUGCCACAUGCACCUUCGAGUUUCUGAUCCGACUGACUUCAGGUUCUAGGAUAGCAUUCACUAUACUCUCAUGCUCGAGUAGUGGAUUCUUCUGGACGUUCGGCCAAGCAGUUUGAAAAGAAAAGACUUUCGUGUCUAAGAGGUUUUGGAUCUUGUGCUUAAGGAUCAAACAUUCAUUAGUUGAAUGCCCCAGUUCACCGCUAUGGUAGUCACGCUUCUUCAUCGGGUCGUAACCUCGAAGGAUUAUCAGCACUUAGGAUGGAGACCUAGGGAGAGGAGAUAAUUGCCUUCUAUUAUUCGAUUGGGCAAAUGAUUGACGGCCAGUGGUUUGAGGUUGUCUUGGAUUCAUUUGGAUAGCCGGGGCACGUUUGACAUUUUCUUGGCUAUAAGCCACAUUCACAUCCACAGCUGCUUCUUUCUCAUUCUUGGCAGUGAAUCUUUUACUAGAUGGCUCAGUAAACCAUUCUUCCCUUAUCCCAUCUCGAUCUGUUCUCCUACAGGAAUAAGCUGAUUGAAGCUUUCGACGUACGUAUUGGCCAUUCGGUUACGAAACUCGGAUGGGAGGGUCUUCAUGAACAACUUCAUCAACUCCUUGUUGGUAGGCUCAAGAGUGAUUUGAGCCGCCAGGUUUCUCCAUCUCACAGCAUAUUCUUUAAAUGACUUGCUCAUCUUCUUUUCCAUCCACUCCAGGUCUUCUCGGGAAGGUGUGAUGUCCAUGUUGAACUUGUACUGUUUGAGGAACGUGUCAGCCACUUCGUUCCACGUGUCGAGCAGGUUCACAUUGUUCAUCACGUACCAGUUUAGUGCGGGUCCGAUCAAACUCGCAUGGAACGAUUGGAUCAUGAGGGGCUCGUUUUUUACGUGAUGGGCUAUGUGCAAGUGGUACAUCUAUAGAUGAGAUUUUGGGCAAGAUGUACCGUCAUACUUCUCAAACUCCGGCAUUUUGAACUUACUUGGCAUUUUAACCUUCUCAUAGACUGAGAGGUCGAACGGGAGUGAGCUUUAUGACUCCUGCAGCUGUCUCACUUUCUCUUCCAGCUUUGCAACGCGAUCAUCUUGAUCUAUCUUGGGAACGCUGUCAAUCUUGGCCUUUCCAACAAGGACUGAGUCAUCUUCCAGCCCGGGCAUGUCGUCGUCAAUCGUUUGAACCUUGUUUGCUUGCUUCGGGAUAACUAUUUCGGGAAGAGCGGGUGUAGCUGUUGGAUUCGCUUGGAGGAAUUGGAGUUGAUUCGUCACAAGCUGUAUAGAGGCGAGUACUUGUUGGAGUUGAGUCUCCACAGCGGACAUAUGAUCAUGCAUUUCAUUUUGGUGAACCAUUUUAGCCCUUGACCGUGUAAUAAUAGGCGAUCGCGGUGGAUCCGUUGUCACCUAAGGGAGGAAAGAGGUAAUGUAAGAACCAAUGACAAGAUAGGAAAAUGGCUCAUGACAAUGGUCUAAUCGCCUGAUUUUAUUCAAAAUUCACUUGAAACAUAAAGUCAAACUUCCUAACAAUGAACUAAGAAUUGAAAUUCAAGUCCCUAAACAUUGAACUAAAAAUUGAAAACAUUGAAUUGAAAAUUGAAAUCAAGAUCCCUAAACAUCAAAAUUCAAAACAUCUCAUUUUAUAUGCUUUCGGGAUCCCAACGCCUUGCGAAGCUUCUUAUUUUCAACUUCAAUCAUUUCCACUUUCCACUUAAGAUGCUCAAUUUAUGCUCGCUGAGUAGGCUUCUCGGUCACAUCAGGGACCACCGAACGCAUGCUGGAUCUCCUCCUUGCCUUUCAGUCUCUUGGGCACCAAAAUCUUCUGUAGAUGGCAUUCAUUCCGUGCAGCAAUGAUCAUCUGGACCUUGUUGAAGUAAUCAUAGUCCACACGAACAAAAUGAACUUGGAACAAUUCCGUCUUAAGGGGUGGAGAAACUUCUUGAAGAGCUCUGCACUGACGGGCCACCCUAUAUGGGUAAUAAGAGAUAGCACCAUAAAGGCCCAGCAACGGAAUUGGCCCAUCAUACUUAUGAGAGAAACAAGCCUCCUCAACAUGAAGCCAUUUUGUAUGCCAUAGGAAUGCCUUAGGAUUAGGAUUUUUCAAAAAAUUAACCCAACGGACGUAUUGUUUAUUUGGGGAAAAACAUUCCAAGAUUGCAAAUUUUUGUAUGGGGUGCCUUAAAUCAUCAAUCUUAAGUUGUUUCAUAAGGUGCCCAAAACCUUUUAUGUGCGAGAAAAACCAUAUUUGCAAAAGUUCAGGGAGGGCACGCAUGGUCUUUUCUUCAUUUUGUUUGAAACGAUUUAAUGACAAAAAUGUUUUAGUUAAAACCAUAUUGACAUAAUUUAACCAGUCGCAAACACGAUUAACCACCCAUGAUAUUGAAGGAUUAAUGGCAUUUCUUCGAUGAGGAAAAACAAUUAGCCCGAAAAAUGCUAAAAUGAAGAUCCUAGCUUUUGAAAUCAUUGAUUGAUUUGCAAAACAUUCUUCCAAAAAAGAAAAUGAGCAUGCAAAACAAUUGACUUUGACAACUUUCCUUACUCUUUCGGCUUCGAUUUCUAAAAAUUGUGAUAAUUCUAAAAUAGAAUCUAUACCGAUAGGCGGUUUAACAAGUUCCUUUUCUAGGGGCAUUCCAAUGGCAACACUAUAUUCUUCAAGCGUUGAAGUCAGCUCGAACUCACCAAAUAUGAAGGUGGAAGUUUGUGGACACUAGAAGUGAGGGAGUGCCUGUAUCACACCAGAGUGGAUGUUGAUCUCUAAUCGUGGGAGAAGUCGGGCGAUCAUGGCUUUCACAUAUCUUUGGCCAUCUUGAUCUAACUGGUCCAACCACACUUUGAGCUCUUUUUUGGGAGUGGAAAUGAAUUGUAUGUCGGUUUUCCCCAUUGCAUAUAAAACAAGACUGACAACGGAACCUAUCAUCAUGGACCGACAAAAAUUACAAUAAAGUAAGUAAAUUGCAAAGAAUUUAGACAACUUACUUUCACUAGAAACGGAUGACAAUCACAUAAAUACACGCAUGAAAUGUGAGGCUCGAUUUCUAUCUAGAUGGCUUAACAAAGUGGAGCUAAAAGGAUGAUUUGACCGUUCCAGUCUCGCAUUAACGUGUCAGGUCCCCCUAACUCUAGCUCAGUCGAAUGGAAUGUCCAAUAGUCACGCAGUCUCGCGGAUAUGGACAAACACAUUCGACACCAUGAAAACUUUUGGGGAAGAGAAUGUCAAUCUCUACAUAGCAGUCUCGCUUUAGAGGAAGUAUCAUUCUCAACACCAUCCUAAAAAUCUUAUCACAGCCCAGGUCCGGUCACAGGUUAUGUGUGCAAUAGUGUAGUGCUAAAAGCAAUAAAACAUGCACAACGGUUUAAAUGCAAACAACACUUCUAAUUACGGAAAAAAAAUCAGUCAUCCCACACUCCAACCUACAAGACAAAUGUUAGUAAAGACUACUCUCCUUAUACCUCCCAUCUGCAAAAACAUUUAAUACCUUAGAAAUGUUAAGGGCGUACCUAGUGUCCUUGCUGCCAAACAAAAACAUUUUUACAAGAAAAAGAAAAAUUGACCUAAGUCCACUAAGUGUUUUAACACAAGUCCCCAGCGGAGUCGCAAAGCUGUCGCGACCUAAAAUUUUGGUGCACUACCUAAAACUAGGUUAAUGGACUACUAAGUCUUUAAGCUUAGCUUGGGCUCUCCCAAGCCCAUACCAAUUCGCGACUUAAAGUUCAAAUAUGCAAAAGAUUAUUUUUUAGGAGUCGCCACUAAUCAAUUUUUGGUCGAUCGAUUAGACACCUAAGUAAAAUAAUGGGAGCAUUAUUUUACUCCUACGAACCAAAAACUAAGAGUACGGGAACUUGGUUACACUAGAUUUCUCUAAUACCCUUUCAGUACUAUUUCUUUUCUUAAUUUUCAAAAAUAUUUUUGCAUGCAACUUGGAUAUAUUUUAAGCUAAAUUACUAACAUGCAAUGAGGUGAUCACACAGAUACCCAAUAAUUAAAAAAACUAGUAAAUAGAUCAAUUGCAUCACACAAAGCAAACAAUUUUUUGGGUUUUUUUUUUUUGAAAUAGAAUUUCAUCAUGCAUUCUAACUACAUGACCUAAUUUUAUUAACGAACAAAUUAUAAUUAAAUGAACCUAUUAACAAUCUGAUGAACCUAAUUCUAUAUGACGUGUGCAUGACUAUUCCUAACAAAAACAUGCAAUAUAUUUGGGAGAAAUUAUCUAAACCUAUAAUAUGCAAUCCUAACAUAUCAUGACGUGCAAAGAAUGCCAUAAUUCUACAUGACAUAUGCAUGAUAUUUUUUGUGUUUCUUUUAUAAAAUUCGAAACUUAAAAUUUCCACAUAAUUAAACAUGCAACUUAAAUUAAACAAAAACUAACAUCCUAAAUGAAUGCAUUUUUUUAUUUUUUUAUUUUUUUUUUGUAAAUUCGAAAUAAAAUCCCUAUCUUAAAAAAAAAUUAUUUAGGGCCAACCCUAACUUAUUUCUAAAAAUGCAAUACUAAAAAUAAGAUCCUAAAAAAAAUCUAAUUUACUAAACCUACAUGUCUAACUUAUUAAACCUACAUGCUUUGAUGCAAGGUUUUGACUUUUUUUUUUUAAAGAUAAGUAAUUAUUAAAUAGAUAUUAAAUCUAAACUAUCAACAAAAUAAAGAUUAAAAUAAUCGAAAAAAUAACAUGUCUCACAGAUCAAAUUAACGAUUACCCUAACACUAAUUAUCACGACAAAGAGUUCAAAAUAAUAAAAAAUCUUAUCCGAAAUCUUACGGAUCAAAUUAAUAAUUAUAUUGAUUCAACAAUUAAAAUGCUAUCAACAAACCCCAAGAAUUAAUAUAAUUUAAAAAAUGACAUGACAUUGGAGUCAAAUUAAUAAUUACAAUAAUUUUAGGGAUAACUCAUGCCGAUAAUGCCUACAAUAAAACGAAAAUCAAUUCCUAGUAUUCCAAUUGGUACAAUAAUAGCAAAACUUAAAAAGGUAAAUAAAAUAAAAUAAAAUAAAUGAAAGAUAAAAGUAAAAAAAAUAAACAGCCUAAGGAUAGGGGGGCAGCGAAUGGGUCAACAGCACCGGGCAGAGGGUUGCCAUUGGUCGGAGCUCCGGCGCAGUGGUGGGUGAGCAGGAGGCAUCUAGCGGCUGGAUCGGCGUGGCAUCAGGGUGGAGAUGGGUGUGGUGUCGCGGUGGCUGGAUCGGCGUGGUGGUGGGCAGCAAUCAAAGGCUUGGGUCCGACCUCAAAAGAGCUUCGGCAGUGCGACUGAUUUGGGGCUCCAGUGGCGUUCGGAUCUGGCGCGAUGGCAACACUGGUGUGGCGGCCACGCGAGGGCUUUGUAGGUGGAGCUUCGGGUUGGAGUCAGGUCAAAGCAGAGGGUCGCGGGUCGUCAGGUGGCGCAAUAGGAGCAGUUGGAUCGCAUUGCAGCGACUAGUGCUGCAGGUGCUACGAUGGGGGGCGGGAUGCGAUGGUACUUUAGAGACGGUGAGCGGGCGGUCGAAGGCGUGACGGCGUCGGUUGCUGUAGAGGUGUGGAACGGGCGGCACUCCGGCAUUCCGGCGGGCGAACAAGAGGUCACGGGUGGUGGCAGAGCGGCUCGACUCGGGCUCGAGUCGUCGCAAGGAGUCGAUCGGCGAUUGCUGGUGUCGUGUCGCCGCAGGUGGAGCGACGGGCGGUGAUGGCAGGGUGACAACGGCUGGCAAGCGGCCGACUCAGGCGGCGAAAGUUCACCAGAGAAGAAGCACAGUAAAUUAACUUUAUUGUGUCUUCUCACUCCUCUGCUGCCUUUGUUUUCCUGCUUUUUGCUUCUUCUUACGUCACUUUCACUGCUCCCUCUUUCACGUUUCUCUGCUAUGCUUCUCUCCCUCUUUUGAAAACUCCACGGACAGCUCCUCUAAGCACAAAAAUUCUUUUUCCUUUUUAUGAAUUUUGACUUCGAAAACCAAAAAGCCCCCCAAUCUCUCUCAGUACAUGUUGCUUUUAUAGGUAAAAAUAGGUGAUCUUCGUAGAAUAUUUGAUCUCACUUUUUUCAAUAUACACAAAGAUAGUUUAUAACCUCUCGAUCACCAAAAAAACCUCUUAUUUUCCUUAUCUCCUUAAUAUCCCCAAUGAUUUUAUCGCCUAAAGACUAAAGAUAAGAUUGCAACCCAAUUUUCUUAAAUUCCAAAAACCACCGCAAUAUCAUAUCAAAUCUUGAUUUAGAUAAUUUUGGUCGUUAAAAAAAAUGGACUCUGGCCAAUUUGCUUGUUUCAUGGGCUUAGUCCGGCCUGUUAAUUCAAAACUCAAAACUACUAAUUUGACCCAUCCACCAUCGAUCCAAUAAAUAAAUGCACAAAAUGCAAAUUAAAAACAAAUGUAGCUAGAUUACUAUGCUAUGCAAUUAAUAUAUAUAUAUUUAGGGGUAUAUUUAGGGGUUAAAAAUUAAUCCCUUAUUUUUUAUGCAAUAAAUAAAAUUGCCAAAAUUUAGGUGUCAACAGCUGCCCCUCUUUGAGGUUACAUUCAAAGACAAAUUGAGACCUAAAUUUUGACCAUGCACAUGUAUUGAAUGAUUUUUGGAAAAUGAAUUCCGGAAAAUGAAUUCCAUUUUUGAAUGCAAUUUAUAUGAUGAAAACACAAAUGAUAAAUGAACCUACUUGGAAUUACUUACCUUUUAAGGAGGAUAGAGUAACUCAAAAUAGAUUGGUGUUACAUGUCCAGAACCCGUACCAUUCUACGGUCGCCCAGAAUAGCAACAUGGCUUCGCAAAGAGAUUGCUUUCCCAGGACCCGUACCAUUAUACGGUCGCUCAGUAUGGCAUUGUUUGGUUGUGUCUAGGACCCGUACCACUUUACGGUCGUCUAAAUGAGAAUUUACCUUCCAGUACCUAUACCAUUCUAUGGUCGCCUGAAUAGGGAAAUAGGUUUUGUCUAGGACCUGUACCAUUCUACGGUCGCCUAAACAAGGAUUCACUUUCCAAGACUCGUACCAUUCUACGGUCGCUUGAAUAAGGAAAUAAAUGCUGUCUAGGAACCGUACCAUUCUACUGUCGCCUAAACGAGGUUUUGCUUGGCUAAGACCCGAACCCUUCUUCGGUCGCCCAGCCUUGCAAUAGAGAUCAUCUAACCAGGACCCGAACCUUUCUUUAGUCGCCUUAAUCAGACUAAAUUUGGAGAAAAAUCUUUGGGGGGGGGGGGGACAACUCAAUUGAGUGUCGGUAUACCUGUGCAACGACAAGUAUUUAAAGUAUGGAUAGGGAUAUACUUACCUGGUAAUAUCUCAGAUCCUCGAGGAUAUGUCUCCUGCAAAACAUGGUUGUAGGAGAGACAACAUACAUUUGUAAUCGCAAGCACGCAUUAAUUCAAUGGAGGUUCAUGAUGAUUUCUAUCAAUCUCGCAUCACCUAAUUCCAACAAGAAUGAUUUCAAAAGUAGAUUCCAAUCUGAACGCAUGAGCAUCAUGGAUGUGUCAAAUGAGGGAUCAUUUAGUCUGAAAGAACUUUUCACUCAUCCUCAUUAAAAUGGGCGGUUUUAUCCUAACCUUUGUUGCAGAAUUUUGACAAUCACUUUAUUUCACUGUCAUCAUCCCAAAUAAGAGUCUAGGCAAUCUCACAAGUGGUACGAUCUUACCAAUCUGAGAGGUUUCUUACGAGGACCGUAAUAUGGGCUUGGUCAACGGUUUAACCAAGGAGACUCUUUGAGUAGAGGCUAUUGAAAAAUGACAUUUCGCAAUCGUCUUGGGAUUUAUACGAAAUGAGGCAAAAAUUAUCUUACUCGCACUUCUUCGAGCGAUGCUUUCGAACAUGUGAACUUUUACGUUAAUUCAAAUGCCCUAAUCUAAAGAGACUUUGCAAGGGACAUAACGUAGGCUUGGUUCAUGGAUUGAGAAACAAGAGGAUCAUUAGGCUUAAAAAGUGUUUAGGGGAUCAAAGUUGGUGAUCAUCUUGACAUUUCUAUCAGUUUUCUUCUCCAUCGUCGAAAAUUUCCUUCACAUCAUAACUCCAUUGAUUGCAAUAGCAUUUGAGUUUUUUAGUAUCACCCUGCUAGGGAUACAACUUCAACCAAUGUUCGAUUGAUUGCUUGAUUGAUUUUUUUUUUGGGCAUCGGUCUUGCUUUUACCAGGCACACUAUUUUUUCAUGCUCCAUUUUUUACUUAUUUUCUUUGGACAAAGUCUCUAUUUUUGUUAGCAAUCUAGUUCACGCCACUUGAAUGUUUUUGUCUUGCCCCGGUGUGGGGGAUGAUCACUAACUGGGUUUAAUAUGAAAUGAAUUUAUAAGCUCAAAUGGAUAAAAGUGUAUAGGAUAGAGAAAUAACUGCUCUUCAUCAUCCUAAGGCACUUUAAAUUACCAUACAAGUUACACUGUGAAAGCAAUACUCAAAAAUUGAUGCAAGUGUGAGUAACAAGAUUCCUACCAUUCAUUUCAAAUUUGUCCCAAUGUGGGAUGAUUCUUGACAGGGGAUAAUUUAAAAAAAAAUCUCCAUAAGCAUUCGCUUAUGGGGCUCAAAAGGGUUAAGCAAUGGAUCACAUGUAGUAUUUGGGAUAGAGAAAAGAAUGCCUUUUAUCACUUUGGUUGACGUACCCUUGCGAGAUCACCUUUCCCUUGUAGGCAUGUAAUUUUCCACACAACUCACUGGGGGUCAGUGUAUGAAAUAGCGUAUGAAAUAAGUCUCGCCUUUCAUCAUUCCAAGAUAUCCCAUUUGACACAUUCAAUUUAUCUCACACAAUUCAUCAAGAAAGAAAAAUGCAAGAUUUGUAGCAAAUUUGAAUAAUUCAACUCAUUGAAGCAAUUUAUUCAACAUAGAAAUGCUUGCAGUUCAAAACAUGACAUGGUAAAUUCUAUCACAGGUAAUACUUCUUGACAGCAUCGGAAUUAAUUGGAUUGGAAAACUCACGACCAUCCAUUUCUGCAAGGAUCAAGGCACCUCUAGGAAGUACCUUCUUCACCACAUAAGGAUUACUGUAAUUUGGAGCGAACUUGCCCCCAGGAUCUGGAAAUAUUGGUAACAGCUUCCUUAGAACGAGAUCAUUUACCUCGAAAUAUGUCGCCCGCACCUUUCGAUUGAAAGAUCUAGCUACUAUUUGUUGAUGUGUUUGGCCAUGGCAGAGAGCCUUUAGUCUUUUUUCGUCAAUCAAGUUCAACUGUUCAAGUCUUUUUUCAGAGGCUCGACCUCUAACCCCUCAAUGACUUGCAACAUAAAAGACAAAGUUGCGAGUGCGUCCGCAAAUUGAUUAUGAGACCUUGGCAAGUAUUCAAAUGAAAUUUCGUCGAACUCCUUUACCAGAUCUUCUAAAUACUUAUGAUACAUGAGCAAUUUGGCAUCUUUAGUCUUCCAUUCACCUAUGGUCUAUAGUAUGAUCUGCGUUGAAUCUCCGAACACUUUUAACUUAGCCACACCCAUCUCAAUUGUGGCCUGAAGCCCGAGGAUGCAAGCUUUAUACUCGGCCACAUUGUUAGUGCAUGAGAAUAUCAAUUUUGCAACUACCGAAUGGUGUUGUCUAUCUGGGGAUAUCAAAACUGCUCAAGUACCAGAACAAGACAAGUUCACGGCUCCAUCAAAGAACAUUGUCCAUGAAUCUUCACUUAUGUUCAAGACAAGGUCAUCUAGGAAACUGUCAUCAUUAUUUGAGACCCCUGAAUUCUCGACCAAUAGAUCAGCAAUAACUCGACCCUUAACCGACUUUUGUGGCAUGAAUUGUACAUCAAAAUCUGCCAUUUAGCCAACUUACCCACCAAAGUUCGCCGAUCAAGUAAGUACUUGAUAGGAUUGUUCUCAGUCACUAGGAACGUCUGGUAAUGCAGUGUGUACUAUCACAAUCUAUGUAAUACCCACACCAAUGUGGCACAAGUCUUAUCCACAUCAGAAUAUUUUAGCUCUGAUACCGUGAAUUUUUUACUCAGAUAAUAAAUGGCUUGUGUUUUUUUAUCGACAGGACUUUUCUAAGCCAACAUUGCACCCAGUGACUCACUAUGAAUGGUGAGAUAGAGAAUCAAAGGAUGCCCUGGCGAUGGCUAGACAAGCAUCGGUGGAUUCAUCAAGUAGUACUUCAAUUUGUCGUACGCUUCUCGACACUCAUCAUCCCAGUUGACUCGUGCAUUCUUCUUUAGGAGCUUGAAGAAUGGCUUGGCGGUUUCAGAAAGUUGAGAAAUGAAUCGAGCAAUGUAAUUCAACCUUCCCAAAAGGCUCCGGACUUCUUUCACCGUUGACGGAGGUUGCAGCUCACAAAUGACCUUAGCUUUAGCUUGGUCGAUUUCAAUCUCUUUACUACUCACAAUGAAUCCAAGUAAUUUACCAGAUGUUGCUCUGAACACACACUUAGUGGCAUUUAGUCGAACCUUGAACUCGCGGAGGCGAAGCUUCUUCAAGGUCUCAAUGUGGCUUUUUCCAAGUCGAGUCUUUGCAAUCAUAUCAUCAACAUCAACCUCAAUCUCUUGAUGCAUCAUGUCAUGAAACAAUGCUAUCAUGGCCCGUUGGUAAGUUGCCCCUGCAUUUUUGAGUCCGAAUGGCAUAACUUUAUAAUAAAAUGUUUCCCACGAAGUGAUAAAUGCAGUCUUCUCCUUGUCUUCCUCCUUCAUCCUUAUUUGAUUGUACCUGGAAAAACUAUCCAUAAAUGAGAAUAGUUCAAAACCAGCGGUAAUAUCCACAAGGACAUCUAUGUGUGGUAACGGAAAAUCAUCUUUCGGACUAGCCUUGUUCAGAUCCCGAUAAUCAACACAAAUGUGAACCCGACCAUCCUUCUUCCUUACUAGUACAAUUUUGGCCACCCAUUCGGGAUAUUGUGAGACUUCAAUGAAUCCCACCUUCAAGAGCUUCAUCACUUCCUCAUCUAUCUUCUUUGAGAGUUCGGGCUUAGUUCUCCGCAGCCUCUACUUCUUAAGUGGCACAUCCGAAUUAGUAGGUAGGUAAUGCUCCAUAAUUGACGGGUCUAGCCCGGGCAUGUCAACAUAGGUCCAUGCAAAGAUGUCUUGAUAUUCUUUCAGUAACUGAAUUAGGCGCUCAGCCUUGCCCCAAUUUUCACUUCCCUGGCUUCUUUACUGUCACCUAAAUUAAUAGUGACGGUCUGCUCGAACGUAAGAGCCUUGGCUUUUUCAUGUUGUUCCCAGCUACAUUGCACCUCAAUGGAAUCCUUGAUCGAGUCUUCAAGAUCAUCAUUAUCAGCACUUGUUGCAUUAAGUUAGACCAUUUCCACACAUUUGCAUACUGUAUGAUCGUCCCUGAAACAGAAUAUAGAUGGAUCAAAAAGACAAACGAGGUAAAUCAUAUUUAUCUAUCUUCUUUUUUUUUUUUAAGAUUUUUCUUUUGAAAAAAAAAUUGAAAAGUAAUUGGAAAGGCAUUUUUUGAAACAUUUUGACACAAGAAAGCGUGAUGAAACCCACGCCUCAGAAUUCUCCUUGGAUUUUUCAUUUGUUUUAUCGGUUGGAUAUCAUCCCCGGGCUGGUUUUGUGUGCCUCAUCAUGCUCUCAAAAUAAAGGUAGUAAUUUUAUUGAAAUUCAUCAAUCAAUUACAAUUUAUUGAAUGGAAAAUGCAAUUCAAAUCCUAAGAAGAAAAAGAAGAAAUCGAAAACAAUCCCUAGAAAGCAAUAAAAAUUUCCACGCAGGGGAAUGUGUGAAAGUGAUAAAUGGGUUACUCUUGUGGGCCAGGGCCCAUUUCUUCUAGAAGUUCUCCAUCAAUGGCUCCUAUGACGAGGUCAUCGAAUAAGCUUGCAACUCCUUCCAGCUCAUCAUCAAAGUUUUCGGUCUUCAGGGGUGUUGAAUCAUCCAUACCAUCCCACCCAUCUGGCACCAUGACACGUGGAUCAAUAUAGAAGCUAGGAGGAGCUUAAUACUUCACUAGGAAAUUAAACUUGCCACUAGGCUGCCCCAGAGUGUCUAUCACUUUCGCCUCAUCUUGCAUCAUUCUUGGAGGACCGAGGAAUGUCUCAUGAAAGCUCAGGGGUAGCAGGUUUUGCCUCCCUCGCCCUUGAUCAGAUGGCAGGUUCUGGCUUCCUUGUCUUUGUCCUCUUGAAUUUCCCCUACCUCUUCCAUGGUACCCUAAACCAGUAGAACGGGACCUUUGAGGGGCUUCAAUGGAGCUUCGAAUGCCCCGACCAUUCCUUCCAAGACCAUUGCCAUGAACAAAACCAUUUCCAACCAUUACUCUUCCCACCAUGAGGGCAGCAUUUGAAACUUCAGGAAUGGCCAGUGAUGAACCUCGAGAAGCAUGUAUGGUGGAUACCAACUGAAAUGAGUGGUAACUUGAUUUGAACUCAGAAUCCGACUCUACAUAGGGGAUAGUCAUCUCAUGAUAGAUCCGAUGGUCUUCCUCACCAUACACGGUGACCAGCUUCCUUUCGAUCACAAAUUUCACAGCUUGAUGUAGACUUGAAGGCAUUGCUCCAGCAGUGUGUAUCCAGGGACAACCCAGCAGGAAAUUGAAUGUGAUAGGGAUGUCCAGCACUUAGGAGGGAAUGUUGAAGACGACUAGCCCUAUCUGUACGUAGAGAUGGAUUUCUCCGAUCACCUCCUUUUUAGUUCCAUCAAAAGCUCGUACCGAGGUCUUCGCAGCAUGUAUCCUCGACGAGUCUACCUUGAGGCGAUGAAGAAUGGCUAAUGGACAUAUGUUUAGAGUGGACCCAUUAUCGAUGAGCACUCGGGACACAUGAGAAGACUUAUGUUUAACAGAUAUGUUGAGUGCUUUGUUAUGUCCUCGGCCUUCGAGAGGGAAUUCCUCAUCAAAAAAGGCAAUCAAAUCCUUGAGAUGGAUCGAUCCCACAAAUUCUUCCAACUUGUUCGCCUCAACCGUCUCUGGCACACGAAUUUCACUCAACACCUUCAUGAGCAACUUCUGAUUUACGGGAGAUGUUAGCAAGAGCUCGAGUAAGGAGAUCUGAGCGGGCAUUUUUCGCAAUUAGUCAACCACGUGAUACUCGCUCGCUUUGAUUACGGCUAGAAACUCCUUAGCCUCUUCAUCGGUGAUCGGCUUUGCAGGUUGAGCACUGGCUUGACCAUAGGUUCGACCAGACCUUGUAAGGAGGUCAACAUCUAAGUCAUAGGACCAAGGCACUGCCUUAUUGUUGACAUACUCAUAUGGUUGAGGCAUCUCGAUCACAAUCUCCUCAUCAGAUGCAUCUUCUAGCGGGGGCAUAUCUGCGAGUGACGGAUCUACUUCUUCCUUACCAUCAUUAAGAGCAGCCUGCUCCUCCUCCUAAUCGAUGAUGAUGUGGGAAAUAGUGGAAACCAUGCAGUUACGAUCAGCAUACACAACGAUGCCAUCAUCCACCAUUUUGGCAAUUCUUUCUUUCAUCAGCGAUAAGGGAACAUCUUCAUGAUCUGGAUAAUAUCCAGCUCUCACCAGUCCAUUGUAGGCAUCUACCAAAUGCACCUUCGAGUUCUUGAUCCGAUUAACUUCAGGUUCUAGGAUAGCAUUCACUGUACCCUCAUGCUCGGGUAAUGGACUCUUCUGGACAUUCGGCCGAGCAGUUUGAAAAGAAAAGACUUUCGUGUCUAAGAGGUUUUGGAUCUUGUGCUUAAGGGUGAAACAUUCAUUAGUUGAAUGCCCCAGUUCACCACUAUGGUAGUCACACUUCUUUAUCAGGUCAUAACCUCGAAUGCUUUCGUGGUUAGGACACUUUGGUUCGCUAGUAAGCAAACCUUUCUUUAAGAGGAUUAUCAACACUUGGGAUGGAGACCCAGGGAGAGGAGAGAAUUGCUUUCUAUUAUUCGAUUGGGCAAAUGAUUGACGGCCAGCGGUUUGAGGUUGUCUUGGAUUCAUUUGGAUAGUCGAAGCACGUUUGACAUUUUCUUGGCUAUAAGCCACAUUCACAUCCACAGCCGCUUCUUUCUCCUUCUUGGUAGUGAAUCUUUUACUAGAUGGCUCAAUAAACCAUCAUUCCCUUAUCCCCAUCUCGAUUUGUUCUCCUACAAUAAUAAGCUAAUUGAAGCUUUCGACAUACGUACUGGCCAUUCAGUUAUGAAACUCAGACGGGAGGGUCUUCACUAACAACUUCAUCAGCUCCUUGUUGGUAGGCUCAGGAGUGAUUUGAGCAGCCAGGUUUCUCCAUCUCACAGCAUAUUCUUUAAAUGACUCGCUCCUUUUCUUUUCUAUCCGCUCUAGGUCUUCUCGGGAAGGUGUGAUGUCCAUGUUAAACUUGUACUGUUUGAGGAAUGCGUCAGCCACUUCGUUCCAGGCGUCGAGGAGGUUCACACUCUUCAUCACGUACCAGUUUAGUGCAGGUCCGGUCAAACUCACAUGAAACGAUUGGAUCAUGAGGGGCUUAUUUUUUAUGUGCUAGGCCAUGCGCACGUGGUAUAUCUGCAGAUGAGAUUUUGGGCAAGAUGUACCGUCAUACUUCUCAAACUCCGGCAUUUUGAACUUGCUCGGUAUUUUGACCUUCUCAUAGACCGAGAGGUCGAACAGGAGUGAGCUUUGUGACUCCUGCAGCUGUCUCACUUUCUCUUCCAGCUUUGCAACGCGCUCAUCUUAAUCUGUCUUGGGAACGCUGUCAAUCUCGGCCUUUCCAACAAGGAUCGAGUCAUCUUCCAGCCUGGGCAUGUCGUCGUCAAUCGUUUGAACCUUGUUUGCUUGCUUCGGGAUAACUAUUUCAGGAAGAGCGGGUAUAGUUGUUGGAUUCGCUUGGAGGAAUUGGAGUUGAUUCGUCACAAGCUGUAUAGAGGCGAGUACUUGUUAGAGUUGAGUCUCCACAGCGGACAUACGAUCACGCAUUUCAUUUUGCUCGGCCAUUUUAGCCCUUGACCGUGUAAUAAUAGGCGAUCGCGGUGGAUCCGUUGUCACCUAAGGGAGGAAAGAGGUAAUGUAAGAACCAAUGACAAGAUAGGAAAAUGGCCCAUGACAAUGGUCUAAUCGCCUGAUUUUAUUCAAAAUUCACUUGAAACAUAAAGUCAAACUUCCUAACAAUGAACUAAGUUCAAGUCCCUAAACAUUGAACUAAAAAUUGAAAACAUUGAAUUGAAAAUUGAAAUCAAGAUCCCUAAACAUCAAAAUUCAAAACAUCUCAUUUUAUAUGCUUUCGGGAUCCCAACACCUUGCGAAGCUUCUUAUUUUCAGCUUCAAUCAUUUCCACUUUCCGCUUAAGAUGCUCAAUUUGUGCUCGCUGAGUAGGCUUCUCGAUCACAUCAGGGACCACCGAACGUAAGGCAGCAGAAAUCUGGUGUUGUUGGAUGUAGAAUGCCGACGCAUGGUGGAUCUCCUCCUUGCCUUUCAGUCUCUUGGGCACCAAAAUCUUCUCUAGAUGGCAUUCAUUACAUGCAGCAAUGAUCAUCUGGACCUUGUUGAAGUAAUCAUAGUCUGUACGAACAAAACGAACUUGUAACAAUUCCGUCUUGAGGGGCGGAGGAACUUCUUGAAGAGCUCUGUACUGACGGGCCACCCUAUAUGGGUAAUAAGAGAUAGCACCAGAAAGGCCUAGCAAUGGAAUUGGCCCAUCAUACUUGUGAGAGAAACGAGCCUCAUCAACAUGAAGCCAUUUAGUAUGCCAUAGGAAUGCCUUAGGAUUAGAAUUUUUCAAAAAAUUAACCCAACGGGUGUAUUGUUUAUUUGGGGAAAAACGUUCUAGGACCGCAAAUUUUUGUAUGGGGUGCCUUAAAUCAUCAAUCUUAAGUUGUUUCAUAAGGUGCCCAAAACCUUUUAUGUACGAGAAAAACCACAUUUGCAAAAGUUCAAGGAGGGCACGCAUGGUCUUUUCUUCAUUUUGUUUGAAACGAUUUAAUGACAAAAAUGUUUCAGUUAAAACCAUAUUGACAUAAUUUAACUCGUCGCAAACACGAUUAACCACCCAUGAUAUUGAAGAAUUAAUGGCAUUUCUUCAAUAAGGAAAAACAAUUAGCCCAAAAAAUGCUAACAUGAAGAUCCUAGCUUUUGAAAUCAUUUAUUGAUUUGCAAAAUAUUCUUCCAAAAAAGAAAAUGGGCAUGCAAAACAAUUGGCUUUGACAAUUUUCCUUACUCUUUCGGCUUCGAUUUCUAAAAAUUGUGAUAAUUCUAAAAUAGAAUCUAUACCGAUAGGCGGUCUAACAAGUUCCUUUUCUAGGGGCAUUUUAAUGGCAACACUAUAUUCUUCAAGCUUUGGAGUCAGCUCGAACUCACCAAAUAUGAAGGUGGCAGUUUGUGGACACCAAAAGUGAGGGAGUGCCUGUAUCACACCAUAGUGGAUGUUGAUCUCUAACAAUGGGAGAAGUCGGGAGAUCCGGGCUUUCACAUAUCUUUGGCCAUCUUGAUCUAACUGGUCCAACCACAGUUUGAGCUCUUUUUUGGGAGUGGAAAUGAAUUGUAUGUCGGUUUUCCCCAUUGCAUAUAAAACAAGACUGACAACAAAAUCUAUUGUUAUAGACCGACAAAAUUACAAUAAAGUAAGUAAAUUGUGAAGAAUUUAGACAACUUACUUUCACCAGAAACGGAUGACGAUCACAUAGACACACGCAUGAAAUGUGAGGCUCGAUUUCUAUCUAGAUGGCUUAACAAAGUGGAGCUAAGAGGAUGAUCUGACCGUUACAGUCUCACAUUAAUGUGUCAAGUCCCCUUAACUCUAGCUCAAUCGAAUGGAAUGUCCAAUAGUCACGCAGUCUCGCGGAUAUGGACAAACACAUUCGACACCAUGAAAAACUUUCGGGGAAGAGAAGGUCAACCUCUACAUAGUAGUCUCGCUUUGGAGGAAGUAUCAUUCUCAAUACCAUCCUAAAAAUCUUAUUGCAGCCCAGGUCCGGCCAUAGGUUGUGUGUGCAAUAGUGUAGUGCUAAAAGCAAUAAAACAUGCACGGCAGUUUAAAUGCAAACAACACUUCUAAUUACGGAAAAAAAAAAUCAGUCAUCCUACACUCCAACCCGCAAGACAAAUGUUAGCAAAGACUACUCCCCUUAUACCUCCCAUCUGCAAGAACAUUUAACACCUUAGAAAUGUUAGGAACGUACCUGGUGCCCUUGCUGCCAAACAAAAACUUUUUGACAAGAAAAAGAAAAGUCCACUAAGUGUUUUAACACAAGUCCCCAGCGGAGUCGCCAAGCUGUCGCGACCUAAAAUUUCGGUGCACCACUUAAAACUAGGUUAAUUGAUUAUUAAGUCUUUAAGCUUAGCUCGGGCUCUCCUAAGCCCAUACCAAUUCGAGACUUAAGGUUCAAAUAUGUAAAAGAUUAUUUUCUAAGUCGCUAUUAAUCAGUUUUUGGUAGGUCGAUUAGACACCUAAGUAAAAUAAUGGGAGCAUUAUUUUACUCCUAAGAACCAUAGACUAAGGGUACGGGAACUUGGUUCCACUAGAUUUCUCUAAUGCCCUUUCGGUACUAUUUCUUUUUUUAAUUUUCAAAAAUGUUUUUGCAUGCAGCUUGGAUUUAUUUUAAGUUAAAUUACUAAAAUGCAAUGAGGUGAUUACAUAGAUACUCAAUCAUUAAAAAUAAUAAUAAAUAAAUAAAUUGCAUCACGCAAAGCAAACAAUUUUUUGGGUUUUUUUUAAAAUAGAAUUUCAUCAUGCAUUCUAACUACAUGACCUAAUUUUAUUAACGAACAAAUUCUAAUUAAAUGAACCUAUUAACAAUCUCAUGAACCUAAUUCUAUAUGAUGUGUGCAUGACUAUUCCUAACAAAAACAUGCAAUCUAUUUGGGAGAAAUUAUCUAAACCUAUAAUAGGCAAUCCUAACAUACCAGACGUGCAAAGAAUGCCCUAAUUCUACAUGACAUAUGCAUGAUAUUUUUCGUGUUUUUUUUAAUAAAAUUCGAAAUUUAAAUUUGCCACAUAAUUAAACAUGCAACUUAAAUUAAACAAAAACUAACAUCCUAAAUGAAUGCAUUUUUUUAUUUUAUACUUUUUUUCUAAAUUAGAAAUAAAAUCGCUAUCUUAAAAAAAAAAAACUAUUUAGGGUCAACCCUAACUUAUUUCUAAAAAUGCAAUCCUAAAAAUAAAAUCCUAAAAAAAUCUAAUUUACUAAACCUAACUUAUUAAACCUACAUGCUUUGAUGCAAGGUUUUGACCUUUUUAUUUUUUUAAAAAGAUAUGUAAUUAUUAAAUAAAUAUUAAAUCUAAACUAUCAACAAAAUAAAGGAUUAAAAUAAUCGCAAAAAUAACAUGUUGUCUCAUUGGUCAAAUUAACGAUUACCCUAAUCCUAAUUAUUACGACAAAGAGUUCAAAAUAAUUAAAAAUCUGAUCUGAAAUCUUAUGGAUCAAAUUAAUAAUUAUAUUGAUUCAACAAUUAAAAUACUAUCAACAAACCCCAAAAAUUAAUAUAAUUAAAAAAAUGACCCCACAUCUUACGGGUCAAAUUAAUAAUUACAAUAAUUUUAGGGAUAACUCUUGCUGAUAAUGCCUACAAUAAAACGAAAAUCAAUUCCCAAUAUUCCAAUUGGUACAAUAAUAUCAAAAAUUAAAAAGGUAAAUAAAAUAACAUGAAAUAAAUUAAAGAUAAAAGUAAAAAAUAAACAGCCUAAGGAUAGGGGGUAGCAAAUUGGUCAACAGCACUGGGCAUAGGGUUGCCGUUGGUCGGAGCUCCGACGUGGUGGUGGGUGAGCAGGAGGCAUCCAGCGGCUAAAUCGGCGCGACGUCAGGGUGGAGAUGGGUGUGGUGUCGCGGUGGCUGGAUCGGCGCGGUGGUGGGCGGCAAUCAAAGGCUCGGGUCUAGCCUCAAAAGAGCUUCGGUGGUGCGGCUGAUUUGGGGCUCCAGUGGCGUUCGGAUCUGGCACGACGGCAGCACUGGUGUGGCGGCGAUGCGAGGGCUCUACAAGUGGAGCUUCGGGUUGGAGUCAAGUCAAAGCAGAGGGUCGCAAGUCGUCGGGUGGUGCGGUAGGAGCAGGUGGAUCAGAUUGCAGCGAUUGGUUCUUUCAGGUGCUACGAUCAGGGGCGGGCUACGGUGGUACUUCAGAGAUGGCGAGCGGGCGAUCGAAGGCAUGGCGGCAUCGGUUGCUGCAGAGGUGCGGAUCGAGCGGCACUCCAGCGUUCCAGCAAGCGAACAAGAGGUCGCAGGUGGUGGCAGAGCGGCUCGACUCAGGCUCGGGUCGUCAUGAGGAGUCGAUCGGCGAUUGCUGGUGUUGCGUUGCCGCGGGUGGAGCGAUGGGCCGUGAUGGCAGCGGCUGGCGAGCGGCCGACUCAGGCGACGAAAGUUCACCGGAGAAGAAGCACAAUAAAUUAACUUUACUGUGUCUUCUCUCUCCUCUGCUGCCUUUGUUUUCCUGCUUUUUGCUUCUUGUUACGUCACUUUCAUUGCUCCCUCUCUCACGUUUCUCUGCUAUGCUUCUCUCCCUCUCUCGAGAACUCCACGGACAGCUCCUUUAAGCACAAAAAUUAUUUUUCCUUUUUUAUGAAUUUUGACUUUGAAAACCAAAAAGCCCCCCGAUCUCUCUUCGUACAUGUUGUUUUUAUAGGUAAAAAUAGGUGAUCUACGUAUAAUAUUUGAUCUCGCUUUUUUCAAUAUACAUGAAGAUAGUUUAUAACCUCCCGAUCACCAAAAAUCCUCUUAUUUUCCUUAUCUCCUUAAUAUUCCCAAUGAUUUUAUCACCUAAUGACUAAAGAUAAGAUUGCAACCCGAUUUUCUUUUUUCUUUUUUUUUUGGUAAAGGGUAAUAAUAUAUUGAGCUUUAACCACCACAUAUACAAGAUCCGGCACCACAAAACUUGCACUCAACAAGACACAAACGUCUUCUCGAGUGAAAGGGCGCCAGACACAAAAUACCGCAAAGCGGUCAAGAUAAGCAAGGGCUGAAACAGGAGGCCUAAGAAAACAACCACGCAGGGCCGAGACAACAAACUAAAAAGACAAACUAACCAAAAGGCCACGUAAGACCAAGAAUAAACAGCCCGCAAAGGUAGAGUAAGGCAACCUAGGCGGUCGGCAUAAGAGAGCUCAAGAUAGACAGGUCAAGGCCCCAGUUUCUUUGUAACCUCCUAUUUCUCGGGCAAUCUUCCACACUUUUGAAGGUUAAGGCUUUAUCCCUCACAACUUUAAUAAGAUGCUUCUUGAAAGCCGCAACCACAAUCGGAAGCUCUCUAAAGAGGAUGUUGUUUCUAUACUUCCAAAUGAGAUGGCAUAGAGCUCCAAAAGAGAAACGACCAAUGGCAUGAUAGAAAUCCUUACUUGAGAGGAAUCUCAUCGCCCACUGAAGAUUUUCUGUCCAAGUCCCAUUUCUCCAUGGGAGGUUGCACCUGGCCGCCCAAAAGUACGCCAUACUAGCCGUGAUGCAACAACCAAAGAAGAGGUGGUUAAUUGAAUCCGGUGUCAACUUGCAAAAGGCACAUACUUCCCUCCCAAUUCUCCCAUGAGACAUAAGAAAAGCUUGGGUAGGAAGCCGGUUCUUAGUUAUCAACCAGAGGUUGAAUUGGUAUCUCAGAGUGAUGGCCUUAUUCCAAAUAAAGGAUGACCAUCCAACCCUGUCUUUCCUUCUUCUGAGUAUAUGCCAAGCUAAGGCGACCGAGAAGACACCAGAAGGAUUAUCCCUCCAAACAAAUCUAUCCGGAACCCCUGUGAGAACCGGAAGGGGCUGGUUCCAGGAAUCCAUCAAUGACCUGAAUUCCUGACCCACUGAAGAAAAAAGGUCUGCAACAACUGCAUACCAAGGCAGCCCCAAAUCAGAGAUGGUCUGCUCUAAGCAAAUAAGAUCUAGCGGACCUCUUUGAUGCCAAUGGUCAAACCAAAGGGAUGUCCCAUGGCCAUCACCAAUCUUCCAGUGGAAGUUGAGGCGGAAUUCGGAUCUCAGGUGGAGGAUUCUCUUCCAAGCCCACGAGCAGCAACUCGGUGUCUUAGCCACCCAGAAGUUCGUCUUUCCUAGAAAGGUAGAGUGAAUCCAUUUGCACCAAAGAGACUCCUUAUCCGCGAAGAGGAUCCAGAUGUGCUUGAGCAUUGCCGCCUUAUUGCAUUCUCGCAAGCUCCGAAUCCCAAGACUCCCUUCUUCCCUUGGAAGACAAACAUCCUCCCAGGAAACCUUAACUCCUCCCUUGCCAAGGCUGGGCCCCUUCCAUAAGAACUGUCUAAGAAUCUGCUCAAUAAGAUCCAGAACUGCUACGGGGAUACUGAAUACACUAGCCCAAUAGGCUGAACUCUCCCUGCAAAGGAGAGAAAUCAAUGGGUCCAGGAUUGCACUCUAGCCAUUAUGCAAUCAACUAGAGCUACACAAUCCGCCUUGCCGAGUCUCGAGGAUAUAAUAGGCGCUCCUAGAUAACGUACCGGCAAUUUUCCUUUAUCUGACUUCUCAAGUCAUCCGAUCCCCCUGCAAGAAAUACCUCACUUUUGCUGUUGUUCGGCUUGAGUCCACUCCAUUCCGAGAAGGUAUCCAGCCCAUCCUUCAGCAACAGGAUGGAGGCCAUAUCCGCACAACAAAAUAGGAAGACAUCAUCCGCAAAGAAAAGAUGAGAUAACCGAGUGGCCUUGCAUCUCCAAGAGAACUUAAAGCCCGGCUGCUCCACACGAGAAGUAAGGAUCCAUGAGAAAACUUCCAUAACCAAGGUGAAAAGAUAAUGAGAUAUGGGGUCACCCUGUCGAAGGCCGCGGCUACUAGGGAAGAAUCCAUGGAGAUCCCCAUUCAAGGAGAUAGAAAACAUAGGAGUACGAACGCAUAUCAUGAUAAGACAAAUGAAAUGGUCUGGGAACCGAAAGGCAUGAAGAACCAAUUCAAGGAAAUCCCAAUCCACCGUAUCAUAUGCUUUCUGAAAGUCUACCUUCACCGCACAUUUGGGGAGAUAAGGCUGCAGGUGAAAGCCGACGAAUAACUCCUGGGCCAGGAGAAUAUUAUCCCUAAUCCGCUGACCCUUAACGAAUGCAUUCUGAGAAGGGCUUAUGGUGUCCUGAAGCACUGAGGCGAUGCGGUUGGCCAAUACCUUGGUAAUACAUUUGUAGAUCGUAUUGCAACAAGCAAUGGGCCUAUAAUCAUUUACUGAGGUAGCAUUAGGAAUCUUAGGGAUCAACACCAGGAUGGUGGAAUUAAUCUCCCUUAAUAGUCUCCCCGUAACAAAGAAAUCUUUAACUGCUUCAACCGUCAAAGGCCCAACAAGAUCCCAAUUACUCUUGAAGAUUUCGACACCAAACCCAUCUGGCCCUAGGGCCUUUCCACGCACUAGAAAAAAGAUAGUGUCCUUAAUUUCCGUCUUCGAAAAGGGACAGCUAAUAGAAGCAAUCUGAUCCUCUGAAAGCGGACAUCGAAUAGCUUGAUGAAGGUCUCCGAAAGCUGGUCCCAUAGGAGGAGAUCGUGAUGCAAACAACUCCUUGAAGUGAGCGACAAACGUAUCCUGAACAAGGCUCGGCUCAGAGACAAGGUCACAAUUCCUAUCAAGAACUGAUAUAAUCCUAUUCCUCAGCUGCCUUAAAGUCACAGAGUGAUGAAAGUACUUAAUGUUUUUAUCACCCAUCUCAAGCCAACGGAUUCUGGAUUUCUAUCUGAAGAAAGCCUCCUCCUAACUCCUCAACUCAAUGAAAGUCCUACGAUGACUUUUUUCUAGCUCUGUCAAGAGGACAUUGGUCUGGUCAUGUUGAAAAUCCACUUGAGCUAGUCUAAGAGCAUUUCUGGAUUGAGCCACCCUCUUAGAAAGGUUAGAGAAAGAGUCUAUUAAGUUGCUUAAGACGCCCCUUGAGCAUUUUCAAUUUGGUAACCAGCCUGAAGAUAGGUACACCAUCACCCAGGGCCUCCCACACAUGGGUAAGAAUAUCCUGAAAAGAUGGGUGCUCCAUCUAGAAAUCAAAGAAUUUGAAGGGCUUUCUUCAAAGAAUUGGCUAGAUCACCUUGACCACCAUAGGAGAGUGGUCUGAAAUACCGGACAGUAAAAAGGAAGCUUCUGAGUAAGAGAAAUGCAAGCUUUAGAGAGCAUUAACUAGAACCCGAUCGAUCUUCCUUGCUUUCCGACUAGCCCCCGAAGACGUCAACCAAGUAAACCUAAGUCCAACAUAUCUCAAGUCCUCAAGCCCUGCUUGACGCAGACACUGAUUAAACUCAUCAAAAGAGGACGGUCAGGCGUUAGAACCCCCUAGCCUAUCAGACGGGUCUCUUAAGGCGUUGAAGUCACCCGCCACCAUCCAAGGUAAGUCGAAAAUACAAGAACUCAUCCUGAUCAAGUCCACCCAAAGAGGUCUCCGAGAAACAAAAGAAUUCUGAGCAUAGACUACCGAAAUACAACAACAAGAACCUGUGGAAAUUAGUUUAACUCUUCCAUGAAUAACCUGAUCAUUGGACGAUAUCACCUCAAAGCAGACCAGCGAAGGGUCCCAGCCGAUCCACACCCUGCCCCCCGGAGAAGAAUCAUAGUUGGCAAUCCACAUCCACCCUGAUAAUAGCACCGAUGACAGAGAGCCAAAAAGAUAUUAUGGGAGCUUAGUUUCCAAUAACCCAACCAAGCACAGGCCACUAGAGAGCGCCCACUUACAAACCUCGGCUCUUCUCAAAGGAUCCAAGAGUCCUCUAACAUUCCAAUAUCCGAAAUACAUCUAAACUAUGUACAAACUACUCUAAACAACGAAGAGCAAAGGGCAGCAAGGCCUACCUCUGUUUUGGAGACCUGCAGUGCGAAGCUCUGGAAGCCUCAACUGUCUCCACCGGCUUCGGGUCAAGGGCUAAGGAAAGCAACCUGUCUUGGAUUGUCUCUACUGAGGUAGCUGCUGAGGGAGGAGGUUGAAACGGUGAUCCAGGGGAGGAGAUAUCAUCAUCAUCCGAGGAGGAGACAACCACUUUCAAACCUUUUCCAUGGUCCUUUAGAGAUGGGGCACGGGCAAGUCGGGACCUAGCCGUGAGGGAGAGCACGACUUUAGGGGGGGCACUGGCGCCCCUAGACCCCUUGCGAGUAGAGGCGGAAGGAGGGGCCUGGUCAGCAACCACAGAGAGAGAAGGUUCACCUAUCUUGGGGCCCUUAUUCCUCUUCCUCUUGUUCUUCACCUUUCUCCAAGGUUGAUCCUGCUCAGGCAAAAGAGCUGGAGUCGAUUGAGGAGGGUCGCUAUCUGGAGGCGUCUGAACAGAAUCCAGGGAGGGCUGAAGCCGAACCGGGUCUAACUCAGGCUUAGGUGGGACGGGGACAUUUGCAGCUUGAGGCGGAACAGGGGUAGCUUCUGACCUGCUCACUACCGUUCCAACGCAAUAGCCAAAGGAGGAGUGGUCAUUCUCAGCGGAACCGGAGCAUCCACAACCAGCGAGGGGGAAAUGACCGGCUGAGCAAGAGCGAUCGAAGUCUGCCUGGCCGGACGACAAUCAGCUUGUCUAGUAUUUGGGGUGCGGCUAGUGGGGUUUUCCCGGGGAGGAGCUCAACAGUUAUGGCCAAACAUGUUGCAAUCCGGACAUGCAAUCGGGAACCAUUCAUAUUCAAUGUUAAUGGACUGAGAAACACCCUUCAAGCUGACUUUGGCCAUCUCAACUCUUAGCUGAUUAGCCGUGACCUCAACACAAAUUCUCACGAAGGAGAGCAUCUUCAUUUGAUCGGUCCUUUGAUCAACAUAUAGCGGCUUCCCCGCCGCACUCACUAUCGCGCUUAUCGCCGGCACCAUCCAACACUCAAGCAGCAAGUUGCGCAAGCGAAUCCAAAUGGGAUUGGCGGAUUAGUCUUCUCUCUUAAGGUCCAUGAGAGGCUUCCAUUGCCGAAGUAUUAGCGGCACUGUAGCAAUCGUUACUGGCCCCUCUUCAAGGAUCUUUCUCCUAAACCCGGGGUCCGGGAUUUGGAGGAAGAGGAAUCCUCGAUCGUCGGCGAAGAUUUUACCAAUCUUGGAGCCCCACUUCUUCCUCAAUCCUUCUCCCAACCAGAUAUCCAACCAAGCAAUCAUGCCACUUCGGAUCCGUGGCAUCGAGAGCUUCAUCCGGGAGGUUCACAACAGCUUCUCCAUCCACAAAAGUGGGCGGAACAAACGAUAAAUCAAAGCCUGUCACCGCCAACCGAGCCACAUUUUCCCAGGAACGCGCCGGGGCAUUCGGGGGCUGCGCCGGGGCAUUCGGGGGCUGCGCCGAACACUUGGAGACCGAUCUCCUGCAGCUUCUUCCGCUGGAUCAGUGCGGCCUUGAGGACUGUCCUUACGGGCCUUUCAGCUUGCUGUUCGGAUGAGGAUAUCCGGAAGAGGUGACCAUAUCCACUCCUGGCUGAACCGAAUGCUACGCAUCCCCAAGAGAGGAGAAUGGGUACCCCAAAGGGCCACCAGCCAAAGGCCGACUAGAAGGAGCGUUUCUGGGCAAAACAGAUUCAGCAGACAUUUCUACAAACACCUAACCUGCAUUCCACUCUAAACCGAAGAAUUUGACCAUCAUGCAUCAGGGAUCGAAUCUGCCAAGUUCCAGUCACCCUUACCCAGUCCAGAGAAGCCAGCCAACACCACAAAUGCAGCAGCAAAACACUAGCACAGGAACCCGCACCAGUACAGAAUUGAGCAGAACUAGUGCAGCAACUACGAACAGAUAAGGGAUGACGGAUCGAUUAACUUGGACUAAGUUGAGCGACACCCCUAGGCCUGGUGAAAGAUCAAUCUCAGACAGCAGAACCAGCAAAAAACCAGAAGACCACGAAUCCAGAAGCUUGAUGCAGCAGUUCGCAGAAGCAGUUCGCAGCAGUCCACGGAAACAAGGAAAUCCGAAGCUGUAGGCCAAGAAAUGAGACAUCGUUUGGAGGGCCAGAUAAGGGAUCCUAUACGACCUCCCUGUCCAAAAAUGAGGCCAAAAACCAACCAGAACCAGUAGAACACGAGAAGAAUUCGAUUCUAGAGGCUUGCUGCAGAAGUAGUUCGCAGGAGGCCACGGAAACAACGAAAUCCAAUGUUGUAGGGCACGAAAUGAGAUGCCGUUCAGAGGGCCGGAUAAGGGACCCUAUACACCUCCCUAUCCAAAAAUGAGGCCAAACAAAUAACCAAAACCACUCAAACCAACAACAGCCUCAGCAGACAGUCCAAGCGAAAGGUUUCUAGAUAAAGGCAGAUCUCGAAUUCUAGCUUGACCUAGCCAAAUUCCUUCGGUGGGAUGGAAGAUGAUAGUGACAGGAAGAUUUCCUCCAAUAAUCAAUCCAUUCCGACCAGAGGAGCUCUCGUGGGAUGAAGAAAGCCAGAAGAAAAGCAGUGCAGAAACCGGUAAAAACGAACCAGUGCGAUUGUUGCAGAUAUCUUUUGAUAGAGAUCAUCCCAUCAAAAAUCCUUCGGUGGGAUGGAAGAUGAGGAUGAGAGGAAGCUAUCCUCCAAAAAUCAUCCCAUUCUGACCGGUAGAACUCUCGGGGGAUCCAUAAAACCGAACCAAACCAGUGCAGAAACCGGAAAACGAACCAAGGCUAGGGUUGCAGAUAUCUUUCGAUCUAGACCAGCUCGUAGAAAUCCCUUCGGUGGAGAUGUAGGGGAGAGUUAGAGGGAUCCUCCCUCCAAAAAUCAGCUCAUUCCGAUGACUAGAUCUCCGGGUAACACCAUUUCAACCGGCUGAUGAACAGUAGCUCGAGAAACCAGUUGAGAGAAACAGACCGUGAACAGUAACCCGCUAUUACACACGACUGUCUUUUAACAACCCGAUUUUCUUAAAUUCCAAAAACCACCACAAUAUCAUAUCAAAUCUCGAUUUAGAUAAUUUUGGUCAUUAAAAAAAAUGGGCUCGUGCCAAUUUGCUCGUUUCAUGGGCUUAGUCCAACCUGUUAAUUUAAAACUCAAAACUACUAAUUUGACCCAUCCGCCAUCGGUUCAAUAAAUAAAUGCAUAAAAUGCAAAGCUAGAUUAAUAUGCUAUGCAAUUAAUAUAUAUAUAUAUAUAUAUAUAUUUAGGGUUUAAAAAUUAAUCCCUUAUUUUUUAUGCAAUAAAUAAAAUUGCCAAAAUUUAUGUGUCAACAAUUAUCCAUCACAAGUAACUCAAACACAAAACUUCGGAAUUUCAUUCCAAACAAACCAUACUUCGAGAUAGAUUUUCAUCAAACCCCACCACUCCACAAUGCCCUAGACCAUACUUCAAAAUCAAGUUUAAUCAAACCUCGUAGUUCAAAAUUUGCUAAUUUGUACCUAACUUCCAAAGUUACUCCAAUUAGAUGAAUAAUCGACUUAAAUACUUAUCUGGCAUUACAAUUCGUAGAUGAUUCGGCUAGUCAAGAUGUCUGGAAACAUGAAAAUUCUUUUUUUUUUACCCUUCUUCCCCCUUUUUCCUUCUUCAUGGUUGAGCUUCUCGUUUUUCUUCUUUUGCUUCUUCAGUCCACUACCAUGACUUCACAUGAGAUAAAAGGAGAAGAAUCAAUGAAAAUGGUCUGAGAUUGUCUAUAAAAGACAUGGGCCUAGGCUUGAUGGGCCCAUGUAUUUCAAGCGAUCAAUUCGCUGACCAGCCCUUGCCUCUAGCUAGUUGCCUCAGUCUGGCUACCAACUAGAGGAAGAAGGAAGAGUUAAAAAUAAUAAAGAAAAAAUUAUAAUUUUUUAUAAAAAAUAUUAAAAUAUUUAUUAAAACUAUCCACGUCAACACCAGUUGUAACAUGUCAGCAUGGGUCAUGCCUCAUCAGGGCCAACAAGCCAAAUUUGGUCGGAUGGAUUAAAAUGACACAAAUGCGAAAUAUUUAAGACUCAUUUGGUCAAAAUAGAAAGUUAUGGGAAUGAACUGACAUAGUUGUAAUGGGUUUAAGUGUUUUUUGGUAAUUUUCCCCCCAAAAUGCAAUGAUAGCACCACUUUGAGAUUAGGUGACAAGAUUUGUUUCAUGGGAUAUCAACAUUCCUUAGAUGCAAAUCUUGCAUGAAGGAGUGGGAAAUUUUAAUGGCAAGCGUGAAGAUUGACCAAAGCUUCCGGAGCAAAUAAAAGGAAACUUGUCCUAAAAUGUAGAUGGAAGAUUUAGUUCGUGAAUGAAAUAAGUUAUAAAAUAAUGUGCAUGGACCAAAAUUUAACAAGGGCUUGUCCAUGCAAUGUUGCAUGGACCAAAAUCUUAGGCUGUGAUCAGCAUAAAAUUUAAGAUAUGAUAAAUUCUAUCAUAUCCUGCAUUUGGCACUUGCUCGAAACAAAAUAAAGUCGAAUAUAAGAGGGAUAAAUGGCAAAUAAAUUUAUCUCAUGGACGAGGUGUGAUUAAAUUGAUUAGGAUUUCUAAUAUUCAUAAUAAGAAAGUUAUUUUUCUUAAAUAAAAAAUUUCUUAAAUUUAACAAAUUUAAAAUUAUAAUAUAAUAAAUUCAAUAUAACAAAAAACAACAAUUUAUUUUUUAAUUUAAUCUCAUUUUUACUUAUAUAUCCAAAUUUAAUUUUAUCUUCCAAUAUAAAUUCAAUAUAUAAAUAUAUUUAUUAUAGUUAGUAGUGAUCUCAUAAAAUUUCACAUAAUAUCAAAAUCAAUACUAUCCUAUUAGUCAAAUUCAGCCGUAGUCAAAAUUCUAUUCCACACGUUUGUAAUUCAGCUCGCUUGGUUCUUGCCAAUUCUAUCGUUCCUGCUUCGUUAGUGCAAACUAUAUCCACUCUCUCUCUCUCUCUCUUUCUCUCUCUCUCUCUCUCUCUCUCUCUCUCGAAUCUUGAAAGACUCAAUCGUGGUGCAUCAAUCAACUCAGCAUAGGUUACAAUCACGAAUAUAAUUACCCAAGAGAGGACCAUCCAUGUGCAUUUCCUGCUUCUUAGAAUGCUCCUUCUCUGAUUUGAUCAAUGUCAAUUUAAUGCCACCAUCUUCGUACUCGUCCAGCUUGGCCCCUUGAAAGUAAUGUGAAAGACUCACGUAAUCAUCACAUGGUGAUCCGUAGACAAGCUCUUUUGGAGUAAUUCGAUAAAUCAAUAACAAACAUGAUGCUAUAAUAAUUUCAAAACUUAAUAUAUCUUUGGGAAAAUCCCAAAUAAGGACCCAAAGUGCUUUCCUUUUCUCAAAAGAGGAUCUGGAGUGAAGUCUGUCUUAAAUAAGGACCCAAAUGGUUAUUUAGUCUCAAAGAAGGACCUCACUCACUGGUCGGUGAACGGAUGCAUUUCCGAUUUAUAUUCCAGUGGCAGGGGUAGUUUUGUCCAUUUAAAAAAAACAGUUGUUUUGUUUUGUUUUGUUUUUUUCUUGGGUCAAUGGUUGCACGGUUUAUCAUCUUCUUCAUCCCCUGUUCAUCUUCUUCUCAAGACCAUCGAACUUGGGAAGGGCUGGGUGAGUUGCCUAUUUCCUUUUGGGGCUCAACAAAACGGAGGGCCGAAAACUUGAGAGGGAACGUGACAGUGUACUGUUUAUGUUCCCAAAAAAUUGCAUUCCAAUUGAUUUGGCAGCAAAUGGGAUAUGGAAAAUAAUAGGGGAGAAAGCUAGUUGGUAAUUUCAGGAAGUUAGUGAUGAGAGGAGAAAGAGAAACAGGGGAAAGAGGGGGGGGGGGGGGGGGGUUGGAAGAGCUGGUUAUUUUACUUGUCAUGUUAAGGUAGCUUAAGAAUCGGUGACUACCUUGAGGACUUUAUCAUUAACCAUAUAGACUGUUAGCCUGUUCACAGAUAAUGCUGAAGUUGGGUGAUUACUCAUUCAUUCAGUUUUGGCAUGUCGGAUGUUUUCACUGCCCUAAUAUCUUUCAUGGGAGCAUCUUUGAUUUGUUGUGAGUAUCAUGUCUCGCACUGUCCUUUUGUUUGGCUGAGUCAUCAGCAUUCGAAUGUUUGGAGGAUCUGGGGAGAAUAUGUAGGCGGCAGAGACGUGUUUCAAUCAAACCUUUUCAGCAUCGUCCAACAAGAGCACAAGGUCGCAUCCCAUAAUUGUAAAAGGGGCACAGUUAAUGAAAAAUUUUGUUAAGCCUAUUCGUGUGUGUGAUUCUUUUCUCCAGGCCUUAGUUGAUACUCCCUGCCUUCAAAUGGAAAAAAGAAGGAAGUUGUAGUGAGUCUAGCAUAGAUAUUAUAGCACCUCAUAGCAUAUUUCACGAUGGGCAUCGAGCCCUCGCUGGCCCUCACCUAGCCCUUCCCAAGUUCGAUGGUCUUGAGAAGAAGACGAAUAGGGGAUGAAGAAGAUGAUGAACAGUGCAACCAUUGACCCAUUAAAAAAAAAACAAGACAACCAAAAAUUUAAAAAAAAAAAGGGACAAAAAUACUCUUGAUCAAGCCAUUGGAAUAUGAAUCGGAAAUGCAUCUAUUCACCGGCCGGCGAGUGAGGUCCUUCUUUGACGCUAAAUGACCACUUUGGAUCAUUAUUUGAGACAGACUUCACUCUAGGUCCUCUUUUGAGAAAAUGAAGGCACUUUAGGUCCUUAUUUGGGAUUUUCCCUAUAUCUUUCGAUAACCGCAUUUCACGUGGAUUUCCUUAAUAUUAUUAAAAGGGAGUAGAGCGGGAUGAAAUCGAUUUGUCCCAAAACUUUUCCAUGUAAUUCAAUCACGUCCAUCAACUACUUUUUUACCUAAAAUCUUGGGUGGAGAACCCAAUCCUUCGUCUCAAAGCGGGAUUUAAUCUCGCUUCGGAGGAGAAGCCCAUGAAGUCGCGAGAUCUCUCAGUCUGAAAUUUGAGAGUUGUGCUGGGAUAUACAGAGGAAGAAAACCCUUCCUUUACUCUUCAGCUCAUACACGCGAUCACACUGACCACCACCACUACGCCACCGCCAAUUGCCCCUUUGCCACCACCCACGAAGACUCAUAUGAGUGAAUAAUCGAGAUUCUUUUUGUUCAAUAUGGAACUUAUAGAAAUUUUUUUAAUGAAACUUGGCUGUCCCUUUGAAAUUAGUUGGUGAGAUUGAAUGCACAGGAAUUCGCUGGUUGGGUUUUGCGAUGAUGAUUGCUGCUCUUCUAGUCCAAUUAUGGCUUGCACGUAAUUAAAUAUAAAAUCACGUCUUCAAUUAAUAGUUUAAGCUUUUAAAACAAUUGAUAGUGGUUUUACAAAUUUUCUCGUUAUAUCAUAGCUAGAGGUCCUCAGUUCGAAUCUUUCCAAGCCUUGUUUGCUUACCUAAUUAAAUUUUCACGCUUAGGUAUUAGGCAAAAAGAUCGGACUAAGACUAAGCGUCUCCUCAAGACCUUUAGGAAGAUGUAUAAUAGGAGUUGUGGAACAAAAUUGAAAGGUCGAAAAGGACAUUAAUUGUCCUUAAUAAACAAAUAACUUCCUGAUGUACAAGAGGAGUUGCGGAACAAAAUGAAAGGGCGAAAAGGACAUUAAUUGUCCUUAAUAAACAAAAAACUUCCUAAUGUACAAGAGGAGUUACGGAACAAAAUUGAAAGGUCGAAAAGGACGUUAGUUGUCCUUAAUAAACAAAUAACUUCCUAACCCAAUCUGCAGUUAUAAGAAAUGUCAUAUUAUCUAAUAGGGCUAUGCUUAGAAAACGGUAUUGUCACUUUCCAUGAAGUGAGGGAGCCCUCCUCACCGCACAUUCUAAAGUGUAAGAUUUUGGGAUCAAAAUAUCAAAUUGACAAAUUUAUUGUCAAAAAUGUCAUUGCUGUAGAAUUGCCCUACUAUAAAAUUGACCAUACAAAUUUUGAGCUUGUAUGAUGUCAACUAAUAUUUUGUGAAAUUUUCAAUUCAUCAAAUUGAUGAAAUCCCCUCUGAUCACUCAAUUCCAAACUUAGUAUUAAAUGAUAACAAAUUAAAGACAAAUGAAAAACAGUGGCAAAGCAGAAGAGAGGAACUGGACGUAGAUAAAUAGUGGUGCUAGCAAUGGCAGCUGUAGGCGCCGUACAUAUGGAGGACGGUGAAAUGGUGGUGGGGCUAGGUUCAAAUGGAGGGAGGGCGAGGCUGUUGGGUGGCGAUGGAUGUUGCAAUGAGGAAGGAGAGGUGGCGACAGCGUAGACGAUGCUACAACCGACUCUCGCCGAAGCCAACGCCUUUGUGUCAGGGUUAUCCCUCACCCUCACUAUCGAAGCUUGCGAUCGUUCCUUAUCCGUCGUCCAAUCUCCUUCUCUGGUACAGACUACAUUCUGGAAAUUCAUUAAGUGCCUUCAUUCUCGCUAGGGUUCAGUGGAAGAGAAACUUUUCUUUGAUCGGAGCAAUAAUCUGAGAAAAUGUAUGGAGGAAUACAUAGCAUGGAGGAGACAAUAACAUGUGGGAUAUAUGUGGCUUUACAACAAGGCCAUUUUUGGCAAUUGAUUUUGUCAAUUUGAUAUUCCCGAUUCCCAAAAUCUCACGCUUGAAAUGUAUGGUCAGGAGAGCUCUGUUAAUUUGUAGGAACUGACAAUUCCAUUCUCUAAGCAUUUAUUUGUCUAAAAAUACAUAAGUAGAUAUUAGUGUUGAUCGCUUCUUGUUGAUAAUUUUGUCAAUCAACUUCUCAAAUCUUCUUUUGCUGAUAAUUUUCAAGUUGUGUUGUCAAUGACUUCAUUGGCAAUUUAUCGAUCCCUUCAAAUUGUGGACUAUUUUGUUUUAUCAAUAAUUUCUAUUUUCAACAAACCCCACUCUUAUCUGUGUCGACACCCGAAAUUUUCGUCGACAUUUUAAUCAUCCAUUGUUUGCAAAAAAAAAUAAAAAAAAAAUAAAGAGCCAAAAAGAAAACAAAGAAAAGAAAAAAAAAAGAGAGAAAACAAAACAAAACAAAAAGAAAAAAAUGAAAUGAAACAAAAAGAAAAAAAAAACAAAACAAAACAAAAAGAAAAAAUAAAAGAAAGAAAAAAAAUAGAAAAGGGGAUCGGGGGGUUUCUUCGCGGGCUCUCUGGCUCUCUCUGGCUCUCUCUCUCUUAGGGGCUCUCUCUCUGAAAUUUUUCGCCGAACAGACGGCUCUCUCUUUGGGGAUUCUCUCUUCCUCUCUCUGUAACUGCUCGAUGGAGCUCUUUGAGGGGGGAUUGAAGGAAAUCCUAAAUCUUCGGAUCUCUCUCCCUUCUCCUCCUCCGCACAAGAAACCCUAGGCCAGAAGUUCUCGAUCGGAGGCUCCCGGGUUUUUUCCCGAAGAUCUGGCACUUACUCGUUCGAUGAAGAUGGAGCAUCUGCCGGUCGAAGAGCUCGAGGUGUGAGACUCGAAUUCGCACCGAGAUCAGAGAUUUUCCAUAACGCCUCGGAGAUCUGCCGUCUCCAUCUGUUUUUCGCUGAGUAUCCCACGCCGAUGUAGCUCCUCCGAGGCUACUACUUCAAGCCAAGGUAGAAGAGCCGCCACGGCACCUGUCAUCAACGUUGUGAAGGAGGAGGUGAUCGAGUCUCUCGUCGCCGAACUCACCGCCGAUUCCAAAGCCCGUCCUCAGCAUCUUCUAAGCUGGUCCUUGUCGCCAGAGACUCCGGUGGCGUCGGUACGUCGCUUCUUUUUUCCGAUGAUCUCUGUCCUCUCUUGAAGUUUCGUUAAUGGAAAAGCUUGUCUAGGUUUGAUAGUUGAACCGGACGAGUUCUAGAUUCUGAAAUGGUGAUGCUCUGACAAGGUGAUUUUGUUUGUGGAUCUUUCUUUAGCUGCUUUUGUUUAUCGUGAUCAUGAUAUAUCCAACCAAGUAUGUGUGCUAUGUUUUUCUUUGAUCUUCAGUGAUGAUAUGAAGACGAACUGUUGACAUAUUCCUGCAUCUAGAUCAUUAGAUGAAAGUGUCCGCCAUAUGUUCGAUGAUUUUUCUAAAUGAAACUAGGGUACGAAUUUCAGUAAAGUUCCAGGAUGUUAGCAUCUAGUUGAUGAUUUAAUGUUAAAAUAAGAUGUAUUCGUUCAAUCUCCUCAUUGUGCUUUUGAAUUGAUCUAUUGUUUUGCUCUGUCAAGUCUCUGUUUGUGCGCUACUUGUUUGGUCCCUGUUCAUUUUUUAUUCUCAGCUUUAGUCGAUUUCAUUGACCUCAUUCUACAGCAAUUAUUUGUUAAUUGAUCUUAAGUGGUGAUCAAGAAUCGCAUGUACGAAAACUGAAAUUGAUUGCAACAUUUUUCUCCAAGUUUGAGUAAAUCGAGUUGAUCUGGAUGCUCAACAUGUUCUGAUUUUGUCCACCGAGAGUGAAUAUGAAUUACAUGUUCUGUUAUGUGAGGAAUAGCAAAAAUGAUGUAUGUGUACAUAUUGAUAAGCACCUUAAUUUGUUGAUCAAUGAUCACAAACUUGAGGUUAAUUGAGUUUGAUUUCUAUUAAUCUGCAAAUUUUGUGUGUUUGUGAUAGACUUUCUAUUUUGGCUUAAACAAGGUGUUAGAUAAGGUUUUUUGACUUUGAGCCCUUCUAGACAUAUAAAAUAAACUUUUAGUGCUUCGAUUUGAUAUGAUGUAUUGUUUUUUUUUGUUGCUUGAUGUGUUUGAUUGUUUCUUUCAUUUGUACGCACCUAGUUAUAGUUUUUUUUAGGCUAGGAUUAGAUUAGAAUUCCGAAGGUGGAGAAGGCGUGAAGAUGGUGUAGGUCGAUGUCCAUUCCGACCGUUAUUAUGUAAUAUUCAUUUCUCUCCCGACAUAUGUCUCGGGUUCCAUGCAUUGUAUAAAACCCGACGAGUUGUGGGUUUUCUUUCUUUCCCAAUUGUUUUCUCUUUUACAUUUUUAGAAUUACAUGAUUAGGUUUAACUGCUUUCCCUUGAUUGUUUACUUCAUGUCUUGAGAUUUAAUUUUCAUCGAUUGUUUUCCUUUCAUUUCUUAGGAAUAGAAUAGAAUAGAAUAGAAUGAAAGUAAUCCACCAUGCAUGAUCAUUUAGUAUAGAAUUGACGAUCCUGAAAAUAUAAAAAGAAAUUCAUGAACAUGUUAGAAAAAACACAACGUACUGUUUAGGUACCGAAAUGGCGCUAAUAGCAAAAUUAACAUAACCCAAGUCCCCGAACCUAGAUAUCUGGUUACGUAGGAAUCGAAGGAAUACUCCCGACCCUCGAUUGGGUUUUUAGUCGACUCCCAAAAUGAGGCUAGUGGCGUCUCCUAUAUAUUUUUUAGGUUGUUAAAUACCUAGAUCAUAUAAAUAAAUCCGAUGUCACGCGGGGUAUGAGCUUGGGAGAGCUCGUGACCUCGUGAGGAAACUCUCGAGAUCAAAUACCCCUAAAUCUGACCUUUCGCCUCCUUGGACAUUUCGAGGGGCGGCGAGAUCGGGUCGCGACAGGCUUGGCGACUCCGCUGGGGACUGGUUACUAGGUUAAGAGGACUUGAAGCCGAUUAAAAAUGGUUGUUGUGUUUUGACUAACAUGUCUUAUGUAGGAUCGUCUGCAUGUCAAAGUCGUGUGGAAAAUCAGGUUAGUCGCUAACCUCAUAUUAAAUGGUUUUGUAGGUGGGAGUUAUAAGGGGAGGCGUGCUUGCAAACCCUUUGUUUUGCAGGUGGUGUAAGGAUGAAUGAAUGUAUGUGGAUUUAUAUUGAAGUGCUGGAUGUUUAAAUUUAAAUGCAUGUUUACUAGCUUUAGCACGACACCACAUACACAACCGCGGUCUAAAACCCCGAUCGCCCAAUUUAGGACCUUAGGAGGGUUUAUGGGUGGAAUCUGCGAGUGGAUGCUCGUGGUAAUCCACUUACAUAAACCCACUCAUCCCAACCGAUAAAAAUAGCACUGACCAACGAUAGUAGUGGUGGGUAAACUAUUUUUGUUCUUUGGGAUGAGGACCUUGAGCCUUUAGUACCCUCACCUUAGGCGUCAAAACCUCACAGUUUCAUGUGACAUGUGAUUUGUGCUUGUCAUGUGUCUAGUGGGUAAGAUAUCGUUCCUUCUUCAUCGUGCUUAUCUUUUACUUUCCAUAUUUCAAUUAUGCAAUUUUAUAUUUCAGCGACGAUAUGUUUUAAUCAUGUAUGCCCCUUUAGGUUUAGAUUAGAUGGGUAGACCUGAAGUGGACGUGAUCCCUGUGCCUGGGAAUCUCAAGACUUUAUGGGAGAAUCUCGACCCAAGACAUCAAGAUUACGUGGAAAAGCGCAUAGGCUUCCUCCUGACUUUAUUAAAAGUCGAACCACUUAUUGCAAUGGUCAAAGCAUUGGCUCAUUUUUGGAAUCCUGCGACUUCUACUUUCGUGUUUAAUCAAUAUGAAUUGACCCCUACAAUUGAGGAGUUCCAAAAAGCCAUUGGAUUAGGUAAAGCUUCUUUAGGUUUUGUCACUCCUUCUAUUGGCCAAAAUCCAAUCUCUCUUCUAAGUCAAUUCCUCAAUAUCCCUUAUGAUAAAAUUGAUGCUAUUCUUAAUGGAAACUCUCAUGCCAUGCCUUAUAAUUUCCUUGAAAAGCAUUUCCGUAUCCUUGAGCCUAAAUCUGGGAACCAAAUUCCUCGUGUCUUCCUACUCAUAUUCUUUGGUUUUGUGAUAUUCCCAUAUACUCGAAAAACAAUGGAUCCUUUAGUCACACACAUUGUCAACCAAGUGUUCGCAUUUAAUUGUUUCACACAUAUGAUCCUUGCUGGAACUUUUGUGUCUCUUAAUCAGUUUAAAGCAAAUGGUCAAGGAACUCUUAGAGCCCCAUUAGGACUUCUCCAAAUUUGGCUCUUUUCACAUAACAAAGAGUUUGCCCCUCACAUGAAGAUUAUUGAUGUCACAAAACAUCAUCAUCCAAUUCUUAGAUUUCCCAUGCAACGAAUCCUUUCCAUCAUGGUCUUUCUCUAUGUGGUUCCAUUUCCUUAAAAAUCUCAACCAUAGCUUAAUUCAAUGGCAUGCUCGGUGGCUUGGGAAUCCCGAGGUGCGCCUUUUUAGUGGAGUUGACAAUCCACUUCCCCUCGUGGGACUGAUGAGUUUAACGUCAUAUUACCCUUUAAGGGUACUCCGCCAAUAUCGCGCGCUUCAAACGAUCCCACCAAUCCUCAAGCUGGGGUUAUAUCGUAUUGAUUAUCACGAUAAAGUCAUCAAGGAAAACCAAAUUGACCAUAUCAAGGCCGCAAUUCAAGCUGCUAUUGGGAUUUGGUACCCAUUCCUCGCAUCACGUGGUUGCCAUCGAUGAAGCUGAUUUGGAAGGAGAGAUGAAGACCCAUCAAGCUACUAUCGAUUACAUAUACUGUCAAGUAGAACCUGAGCUCAAGGUUUAGUUGCCGGAUGUUCCUGAGCCUCAAAGACUUCAACAAGCUCAUAUUCAGGAGCAAGAAAGCAGUGUCCUGAUCGAUGAGGAAUGCUUGGCCCAUGAUAACAAGCUCUCCGCACGAUCUCGCCUAGUACUUAGGUUUUCAUUUCAUAUGCUUUUCUUGUAAAGGGAUUUCAUUUGUGUUUCCCUCCUUUCUAUUGAGGUUUACUUGUAUUCAUUUUCAUAUCCCAUGUAAACAUCACAUGUAAAGUCGAACUACUUUGUAAGCUUCAAGAAAGCAAGGUUUUGUUUUCCCUUGUAAUUGUUCGAUUGAAAUGAAUGAAAUUCAUGAACAUUUUUCAUGUAACUUUUAGAAAAUGGGCAUUCUAAUUAAAUAUUUGUCGUUGUUCCUUUUCAAUUGUAUAAUUUUUUUUGAAGAAAUUUUGAUGAGAAAAUGUUAUAUGAUACUGGGAUCAUAUACACUUCUUAUCAUUAUUUCAUCUCAAGAAAAUAUAGAAUUGACUAGGAUUUGUAUUUUAAUAAUCUCUUUUAACUUGUACUAAUUCGAGUCAUUUUCUUUACAGGAGGUUUUGAAAAAUGGCUGAAGAAAGAUUUGUUAUACGAACUCGCCGCCAAAUAAAGAUGGAAAACGAAAAUACCCAAGCCCGUGUCAUUAAUAUGGAGAAUCAAAUGGCACAAAUGAUGGCAUUAUUAGCUGAUCUCUCUAGCCAAGUCAAAAACUUGACGUCUGUAAAUUCUACUUCUUCUACCAUGAAUAUUCCUACCGCACCUCCUGAAGUGCCGGUAGUAGAGCCCGUGGCAAAAAGGCAUGCGGAAGAGAUUCCCACUGCAAUCCCGAUAGUUAUCGGUCCAGAGCCUCCUUCUAAAGAGAUUCCAACUUCACACUUUGAUGAAGAAAAUGCAAGGCGCCUCGCAAAGAUUGAGGAGUGCCUUUGCAUGCUGCAAGGCUAUCGGUUGCAGGGGCUUGAUAAACUGUCACCAUCUGCCAAAGUUACGAUCCCUGAAUUCUAUAAGGAGCCAGAGUUCACAAGAAAAUACGACGGCAUCGGAUGUCCUAAGACACAUUUGAAGUACUACUUGGGCAAGAUGGCCCGUUAUUCAGAUAAUCCCCCACUCUUGAUCAAUUCAUUUCAGGACAGCCUGGUUGGUCCUGCGUUAACUUGGUUUAUAGAGUUGGACAUGGAGAAAAUCCGUACUUGGGAAGAUCUCGUUGAUGAAUUCCUUCAGCAAUACAAAUUCAAUACUGAAAUUGCUCCGACUCGAGAAGAACUAGUCCGGGUCGAGAAAAUGAGAACUGAAUCAUUUAGGGCCUAUGCCCAAAGAUGGAGGAGGGUCACUGCGUCUCAAGUAAAACCGCCAUUGUCUGAGAAAGAGACCAUGAAAUUGCUACUUCAGGCUAUGCCCCGUGAUCUUUUUGAGAAGAUGUACAACCAUACUUGUAUGAACUUUGCUACAUUUGUAGAGUUGGGAGAAUGCAUCGAGGGGAUUAGGCGAGAAGGAAGGUUGUCUAAGAACACAAAUCGUCGAUAUACCCCGAAGAGCGAUAAAGAAUCGACUGUGGAGAUCACCUAUGUACAAAACUCCUCUUCUCAGAAGCCGUAUAAUCCUAAAAUUCAUAAACCUGCCAUGGAAGUAGGGGUUCUUCCAGAAACUUUGAGCACAAAGGAAAAGCCCCUCAAAGGCAAUUUACUCCACUGCCUAGGCCCAUGUCCCAACUACUUCCAAUGCUGAUUGAAAAUCAUCUUGUCGCAAAAGAGAUCCCGAGGAAUAAUACGCCAAAGUUUGCCGGAUUUGACCUUAAUAAGACAUGUGAAUAUCAUAUGGGUGAAAAAGGUCAUAAUGUAGAUAAUUGUUUUGUGCUCCGUUAUAAGAUCUAGAAUUUGCUGGAUAAAAAGCUACUCACCUUCAAGGAUUCAGCACCGAAUGUCCAACAAAAUCCCCUUCCAAAGCAUUCUAAAGAUGUCAACAUGAUUUAUGGGGAUGUUGACGAGGAUAUACCCCUAAUGAAUAUCCAAGAGAUAGAACAGAGCAUGCCAUUCAAUGAUCACCAGUUGAAAGGUCACAUCGUUCAUGAUGAAGAAGACUUUAUUUCAAUUUUGCCAAAGGAUAAAGAGGUCUACUCAUAUGACACUGAAGAGGAUGAAUACAAAACUUCCCAUUCAGACCGUGAAUUUGUGAAGAAAGCCCGUGAGAAGGGUGAAGUGGUAGACAGCUCGGGACAACCAAGUGGAAAAUAUGACUUUAUGGUCAAGUAUACUCCUCCUCCAAGUUAUUUCCAAAACCCUAAGGAUAUCGUCCCUAAUGGAUGGGGAGAGGAAUUCAAAGAUGAUUUCAUGGCUAUGAUUGAACCUGUUGUGAUUGAUCUGACUAAAGGGAAAAUCCCAUGUGGGUGUGAUACAACUGCUAAGAAUGUUAUUGAAGUCAACUCAUUGGUUGAUAAUUUUGGAGCCAUCAAGAUCUCAAACACAGGUUUUGGUCCCAUUGUGAUCGAGUCGCCACUAGAAUUAGGUGAAUGUUCCAACACUAAAGUGAUUCCUACUUUUGACACUAGGGCGGUCCCUUGGAAUUAUAAUACAAUGAAAUUGAUGCCGUCACCCGAUCGAGUCGAAUCUACCCACCACGUGAAGGUGAGGAAAAGAAGGCCGUAACUGAUGAGGAAGCUAAACAACUCCUCAAAACACUCAAGACAAGUGAGGCUGAAGUGAUUGAUCAAUUACGCAAGAUGCCUACGCAGAUUUCUCUAUUGGAGCUCUUCAAGACCUCUGAAAAGCAUAGAAAUACUCUCCUCAAAAUUUUAAAUGAAGUUCAUGUACCCGAGGCCAUUGGAGAAGUACAGUUGGAGAAGUUUGUGGGUGAAAUACUUCUAAGAGAUCAAAUUACUUUCUCUGAGAGAGACCUCCCCCCUAAGGGCCAAACACACACUAAGGCGUUAUAUGUGCCCGCUCAACAUUUUGAAACAAAGAUUUCGAAGGUCCCUAUCGAUAAUAACUCUGCUUUGAACAUUUUCCCUUUAUCCACCCUUUGUAAAUUGGGGAUAGGAAUGGAAAAUGUCUCUUCCCCAACAAUUCAUGUCCGAGCCUUUGAUGGGAUGAAGAGAGAAACAAUAAGGGAAAUCGAUUUACCACUGACGAUUGGCCCUAUUACCAUGACUCAAAAGUUUCAAGUACUGGAUAUCCCAAGCAACUUUAACCUGCUACUGGGACGGCCUUGGAUCCAUGUUGCAGGAAUUAUUCCUUCCAGUCUUCAUCAGAUGAUGAAACUUCCUAUCGAUGGAAAGAUCAUGACUAUUCGACGUGAAAGAGAUGUGGAGACUUUUCAUAACACGGCCAUACCUUUUAUUGAGCCUGAGGUCAAGGGAGAGUCGAGCUAUCACUCGUUUGAGAUGGUGUCUGUCACUCAUGUGCCUAUUGGGUCGAUUAUCAAAAAGCCUCGGUUCUUAGAGGCCUCCUUGAUGGCAAGUAGAGAACUGCUCAAGAAUGGUUUUGAUAUGGGGAAAGGUUUGGGUAAGUUCGCCCAAGGCAUGCCAGAUCCUAUUAAAGUGGUCAAAAUCAACAAGCGUGAAGGCCUGGGUUAUCAAGGCGAUUGUAAAGGUCAAGGUAAUCACAAAGGCCCAAACAUCAAGGGUAAAAGCUACCAACGUCUCUUGCCUCCACCUUUGAAGGAUUUCUUUCCUGGUCCGCCUAAGCUCUUGCAAGAAGAAGAGGCCAAUGUCUAUCAUUUUGCUGAUUUGUUUGAAGAUGGUCUAGUUGGCACUAUUAGUGAAGAUGAAGAGCCUACAAUUCCCAUUGUGUAAGGGAUGUUUCUAGUUCUUAUACUUAAUUUUUAGUUGUAUUCCAUUCAUUUCUCCCCUACGAGGGAAUUCUAUUCAUUUCUCCCCUGCGAGGGAAUUUCAUUCAUUUCUCCCCUACGAGGGAAUUCUAUUCAUUUCAUUCGCUUGUACUUGUAAUAAUCUGGAUCAUAAACUUUCUAGGUCCAAGAUGAUAUAUGUUGUAAUGCAAUUUUCGCAUAUCAAUAAAAUUCAUGUUUUGUUAAUAGACAUGUGAGGCCCAAAUAAGUCCUAUGAUGAUGCUUUGAGGCCUGAGCCUCCACAUAAUCUAUAGUUUCUACAUGUUUUAGUGGAACGAGGACAUCCAAUGACAUGAGGGCUAGUUCCCGAUAAUUUUUCCAAAAAAAAACAAAAAAACAAAAAAAAAUUGAAUUUGAAAACAAGUUUUUCAUGACAUUUACAUACAUUGUAUUCAUUUAGAUGUACAUAUACUAACUUUUUUUUCAAUUACAUCUCAGGCAUAACAUUUCACAUCACGAUAGUCAUUUACAUGGCUCGGAUUCGCAUUCAAAAGAUUUUGAUGAACCCAAUUAUUCCGACUCAGAGAAUGAAGAUGAUCCUCAAGGUAUUGAAAAAGAAUGGCUCAGACAUGAAAAGUCCAAACCUCCUACCAUCGAGCAGCCAGUCACUGUAAAUUUGGGAGAUUCAGACAACCCUAAAGAAACCAAGAUUGGGGCAGAUCUCUCUCAAGCAUAUGCCAAUAGACUAAUUGGGCUUUUGAAAGAAUAUCGAGAUAUUUUUGCUUGGUCAUAUGCCGAUAUGCCAGGUUUAGAUCCUGAGAUCGUGGAACAUGCGUUACCACUUGAUCCUAAUAUUCUGCCGAAGAAGCAAAAGCUCAGAAGGACGAAACCUGAAUUGUCAAAAAAGAUUGAAGAGGAAGUCAUGAAGCUCUUAAAUGUUGGUUUCAUUGAAGUCACCCAGUAUGCAGAUUGGAUUGCUAAGAUAGUCCCGGUUAUGAAAAAGGAUGGACGAGUCCGAGUAUGUGUUGAUUACCGCGAUCUGAAUAAGGCAAGCCCUAAGGAUGAUUUCCUCUGCCGCACAUUGAUGUUUUAGUUGACAGUACUGCUGGAUUUGAAUUGUUCUCCUUCAUGGAUGGAUUUUCUGGUUAUAACCAAAUUCAGAUGAAAGAGGAUGAUAAGACUAAAAAUUCAUUCAUUACCUCGUGGGGAACAUUUUGCUACAAAGUUAUGCCCUUUGGUUUAAAGAACGCGGGGGCAACAUAUCAAAGAGCCAUGGUGACACUAUUCCAUGACAUGAUGCAUAAGGAGAUUGAAGUUUAUGCAAAGUCAAGACAAGGUGAAGAUCAUGUUGAAAUCUUAAGAAGAUUAUUUGACCGUUUGAGGAAAUUCAAGCUGAGGCUUAACCCCGUAAAAUGCAUAUUUGGGGCAAAGUCUGGAAAGCUUCUUGGAUUUAUGGUUAGUAACAAGGGUAUCGAGAUAGAUCCCUCCAAGGUGAAGGCCAUAUGCGAUUUAAAACCUCCUUCUACUAUUAAAGAAGUCCAAAGCUUAUUGGGAAGAUUGAAUUAUGUUGCAAGAUUUAUCUCUCAAUUGUCAGAAACUGCUAAGCCAUUCUUCAAGCUAUUAAAGAAGAACGCUAAGGUCAACUGGGAUGAAGAAUGUCAGAAAUCAUUUGAAGAACUGAAGCAAUAUCUUUCGCAAUCUCCUGUACUUGUACCACCUAUCCAAGGUGUGCCUUUGAUCUUGUAUCUCACCAUUAAUGAGGAGUCUUUAGGAGCCAUGUUAGCACAAAAAAGACCAAGGGAUGGAAUAGAACGUGCCAUAUAUUACCUCAGUAAGAAGUUUACUACUUCCGAGAUUCGAUAUCUUAAGGUGGAAAAGACCUAUGUAGCCUUGAUUUGGGUUUUACACCGACUGAGACAAUACACUUUGCAUCACCGCAUCCUUUUGGUGAUUGAGAAUGACCCGAUCAAAUAUCUUUUGGAAAAGCCUGCAUUGGUUGGAAGGCUCGUUAAAUGGCAAAUAUUACUCUCUGAGUUUGAUAUUCAAAGCAUGGCACAAAAGUCCAUCAAAGGGCGAGCCAUAGCUGAUAUGUUAGCCGAAAACCCCGAGAAGUCUAAUGACUGGGAUGAAAUCGAUGAACGGAUUUAUUUGGUCUCGCCUGACAAGUGGACCAUGUAUUUUGAUGGUGCAGUUAACCUUUCUGGUUCUGGCACUGGGGCAGUUUUAAUAUCCCCGGAAGGUCAACAUUCUCCAGUAGCUGCAAAAUUGGUAUUCCCUUGUACCAACAAUAUUUCUGAAUAUGAAGCGUGCAUCCUUGGCUUGCAAUUAGCCAUCGAUAUGAAAGUCAGAAAGCUUCAAGUUUAUGGUGAUUUUGCACUCAUCAUCCACCAGACGGAAGGUGAAUGGCAAACACAGGAUGUAAAAUUAAUCCCUUACCAUGAAUAUCUCGAAGACUUGGUCAAGGAAUUUGAUGAGAUCUCUUUUGAUUAUUUGCUGAGAUCACAAAAUCAGUUUGCUGAUGCCUUAGCAACUUUAUCUUCGAUGUUGCAAGUAACUGAUAGUUUAAGCGUUGAUCCUUUGCAAAUCGACGUUUUGAAAAAAGCCUGCUUAUUGCCUGAUGAUAGAAGAAGAACCUGAUGGUCAACCCUGGUAUUAUGACAUCAUGAAUUACCUUCGAGAAGGCAAAUUCCCCCAAGGUAGUCAAGCUAAUGAUCGAAAAUACUUAAUGAAGUUGGCAUCCAAAUUCUUCCUCGGUGGAGGAGCCCUCUAUAAAAGGUCUUUCGAUUCAAUUUUAUUGAAAUGCGUGGACGCACAAGAAGCUAAACUCCUGAUGAAAGAAAUACAUGAAGGAAAGUGUGGUCCACAUAUGAAUGGUCAUCUCUUGGCUAGAAAAAUUAUGAGGCUCGGUUACUAUUGGUUAACCAUGGAAGCCGAUUGUAUUCAACAUGUGAGGUGCUGUCAUCAAUGCCAAGUCUAUGGAGACAAAAUCAAUGCUCCUCCUAAUGAGUUACAUCAAAUGUCCGAGUCCUGGCCUUUUUCAAUGUGGGGCAUCGACAUCAUCGGACCAAUUAAUCCUAAAGCAUCGAAUGGACAUCAUUUUAUCUUAGUAGCAAUUGAUUACUUCACCAAAUGGAUUGAAGCCAAUUCUUAUGCCCAUGUUACUGCAAAGAGUGUGGCAAAAUUCAUCAGUUGUGAUAUCAUCGCUCGAUAUGGAGUUCCUGAAGCGAUCAUCACAGAUAAUGGAUCAAACUUGAACAAUAAAGUGGUGGAUGAUUUCCUUGGAGAAUUCCACAUUCGCCAUUUGAAUUCUUCUCCUUACCACCCACAAAUGAAUGGAGCUGUGGAAGCGGCAAAUAAGAAUAUCAAUAAGAUUUUAGCCAAAACGGCAGAAAAUUAUCGUGAUUGGCAUGAUCGGUUGCCAUAUGCUUUGUUUGCUUAUCGAACUUCAAUUCGUACUUCGACUGGGGCAACACCGUUCUCAUUGGUUUAUGGGAUGGAAGCUGUAUUACCCGUGGAAGUGGAAAUUCCUUCACUGAGGAUACUUUCUCAAAUCAAACUCUCUGAAGCUGAAUGGGUUCAACAAAGAUUUGAACAACUUAAUAUGAUCGAUGAAAAGCGAGUAAAAGCAUUAUGUCAUGGACAAAGCUAUCAUAAAAGGGUAGCUAAAUCAUUCAACCGCAAGGUUAGACCAAGACAUUUUGAGAUCAACGAUCUUGUUUUGAGAAAAGUCUUACCUAUCAUCCCAGAUCCUCGUGGGAAGUUUACUCCAAACUAUGAAGGUCCAUAUAUUGUAAAGAAAGUGCUACCUGAUGGAGCACUAAUCCUUGUAGAAAUGGAUGGUCAAGAAUUGCCAAGGACUGUAAAGGCUGAUGCUAUCAAGAAGUAUUAUCCAUUAAUAAAGUGAAAGGCCUUUGAACCAUUUUUGGAUUGAAUCUGAGCCAUUUUAGGAUGUUUGCAUCAUGCAUUUCAUGCAUACAUAUUGCAUCUACAUGUUUGUUCAUUUUGUAGGAUCUCUGAUGAAGAUUCUACCUAUCCGCAAGAGGUUCAUCUCAAGAGUGCAAAACUUUCAAAAGUGUCCAUUCUUCUUUAGAACUUAGAAGUGACCUUAUCCUUUAGAAUGCCAAAAGAGUCGGUUAGAACUCUAGAACUCUAGUUAAAACUCUAGAAAUGAACCCAUGUGCUAAGCAAAGCCUGUUAUGUCUACAAGUUUUGUCAAACCUUACUUCCAAAAAUCUCCAUAGUAGGGUCAAGGAAACAUGUCAUUUCAUACAAAAUUUCAUUAUAUUUUCAUUUCCCUAGGGAGUUGAAUUUAACCAAAAUGUGCUUUGGAAACCUGAAAAUGAUUAUUAAAUAUGCCAGGUGGUAGUGCCUAAAAUGAUGAGAGGCAACCCCUUUAUCAAAAACGUCCUCAUACACUCUUUGAGAGAAUUGAGUGGAAAGAACCAUGUCUUAGGGUAUAAGAUUCAUUCACGGUGAAUACAUGAUUUGAAAUGAUAAAGGCAUUUAAUUUCUCAAUCCCAAACACUAUUGAUAUCCCUUGUAAGCCACUUUGAGCCAAAUAGGGAGCAUUUCCAAAAUAACCCUGUCAAGAACAACCCCACAUUGGGGAAAAAUAAGGGGUCUUGGUUGAAAAUUAUGGAACAAAAGAUUAAGAAAGAUUUUAUUGCUUUCACUUGUAUCAAUCUUCUUGUGCUAGCUUCAGGUGAUUUCUUAUCGAAACUCGAAGCAUCCUGAAGUGACGAAGAGCAUUCCGUUCACUACCACAAACACAAUUAUCCAUUGCUUAGCCAAUUUGAGCAUUAUACAAUUCUUUCAUAACCCUAGGUGAUGAUUAUCUCCCCACACUGGGGCAAGGCACAUGAUUUACCAACAAAAUUGAGAAUAUUGAUAAAUGCCACUCAAGAGUCCUAGAUGCUCAAAAGAAAAUGAAAAUUAGGGGGCAUGAAAAAGAAAUGUGCCUGGUAAAAGCAAGGCCAAUGCCCAUGAAAAAAUGCAAAGAAAAGCAAGAAUGCAAAGAAAAGUGAAAUCCAUGAUCAUACAAAAGAUCUUUUGUUGAAAAACAAAAGAAAUGUCUUGCAAGAAAAAACAUGUAUUGCAAGCAAUAUCAUUAGAACAGAGAGCAAAGUUCUCAUGUCUCAAGACAAAUUACCAAAAGGACUCUCGAGAUAGGUUAAAUUUCAAGAGUCAAAUUUUUGAAAAAAUCAUGUGAUGGUAAUGAUGCCAAGAUAAUCACUCACUUUAACCCUUUGAUAUCUGAAAGUUUUUCAAGCCUUUCUAAGCCUCACCCAAACCAACACUACAACCCUUAUCCGGAGUCUCUUCCGAUUGGGAUGGUUCGAGUUGAAAUGAGAAUAUCACGUAGGAGCUACUGCUAGAAGGAGUGGAAGCAAUCAUAUCUUAUCUUAUCUUCAAGGUUCUUGACUUGUAAACCCGAUGAAGAUAUUGAUUGAAUAUUCAUUUUUUGGCCUCAAAGUGCAUACUCUUUCUGUAAGCCCAUGACCAAGCCAUCAUUACGGUCCCUUUAAAAACCUUUUGAUCAAUGGAUUGUAUUCACUGUGAAUGUUUCCGAAAGCCAUAGACAUAGGUUGAGUGAGACUUCUCCAGUGAGAUUUAAACAGAUUUCUCAUAUCAAUGGUUGGGAACAAAAGCCCUUUUUGAGAGCUAGUGUGAAAGGCCUUUUUUGAUUAUGAUAUUUCCAGUUGGCAUAUUUGAUUUAACCCUUAGAUGGUCAAUCAAAUCUCAUUUUGUUAAAACCUUCUUUGAAAGGAUUUGACAAUCAAUGUUAUUUUGUAAGAUUGGUUCUCCAUCAAUUUUGAAACCAUCACAUCCGGUCGAAACCCGUUUUUACACGGUGAGACAUCACAUUCAAUUAAAACCCGUUUUUACACGGUGAAACAUCACAUCCAGUCGAAAUUCAUUUUUACACGGUAAGACCUUUCUCCCAAUCUAAACCAUACGGUUCGUAGGUUAUCCUUAAACCAUUCCUUUUCCAUUUAGUGAUUUCAUUGUCUUUAUUUCAUUCCACGAGAGAGAGAAACAGAGAUAGAGCAAAUCAACCCCAACAAGAGUUCAUAUACCUUGAUGAGCAAAGGUAAGUAUCAGGUACGUCCCUAACCAACCAUCAUUGCUUUUGUCAUUUUCUUUUUUUCAAAGCCGAGUCGACUAAAAAUUUCAGGUGUCAAUUUUGUUUUUGAGUGGAACCUCUUCAAGCUCCCACCCAAAGAGGGGUAGCUGUCGACACCCGAAAUUUUCGUCGACAUUUUAAUCAUCCAUUGUUUGCAAAAAUAUAAAUAAAAAAAUAAAGAGCCAAAAAGAAAACAAAGAAAAAAAAAAAGAGAGAAACAAAACAAAACAACAAGAAAAAAAAUGAAAUGAAACAAAAAGAAAAAAAAAAGGAAAACAAAACAAAACAAAAAGAAAAAAAUAAAAGAAAGAAAACAAAAAGAAUAGAAAAGGGGAUGGGGGGUUUUUUCGCAGGCUCUUUGGCUCUUUGGCUCUCUCUGGCUCUCUCUCUCUCUUGGGGGCUCUCUCUCUGAAAUUUUUGGCCGAACAGACGGCUCUCUCUUUGGGGAUUCUCUCUUCCUCUCUCUGUAACUGCUCGAUGGAGCUCUUCGAGGGGGCAUUGAAGGAAAUCCUAAAUCUCAGGAUCUCUCUCCCUUCUCCUCCUCCGCACCAGAAACCCUAGGCCAGAAGUUCUCAAUCGGAGGCUCCCGGGUUUUUUCCCGAAGAUCUGACACUUUCUCGUUCGAUGAAGAUGGAGCAUCUGCCGGUCGAAGAGCUCAAGGUGUGAGACUCGGAUUCGCACAAAGAUCGGAGAUUUUCCAUAACGCCUUGGAGAUCUGCCGUCUCCGUCCGUUUUUCGCUGAGUACCCCACGCCGAUGUAGCUCCUCCGAGGCUACUACUUCGAGCCAGGCUAGAAGAGCCACCGCGGCACCUGUCAUCAACGCUGUGAAGGAGGAGGUGAUCGAGUCUCCCGUCGCCGAACUCGCCGCCGAUUCCAAAGCCCCGUCCUCGGCAUCUUCUAAGCUAGUCCUUGUCGCCAGAGACUCCGGUGGCGUUAAUACAUCGCUUCUUUUCUCCAAUGAUCUCAGUCCUCUCUUGAAGUUUCAUUAAUGGAAAAGCUUGUCUAGGUUUGAUAGUUGAACCGGAUGAGUUCUAGAUUCUUAAAUGGUGAUGCUCUAAUAAGGUGAUUUUGUUUGUGGAUCUUUCUUUAGCUGCUUUUGUUUAUCGUGAUCAUGAUAUAUCCAACCAAGUAUGUGCGCUAUGUUUUUCUUUGACCUUCGGUGAUGAUAUGGUGACGAACUAUUGACGUAUUCCUGCAUCUAGAUCAUUAGAUGAAAAUGUCCGCCAUAUGUUCGAUGAUUUUUCUAAAUGAAACUAGGGUACAAAUUUCAGUAAAGUUCCAGCAUGUUAGCAUCUGGUUGAUGAUUUAAUGUUCAAACUAAGAUGUAUUCGUUCAAUCUCCUCAUUGUGCUUUUGAAUUGAUCUAUUGUUUUGCUCUGUCAAGUCUCUGUUUGUGCGCUACUUGUUUGGUCCCUAUUCAUUUUUUAUUCUCAGCUUUAGUCGAUUUCAUUGACCUCAUUCUACAGCAAUUAUUUGUUAAUUGAUCUUAAGUGGUGAUCAAGAAUCGCAUGUACGAAAACUGAAAUUGAUUGCAACAUUUUUCUCUGAGUUUGAGUAAAUCGAGUUGAUCUGGAUGCUCAGCAUGUUCUGAUUUUGUCCACCGAGAGUGAAUAUGAAUUACAUGUUCUGUUAUGUGAGGAAUAGCGCAAAUGAUGUAUGUGUACACAUUGAUAAGCACCUUAAUUUGAUGAUCAAUGAUCACGAACUUGAGGUUAAUUGAGUUUGAUUUCUAUUAAUCUGCAAAUUUUGUGUGUUUGUGAUAGACUUUCUGUUUUGGCUUAAACAAGGUGUUAGAUAAGGUUUUUUGACUUCGAGCCCUUCUAGACAUAUAAAAUAAACUUUUAGAGCUUCGAUUUGAUAUGAUGUAUUGUUUUUUUGGUUGCUUGAUGUGUUUGAUUGUUUCUUUCAUUUGUACGCACCUAGUUAUAGUUUUUUUUAGGCUAGGAUUAUAUUAGAAUUCCGAAGGUGGAGAAGGCGUGAAGAUGGUGUAGGUCGAUGUCCAUUCCGACCGUUAUUAUGUAAUAUUCAUUUCUCUCCCGACAUAUGUCUCGGGUUCCAUGCAAUGUAUAAAACCCGAUGAGUUGCGGGUUUUCUUUCUUUCCCAAUUGUUUUCUCUUUUACAUUUUUAGAAUUGCAUGAUUAGGUUUAACUGCUUUCCCUUGAUUGUUUACUUCAUGUCUUGCGAUUUAAUUUUCAUCGAUUGUUUUCCUUUCAUUUCUUAGGAAUAUAAUAGAAUAGAAUAGAAUGAAAGUAAUCCACCACGCAUGAUCAUUUAGUAUAGAAUUGACGAUCCCAAAAAUAUAAAAAGAAAUGCAUGAGAAUGUUAGAAAAAACACAACAUACUGUUUAGGUACCGAAAGUGCGCUAAUAGCAAAAUUAGCGUAACCCAAGUCCCUUAACCUAGAUAUCUGGUUAUGUAGGAAUCGAGGGAAUACUCCCGACCCUCGAUUGGGUUUUUAGCCGACCCCCAAAAUGAGGCUAGUGGCGACUCGUAUAUAUUUUUCAAGUUGUUAAAUACCUAGAUCAUAUAAAUAAAUCUACUGUCACACGGGGUAUGAGCUUGGGAGAGCUGGUGACCUCAUGAGGAAACUCUCGAGAUCAAAUACCCAUAAAUCCGACAUUUACCCUCCUUGGACAUUUUGAGGGGCGGCGAGAUCGGGUCACGACAAUCUGUUAGAAUAAUAUAAAAAUGAUUGUUGAAGAUUUGAGUAAGUUGGUUAUUGAACUCUAGAUUUGGUGUGAGAAGAAGAAGAAGAUUGCACACGGCUUUCAUGUAAGAUUGUCAGCCGAAUAAGAAAGUCAAAUGAAAAGGGAUAACAUAAAUGAAGAGAGGGAGGAGUCGCAAGAAAAAUUGGCCAGUAAAGAUUGUGGGCUUCGUUUAUCCUCUUUCAUUCAUUGCAUGGAUCAAAUAAAGAGGAAAGAAGGGUCCAUGAAGGCCCAUUAAUGGAUGCACAUGUAUGCAUGCCAUGAAAAAUGGAGGGGGACAUUGCUAUUGCAGAGAUUUGUCUUGCAGGCACCAUUGCUAUUAUUUAAUGUUUGUGUGUUUCCUUUUAGCUUUGUUGACUUUUGUAGUUUCACUUUAAUGUUAACAGAAGGAGUGUUGAAGAUUUCGUGUGUGCUAUGUUUAUCUUCAUCUCUAUUGUAAUUUAGUGUUAUGCUAUUAUGUAAGACGUGUAAGGGGUGUGUUGUAAAAGAGUAGCCACCACAAAGCAUUCUAAGAACAACUUCUCCCCCCGGUCUUCAUUUGUGCCUUGUUCAGAAAUUUUCAAAGUUGCUAUUAAUUUUUUUCCUUUUUGGUUCCAACAUCAUUGACUAGUCUGUCUUGUCAAUAAUAAAAAUUUUGUCAUCUUUUGGUGUCAACAAUAAUGAAAAUAUAUGUGUCGAUACAUCUUCACGGGAACUAAACUAGUAAAACACAGAAAUUAUAUUAUGUUAGUUUGAUUUAUGUCAAUGUCAGUAGGGUAGGUAAUCUUUUGCUUUGUUGUUGUGAUUAAUGAAGAACGGUGACAGAAUUUUGUGAUCAAUUGCGUCACUAUCUGCCCCCACCUCCCCUUUUAUUAUUAGAUUUUUUUUUUUUAGAUCCGAAUCUUUUAUUAUUAGAUUAGAUAAACACGUUUUACUCAACUUUCUUGAGGCGAAAGAGACUGAUACUAAGACAACAUCACGUGAAGAGAGAGACACACACAUUUUACUCAACUUUCUUGAGGCGAAAGAGACUGAUGCUAAAACAUCACGUGAAGAGAGAGAGAGAGAGAGGUUACAGAGAUCCAAGACUAAAAGUCAGCUGCCACAGUGCCCGUAAAUAAACAUGCAGGGGUUACGAGCAAUCGCAAUACCCACGUCGGAGACUGCAGAGAACGAAGCCAAGCUGACACAAACCGCUUUCUUUGUUCUUUCUCAGUGAAAAGCCACUAGUGUACGUGUUUGCGUGAUCGAGUACCGAGUGUGUGCAGGCAAAUGUUCGUCAAACCAGCGAAAUACAACAAAAUGAUCAACAAAUCGAUCAUAAUAAAGUACAUAUGUGAAAAUAUGUCUGCUUCUUCUCCUCCUCUUUCUGAAGUAUGGCGCCUCAGAUGGAUUAGGUCUCUCCAGGCAUGUGCAGUUGAAUUGAUCAUGUUGGACGAGUCUAAGGAGUAAGUUCUUGCAGCCUCUUGAUUGCGCUUGGGUCGCUCCGUGGGCUGAAGGUUAAAAAUAGCUAGGUUAUCGAUGCUUCUUUACUUUUCUUAUCAUUACAUCUUCAAAUGGAAAUCAAACUUGGUAUACACAAACAACCCCAUCAAGAUCCAAGAGAUUCAAAUGUAAUUAUGAAGCCCUGCAUCAAAAUGACAAAAACCCUUGAAAAGGAAAGGCCAUAGAGGGCUCAAACCAGCGUUCAAUUGAAACAACCAACGGCCAACUCAUCUCAAUGUAUCACCAUCUGGCACCACAUAAGCAUGUCAUAUCUUAGGCCCCCUACCAUUCCUAUAUAAUUGGUAUCCAUCCUCAUAGGCCUUUCACACUUUCACGACAGAUCCAUUAUAAUCCACACUGACCAGCACUCGCAGUUGUACUUGGCUGGGAGCUAGAAAACGAGACCACCGAGAGAGAAAGAGAGAUGAAAUGAUGGAGGCGAGGAAGAAUGUGAUAAAUAAUGACUUUGCAGAGAAAGAGAGCAACUGCAUCAACAGGCAAUCGUCAACGUCCUACUUGGUGUGGGACGACUUGACGGUGUCGGUUCCCGCUGGUUCCAAGAGGAAAUUGCUAAACUAGCUCAGUGGGUAUGCUCAGAUGGGUCAGAUCUUGGUCGUCAUGGGUCCUUCCUGUUAGAGAAGACUCCUUAUUGUUUUGAAGUCGACAAAACCUUCCAAAGAAGUCUAGUCUGAAGGGUUGUAGACUCAAUUGUUAUAGUUUGAAGAACUCAAGACUCUCAAUCAAUAUCUGAAGACUGUUAGACUUUAAGUCCAAAGUCUAACCUCAUUGACAGAUUCCAGACCGAUGAGAGAGGAUUUAUCCGAAUGCGAGUUUAUCUUCAAGGAUUUGGUUCGUACAGUUUGUGGAAGACCUUAUAGCUGGAGAUAGCACCUUGUGAUCAAUUAUUCUUAUUGGAAUCAAUUCGGAUAAUCAGAUCUUUUAUAUAGCGAAGUAUACUUAGAUUCUACUUAUGGAAACCAAAAUCUUGAUUAUAUGGGCGUGUAGGAUUGAUGGGCUAUCAUCACAUUCCUUAAAUGACUUGAAAUCUCCUUGAUUAAUUCUGUCCAACGGGUAGAUUGAAAGAACUCCUUUGGAAAGUGCCAACGGUUGUAAAGGCAUGGAGGAGUAUAUAAGGAAGACUCUCAAGUUGUUUGAGUGUGUGCGUGAAAGAAAAAUUCCAAAGUCCGAAGCUCUUAGUUCUUUGCUAUUUCAAUCGUUGAGCUUAUCUUGUAUACAAAAGAGAGAUCAAACAUUUGUGAGACUUUGAAAGAGUGUAGUAGAGUUUUUACACUGUAAAGUCGAGGACGUGAGACUGUAACAUCUCUUUUGAUUUUUAGUGAAAUCCAGCCAGUGGACUAUCAGUGCGGGAGAGUGGAUGUAGGCUUGGUUUAAGCCGAACCACUAUAAACUUUGUGUUUCUAUUCUCUUUCCCUAAACUCCUUACUUCAAUCCAUAGCUUUAUAUAACUACUUGUAGUCGUUUACAUCUUCAGUUUAUUAUCUUCUAAAGACGAUUUGAUUUAUCAAGUCUCGCAAAAAUUUCUUUUAACACCUAUUCACCCCCUCUAGGUGAUCGUAUUAACCCUAACAAUUGGUAUCAGAGCUUGUGUGCUCAUUUUAUUGAAGUGUUUUUACUUCUGAGUUAAAGAUCUAUGACUAGUAUUUUGGCUCCAGAUUUGGUUGAAGGCCAAAGCAACACCAAACCUCCUUACUUUGAUGGAAAUGGAUACACAGUGUGGAAAAAUAAGAUGAAGGCAUUCUUGAGAUCGAAAGAUCGAUUGGAAUGGGAUGUGGUAGAAAAAGAAAUCAUUCCCAAAGCUACAUCAACCUCAAAAAGAGGAAAUGAAGUUAUAGUUGUUGGCGAGAUGACACAAGCAGACAUAACCAAGAGACAAGCUCUUGAUGCUAAAGCUAUCUACUCCUUAUAUUAUGCUUUAUCUCCUACUAAGUAUAACAUAAUUUCAUCUUGUGAAACAGCAAAAGAAGUCUGGGACAGGUUGCAUGUUACUUAUGAAGGAACUAAUCGAGUUAAAGAAACAAAAAUCAACAUACUUCUCGGAUAGUAGGAAGCUUUCAAGAUGAAGCCAGGAGAAUCUAUCACUAACAUGUUUAAUCGUUUCACAGAGAUUGUAAAUAGUCUAGCAUAUCAUGGACAGCCAAUCUCAGGGCAGAUGAAAGUCAAUAAAUUGUUGCGUGAACUCUCCAAAAACUGGAAUCACAUUAAGACUUCAAUAAGAGAAACAUAGAGGAUCAUGCCUUUGUCAGUGGAAGAAUUAGUUGGCACACUCCAAUCAUAUGAAGUGGAACAAAUCAAUGAAGAAGAUGAUCCCAAAGGUAAGAAGUCGAUUGGUUUAAAAUCUAACGAUGAUUCUGAUGACUCAGAUUCAUAAGACGACUUGGACGAUGAAGAACUUGCACUUAUGAUAAGGAAAUUUAGGAAGUUGAAUAGUAAAGGAAGAAGGUUUAACUGGAAGAAGCAAAGCACUCAAAGAUUUCAAAAAAAAUCAAAUGACAUUUGCUUGUCCUAUGAGGUGUUGUUUGCUUUUGGCUUUUCUUGCUUCGAUUUGAAGCUUUUUUUUGUUUUUAGUACAUGAUGAAUAAGAAAGAUAGUUUUUUUAGGGUUAGAAUAAUCAGUGUAUUGUUUUGCUGGCCUCAAGAAGGUCGAUAUGAUUUCUUAAAUCUUACUUUAAAAUAGUCAAAUGCAAAGAUUGCCCAAAAAUGCUGCUAUAGGUGUUCUUUACUAGGUUUGCAAAUAUAUUUCUUCAACCAAUGGCAUCUUUUUAAAAUGCUUAUAGUUUUUCCUCAGCCUCUUCUGUAAUGUCAUUUCUGGUGUAAAAAUAUGAUUUCCCUUUUUUCUUCUGGGGAGUGGAUGUGUUAACAUGCAUAUAUUUGUAAAAUGAUGCAGAUGGGCCUCUUUAAGUUUGUGCUACAAUUUUUGUGUAGCAUGUGUUGUUUCUGCUUUUUGAUUUAUUCCUGUGCUAUUCUUUGUUGUUGAUGUUUUUGUCUUCAUUUCCUGAAUAUGGGCAACUUUUUUAGGUCUUUAGAGUUGUGUUUUUCAUAGUUGUUAGCGUGAUCCCUUGACUAGAUUCAUGCUAGCAAACUCAAAUGAGUAAAUUUGUUUUAUAUUUGUUUCACAAGCAUUCCUAAGCGUUCUUCUAUCCUGUCAUGCUUCUUUUUUUGGGGUGGGUGUUGCAUUUGUCAGUCCCUCUCUGAGCUGAUCGUGCAAUCCAAAUACAUCAUUGUUUGUUGUUGAAUGCUCCUCUCCAAUGGCUUACCUGCAGCCUUGGAGUCAGUAUCACAAACAGUUCCAUGCCUUCUGGCUUCUGAUCUGCCUUUUCAUCUACUAGGUUUUUCCCGUUCAAUAGUUGUUUUCCUCUCAACAUGCAUAUAUGUAAAUGUUCUCUCCUACAAGUUUUUCGUGGAACUGUACAUGUCCAUUUAUAUUUCUGAUAUUUUUAGUCAUAUUUCCUAAAUACAUGGUUGGUAAUAUAAGGUCCCAUGAUUUGUUUCUCUUGCUUUAUGGAAUUUAUGGUUAUGUACCAAUGAUGAGAUGAAUUUUUUGCUGCUUCUUAAUGUAGGUUCAUGAAAUAGCAAUGGUCUCAGCUAUUCAGGAAGCACAGAAGGACAAUGUUAGAAGUUUUAAUGAUUAUAUGCUGAAAGUAUUUGAGGUUGUAACUUGUAACUCAAUUAUAGAAUAUUUCAUAUUGCUAUCUCCACUUUUUCCAGCCCUGGUUUCUAAUGGGUGCUUUGCUGUUGUGGCUGACAGGAUGAUUGGCAAAAGGAAAAGCGUGAUUUUCUUCAGAGCUUAAGCCGGAUAUCAUUAAUACCCAAGACUAACAUUGUUGAUUCAGGCCAUGGAGGUGCUCGUCUCCCCCAAAUAACGUCAACAGUUUCAAGUCCUCAAGUUUCAUCUGGUCCUUCAGGCAUGGAGAUUGUAGCUGUAGCAAACAAGUCGAUUCUUGAGAAAAAAGCUUCUGUCUAUGGUGGUGUUGUGAAGGACCUUAACAGUGCCAGAGAGCGUGGCUUGCCAUUUAAAGUAAUGAAAAUCUAGUUUUUAUUUAUUGUUGUUUCCUUUUUUUGAAAAGCACAUAGAACAUGUAGACAGCAAAAAACAGAAAAAGGAGUGUACAGCAAAAGCAGAGCGUCGUGUUCAGAAAACUGAAAAAAAAAUGUUCAAAAUACAUACUAGAACGUAACCACAAACCCACGUUGCCGACUAACGGCUUGCUUGAUCCACAAAAUCAGCAACAAAUCAGAAUAUCUAAGAUAUGUGCAGUUAACUGCUCCUAGGAGAUAAGAUUGACUAACCAACUCCUAAAAAACAGGACACCAACAAACUGACUAAACAAAACAAAAAAGAGAAAAACAGCACAUGCAGUCUUGAUACAUCAACACUCUCCUCCUGGAUCAAGUAUUGCACACUCCUAGCUUUGCCCUGAGAAGUUCAAAUCAACCAACGUGAAAUGACUUCGUGAAUAUAUCUGCAAUUUGGUUUUCUGAAUUGCAGUACACCAGUUUCACCUCUUCAGCCUUUUGCACUUCUCUCAAGAAGUAAAACUUGACUUUAAAAUGCUUUGUUCUUCCAUGAAAUACCAGAUUUUGUGAAAUGACCAAAGUAGCUUGAUUAUCCACAAACACUUCUAGAUCUUCUUCUUGCUACAUAUGCAGAUCAUCCAUUAGCUUCUUCAACCAUAAUGCUUGAUUCACAGCUGCAGUAACUGCAAUGAAACUCAGCUUCUGUAGUUGAUUGAGCCACUCUUUCUUGGCUUCUUUGAACACCAAGAAAAACAUGCCGACCCAAUGUAAAGCAAUAACCUGAAGUGCUCCUCAUAUCAUCCAUUGAUCCUGCCCAGUCACUAUCAGAAUACCCUUGCAAUUUAAACUCCUGAACUCUACAAAGCUUAAUCCCAUAUGAAAGAGUACCUCUCAAGUACCUCAUACCCUAUUUGCGCCUGCCAGAUGCAACUNNNNNNNNNNNNNNNNNNNNNNNNNNNNNNNNNNNNNNNNNNNNNNNNNNNNNNNNNNNNNNNNNNNNNNNNNNNNNNNNNNNNNNNNNNNNNNNNNNNNNNNNNNNNNNNNNNNNNNNNNNNNNNNNNNNNNNNNNNNNNNNNNNNNNNNNNNNNNNNNNNNNNNNNNNNNNNNNNNNNNNNNNNNNNNNNNNNNNNNNNNNNNNNNNNNNNNNNNNNNNNNNNNNNNNNNNNNNNNNNNNNNNNNNNNNNNNNNNNNNNNNNNNNNNNNNNNNNNNNNNNNNNNNNNNNNNNNNNNNNNNNNNNNNNNNNNNNNNNNNNNNNNNNNNNNNNNNNNNNNNNNNNNNNNNNNNNNNNNNNNNNNNNNNNNNNNNNNNNNNNNNNNNNNNNNNNNNNNNNNNNNNNNNNNNNNNNNNNNNNNNNNNNNNNNNNNNNNNNNNNNNNNNNNNNNNNNNNNNNNNNNNNNNNNNNNNNNNNNNNNNNNNNNNNNNNNNNNNNNNNNNNNAGCUUGCCUCAAGCCAUAAAAGAGUCUUUCUCAACAAAUAAACUUUAUCUCUGGCUGGUGUGACAAAGCUUCUGGCUGCUCAACAUAAAUCUCCUCUUGCAACACUCCAUUCAAAAAUGCAGAUUUCACAUCUAACUGAUAUACCUUCCAUCCUUGUUGAGCUGCCAAAGCAAGAAUCAUUCUAAUUGUAUCAAGUCUUGCUAGAGGAGCAAAGGUUUCCGAGAAAUCAACUCCCCAUAUAUGUGCAUAUCCCUUCACCACCAACCUGACCUUAUGCUUAUUCACUGAGCCAUCAAGAUUAAAUUUGGUCUUGAAAACCCAUUUUACUCCAAUCACCUUCCUAUCUUGAGGCCUCUCCACUAGCUCCCAUGUCUGGUUCUUUUCUAUCAUAGCCAACUCUUCCUUCAUUGCAUUCAUCCACCUCUGAUCGCUUUUAGCUUCCUCAUAACCUGCAGGUUCCAAAACAGCCACACUACACCUUUGAUAUAUAUCAAUCAAAGAUCCGGUACCCCUAACUGGAACAUCAUCCACCAGUUCAUCAGGUUCCAAUGAGACCUCUUUGUGCUUGCCUUGUGGCUCAUUUGUCCAAUCCCAUUUCUCAUCUUCUAGGAACUGAACAUCCCUGCUAGUGAUCACCUUCCCUGUCUGUGGUUGAUAGAUCCUGUAAGCUUUUGAUACAAAACUGUAGCCAACAAAGAUCCCAGGUUCAACUUUCUCUCCCAACUUGUCUCUCUUGACAUGUGGAAUAUGAGAAAAACACAAACAGCCAAACACCUUCAAAUUUCUUAGAAUUGGCUUGACAUCAAACCAGGCUUCAAAGGGUGUCUUCAUCUCCAAUACCCUCGUAGGUAAUCUAUUCAGUAGAAAAACUGUUGUGCUUGCUGCUUCUGCCCAAAACUCUUUUGGUAGACUCCUCUCAUAAAGAAAACACCUAGUCAUCUCCAUAAUGGUUCUAUUCUUCCUCUCACUAACUCCAUUUUGCUGUGGAGAGUAAGGAGCAGUAAGCUGAUGUUCAAUUCCAGCCUCUUCACAGAAAGAUUUAAACCUCUGUGAAGUGUAUUCUAUUCCAUUAUCAGAUCUAAUGACCUGAAUCUUGCAGCCACUUUAGUUCUCAACCCAUUUCUUAAACUUCCGAAAUACCUCAGCAACUUCUGACUUUUUCUUCAUAAAGUAAAUCCAGCACAUUCUAGUAUAAUCAUCAAUGAAAAUAAUGAAAUACCUGCUGCCAUUUAGUGAAUGAGUCACUUGUGGACCACAUAGAUCCGUAUGAAUCAACUGCAGCUUCUCUGUCGCUCUCCAAGUGGAUUUCUUGAAGGGAAGUCUUGUCUGCUUGCUUAGCAAACAAGCUUUGCACCUUGUGAUCUACUCCUCCAGGUUUGGUAACCCAGUUGCCAUUUCAUUCCUCUGCAUGAACAGCCCGCCUUUAUGAUGAAAGUGCCCCAACCUCUUGUGCCAUAAUUCUAAAUCAUUAGCCUGACACUUGAAUGCCAUCUGCUCCUUCUCAAGAGGAUUCAAAGAAAAACUUUUCUGUUGCAUUUUUAUCUUGAACAACUCCUGACCAUUGGAGUCAAAGAUCAAACACUUCUCCUCUUCAAAUAUCACCUUAAAUCCCUUUUCUACCAACUGCCCCACACUCAGCAAAUUCUGAUCAAUUUUAGGCACAUACAUCACAUCAUAAAUUAGCUUAGUUCCAGCACAACUCUCCAUUGCUACAGUCCAUUUACCUUUCACUUCUAAGUACUCCCCAUUCUCAAUCCUCACUCUUGACUUCAACGACUUGUCAAGGUUUAUAAACAACAUUUCAUCACUUGUCAUAUGGUUUGUGCAACCACUAUCAACAAGCCAACUGUCACAUGGAGUACUAGAGGAGAAACAAGAGGCAACAAACAGUUGAUCUACCUCUUGCUGAACUGCAGCAUGUGCCUCACCUUACUGCUAAUCUCUCUUCUCUUUGCAGAACUUUUCAAUGUGUCCAAGCUUAUGACACUUUCUGCACCUUACAUCUGGUCUCUUCCAACACCUAAAAUGUGGAUGAUUCUUUUUUCCACAGUGCUGACAUGAGGAAUAUCUUCCCCAAUUGUUCUUGGAAUUGCUCGCACUAUUCUCUCCUGCAACAGCUUCUGAACCAAUACUGCCAUUUCCUUUCUUCCCUUUCCACUUGUUAACUUUUCCUCCUACAUCCUGCUGUUCUUUGGCCGGCAAAGCUCCUUCUAUAUUUCCUUCCACCCUCAUUAACCUCCUCUGCUCUUGUGCUUGCAAAGCACUUAGCAAUUAUGCCAACUUGAUCUGAGACAAAUCCUUGGUAUUCUCCAAAGAGGCAAUGGUUGCCUCAAACCUUUCGGGCAAGGAGACAAGAAUCUUCUGCACUAGCCUAUUAUCAGAGAGGUCAGUGCCUAGAACUCUUGCCUGAUUUGCAAUGCUUAUCAACUUACCAUAAUACUCCUUAAUUGUCUCAGACUCCUUCAUCUGUAGUCUCUCGAAUUCUGUAAUCAGAUUUAGCCCUUUCAUGCUUCUAUCCUCUCAUCUCCUUGAUACUCAUUUUUGAGGAAGUCCCAGAUAGCUUUGGCUUAUUCACAAGCCAUAAUUCUACUGAAAAUGGCAGAUGAGACAGCAGCAUAUAAACAAGACUUUACCUUUGCUUUCCUUGUUGUCCUCUCCUUGUGAAACUUGAUUUGAUUGAUGGUUGGAUUAUCAGGAAGGGGAGCAACUUCAUAAUCUUGUUCCACAGCUUCCCAAAAAUCACAACCCUCUAGAUAGGCUCGCAUUCUCACUCCCAGGCUUGAUAAUUUUCUCCAUCAAACACUGGCGGAGCCAUUACUGAAAAACCACUCGAUCCUGCCUCUAUCUUGCUUUUAACUUCUAUGGAUGCAGACACACCUCUCAAUCAAUCUCACAAGUCACUCACAGCCCCUUAAGAUCAAGAGAGCUCUGAUACCAGUGUUGUUUCCUUUUUUUUUUUUUUAAGAACAGAGAACACAUAGACAGCAAAAAACAGAAAAAGGAGUUUACAGCAGAAGCAGAGCGUCGUGUUCAGAAAACUGAAAAAAAAAAAAUGUUCAAAAUACAUACUAGAACGUAACCACAAACCCACGUUGCCGACUAACGGCUUGCUUGAUCCACAAAAUCAGCAACGGAUCAGAAUAUCUAAGAUACGUGCAGUUAACUGCUCCUAGGAGAUAAGAUUGACUAACCAACUCCUAAAAAACAGGACACCAACAAACUGACUAAACAAAACAAAAAAGAGAAAAACAGCACGUGCAGUCUUGAUACAUCAACAUUUAUCUAUAAUAGUUAUUGCUGCUCAUUACAUCUUUUUGUUUACUAGGCAUCGAAUUUGUGCUGGGGCAGUUCUAAGAUUUUACAUAGAAGCAUAUCUUAAUCACAGUUUAUUGUUAUUUGCCUGCCAGCUGGCACCGUCAGCAUAUGUAUUCAAGGAACUUACCAUUAGUCAUUAUUUGUACUUCUUGUUCUCUGCCUUCUAAUGGUUGUUUCAUGAGUGCGUUUGUUAGAUUUAUGAUGCAGUGUAUACAUUUGUAUCGUGUCACUAAAUCUAUUUGACUUUUGCAUGAUAUGGGCAUAAUCUGUUUCUGUUAUUGUGCGAAUUUCAGCCCGCUACUGCUUUCAAGGGUGCUUAUGAAAGUUUGGGUAUUAAUCCGUUCUCUUUUUAUUAUUCAAUUAUCUGUAGUAGCACAUUUUUAAUGCUUUAUUUUGCGUUAGAUCUUUGAUUAUCCUUAAUUCUCAUGUUGCAGAUUCGUUUGCGUGAUUAUGGUGUCCUCUACUUUGAUGUUGGUGAUGCUCGAAGGCAGCCACCUGUUGACACCACGUGGCAGCAGGUUAUGAAUGCUUCCUUUUUCUAUUCCAUUUUCUAUUUUGGUGGCGAAGUCAAUACCAUAAGAACGUAGAAAUUUGGUCUAUUCAUGUGAAAUCCUCAUUUUCACUGGGGUGCUGCUGUAAAUAAAAACUGCUGAUGUUUUACUCUCGAGAUUCAGUUUUGGUUGAGAUGACAGUGAUUUAUGUUUCAGCUAUCCCGUCUUACUGUAUAUGAACUAUUACAAGAAGAAAAGUAUUUAUGAUAAGAAGCAUUUUGUUUUGUUUUUUAUGUUAAGAGGGUAUUUUGGGCUGCCCUAUUUUCUUGGGAUAUUGCUGAUUGCAGUUGCUUUAUAAGCACGGAACUCCUAUGCCUGUAGCUGACUUAUUUUACACAUGUCUUGUUUCAACAGAUAUACUUUUGCUUGAGAACUGGGUAUUACAAUGAAGCAAGAGAUGUUGCCUGUCAUCCCGUAGUGCACAUCAGUUUGCACCUCUGGUACUAUUUGUUUACUGUGUAAAUGUACUAUUGUUGUUCUUCCCUAAUGGUUAUUUGUUAUUGGCAGCUCACAGAAUGGAUAAAUACUGGAGGUAUGGUUUCUGCUGAGACAGCUGCAACUGCUUCAGAAGAAUGUGAAAAGUUGUUAAGAAUAAGUGAUCGGGUGGGUCAAGCUGCAUAUGAUAAGAAAAGGUUGUUACUAUAUGCCAUGAUAUCUGGUUCUCGAAGGCUUGUCGAAAGGCUGCUGAGAGAUCUAUCGGCACUUUUCACCACCAUAGAGGAUUUCUUGUGGUUUAAAUUGUCAGCCAUCAGGGAGUUCCCUCUCAGAGGUUCAUCUGCUAUUCUAAGUGAGAGUUCAGUCCCCUAUAGUUUAGAGGAUUUGCAGGCUUACCUAAAUAAGUUUGCAGCAUCAUACUAUACCAAAAAUGGGAAGGACCCUCUUGUGUAUCCAUAUAUUCUGCUCCUAAGCGUCCAGUUUCUCCCAGCUAUCCUCUAUUUGUCUAAAGAAGCAGGCGAUGAAGGGUACAACAUUGAUGCCACUCACAUAGCUAUCGUGCUUGCUGACCAUGGUGUCCUUAAGGAAGGUACAGGGGCAGGAUCAAAGUUUGGUGUAAUGGAUGCUUAUGCAGAAGCAUCUAGCAUGAUUCAACAGUACGGAUCUUCAUAUUUAUAUCUUGGAGAUCUUUCAAUGGCAUUGGAAUAUUAUGCACAGGCUGCUGCUGCAGUGGGUGGUGGACGACUAUCUUGGACUGGAAGGGCAAAUGCGGAUCAGCAGAGACAGAGAAGUUUGAUGCUGAAACAACUCCUCAUGGAGCUGUUAUUGCGAGAUGGUGGGAUUUGCUUUUUACUUGGUUCAAGAGGUUCAGGGGAAGAAGGUGAAUUGACAAGGUUUAUACUGGACGUAAAAACAAGACAACAAUUUCUGCUUGAAGCUGCUCGGCAGUGCUUGGAAGCUGGGAUAUAUGACAAAGUAUGGUCUUUCUCCCUGUUUUCCUCCUUUUGUAAAAUUUACUUAAUAUUGGACUGUGGUAUUCCAAUCAUAUCACUGAACUUUGACUUCAAUCGCCCAAUUACUUUCAUUUAGUGGCAAUUGAUGCAGCUAUGACUAGAAUUUGGUCAAUUUCCCAGCCAAUUGCUGACAUGUUGGCCAUGUGGCCAUCUGUAUACCACAUUGGUACUUUGCUUGAAAAUUGACUGGAAUUUGGUCAAAGUGCAUAAAUUGUAAAGAAAUAAAAGUUUUCCACAUGAGAUGAUCAAAACUAAAGUUCAGUGAAAUGAUAGCAUAAUCCACUCAAGUUCAGUGACUGCUGAUGGAAUUUUCCCUUUCUCCUAUUGCUUUUAUGGAGUCACAAGUGAAAUAAGUUUUCAAUGAACCUUUGAGAGCCAAAGUACUUUGAUUGACUGUGUUUAGUUCAUAAAAUCUCUUUUUUGAGGUGAUUCAUGUUCUGCUGAUCAUUGUGUUUUUCAUUGGUUACCCAAUAACAGAAGUAAAUGUGCUGUGAUGGAGGGAGGGAUAGUCAUUGGCUACCCAAUAACAAAAGUAAAUGUGUUGUGAUAUAGUUUAUUGAGAAAUGUAUGGAGAAGCUAGAGAGAGAGAGAGAGAGAGAGAGGGGGGGGGAGGAGGGAGGAAAGGAGAUCAUUUUGUUUUUGCAAAUGGAGGGAUCAUUUCGUUUGUGUGAAUAAAUUAGCCAUAGUUCAUUUUCCUAUUUACUAUUGCUUGCUUGGUUUCCCUAACUACUUUAGUUCACUCUUUAUGUGCAGCUUUUCAUUGACAUCUAAAUUUUCAUCUUCAAUACUGUUCCAUUUAUAUCAUCCCGCAUUGCUAAAUCUAGAAUUUUAAUGGAUAUUUCAUCUUGUGACAGUAUCGAAUCUAGUGUGGUCUUUAUACCCUUUUCCUUUGCUUAUUCUUUACUUUACUUAUGAUUUCCUUUAAUUAAAUCAGUCAAUAGAGAUUCUGAAGAGAAUUGGGGCGUUCUCAAUGGCCCUGGACACCAUUAAUAAAUGCCUUUCGGACUCGAUAUGUGCUCUUUCCCGUGGACGGUUGGAUGGUGAGAGCCAGACAGCUGGCUUGGUUCAUUCUGGAAAUGAGAUUUUGGAGACCUACAAAUAUAGUCCUGAAAUCAGGUAAUCCCUUGGUAGCUGCUGUCUGUCUUCUAAGUAGCAGUUUCUUUUUGGGUGGACUAUUUUUAUUCUUUUUAAAGCUUCUGUCAUGCUGCAUCAUUUAUUGCUGCAGCAUGAUGAAACUGGAAAAUUGGUCCAUCAUUUAGUUUUCCUAUUCUAAAUAUUUUCUUACCCGCCGCCAUAUAAUUGCAUAAUUCAAAUCGCUUGCUUCAAUUAGGGCACUGAGGUUGUGCUUUGUGACUAGAAAUAACUUAUUCGUUUACUCUUACUGUGUACACAAAGGUGUGGGAGGCCUUGGGGCUUUUCAACUAUAUUAAUCAUUUAUGAAGUUAAUUGUCGCCAUUUUUUUGUUCCAUGGUUAGACAUUUACUUCUCAGUUGCAUAAUUCCUGCAGUCCUCAGGAGAGAGAGAGUGUUAUGGAGCAACAAACAGUGUUAAGACAGCUUGAGGCGAUAUUGUCGAUAUACAAAUUGGCAAGAGCAGGUCAUUAUCUGGAUGCUUUGAGGGAGGUUGCCAAACUUCCAUUCCUUCCAUUGGAUCCAUGAACACCAGAUGUUACGGCAGAUGUAUUGCAGGACUUAUCUCCAUAUGUCCAAGCCUGUGUUCCUGACAUCCUAAAGGUUGCUCUUAGUUGUAUGGAUAAUGUGCCUGAUUCCGAUGGAUCACUCCGUGCUCUAAAAGCCAAGGCAAGUGGGCAUUUGGAUUUUUAAACAGUUCAGUUUUUUGUGCUCCAAAGCAGACUAUUGUAAAUUCCUAGACACUUUGGGAUAUCUUCAUAUGUUGUGUUUGUUUGAUGGAAAAAAUCAACUGAAAGUCAGCAUUUAUGCUCCUUUUUUUUGGAUGCUCACUCGAUGCUCUUCUUUGCAUCUGCAGAUUGCGAAUUUUCUUGCAAACAAUUUGAAGAGGAAUUGGCCACGUGAUCUUUAUGAGAAGGUUGCCCGAAGCUUGUGAAUCCAAGGUGGCAGUCUCUCAGUUCCUACUUGUCCUCUAAUGGGCAGGUUGCUUUCGCGUGGGCUAGUUUUGAUUGUACAUGAUGGGUUUUUAACAUAAGCACCACCAUUGUAAGAAAAAGUUAGUCAACAUGGGGGUGUAUUUACAUUCUCAAGUGGGCAGCAAAGCUGAUGGUUGUUUCAAAUGCUGGAAACUGCUGUGAUGAUAUGCCCCUCUUCCUUGGUCUGCAAUAUGCCUAGCAAGAGUGAAAAGUAGAAAUGGUGUAAUACCAGAUCCGAAGAGGUUACUUUUUUGACUUUGCAUAUCUUCAUUCCAUGACGAACAAAAUUUAUGUCCUGAGGAACUUUUGAUACGUAUUAGGAUGGAGGUUCAAUAUUUUUGAGGUGCCUGUUGAUGAAGUGAUUACUUAAUCGUUAUCACAGCCAUCGAUUUUAAUCUUAAAUGUCAGAUAGGAAGCUGAUGUAUGUUAGCUUGUAAUUUCGAAGAAAUGGUCAGCUGGAGUCUCUGUGCGCGUGUUUCAUUCAUUUUGACACUUCCUGAGAUGAAAGCCAGCUACCAUGAGUUUCUAUACCAUCUUCCGAUAGGGUUCUUUUCAUCUUUUUCCUCAGAACUAAGAGGGAGUAUUCUUAGCAGGUCUUUGAGCAAGUAAGCGACGAUGGGAUAUGGACUUUAAAAUCUUCUAUCAUUUUUUGUUUUGUUUUUUGAGGGUAAUGACCGGAAAGCUCUAUCAACGAUCUGUUCAUUUUUCUCUUAUUUUCCUUUUGUUUUGGCUAUAACUGUUAAUUUACGUUUCAAUUUGAAUAUGUUGAAGUUUCUGGAGUCAUAAUGAGCUUGUCUAUGGACUGGGAGAUGGUAAAAGGCGUCGGUUAUAUGUGUGAAAAAAUGGAAAAUCAGGAGGCAAAGAUGAAUGUAAUUGAGGCUCAUGCUCGGAGAAGAAUUGUAUAUCUCUUAUCACAAUGCUACGUGUGAAUAAAGGGGAAAAUUGCCCAAAAGAUUUCAGUCUCAAAUAUUUUAAUUUUACUAAUUGAGUUUUAAAUGUUUUUACGUUUUGCCAAAUGAGUGAUGUGGAAAUUGGUUGUCUUAUAUGGUAUAAAUGAUGUUGACGUUGAUAAAUUUUAUAAUUUUUAAAAAGAUUUCUGAAUUAUUAUCAUUUUAUUAAUUUUUCUUCUAAGGUCCCUGCGGGCUGGUCACUGUUUGACCUUGCUUUGGACUAGCGAGGUUUCACAACCCUUGCCUAGUGGUUGACAAUGAUGGAUUAUAAGUUGAUAGAUUACACUGAAUAUGUAUCAAAAGCCAAUGGAUUAUAAGUUUAUAGAUCAUGUUGCAUAUUAAGUUAAAAUCCAUGGAUCAUAUUGAAUAAAUUAUUAAUUUAUGAAUCACAUUUCACAUUCAGUUAAAAUUUAGGGAUGGUUUGUGUUAUUUUCUCUUUUAAAGAACUAUAUGUGAAUCUACAUGUUAACAUUUGCAUUUUGUGAGAAUUUUAAAUGUUUGAAAAUUUUUGAUCAAGAAAAAAUAAAACAUAAAAGGUCAAUCCAAAUAGACCAUGAGAGUACGAACAUAUCGAUUCUGAAGCAAUGUGUUUACUAGCGACUGCUUUUAAGAUUUUCGUCGCCAUCAAGAGGGCAAUUAAUUGAAUUGGAAUAUUGCCCUUUUCUUGUACAUAGUAUAAAACUAAGCAGUAUAUUAGACUUUCUUUGUUUUGUAAAAAAUGAAUGGGUUGAAAAAUGUUUUCUUAAAAAUAAUCACUUAUAUUAUUAUAUUAAUAUUAAAAUAAAUAUACGAAAAAUAUUUUCAUUAUCUACAAUAAUAUUUAGAUUAUAUUGUUAUUAAUAAUAAUGAAAACACUUUUUAUCAACUAAUCAUCUCAAGUGAUAUAAAUGAUAAUUUCUAGGAAAAUACUUAUCGCAUUAUCUAUUUUUAAUGAAUCAACAAUAGUGAAGUUGAGAGAUUUUUCUAAUUUUACUUUACAAACGUCUGCCAUUACUCAUUAAAAAAUUCAUUUUCAAUGAAGUGAUUAUUAUUUUUUUUUUGGUAAGUUCAAUGAAGUGAUUAUUGUUUUUAUGUAAUAUUAAUAAUUUAAUGAGAUAAGUGCACUGAAAGUUUUAAAACUUGUUAUGAAAAUAUAAUCGAGUCUUAAAAAUUUUAAGAAGUGUAAUUAAGUAUUAAAUUGAUCAAAUUAGUACAAUUAAAUUAUUCAGUUAGCUUCGUUCAAAUUAACAAAUGAAAAAUGUUAACAUCGGUUAUUAUUUUUAUUUUCUCUAUGUGACGAUGACAUGAUUAAAAAAUAAAACAUAACACUAAAACAAUGUCAUUUUGAUCCGAAUUUUUUUUUUUAAUAGAAAAUUUACUUAAAUUAAUAUUAAAAAAAUAAAAAUUUAAAAAAAUACAAAAAAGAGCAAAAAGCAAGUCAAGGCUUGCAACCCUUACCUCCGUUGCCCCACAAUCUCUACAAAGGGCCGGUGAAGGUGAAGGAAUGGUUGGCCAGGGUUGAUGGGCCUCGGUUAGGGGCUCGCGACCCUCGCCAAGGACCUAUAGGCCAUCCUAAUUUUUCUGUCUUUCCUUUUUUUAUUUUUAUUUUUCUCAUUUUAGUAUAACUUAAAUAAAAUUUGUAUUAAAAAAAAUUAGAUUUGGCCCAAAAUGACAUAAUUUUUGCUAUGUCAUGUCAGCAUUUUUCAUUAGUUAAAUUAGACAAAGUUAACGGAAUGACUUGAUUGCAUCAAUUGUAGAACUUUUAUGACUCACACUCUUUAACAUUUUAAGACGCAAUACAAUUUAAUGAUAAGUGUGAGAACUUUUAAUACACUUUAUCCUUACUUCGACGAUGGAACUACGUAGGCUGCUGAUUAAGGUUUACAAGAGUCUGCGGGUUAAGAUCAACGGCCUAAAGCCGGUCCAAUUCGCUCACUCUGGGUCCGACCGGACUCAGCCGAUUCAUCAGACCUAAAGUAGCCUCGUCGCCUGGUUAGCUUCCCUUCAACGAGUGCACCGGCGACCAUGGCCGUCGUCAGCUCCCGCUGAGGAAGGUGUCGGUCCGGCGAAGUGAGGCACAGAGAGAGCGAGAGAGAGAGAGAUGGCCAUCGGGAGGAGCGGCAGCAGCAGCAGCAGCGGCGGCAGUGCUGCGAAGGCGGCGGUGAAGAAGGCGCUGGGGGAGAUGGGCUUCAACAGCAGCGGCGGCGCCAUCAACUGGUUCCCCGGCCACAUGGCCGCCGCCACCCGCGCCAUCCGCGACCGCCUCAAAGUCUCCGACCUCGUCAUCGAAGUCCGCGACUCCCGCGUCCGUACUCUCUCUCUUCUCCUUGUUUUUUUUUUUCUUUGUUUGAAUUCCGAUAUUCUGUGUGCACGGAAUUGGUGAUUCGUCUCGCUUGUCUUCGAUCAGAUUCCGCUGUCGUCGGUGAACGCGGACUUGCAGCCUCACCUCUCCAAGAAGAGGCGGGUGAUCGCGCUGAACAAGAAGGAUUUGGCCAACCCCAACGUCAUGCACGUAAAAAAAAAUCCCAACUUUCGCUUUUCUCUGCUUUUCCCACUUCCGUAACGAUUACCUCGAUCAUGCCUUUAGUGGCAACUGAUCAUUCGGGUUCUCGUCCCUUGGUGUUUGCCGUGCAGAAAUGGACUCACUACUUCGACUCUCGGAAUCAGGACUGCCUCCCCAUAAAUGCCCAUAGCAAGAGCUCUGUUAAGAAGGUCCGUCAAAAUGCGUUUGCUUUUUGAUACCGGCGCCUUUAAUUCAGUGCAUCUGCUUGUCAAGAACAUUAAGGGAUGUCCUCAUAGAAGUUUUGGGGGCCCUCUUAAUUUCGUAAAGCCUAGGAUAGAUGUUGGUCAAGAAAGCAAGAAUUGACUUUGGCAGUCGAUUUGCUCUGUUGCAUAAAGCCUUCGCCCAGGUUUCAAGAAUCAAUCUACUUGGCCAUAGGCUGAGACCAACUACUGGAGUUUCGCAUUCUUGUCCAACGUGGCAGUGUCAAAUUUGCUUUAGCCUUUGAGGUUUGAAAACUGCAACUGGAUUUUACCAAUGAAGAUUUGCUUCUGUUGUUGCUAGGUGUCUUUUUCUCUUAGCUGCUUUUGACCUGCAUUUUGCUAUCCCUUCUUAGUAAUUGCCGCAAGACACUUUGUUUUAUAUGUCUUACUGUAAGGGAAUGCUGCUUCCGUCAAUGCAGUAACUGCACGAUUGUGCCUUUUCUCUUCUUGGAGAUGUGACGCCUUGGAUAUUUGUAAUUCUUUUCCAUAGCUUCUGGAUCUUGUGGAGGUUAAAUUGAAGGAAGUGAUUUCAAGGGAACCUACUCUCCUAGUCAUGGUGGUUGGCGUUCCUAAUGUGGGCAAAUCAGCUCUUAUUAAUUCAAUUCAUCGAAUUGCAUCCUCUCGUUUUCCUGGUAAGAGUUUCCUCUUCCUCGCAAUGUGUAUUGGCAAGAGAUACAAACCUCCUCUUUGGCAGUUGACCUCAUCUGUGUAGAAAAAUACUCCACACCCGAUAAUUUGAUGGUGCAAUACAAUUUUCUUAACAACUAAGUAUAGUGAGGUUGAGGCUUAAUCAAGUACCAUGGAUAUAUCGUAUUGUUACCUGGUAACUUUGCUUUAUUUUCUAUUGCUUUAUGAUGGUGGCUUUGACUUUUUCUUAGUGCAGGAGAAGAUCAAGAGAGCAACAGUGGGCCCCUUGCCUGGUGUUACGCAAGAUAUUGCUGGUUUCAAGGUCAAAUUUUCUUCUGCUGUUAUAAAAAUUAUGGCGGCAUUCUCUCAAGCAGUCUGACUUUGCAAUUUUGUGCAUGAACUCAGAACUCUCUAGAUUGAUAGAUGCAUGAUCUUGGCUUUGUUGAUUGACUGCUUUUGUAUUAACAUGCAGUGAAAAGACAUCGGCAAACUUUUAUAAUUAAUCCUCAGAGACUCUUGCUUUUAUAUGUGCUUGAAUACAAUCACAGAUGAACUUUCUUGCCAUCUGUUAACAUCCUUUCCUUUCCUCCUUUUCUCAUUAUAAAUAGACCUAAUAAUAAAAAUUUCCAAUUUAUCCAAUGUUCUCUUACGUAAUAUAGUUGUAUAUAUUUUAAUCUUUUCUGAUUUUGGACUGUGAUGUGCAGAUCGCUCAUCAUCCAAGUAUCUAUGUUCUUGACACUCCUGGUGUACUAGUUCCUAGUAUCCCAGACAUAGAAAACAGGAUUGAAGCUAGCUNNNNNNNNNNNNNNNNNNNNNNNNNNNNNNNNNNNNNNNNNNNNNNNNNNNNNNNNNNNNNNNNNNNNNNNNNNNNNNNNNNNNNNNNNNNNNNNNNNNNCAUUUUGCUGCAGGGCAGUCCUUUCUAAACUACUAACCUGUAACUUGUGAUUUGGGCAUCUCUCUGCUACUUCUAUUCUCUAUUCAACUUAGUCUGCCAUAGUGUAGUGCACACUAGGGGAAAAGGAUUGGACAUUAGCCAUCAACUUCUAGAUGUUGUGACCUGGCAGAGCUUUGUGAAAAAUUGUUCACCAUUAUUGAGAAGAGAUUCUAAAAUUUUCCAGCUUAUAAAUGUAGGGAAAUUAGUGUACGUUAGAAUGUUUCACGCAUUCCUCUUUAAGUAUUGAAGAUGGCUGAAUUACUUGAAACCAGUUUCAUCAUUAGGUAACCCAGUCCUGACUGUCAUAUGGGUUAUAGAAAUGGUAGAUAGAUGAAUCUCAUCCGAGAAUAUGCUAUGAUGACUUUAUUAAGCAGAGCUUGGGGCAUUGGAAGUUGUCUUUUGGUCUUUGGCUUUACAUAGUGCAGCCUCAAUAUGAUUUAACUAGACGACCACAUUGCUUGACGAGGGAGAAGUAUAAUCCAUCUGGUACUUGUUUCCAUGUUUUUCUUUUGAUUGGUAAAAGAAGUAUAUCUUAUAUAUAUAUUCCCUUGUCUGUUUUAUUAAAUUUUACCCUUGUUAGUGGAAUUUGCAUUUUCUUGAUUGGUGAUUUGUUCACUGUUUCCUGCUUCAGUUUUGCCCUCUUUCCACAUCCCUCAUGCCUGGAGAUAUAGCUUAGUGUCAGUCCAUCUUGUAUCUUCUUUAUAAUAUAACUUAUAUAUUAAAUGUACCUGCAGGGUCUGUCAAAGACUCAGUGGUUGGUGAAGAUCGCAUUGCUCAGUACUUGUUGGCAGUAUUAAAUACUAGAGGCACCCCCCUUCACUGGAAGCAUUCAAAUAACAGAAGAAUGGAGGGUAUUCGAUAUGAACCAGAAGAAAAGCAUGAUUACAACCUUAAAGAUCUUCGGCCAAAGAAGAAGCCACCUAAUGUCUCUGAUGUCCUGUAUAUAGAGGUAUUUUUUAUGUACAAUAUGUGCCUAUAUAUGAGGUUUAUAACGCGUCAUGAUAAACUUAUAGAAUAUGUUGCUAAUUGAUUGUAUGCACCUGGAAGUUGUGGUCUUGGGUACUUAGAUACUAAAUUCAUUUAUAGUAUUCCAUACAUUUUCAUGAUAAUGACCCCAAAAUCGUUAGCAGUCCUUGUCAUUGAAAGCCCUUAUAGUUUUGAGCUGCUUAAUUCUUCCUGUAGAUGAUAGCUACAAGUUGCCUUGAAAAUUGUGAUCCACUUGAAUUAAUCUUCACUUCAAACUUGGAGUUUUGACUGGAUGGAUUCCGCCUUUAGAUUAGAGUAAAAGCAAAUCAGUGCAACCAUCAGAAGAGAUGAUUUUUUGCAAUGUGACCCUUAUGUUAAACUAUGGUGAUGGUUUGUAAAUUUACUGACUCUUCUUAUUUAGUAUGAAAGUUAUUAGUUCAUUAAUUAACAUUGAUCUAGAAUGGAUUCUGUGCAGCAUCUUCAAUUGAUAUGAAGGACCAAAUAGACAAAUGCCGUGCCCACGAUAUUGCUAGAAAUUUUGGUCAGCAGACCAUGUUGCCAAAAAAAAAGAAAGUACAAGUUAAGAGACUCAGUUCAUAGUCCAUAGUCUCUCAUUUUUAAUGCACAUCAUGUGGGAAAUAGUCGGGAGGGACAGUGUAGUCUAUAAAUGAAAGAUGCCUGUGAAGAUUUGAACUUGGUACUUCAAUGUUUUGAGAUAGUGGAGAAAACAUGUAUCGAUUGUAAUUUCAUUCGUUAGAAAGAUUUAGUAUAGAUUUAAUCCGUUAAGUUUUAGUGUGUGUAUGAAUUGAUCCUCUAAUUAUUAUUUAGGUCAAUCAACUCCUCUAACUUUCUGGAUUUGUGCUAUUUUGUCUUAUAAUUUCUAUUUUGGGCAAUUAGGUCCUCUAAAUUUCUAGAUUUGUGCAAUCAAAUCCUUCAGUCUAACUAAACCGUUAAUUUAAUUAAUGAUGUGGCAUUGCAUAUGUGACAGAAAAUUAUAUGUGAUGCUAAUUUGCUGCCAAAUGAGCAGAAAUAAACUGGAAAAACAGGGAAAAAAAAUCCUGAUUUGACAGUAAUAGUCACAGUGGGUAAUCAAAACACUCGAAUGCACCAAGUAAGAAAGUUAGAGGAUUUGAUUGCAGAAAAUAAAACUUAGAGGACCAUAUUGCUCAACUCCAGAAAGAGGACUUGGUUACACAAAUAAAAGUUAGGAUCAAAUUACACAAAUUUCGAAACUUAGAUGACUAAAUCUGUACUCAACUCGAAAAAAAAAAGAAAAAAAAAGAAGGGUUAUGAUAUAGUCAAGAAGGUGAAACUGCAAAGGUAGAAGGUUGUAUACUAAGAGUUUGUGUUUCAAGCCAUUCAAAAUAGAUGAUUUCUGAAACUGCUUUUAAUGUUCAUUUGAGCAGUGUUAACUCCAUGUGUUUCUUUAUAAUUAAAAUCCCGCAGUUCAUGCCUUGUAAAAUUGCUAUUACUGGUCUGUUUGAUGGAGUUAGCUCCUUUCUUGUUAGUGACUAACUGGUAUCUUUUUGGAGUUUCAGCUUGCUUUGUGUAUGGGUUUGCACCUCGUUGGUGCCUCUGCAUUUUUUUUUACUGAUCCAAAAAUGGAUUGCAAUUAUCAAAAGUUGAAUCUGUUUUGGUUGGGAUUAGUACGGUGAUAGUUGCUGAACUACAAUUUGCUCAUGGAUAGUCAUGCAUUGCUUGCNNNNNNNNNNNNNNNNNNNNNNNNNNNNNNNNNNNNNNNNNNNNNNNNNNNNNNNNNNNNNNNNNNNNNNNNNNNNNNNNNNNNNNNNNNNNNNNNNNNNNNNNNNNNNNNNNNNNNNNNNNNNNNNNNNNNNNNNNNNNNNNNNNNNNNNNNNNNNNNNNNNNNNNNNNNNNNNNNNNNNNNNNNNNNNNNNNNNNNNNNNNNNNNNNNNNNNNNNNNNNNNNNNNNNNNNNNNNNNNNNNNNNNNNNNNNNNNNNNNNNNNNNNNNNNNNNNNNNNNNNNNNNNNNNNNNNNNNNNNNNNNNNNNNNNNNNNNNNNNNNNNNNNNNNNNNNNNNNNNNNNNNNNNNNNNNNNNNNNNNNNNNNNNNNNNNNNNNNNNNNNNNNNNNNNNNNNNNNNNNNNNNNNNNNNNNNNNNNNNNNNNNNNNNNNNNNNNNNNNNNNNNNNNNNNNNNNNNNNNNNNNNNNNNNNNNNNNNNNNNNNNNNNNNNNNAUUUAUGUUUCUGUUGCCUUGUGUUAUCUUCUGGGUAAAUAUUAUGUCGGAUCCUUUUGGAAUUUAUGCUUUCCUGUGCAUCCAUUCCCAUGGUACUUUCUGGUUCUAAGUAUCACUGCGGUCAAUAAUUAAUCAGAAAUUGCAGACAUUUCCAGCAGACUCAUGAAAGGCCUCUUGCCUGUGAAAAAAUACAUGCUCGUCCGCAGGAAUUGUCUCUUUGUGAAAUGAGAAGUACUUGGAUGAGUGCCCAACCAGUCAUUUUUCUAGAUGGAAGGACAAAUGCCGUAAAUGAAAGAAGAUUUGGGCCGAAGUAUCGUGAAGCUUUUAAUUGCAUCGACAUUGCGUUGGUUGUACAUGUCAAGACAUGCGGCAUGAGACGCAGGGUGGCAUAUAAAUGAAAAUAUGAUGGCAGACAAUGCAAUGUCCAUAAAUUUCUCCUUGGUUCGCAUCAGAUCCAAAGAUUGUGAGACUCGCCUUGGCAUUUGAUGGUGUUAAUCCGUAUGGCAACCUCAGCAUUAGAAUGUGGCAUGUGGCUGGUUAUAUAUUUCCCAUAUAAUUUGCCACUUUGGAAGUUGCAUGAAGUCAUCGUUAAAUUUGCUUUCAUUGUUGAUUCCCGAGUCACACGCUCCUUGAAGAGACAUAGGGUCUACCUUCAAUCGUCGAUUGUCACGUUAAAGGCCUUCUGUCAUGUUAAACAGUGUGAUUUUCUCGGAUGCAUGUCGCAGUGCUUUGGAUCAUCGACGGUUUUCCUGCGUGACCUACCUGGAUGGUGUACGAAAGAUUACAAACUAUGCCCAAAGUGCAAUGAUAGCAUCUUAGUAGGGGCAAUGGUAGAUGGGACUGUUUUUGUAGUUUCCCCUCGACUUUGAUUGGUUUAUUCCACGUUAGUACCACUUGUUCAUGUCUAAAUCCUAGUCAUCAUUUCCAUGAUAUGUGGGAGAAAUGUUAAAGUUUUCAUUACUGCUGCUGGUUAUUUUGGAAACCAAAUUUUACAUGAAACAAAGUUUGAAGACAAAAAUUUCUUGGUGAAGAUGUGAUAAUUGACCAAACCCAAGUAAUCACUUAAAGCUAAGUUAUGCUUUCGUCAGUCCCUCAACCCAUGUACUUGAAUAAAAGAGAAGCAAAAUGAACUCCUCUUUUGUGCAUCUCAAAGAAUCGUGAAAGGACAGAGGAGAGAGAGAGAGAACUACAGUCGGCAGAAACAGAAGAGGAAGAAAGGAAAAAAAGGGAUAAACAGAGCACGAACAAACGUUGCACACAUGCUCGGAGAUCUUGACAAACCAGAUUAACUCCAUUUCAUUUCGAUCUUUGAUUCACAUGCAACAAAUUAAACGUAGCCAUGUAACCCAAUGCUCGAGUCUGGUGUAGCAAAAGCCUAUAUCCCAAAUAUCCAAUUAUAGCUGGACUUGAUUCAUUCAAGAGCUACAAAAUAACUAUUUAACAAAUCACAUACAUAUACUUUUACGAGCACAAUAUAUAUUAUACCUUGUUUAAGGGUAUGUAUUUACAUUAGUAUAAGUUUAACUUAACAUAACAACAACUAAGUUCAUCACAAAUAUAUCAUGUCGAGACUAGUUAAAACUUAUUUUAUUUAUAAAGGAUAUGUUAAUCUUAAAAUUUUAUUAUAGUUUAAUGUUAUUAUAAUAAGUUAAUGAAGUUAUUAUGUUAGUAAGUGUCCUUAUAACUUAUAACUUACAAUUAUAAUAAAGUCAUAACUUACUAAUUUAUAUAUAUUAAUGGUAUAAGUUAAUAUAUGUUAUAACUUAAAUAAAAAGUUAAUAUUAUAACAUAUAUGUAAUUAACUAAAUCAUAUGAUCAUGUAAUCAUUCUUAUAAUCCAUUAAUGGUGUUAUCGUUUAUACCUUCUUAACAAGCAAUCUGGAUUAAUCUAUGAAGUUAAGCAGCGACGGGGUGGACACUGGAACACUCUCAAGCCGCUCACAGGUCUUCUUCUGGAGCUUUUCUUAAAAUUCUUCUUUUUAAUUUCGAAGCUAUGGAAAUAUUUUUCCUGAAAACUUGAUUGUUCGUUUGAAAUUAGUUGGUUGUGAAUUGGAUGCACGAGAAUUUGCUGGCUGUGUUUUGCGUUGAUGAUUGCUCUUUCUCCGGUCCAACCAUAGCCUGGACCUUCCUCACCUCGAGACCUUUGAGAAGAUGUACAAGAGGAGUUGCAAAACAAAACCAAAAUGUCAGAAAAUAUGUUAGUUGCCCUAAAUAAAUGAAAUAACUUCUUGGUCUGAUCUGCGGUUAUAAGAAAUCUCAUAUUAUCUAAUAUUUCUUAUUUACAAGAAGUUAUAAAAAUCCUAAAUUAGCGGUUAUAGACAUAAUUACCAAGCAAUUAUGUUUUUUAUAUUGAUUGCUUCCUGUCGAUAACAUUGUUAAUUAACUUCUCAAGUCUUGAUGCAGCCUUUCAACAGUAAGUUUUACGUUGUGUUGCCAAUGACUUCAUUGGCAAGUUAUCAAUUAUCUUCAAAUUAUUGACCAUUCUGUUUUAUUGAUGAUUUCUAUUUUGAACAAACCCCGCUCUUUUCGACUAGUCGGUCUUGUCGAUAAUAAAAACAAAAAAAAGAAAUUGAUCAUUUUUUGGUGUCAACAAUAAUGAGAAUAUAUGCGUCAAUUAAAUCUUAACCAGAACUAAAUUAUUGAAACAUAGAACUCAUAUUAUGUCGGGUUUAUUUAUUUCGAUGUCAGUAGGAUAACUAAUCUUUUCUUCUGUUGUGAUUAAUGAAGAACAGUAACCCAAAAUUUUGUCAUGCAAUGGGUCGGUAUCUUGCGCACCUUCUCCUUAUAUUAUUAGAUUAUAUAAACAAAUUUUACUCUUUAGUUACUCGCCGAUGAUGUGGGCUUGAGGGGAGGAAGAUGAUGCUAAAACAUCACGUGAAGAGAGAGAGAGAGAGGGAAAGAGAGAGUACAGAGCAUGCAGGGGUUACGAGCAAUCGCCAUACACACGUCAGAGACUGCAGAGAACAAAGCCAAGCGACCCAAACGGCUUUCUUUGUUCUUUCUUAGUCAAAAGCCACAAGUGUACGUGUUUACGUGAUCGAGGACCGAGUGCGCGCAGGUCAAUGUACGUUAAACUCGCGCAUGAACCCAAGGUGGUGGUCGCCAACUGCACCGCGCGCUCUCUGUGCGUCCGUGACUGUGAGCUACAAAACGAGACCACCAAGUGAGCGAGCGAGACACGAGAGAGAGAGAGAGAGAGAGAGAGAGAGGAAAAUGAUGGAGGUGAGGAAGGAUGUGAUGGACAAUGACAUUGCAGAGAAAGAGAGGGACAGCGUCCGCGGCCAAUCGUCCGCGUCCUACCUGGUGUGGGACGACUUGACGGUGUCGGUGUCGGCCGGUUCCAAGAGGAAACUGCUGAGCCGGCUCAGCGGGUAUGCUCAGACGGGUCGGAUCUUGGCCGUCAUGGGUCCUUCCGGUUCUGGAAAAUCCACUUUCCUCGAUUCAUUGGCAGGUUUCUCUCCUUCUCUCUGCCAACCUUCUCGUUUUGGAACAUUUUCUUUCAACAAUAUAUCCAUUAACUUAGCCUUAUAUUAUUGCAUUUUUAUCUGAGUUAUUAUACGGUUUGACCGCCGGUGAAAUCCGAAUUCCAUCCUCGAAGCAUUAUGUACGAAAACUCCCGGUGAUACUGAUAUAGUUACUGAAAGAAUAAGACAACAAGCAUUGCCCAUAUAUGAAAAAUACAGCAGCUUGACAUAGUCACCAAAAUCAUUAAUAGCAUUGAAGAUUGCAGAAGGCUACGAUGAUUACUCCUUUCCAUAGCCAAAUUUAGAAGUGUAGAAACGAAGUUACACAUGGAGUUUAACUUUGUGACUAACCAAAGUGCAGGAAGCUGUUUAUGUUCAUGAAUUUUGCUUAAAAACGAUCGCUCCCCAAAAGCUUUCUUAACUUUUAAUCCUAAUUUUGCUUCAAACUUUUUUUUGUCUAAAAAAAGAAUUUCUAACUUUCACUCUAAUUCCAAAUGUACCUCAUGUCCCAAAAUUAUCACUAGUUUUCAUUUUCCAAAUUAUCAAUAUCAGAAGAUUGCCGUUGUUCCAUAUGAAUAUGAGGGUGUUGGAGAAAACACAUACUUUAGUAAUGAAUUUAUUAAUUCGCCUUGAUAUUGAUAAUUCCAAAGAAACUAGUGGUUAUUUUUGGACGUGGGGCAAAUUUUGAACUAUGGUGAAAAUCCAUGGUUCCUUUUUUAGACUGAAGAAAAUUUCGUGUCAAUAUAAGUUGGUUUUUUUAAGAAAAUUAAGACUUACUUUUGGUCAAGCUCUUAUGCUGGCACAAUAUUUUUAUUUUAUUUUAUUUUUUUAUCUUAUAAAAAUCCACAUCUUUGAAUUGGUACCCAAAUCUAGCUCCUUGUCGUGUUUCCAUCAAAUGAGGUCAUUAAAGAUUUGACAAGUCAUUCCAUUUGUACUUGGCAAGAACUUAAUGAGGGUCAAAUUUAUGAUGUUAUGUGAAAGUUGGUAUUUUAUUGCGAGAAAAAAAGUUUGGAUUAGAAUUGGGCCACAGAGUAAAGUCAAGACCUAUUUAUAAGACAAAAAUAUGGGUUAGAAUUGGGUUAUGAUCUAAAGCUAACAUUAUUCUAUGAGAAAAAAUUUGUGUCAAAAUUGAAAUUCAAGGUAAAGGAUGCUUUCUAAGACUGAGCAUUCUUUCUUGUAAAAUUGCAUACUUCUUUCCUUUCUUGACGGGGCUUGGAGUGAAUCAUAUCUUAUGGUGCAAAACUAUUGUCCUAAAUAUACAUGCUAUAGUAAAAUUACAACUUUAAAAGGGAAGCCAUUGGAGUGUAAGUCCUGUUCUAUUAAUUCCCCUACGACGUGGGGAUCAAGCGAAUGACUGUGAGAACCGGCCAAUGCGACUUCCGGGCAAAGAGUUCAAGGAGGCUCCGCACACGUCCCUGCCUCAUCGCACGUCGAGUGAUGGAACUCUCGCCCUCAAAGUCGCUCUCAUUUUGGACACCGCAUCUCUGCAGAUCAUGGCCCGGAGACUUUCCCAGGUCCGGAGCCGACCCGUCCUCUUCAUACAAUGGCCUGAUAAUGCCUAGGCACAUCAACUUCCACUUAAAGAGACUAUUUGGUUGCUUCAUAGUCGACAUGGGAUAAGAAGAGUGUGUAGAGAGAGAGAGAGAGAGAUUGAUUGAGAGAUUUCUAACGUAGCUUUCCAUAAUUUAGGUACAUAGGCACAUUUACUGAAUAAGUACGUAUUUGACCAAGCAUACGUAUUUCAACCACUUAGCACCCACUUCGAUUGACUACUUCUUAUGCUUUAUUUUUCAACAAGCCGGAUUUCUUCUGACGUCAGAAGAGGGGGAAAUAUUUCCCUAAGUGGGAAAAAGAUGAAGCCCAUAAACCACAAAGAUCUGGUAAGCACAUCAAGUCAUUAGGUCUAAAGUUAGCUUUUGUUGUAAAUUAUUUGUGGUGGACAAACUUUACACAACAGAGGAAAAUAGAUUAUGAGACAAGUAUUUUGACUAUUGCAGAAGAUAAUUCUCUAGGUUUAUAGGAUUAAAAAUCCCAAAUCGGAACCCUCACGACAUAUUUUUCCCAAAGUAGUUUUCGUCUUUAAAUGAUCCCAACUUUUCUAGCAAUUAAAAGAAAAUUUUAGUCUAGCAAUUGUUAGAUCAUCUAUGGAAUAACAAGAUUGCUUCCAUCAGCUUAAUCCGCGCUUUCUGGCUAUAGUUUCAGCUUCCCAUACUAAGGGCCCAUUUGGUUCGGCUUUUCGGGAAUGUAUUUGCCAAAAUGCAAAUACUUUUGGGUGAAUGGGGUUUUCCAAAAUGCAAAUAUCGUUCGGUAAAAUUUGCAUUGAGAUACAACUUUGGCCAAAAUACCGUUUGGUAAAAUUUACAGUUGUAAAUGGCUUUUAUUAAAUUAAAAAAAUAAAAAAACAUUUGUAUUAUCUUUUUUUGAAGUCCGGCCACCGGAUCGCCGGAUUCGGCGGCCGGACCGCCGGAUCUGGCGACCAGAUGGCCGGAUCUGGCGACCAGAUGGCCGGGCACGACCCAGGCGACCGUCGCCUGGGGUCGCGCGACCCAGACGUCGCCUGAGGUCUGGCGACGGUUGCCGGGGUAGGGCGACCCUCAGGCGGCGGUCGCCGGCGCUUCGCCGGCGUGCGGGACCUCUCGGCCGGCGGUGGUCAGCCUCCGUGCGGUGGUUUUCCUCGCCUGAUGAACAGUACCCUCGAAGAUGAACAGUAUCCAAACUUGCAUUCUCAAAAUACAACUUUCCAAAAUACCUCCGGACCUCCAUUUAGCUAAAGGCCCUUAGAGUCACUUGGAGAUGCAAUUGCAUCUUGCCAAAGUCGCCCAAAAAACCGAACCAAACAGGUUUGCAUUUGGCUAAGGGACUUUGGAGUCCAAAUGCUCAUCCCCAAAGCUGAACCAAACAGGGCCUAAUACUGUGGCUAGUGACCUCUAAAAUGAAGCAUCAGCAGGCCACUCUUCUGUCAAUUUUGUUUCAUGAAGCAUCCUUUUAGCCCACAAAAGAUUAAAUAAUAUAUUGAACUUCCUUUGAUUCAAUCUGGCGGUUUAUGUGUGUGACCGGACGACAUUCUUAUAGUCAAAAUUUGGUUGGUUUUGCCAUGUUUCUCCUUUCUGAAAUUUGAGCUUGCAAAAUGGCAAAUAAAUUUCUAUCUGGUGAUUGAUGUUUCAUCCUGGGUCUCAUUCUUGAAUCGUCUCGUUUUGUGCAUUUUUUCAGUCCUAUGUGACUCAAGAAAAUUUAUACUUGGGCACUCUCACUGUCAAAGAGACAAUAGCUUACACAGCUCAUCUGAGGCUUUCUUCCGAAAUGACGAAAGCCGAGAUUGAUGAGGUGGUCGAAACGACCAUAAAGGAGAUGGGACUCGAAGACUGUGCAGAGAACAAGAUUGGUAACUGGCACUUGAGGGGCAUAAGCAGUGGAGAAAAGAAAAGACUCAGCAUCAGCCUCGAAAUGGUGACAGGCCCACUGAUCUUGCUCCUUGAUGAGCCUACCACAGGCUUAGAUAGCGCCUCGGCUUUUUUUGUCACAAGAGCUCUAAGAAAUAUUGCAGAUGAAGGUAGAAUAGUUAUUUGCUCAAUGCACCAGCCGAGCAGUGAAGUUUUCGAUCUUUUUGAUGAUUUACUCCUUCUGUCGAGUGGAGAAACUGUGUUUCUGGGAGAAGCCAAAAUGGCCAUUGAGGUAAUAAAGAGUCAACACUUCAUUCUACCUCAAGAGGCAUUUCGGCUGUGCAGAAGCAAGAUCAUUUAAUUUAACUCCCGGUGCAGUUCUUUGCAGAUGCUGGAUUUGCUUGUCCGAGGAGGAAAAAUCCCUCUGAUCACUUUCUGUGGUGUAUUAGCUUGGACUUCGAUUCUGUGACUGUCACUCUAUUGCUUUCUCCUAGAAAUUGUGUGAGUUUUAACUCGAAGACUUCUAGACUUUGCAUCAGUUCUCCUAAUAUGUAAAGUGACUUCCGCCUAUUAUCCGGGCUUCCUAUUUUAUCUUGCAGCAAAAUCCAGCCUCGUCUGGUUUUUCAAUGAAGAUGAAAACAGCAGAGAUUAAAGCCACACUCAUCCAAAGUUACAAAUCCUCAGAGUAUUCAUGCGCAGUUAGGAGGAAAAUGCAAGAAAUUGCAGCUACUGUAAGCAUUCCAGCUCAGAAGAUAUAUAAAUACAGAUCAUGCUCAUGCAGUCAUUUUUUUCAUCUUUCCCACUUACCAUAGUUAAUGAACAAUGUCUCCAUCUGUGCUUUUUGAAACUGAUGGAGUUACCUCUAUAUUGAAGUAGCAUUUUCCGGAACUGAUGUUAUCAAAACUGAAUCUCUUCUGUUGAAAACAGAAGGAUUAUCAGGUCUGCCAGUCGAAUAAGAAUACUAAUUCCAGCAAGUGGAAGCAGCUCAGGAUUUUGACUCAUCGGUCCUUCAUCAACAUGUAUAGGGACAUUGGAUACUCCUGGUUGAGGAUCAUGUUCUACGUUUUAUCAUCAAUAAGUACCGGAACUCUAUAUUUUGACAUUGGAUACGACAAUGGGGCAAUUAUCAACAGAGGAAAGUGCGUUUCAUUUAUCUACGGCUUCAUGAUAUGUUUAUCUUGUGGUGGUGUCCCUUUCUUUGAUGAAGAACUGAAGGUAUAGCAAAGUGUCGAGGCUGAUCUAUUUUUCUCUAUUAUAUAUCAACAGUAUCUUCAUACAUGAGGUAAUAUUAAAAUGAUAUGUUACUAGGACUAGAACUAAGUUUCCUCUGGAGGGUAGACAAGCCCCACCAUGACAGGUGUGAAGUUGCAUGUCGUAGCCUAUCACGCUGUUAAUAACAUAAAUCUAACUAAUGAACUUUUAGUUGACGGCCUACUCCGACUCAGUCACAGAGGAAUGUGAGAAUUGCACAAUCAGUUAGAGAGAUUAAAGCAAGAAUAUACAUUUAUUACAUAACAAAGGAGAAACCUUUUCAUUGUAUGACAUCCUUUUCUUGUCUAAAUCAGGUAUUUUAUGCCGAGAGACUCAAUGGGCAUUAUGGUGAGACAGUGUUCGUGCUUGCGAAUUUCCUUUCUUCGCUCCCUUUCUUGGUGGCAAAUUCUCUGCUUUCAGGAACAACGAUAUUCUGCAUGGUGAAGCUUCAUCCAGGGUUCUCUCACUAUGGUUAUUUCUGCAUUAAUCUCUUCUGCUGCAUCACCGUUAUUGAGAGUUGCAUGAUGGUUGUGACCUCAUUUGUCCCCAAUGCCUUGAUGGCCAUAGGAACUGGAGCUGGUGUCAUCGUAAGCAAAUUUUCUCUCCUAAAAUUUCCUUCUUGUAAUUGUCAUAAAGUAUGUUUUCAUAGCUAAUUUUUGUGGAUUCAGGUUCUAAUGAUGAUGGCAUCACAGAUUUUUAGACUUCUCCCCGAUCUUCCCAAGUUCUUUUGGCAGUACCCAAUGUCCUACAUCAGUUUUGCCAAAUGGGCAGUUGAGGUAGUUAGUGCAUAGUGAUUCACUAUUUUCUGAAAUCAAGCUUGAAAAUUUAUCAGCAUAUAAUUUGCAUAGAGCCAUGACAUGGAAAAUAAUCGUCUUCAGUUUCAAAAAUGCUGCCUGACUAGUAGAACUCCACCUUGAGAAAUUGCUUCUGCUAAGCAUUGCAUAUUCAAACUCAUUGCAGUUCAAUUCUUAUCUUGCACCCGCGGUACAUAUAUGAGAAAGAAAUCUCAAAUCAACAGAAAUUAAGAUGCCUUUCAUUUUGCUGUGAAGAAAUGGGUUGAAAUGUUGACAGUUUUGCAUUCCCUUGUUCCUUUUUUCAUUGUUGCCCUUCUCUUCCAUAUGCUAGAGAUUAUGUUAAUCAAUGUAAUAGUGUCAUGCUAGAUAGGUUCUGUUAUCAGUCUCUUUCAGAUAUUGAUGUAAAUAUGGCUUCACAGAAGCUUAUAUAUCCCUGUAGUUAAUAUGGCCUAUUGCCCAAGCUGUCAAGAGGCGUUCAUUACCAUUGAAGCUUGGUGAACAUCAUUAUUCCUAAGAAGAGACCCUGAAUCCCAGCCCCAUGUACCCUGGUCAUCAGCUGGCUUUGCGCUUUAACAGUUCAUGCAUUAUUCACGUAAUAGUUCUGCGACUGGCCGCGGCAGUCGACAAUACCAACAUAUGUUUUGGAUCAGUGAGCAAGACUGCUCCCAAAUAUCUGAUGAAUUAGAGCUCACUCACACAAAUCACUCACAUGCCUUGCAGGGUCAAUACAAGAAUGUCAUGACUGGCUGUGAGUUUGAUUCAGCAGAGCCAGGAGAACCAAAACUGAAAGGCGAGACCAUCCUCAAAACAACUUUCGGCAUAUCACCGGAUCACUCCAAGUGGUGGGAUGUAAUCGUGCUUCUCUUUCAAUUGUUUGUUUACAAACUGCUACUCUUCUUAAUGCUCAGGUACAAGAAGAGAAUGGCGCCCUGGUUAAAUGGAAAUUAUUCUUAGCUUGUUUACAAACUACUACUACUUUCUUAAUUUUAUGCUUUGCAAGAGGUUUAUAAUCUACGUUUAUUACGAAGAGGAAAGGGUGGAUCCAGUCCGAGAAAUAUGUAUAAAUUUCGCCACAUUCUUUCUAAUAAAAAUAAAUAUCCAAAGCUGAAUUUGUCAUAGAUAUUAAACUGAAAAGGGGAACUGUAUGUGGAUCUUGUGACAAGGAACACAUGCGUCACUGACAUAACCUUGGUGGGUUAGGUGCUGAUAAAGCAGGUACAUUCUGGAAACAUUAAGGAUGCUAACUGCUAUUUGGAACACUCAAUCAUCUGUCAUGACGCCUUCCUAAAUAACACUAAUGAUGACAACCAUGUAACUGCAUAUGUGUGCGUGUGAUAAAGUGGUCACGAUUACAUCUUGUUUGAAAAACAGCCAUCAACCAUAAGCAAUUGGAAAAUUCAAUAUAGUGAUGAUAAAAUAUAUUGAUUACAAGUGAAACAUAUGUUGCGCAAUGAGUUAUGACUUAUGUCAGAUAUAGCUUCCGCUCAUUUACAAGAAAAAAAAUGGAAGGUAAGUGUACACUCAGUAAUUUCAUGGCGAAUCACCCUUAAACAGGCUCUCUGUUUCCUUACGAUGCACCAAAAUUAGGACAGCGAGCUUGUCAAACCCAGGACCUCCAAAUGUAGUCCUUGCCUGUGAAGCAGGCCCGGGUGGAAUAUUCAGAUCUAUGUUUUCCCCCCAAAACGAUGGGCCAUAUAUGCAAAAGCCAAGAAAGUGUACUUGUCCCCGAAUGCACAACUUUGACGUGCCCAGGAGAAACAAACUCAAGAUAAGUUUAAGAUGCUCUGCAACAGACUCCAGUAUCCUCGUCCAAACUACUUAUUUCUUCUGUUUUUUUCCAUCCAGCAUUAUUGCCAUUGCGUGCUCUUGAUGCUUUAUGAUUCCUUAUUGUGGUUUCCACGUUCAUACUUCUUUUCAGUUCCAUCUUUCUCUUUUCCCCAAUUCUAAGUUGGUGAAAGGUCCUCUUCCUUUUCUUUCCAGAUUCAUUGGAUUGAAUCUUACAAAAAUUUUAUGCAGCCGAAUCACCAUCCUAUUGAGGACCUUCUAAUCUGCCAUUAGCACUAAGAGAAGUUUCAUAUUCUCCUGAGUGGAGGCAGCCGUCUUGGUUCUUCAUUUUUUUUUUCAUAUCCUCAUCCCCGGAGAUCUUUCUGACUUGCAGAAGCUUCCUUGUUUGCUAUGCCGCCUUCAUCUGAGGUUUUGUUUUGUCGAUUCUGAAAGGUAAAAUAUGACAGCAAAACCACAAGAAUGAUUGUGACCUGUAUAAUCGUACUUUUCUUGGGUAGCAAGCUGAAUGACAGCAGGACCCCACUUCCUAAUCAUUAUCUCAAGAAUGAUUGUGACCUGCAUAUACAGUGAUAAUGGAAAUUCAUUACGAGCUUGCAAAAAAGAGGCCCGUGGAAGGAUGCAUGCAUGGAAUUAUCACAAAACAUCUCAGUAAACUCCCAGUAUAAUUUCACAUGCCUAUGAUCUGAAGUAAUGUCUGAAGACCGAUGACCAUGAAAUAACACCAUCAAUAAUGUCGGAAAGUAAACUUUGGAUCUUCAUUUUGUAAGCAAGACACUAAUACUUUCACAAAACCUAGAACAGCCUGCAAAAUACGAAAUAACUCUUAAGCCAUGCCAACUGGGGCAAGAAUCCAUUUCGGUAAUGGUAUACUCACUUUUAUCACUUCCACUGCUUUGCUUUGCAGCAGAGAAAGAACAGGAGGAGUAAGAUCAGGAAUUGAUAGACAAAUAUCUGUAUCCUUGUAAACUAGUAUGGACAAUGCAGAAACAUCUUCAUGCAACGGCACUAUGUAUUAUUCACCAAGCACUCUCGGAAACUGUAUUAUCCAGAUUAAUGGGAGUGAAGAUUGCAAAGAAGGCUUGGGAGAUACUAAGAGAAAAUUCUCAAGGAUUAGAAAAGGUAUGCACUAAUUAGCUUCGAACUCUGUGAAGAGAAUUUCAAGAAUUACAAAAUGAAAAGUUAUGAAACCGUCCAAGAAUAUUGUGGAAAAUUAAAAGAACUAGUUAAUCAAAUGAGAGCCUAUGGAGAUGAAAUCAUUGAUCAAAGGGCUGUAGAAAAAAAUAUUGGUGUCACUUACUAGGAAAUACAAUCCUAUUGUCACAACUAUAGAAGGAACAAAGGACUUAACAACCUAUUAAUGAGUGAAUUGAUUGGCUCUCUAAAAGCACAUGAAAAAAGGCUGAUGGCACAAGAUGAAGAUUUGAUUGAAAGAGCCUUUCAGUCUAAAAUAAACAUGCAGUCUCAUCAAUCUAAAAAUGAUGGAAAGAGCUCGUGGAAAAAUAAAGGAGGAGGAGAAACUACACAAAAGCUAAAAUAUCCAAUAGAAUUUGCAAGCAAAACAAUCGUUUGGAGAAAGAUCACUAAUCUUGGAAAAAACCACAAUGCUACUCUAGUAAAAGAUAUGGCCACAUAGAAAAGGAUUGUCACUCAAAAACAAAUUAUUGAGCCAAUCUUGUGGAAGAAAAAGAAAGUGUAGAUAAUACAUUCUAUGUAGGCUGAGCGGCAAAUGAUGAGAAACAUGAUACACAAUAUAUUGAUGGUGGGUGUAGCAAUCAUAUGAUGGGGGAUGAAUCCAUAUUGGUAAACAACGAGUUAGUCGAUGUAGUAGGAAAAGGCACUAUCGCUGUUGAAACAUGUAAAGCCCAAAAUAUAUUCACAAUGUAUAUUUAGUCCCUAGUCUUGCACAAAUCUACUGAGCAUGGGCCAAAUGAUACAAAGUGGGUAUUCCUUUUGAGGAGAUGCUUGCAUUAUCUAUGAUAAAUAUAAACAUAUUAUUGCCUAUGUUAAAAUGGAGAAUAGGAACUUUCCUAUUUGAUGGAAAUAUGUCAAAAAUAUUGUCAUGAAAGCUCAACUUGAUGAUUCAUGAUUAUCGCACCAAAGAUUUGGCCACUUCAACUUUACUAGGUUAAAGUUUCUCCAUUAGAAAUAUAUGAUGAGAGAUUUUCCAGCCAUUUUAGGAAUUUCAGGUGUUUGGGAAUUGUCAUGCCCCGAACCCCGAGCGCGUGCCUAUCCCUAUAUGGUCGAUAAUAAUUUGUAACUUCCUAGGACGAGUCACCGACCCUUUCCAUUUUAUUGCACAUGCGGAAGCGAAAAGAAAUCUCCUGACAGUAAUCAUCUCGAGAUAGAAAAGUAGGAUAUGAAUUCACAAAACAAACAUGCUUUUAUAUAUACACUGAGUCAUGUACAAAAGUCUAUGGCCAAAAGAUUACAAAAGACUGGUCUUCCAAAAAUAAGUGGUCCUAAUUGACCCACGCUUCUGAUCACCUCCUCUCAGCUCCAGGUCCUCCACUCAACGACCCUGAAAAUGUUGUCCCACAACGGGGUGAGAUAUAAUCUCAGCAAGUCUAAGCUCUAAACUCCGAUUAGGAGGAAAAUACACCUAGAAGUGUCUUAUUCACACAAUCACACAAUCAAGGAGACUUACCUCGUUUCAGAUCCACCCCGCAGGUCAGUACAAUUUAUAUCACAGACAACAUGAGAGCAUGAGCAAGAAAUAAGCUUCAAUAACUGAAAUACCACACUCAAUUAAUCAUGUGUUCCUAGUUUUGAUCUUGGCAUAUAGCACGGCCUACUCUCUAUCCGGCGGUCUUUUGGCAUUGCUAGGCUUUGUCUCACCUCAUUGAGCAUGGCACGUCUUUUUUAGACGGCUUUCUCAAAGGAGCAUAGGGUCAAGAAUCUACUAUGAUCGGCUUCCUGUUGUCUAGGGGGUAUCCCGAAUAGGGAUAACAUCCAGCUUAACAACCUGGGACAAUUUUUCUUAACCAUCACAUGAUCACUCAAAUAUGGCCCAGGGCACUGUGCAUUGCACUCAAAUGCUUCAAUUAAAAUGGUGAGCCUAGUCUUUUUCUUCGUAUUAGAAAUUCACAUGAAAUUACCCGUGUAUGAGUACACGGUCAACUUGACCCUGAAAAAUUGAUAUUCUUCAUUUUUGAAAUCCCACUAUUUCAUAUAGUACUAAAAAUUAUUUUCGGUGUCAAAACCCAACACUCGGGAUUUUCUGAAUAAAUAUUGAAAAUUCACAAUUUUUGGAAUUUAAUACCAAAAAUCCAAUCAGCAAUCAAUUUGCAUAAUUUAACACUCAAUUGCAAAAAUUUACCAAACCAUUGCAAUCAGCACGAAAUUCCGGUCACCGGCUAUCCCGAUCUAAUUUCCGGAAAAAUAAUUAAUAAUUAAUUAAUUUCAAAAAUUAAUUAAUUAAUUAAAUUUAAUUUCUAAAAAUACUAACCUAGGCCAAAAUUAUUAAAUUAAAUACCAAUACGGACUUGGAAAAUUCCCGAACCCUUAUAGAUAAACGGUACAAUUUAUUUAGGCCUUAGCUAAACCAUGCUAACCACCUAACAUGCUCAAUUAAAUAGUUACAUUUCUAAUUUAAUCUAAUUAACUACUUAAUUCCUAAUAAAAUAAAUCUAAACACUCCUUAAACUUCAUUAGCCUACUAAGCAGAGUUUAGAGUAUAAACUCACUGGUUAAUUGUGGAAACCGGUUCACCGCGAUGACGGCGCGACGGCGGCUGAAAUCUGAAUUUUCAGCGGCGUCGGUGGACACUCAGGCCAGGCCUAAAACGGGCCCAACAAAUCUCAGUCCAAUCUGAGAUUUUCUUUUGAAUUGGGCUGGGCUUCACAGGACUGAACAGGCCUUGAAUGGGCUGUCUUCGCGGGCUUCUCAUUUUGUUGGGCUUCGCUGGACUGGGCUUGAUCUCGGCUUGGGCCUCCUUCUUGGGCUUCAAGGUUGCGGGCGUGGGCUUAGGGAAUUGGUAGAGAAGAUUGUGAGAGAGAGAGACCGUGGAUGGGGGCGGUAGAAAUGAAGGGAAAUUGACAGCUGAAGUAAAGAAAUGUGAAGGAAAAUGAAAGUGAAAGACAAAAGCAGAGGGGGUCGACGAUGAAGACGCACGAAGAAGGGGAAUGGAUGAGGCCAAUAGGUCAAGGAAAUGAUGAAAAUGUUCUAAAAGUCCAAGCUUCAUCCACUUAAUUAAAUGCAUCGUCCCCCUAAUUCUUUCUCAAGUUGGAUUUUCCAUUAAAUCAAAUUUUGAUGCAAAGAUUUCCAGCCCUUUGUCCAAAACCGAAUUUCACUCAAUUAAAUUCAAUUUCCUUACUCAAUUUCCCAAAUCGAGAUCCGAUUUCGAUGAAAAAAAAUCCCGAACACUUUUCUAUAAAUCCCUGACACUCACAGGUUCAAUUUAGAAGUCUCAAUUUCCAUCGAUUUAGCCCAUCUGAGCUUUCACUAAUUUUCCGCAACCUCCAAACCGAUUUUCUUUAAAAAUUCCGGAAUCUUUGAAAAAAUUUCGGAGGAUGAGUCGACGUUCCUAAAAUAGCUCGUGACACCGUAAAACUUUCAAUUUCUGAAAUCGGAUUCAAAUUCGCGGUUAUUUUCAAUGUGGCGCGCUUUUAACGUGACCUAGUCUACCGUGUAAUUUUUAGGAAUUUUCGGUGCAAUUGACCCGUGAUCGAUUUAUCUUAAGUCACAAUGUACAUCUUGGAUACAUUGGCUACCCUCGGUUGUUGUGAAAAUCUCGAGAUUUCAAUUACGGGCACCAGUUACCAAAACGACGGAAAAUCAAUUUAGUAUCGAUCAAUAAGAAUUUUGCAAUCAAGUGGAAUCACCCACAAUUUGAUCACAUACCUCAGUCGAAUUGACCUAUCUCUGAUCUCUAAUCGAUCUCUGACGGUGCCGUAAUGACUCUUGCUGUGACAUCCCGAUUUUCUAAUUCUAUUUUCAAUAAAUUGAGACGGACAUUUCAUUGGCACACAUAUAGUUCUUUUCCUUGAGUCGGCCACUCAUGUGGAAACUAGUCUAUCGGGUGAAGCUGUUAAGAGUUUCUAAUGCAUCAGACUCGAGAAUUUGACUAGGAAGCGAUCUUUCGACCGAGUUAAUCUGCAAGGGUCAUUACGCCACAAUUAAAAUCGAUUAGAGAUCGAAUAUAGGUCGACUCGACAGAAGCAUGUGAUCAGGUGUGGGUGAUUCCACCAGAUCGCACAAUUCUUGUCGAUCGGCACUGGACCGACUUUUCUGUCGAUUGGGUACCCUGUGUUCGUAUUUGAAACCUUGAGAUUUGCCCGACAACCAAAAGUCGCCAAUGUUUCAAAGAUGUACAUUGUGGCUUGAGAUGAUCAACCACAGGUCAAAUGCAUGAAAAUUUCUAAAGGCUACUCGGUAGGUUGGGCCGCGCUAGUAUCGUGCCAAAGUGAAAUUAACCGUGAAAUUGAGAUCAAAUUCAAAAAUUGGAAGUCUGGGUGUGUCACAAAUCAUUUUAGGAAUAUUGACUAAUCUUUGGAAGAUUUUUUUAUGUAAGCUGAGUUUUUAGCAAAAUAAUCAUAGAAUGGCUAAUUUGGCUCGAGAAAUUAGUAGACCCGCUUUUGGUCGUACUUUUGGGACUUAAGUUGAUUGUAUGGACAAGUGAAGACGUGAAUUAAAGUGUGGUGACUUUGGAUUAAUUUUAUGGACUUCAAUUGGACUCAAUUGGAAGAUAAUUGAAUGGAAUUAAAGAAAUUAAUGUACAAAGUUUCAUGCCCCGGCGGAAAAAUAAAAUGGACCCAUUGAAGGAUGUUGUGGGAGAGGAGAUAGUGAAAGAUGACAUCAUGGGGGUGAUGUCAUGCUGAUUGAAGCCAAGGAUUGAGGGCUUGACCAGUGGAGGGUGGAGAUUUAAUCUCCAAAAAGGGGCCAUCACCAUCAUCUUCAACCUUGGGAAGGAGAGAGAAAGGGAAAGAGGGAGGAUGCGUGACCGGACCAGCCAAGCCGACCGCCCGGACGCCGCCUCCUUCGCCGCUCGUCGUCCACCGUUCAUCGCCGUCGCCGGAGCCGUCACGUUCGCCGUUCGUCCGCACGCCGGCACCACCGCUUGCACCACCGUCACCCCCCCUCUCCUCCAUCUUCGCUGCAGCUCGAUGCACUAGCAGAUCCGAAGACGCCGGAGCAGCCCACGGUCCAGCCGGAUCGCCGUCGCGCACCCCUCUCGCGCCGUCCGCUGCCUCGCACGCCGCUGCUGUCCCACGAGCCGCCUCCCUCACCAUCGUCCUCGCUCGUCUUCGCCUCCAGGAGGCUGUUCGGCCAGUUUAGGCCACGGCUCAGCCGCCUCUGGCCACCGUGCGCCCCCGCCUUAGCCCGCCGGAGCUCCGCCUAGUCCUUGCUGCCCUUGCUCGCCCCAACCGACGCCAGAUCAGCCCUCCUCCAAGCUUGCUUAGUAGCUGCAAAAAUGGGUAUUGCAGCGGGGUUUUAGCCCGUUUUGGCCGUCUUCCCGAGCCCGGAUGCUCGGCCCGCUUUGAGGAAAGUUGUUAUCCUCGGCGUCCCCGUCGUUUUGGUCCGCUCGGCUUGCUAAUCCUGUGAGUUUAACUCACUAAAUCUUGAUUAGACGGUUAAUUAUGCCCUAAGUGUGCUUAGUCUAAGUUAAGCAAGUUUAGGUGGAUAUUUGAGUUUAUUUAAUUGUGAUUUGGGUUAAAAGGUUUGUUUAAUUUAAAGUGUCUUUAAUUAAAGGUUAAGAUAGUUUAUUUAAUAAUAAACCUUGAUGGGACAUAAUAUGAUUUUAAUUUUGAAUUAUUUAAUUACUUCGAAAUUCUGGAAAUUUAUAAUAUUAUAUUAUAUUCCGAAAUUAUUAAAAUAUUAUUAUAUAUAAAAAAAUGGAAAAAUUAUUUUUGAUCCUGGUUGCUCAGAAUUUCGUGCCGAUCGCUGCUGUGUAGUUGGAUUUUGAAAUUGAUGAUUGAAUAUUAUAAAUUGAGUGUGGAUCGUGAAAAAUAUGAAUAUUAUUAUUUAAUUAUUUCGGAAUAAAUUUAAUUAUUUAAUAAAUUCCGAAAAUUUUGUGAGGACCCUAAACUCUCAGAAUUUCGUGCCGAUCGCUGAUGUGCAUUUAGAAUUUGAAUUUGAUGAUUGGUUGUGGAAAAUUGAGUGUGAUUGCGAUAAAUAGGGAUUCUUUAUAAAAUCCUAAGUGUAGAAAUUGAUGGGAGAUUGGCUGUGAUGUACCACCUAGGAAAGGUCGUGCCCAGUGAGGCCGUGAUGUACCACCUAGGAAAGGUCGUGCCCAGUGAGGCCGUGAUGUACCACCUAUGAGAGGUCGUGCCGAGUGAGGCCGUGAUGAACCACCUAUGAGAGGUCGUGCCCAGUGAGGCUGUGAUUAACCACCUAUUAGAGGUUGUGCCCAGUGAGGCCGUGAUGAAACCACCUAUGAGAGGUCGUGCCCAGUGAAGCCGUGAUUAACCACCUAUUAGAGGUCGUGCCCAGUGCGGCCGUGAUGGACCACCUAAUUAAAGGUCGUGCCGAGUGGGGCCGUGAUUGCCAUUGUUUGUUAAACCUUCCUAUAGGGCCGGGAUUAAGAGCAAUGAUUGAUUUGCUAGAAUGACAUAUAAUCGGCCGAGUCGAUUAAUCGCUGAGAUGAUCCAAGUGGUUGAAUUGUCUUGAUAAUGUGAUUGUGCCAUGGUUGUUUGGUUAUCAUAAUUGUACGUGGUUGAAUUAUAUAAAUUGUGCUAACCUGCAGAUGAAGGCUGAGGCGAGGUAAGUCUUCUGUGUGAUGUGGCUAGGCCACUCGGGGCGUAUUUUCUUUCUAAUAGGGGUUUAGGGUGUUGAACUUGCUGAGACAUCGUCUCAUCCCGGUUGUGGGAUUAAAAUUUCAGGUCCCUGGUGGACGGAGCAACCAGAUAGCUUUGGUUGGCCUUGAGGAGUUACAGAGGUGAAGUCAUAAGAUUGGAGAACGUGUCCGACUUGUAGGUCGUAGGACAAUUCAUUUUUAAGAGCCGGUCUUUUGUAGACUUUUGGCCGUAGACCUCUGUUCGUAAUUUUGUUGAAUUAUGGAAGUGUUAUGUUGUGGUUUUGUUUUAUGCUUUUCUAUCCCGUAUUUUAUUGUCAGGGGUUUUAUAAUACGUUCCGCUUGCGCAUUAAUAAAUGUAUGGGGUCGGCGACACUACCUGGGAAUGUCGCAUUGGAAUGACCAUGUUGGGAUGUUGACGCGCUCGAGGUUUGGGGCGUGACACUUGCAGACCAACAUGGUCGAGCAGUCGAGUCCUGGUCAAAUUCUCAAAUCCAUUGCAUUUAGAUUCCUUAAUUGCUUCCCUAGAUAGUCCAGCUAUCUCGCAAGUGAUCAGCUCAGAGAAUAACACUAUUAGCGUGUUGACGAAAGGCCCGAGUUAUUUAAUCGAAAACAAAUUCUGAAAAUUCAGGCUGUCAUUAGAAUGCUGCCUCCUUGGAAAACAACAAAGAUAGUUCUUAUCAUCUAAAGGCACAUGGAGAACUAAAAAGCCUGGGAUUAGCUCAUACAUAUAUAUGUGGUUUAAUGAAGAUCCCCACACCCAAUCAAUAUAAAUCCUAAUCAUUGACGACGACACUUGCAUUUUUCGAGAAAUAUCAGAGAUUAUCUCUAUUUUCUGGAAAUUCAAAAACCACGUUGAGAAUCAAAAUUCUAAGGAGCGACAAAGGCACGGAAUUCAACUCAAGAGAGUAUCAUAAAAUUUGUCAAGAUGAAUGAGUUCAUUAUCAAUUAAUAGUUGGCUAAGCCUAGAGCAAAAUUGAGUUGCAAAAAGGAAGAUUCACAUGAUCUCUCAUGUUCAUGGAAUCAUCAUUCGCUAAUUAGGUAACCUUCUUAACCGAUUUGGUCCAUCGCAAACAACAGAUGAGGAUAUGAGUUACUAGAGAUAACCCAAACAUGUCGACUAUGGAUUAGUUCAUGUCAGUGUAUCGUUAUUUGAAAUCAUCCUUAGUUCAAGAGGACAUCAGAUUUCUUUAUAUGUUAAAUGCAAAUAUUUAAAUCAAUCGAAGCCGAGGCACGUGCCGAUGAUGCAUCAGCAAGGCGGUGUUAUUGUCCCCAUACAGCAAACAAAAUGAAAGUGGUGAACUCCAUGAUAUGACCUAGCGCAUGACUUUGAAUUACAGAGAUCUUUUCUAGUGCAACUCUGAGAUGAUGGGAUUGCUCCAAGGAUGGAAAGGAGAGGAGAUAUGAGCAUUUCCAAAAGUCGCUUGAAAGAACUCCACUUGAAGACAAUAAUAAUAGGAACACCACUUGAAAAGUGGGGUACGGAUUCCCAAAAAAUGACGUGUAUGUCGAUUGUCAUUAACUGUGCUCGUGGUUAGCUCUCCACGGGCCUCCAGAUGAUAAAGGACUACCUUUGUUAUUUUUCAAGAAGGCAGUCUUCACAAGCAUUUGAAAAUUAUCAAAUGGCUAGAAAAUCUCUCAUCAUAUUUUUCUGAAGAAAUUUUAACCCAACAAAAUUGAAGUGGCCAAAUCUUUGAGACCAUAACCAUGAAUUAUCAAGUUGAGCUUUCAUGAUUAUAAUUCUAACAAAUUCCCAUCAAAUAGGAAAGUUCUUAUUCUCCAUCUUAACAGAGGCAAUAAUAUCUUUAUAUUUAUCACAAAUAAUGCAGACAUCUCCUCCAAAGUAUAGAGAAUAGUCACUUUGUAUCAUUUGUGUAAAAUAUGGGUUUUGACCCAGUCAAAAAAAAAAAAAAGGAGAAAGAAGAAGAGAGAUCGAGAGUCUUCGGGAGAGAGAGAAGGAAAGAAAGAAAAGAAAGAAAGAAAAAGAAAAAGAAAAAGGGGGAAAAGGAGGAGAUAAAAGGGAAAGAGAGAAAGAAAAAGGAGGAGAGAGAGAAAGGGAGAGCCGAGAGCUCUUGCUCAAGGAAGAAGAAGAAGAAGAAGAAGAAGAAGAAAGAGGGUUUUGUGCAUUUUCAUCAUGGGAGCCUCACCAAGCCAUAUAACACAACGCUCAAUAAGCACUUGUGCUCCCCCUUCGUUCAAUUGGAGUACUUUUGAACCUAGGGCUUGAAAUUCGGAAUUUUGGGAAAGUUGAGCGGCAAAGUAUGAUUUUUGAGUCGUUGAGCUGCAUAUUUUUAUAGAAAUAGUAAUUUGGGAUGUUGUGAAGCUAUAGCAUCUUACGGAUCGUGAUUUGAGCUUGCGGUUUGUCCGGAACGAAAUUUUAAAGUUGGGGGCGCAUUAUGGUACUGUAGCGAACAAUAGCUUCAAGCUUGUUUUUUUUUUUUUGGCGCGCAUGAAAACCAUUUUGUUCAAGAAAUAAAUUUUUCUAUUUUUAUUUAUAGAAGAAUUUCUAAGCAAAAAUAAUCGUUUGAUAAUUACACAAAAUUUCUACUCUAAAAAUAGAAAUUCGUUUGAUAACGGCAUAAAAUUUCUUUCUUUCGGACAGCAGUGAACCGGCGGCGGUGGUGGCGACCGGCGAUCAGCGAUGGCCGGCGGCGAUCGCAACCGGCGAUCGGCAACGGUCGGUGACGACUGCGACUAGCGACAAGCAGUGGUGGUGACCGGCGGCAGCCAACGACCGACGACCGGUGGCAGAGGUGGCAACCGGCGGGGGCAGGCGACCGACGAUUGGCGACCAACAGCGGCGGCCGGCGAGCGGCGGCGGCAGUGGGGGCCGGCGGGCGGCCGGCAACCGACGGAUGGUGGUUGGCGGCAACGGAUGAAGAACUGGUUAACGAACAAUGAGAAAUUUUUUUAUUUCUCAUUUUUGUUCCAAAAAUAGAGAAGUAGAAAAUUUCGACUUCUGAUUUCUAUUCCAAACCUAUUUCUAGAAUUGAAAUCUAUUUUAGAAUUAGAAAAAUAGAAUAAUGUUACCAAAUGGAUUUCUAUUCCAGAAACAGGUUUGGAAUAGAAAAAUUAUUUAUGGAAUAGAAAUUCUGAUUUGUCAUGCACCCCCUUUGUUGUUUUUGGUACUAUUUUAGGGUGGCUGAGUUGGGGUUGUUGUUGUAUGUUAAGAGUGCUUUUUAAAGAUUGUAAGAUGGCUUGAAACAGAAUUUUGUGGAGGAAGUUAUGGCGCGACAAAGUUGGCACAUGGGCUGCACCUAGCGGGAAAUCGAUGGUUUUCGAUAAAUGCGAGCUUUCAUAGCACAUAAGUGUUGUUUUAUCAACAAAUAGGCCUAGUAUAGACAAGUCGUUAUGUGAAUAUCCUUUUUACUCAGCCUUUUGAUAUUGUUUUUCCGUUAAUUGUUAGUGAUCCGAGUGCUUUGGUUCGAGUGAGCGUCGUAAUUGAUUUUCGACUUUCCUAAGUGAAUGGUGCUAUCUCUUCUAAGAAUUUAUAAGCUCAUGUCUUCAAAAUGAUAAAGAUUUGACAUUUUAUGAGUUAUAAAUAAGCAUGUUUAUUGCAUAAAAGUUGGAUCAGGCAUUUACUAAGUUUUGAAAUUUGAAAAUAGUGUGAGAAUGUUUUAUGAAUAUAUAUUAUGUUUGAUGAACAAAGUUGAGAAAUAUUACAUAUUUUGGGUAUGUGAAAUCAUUUCAUGAAAAGCUCAACUUUGAGAUGAUUUAUGGAAUGCUAUAUAGAUAUUGAUUUGUGAUAAGCUUUUUGAAAUAUAUUUGAUUUGAAAUUGAUUUAUGAGACAAGUCUUGAAAUUAUUUGAAAAAGUUUUAUGAAAAGUAUUUCUAGCGAACAAGUUGAGUUGCGAAAUCUUUUCGUGAUAUAUGAAAUGUUUUAUGGAUUUGAUUUAAGGAUUAUGGAUGGUGUUGUUAUGGAUUGAUGUGGAUGCUCAAUAUCACUGUGAGCCCAACGAGGAGCUUGUGGGUAUGCGCAUACUAUUCUAGGAUAUCCUUGUGGGCUGAGCCACCGGCUAAUAAUAGGUGAAGACCUUGCCAAGGGGGGAAUCUUGGUCGCCUCGUCACUAGGCGUUGUAUCGUGACCAUAGUUUGAUAUUGAGCAACGGAUUGGUCAAUGGAGUGAACUAUUGACAUGUGAUAUGAGUUGGGUCGAUGGAAUGGACCAUCGGCGUGUAAUUUGAGAUUAGUCGUUGGAAUGGACCAUCGACGUGUAAUUUCAUUUGAUUAUCAAUGUGUGGUUUGAUGAGAUUAAUCGAUAGAAUAGAUCAUUGAUACAUGUUUUAUGAGAUUGACCAAUGGGUUAGACCAUUGGCAUUUGCCUAUUAUCAUCUUGAAUAUUUUUGCUUUGAACAUAUUGUGUUAAAGUAAGAAAGGUUAUAUUUUGGCCUUGAAGGUUUGUUAAAAAAAUUUGGGUUUGGUGUGGUAUGAGAUUAACCAAUGGAAUGGACCAUUAGCGAGUAAAUUAAUGAGAUUGAUCAGUGGAUUAGACCAUUGAUAUUUAAUUCGAUGUUAUUAUGAAAUGAUUGUUUUUGCUAUAAAUAUAGCUAUGUUGAAGUGUAUGUAAUUUAUUCUUAUUACUUUAUGUUUGUUAUAUCCUAGAUUUGGGUUAAAAGAGUUGCGGUUUGGUUUUGUAAAUAUGCAUAGUUGGUGCUUGAUGUGCUUAGAAGAGAUGCACUACUCACUAAGCCGUGGUUGCUCAUCCCUUUAUUUUCCAAUCUUUUUCAGGUUCCUCAACUAACGAUGAGUAGAUAUGAGAGCGAUAUGGAUAUGGGGACUUUUAAGAGUUGGAUUUUGGGAGCUUUGAGGCUGCGUCCUUUGAGUGAAAGGACGGCCGUGUCAUCCCCCAUUCUUGAUGGUUUUGGGGUGUGACAGUUUGACCCACAUAGAGUAGAUUUUGGGCAAGACUGGGGACUAAGUAUAUAUUAUGAGUAUAUUUUAGGCUUUUAUUUGAUUCAAUCGCGAUAGUGCCCUUUCCUUUGACAUAAACUAAUAUGCUGUUGCCCAAUUUCACUUGAGAUUUGACUGACAUAUCAAUAUCAGUGAAUAUAAAUUCAUCUUGCAUCAUAUGAUUGAUACACCCACUAUCAAUGUAGCAUGUAUGGUUUUUCUUAUUGUUUGCCACUUGGUUUGCCUAGAAUGUGUUCUCUUCACUUUCUUUUUCUUCAACAUAGUUGACUUGAUUAUUUGUUUUCGAGAGACAAUCUUUUUUUACAUGGCCAUAUCUUUUAUAAAAGCGCCAUUCUGGUUUAUUUCUAAACCAACAAUCUUUAAAAUUAACUCUCUCACAAAUACCACAAUGUGGAUAUUUUUACUUUUGAAUAGUUUCUCCAACUCUUUUAUUUUUUCAUGACCUCCUUCCACCAGUUUUAGAUUGAUGAGACCGAAUAUUUGUUUUAGAAUGAAAGGCACAUUCAACUUAAUCUUCAUCUUGUGACAUCAGUCUUUUCUUACAUGCUUCUAGAGAGCCAAUUAAUUCACUUAUCGAUUGGGUCUGUUAAGUGCUUAGUUCUUUCUAUGGUGGUGAUAAUAGGAUUGUAUUUUCUAGCAAGUAGAAUCAAUCCUUUUUCUACAACCCUUUGGUCAAUGAAACCAUCUCAAUAGGCUCUUAUUUGAUUAACUAGUUCUUUAGUAUUCUACAACAUUAUUGAACUGUAUCACAAUUUUUCAUUUUAGAAUUCUCGAAUUCCCUUAUCAAAGUCCGAAGUUGACUAGUGCAUACCUUUCUAGUGCCUUGAAAUUCUUCUUGUAAUGCCUCCCAAGCCUUCUUUGCCAUCUUCACUCUAAUUAUAUUCGGACAUACCAUUUCGGAGGGUGGUUGCUAAAUAAUGCGUAGCACCCUUGCAUCUUGUUGGAGUUGCUCUUUAAGGAACACUUGCUUCUUGAGGAGUUGCAUAAUCCUUUUCUACGAUGUCUCAUAGAUCUUUGGCCAUCAAGAUAGUAGUCAUUUUAAUGCUCCAAUAGUCAUGGAUAUUCCCAUAAAAAAUAAGAAUGGAAAAUGAGGAUGAGGCAGAGUUGGCCAUGGAUUUGGUGUUGGAAAAUUUGGAUUGGUGAUUUUAGUAGAGGAUGGUUAGGACAAAUGCCCAAAACCAAUUGGAAAUGUGGCUUUGAUAUCACUAUUGGAUUUGCGGAAGCGUAUGUUGGCUUUUGGUGAGCGAGUAAGUGUACAUAUUAUGUAGGCUAUUCACAGUAAGGAACAAAGACCAAAAGACAAGGGAAUAAUGUUCAAUGAGAAAUGGUUUCAUGGCUAGGAUAUGGGGCUAGUUCUUGCUUCUUAGGUUGAAGGGAAUAGUUAAUUGAAAGUGAUCUACGAAGUUUGAAGCAUGGGAAGAGCUUUUUGACCUUAGCAUGUUCUAUUCUUAUACUAGCACUUGAAGACCUAUUUAUAAGCCUCUUCCACUGCCAUUGUGGAUACUAUAUCUGCUAUAUAAGAGAUUUUUAUUUUUAAUUUUAUUUUUUGGUUUCCGCCGCCAUUCUUCAUCUCUAACUUGGGUAGUUUUUAGACCACUAUUUCUAACUAUCCGUUCCUUCAUCAUGGAGUUUCUAAGUUACAGUAGUAGAGUCCAUCUAAUUCUAGAAAAUGGAUCAUAAAUCAAUUCAUAUAAGGGGAAAUACGAUGGCAGACGAUGUAAUGUCUUAAAUUUCUCCUUGGUUCGCAUCGGAUCCAAGGAUUGUGAGACUUGCCUUGGCAAUUGUUGGUGUUCAUCCGUAUGGCAACUCAGCUUUACAUUGUGGCAUUGUUGGGAAUAUAUGAUGAGCGAUUGGAAAGAAAAAUAAAGUCGGAGUUUGAUGUGUGAUAUCACUUUCUUUAAGGAGUUAUUUUCCCUACAACAUUGCUAAUGGUUACUGGCAAAUUUCCUCUAGGAUACAAAAAAAUCUCGAUUGAGAAUACUAGAUAGCAAUUGUAGUAUUUCUUUGAGUUCUCUCAAUGGAAACAAUUACAAAAUAUGGCUGUAUUUUUUGGAAAGAAAGUUCGAAAAGAUUUGAUCAUAAUCAAUCCCUAAUGUUAAAGGGAAUGAUGACGCAUCCUGAUUAAGUUACAAUCUCUCCAUCACUUGGUCAUUAAGCAAGAUCAAUUCUUUACAAAGAAAAAAGAUCACAGUGACAUGUCUUGAUUUAGCUACAAUGUCUCCACCACUUUCUCAUCAAGCAAGAUCAAAUCUUUCCAAAGAGAAGAGAUCAUGCUUGUGUCCCUCAUCAAUUUUGUAACCCUAGCUUGUAGACACCACAGUACAUAGUUGAAGAAUGUAACAAAAAAUUCUAUUGCCUAUACACAAAAACACUUAUUGGCAAUUACCAUCCAUUCUCAUCUUGUUAGUUUAUUAUUUUACAUGAUAUUAGGUAGAUGGUUAAUUUAUAAGUGUGAAGGAAAGUCUCACCUCUUGAGCUAGUUUUUGGGGUCAAAGAGGCCAAAGACCACUCAAUAUUGGUAUUAGAGCCAGAGGUUUUGAGUUCGAAUUUUUUUUAAGCCCAAUUUGCUUCCCCAGUUAAAUUUUCGCGCUUAGUACUAGGCAAAAGACCACACUAAGCAUGAGGAAAGUGUUAGAAUAUUUAAAUAAUAAAUCACGCCUUUUUUUAAUAGUUUAAACUUUUAGAAUAGUCAAAGUAACCUUACAAAAUCUAACAUCUAAAACCGAUGUAGUAAUCUUUGUCUUUUGAAUAGAGGCAACCCUUCGGAAAAAGUUGCAAAAUGAAUAGGUACGUUUAGUAAUUAAUAUCAAAAAAUAAAAAUUUAUAUUCAGCCAAACACAACCAUAUAAGGAUUAAGAAUAAAUACGAAUUCUGAGAUAACUAUUUGGAAGAAACAAUAAAAUUCAGAAAUAAAUAAAUAAAUACUAAAUAAUAACCAUAACUCCUUCAUGAAUAGUCACACUGUUUCAAUUGGACACAAUGGUUAUUAUUAUUAUUUUAAUUAUAAGUAUGCAUUUUAAUAAAUAAAAAUAAUGAUCGUCGAUUAGUGCCGAAUCUUGUCCAUGGGCAUAUUUACAUCUUUUCUAUGUGGGACAAGGCAUCUCUAUACAAACAAACUUUCAACAUGCAUGUGGCUGGUUAUAUGCUUCCCAUAUAAUUUGCCGCUUUGGAAGCGCAUGAAGUCGUCCUUUAAUUUGCUUUCAUUGUUGAUUCCCAAGUCGCACUCCCAGAAGAGAGAUAGAGUCUAUCUUUAACCAUUGAUUGUCGAGUUACAGACAUUAUGAGAAGAGGGAUGUAAGACCUUCUGUUAUGUUGAACAACAUAAUUUUUAGAUGCAUGUUGCGGUGCUUUGGAUCAUCAAUAAUUUUCCUGCUUAUGGUGCCCUAUCUAGAUAGUGUACAAAAGAUUACAAACUAUGCUUAAAAUGCAAUGAUAGAAGAUUUGUUUAUGGGAUAUCGACAUUCCUUGGAUUGAAAUCUUGCAUGGAGGAGGAGCGGGAAAUUUUAAUGGCAAGCGUGAAGAUUGUCCAAAGCUUUUGGAGCUAAUAAAAAGAAAACUUGGCCUAGAAUCUGUGACAUUCUUGAUUUGGACCCCUAAAUCGGGCGCGAGGAAUGGACUAAGGAUCAAUACAUCAAUAAUGAGAAUAGGCCGUGAAUCAAUCCUAGGGAUUGUUCAUGUGCCAACUAGCUGAUUAGGGGCAAGGUGACUCUAUAUACGUUAGACCAGAGAGUUCGACCAUGAAAAGAUCGUUUGACCAUAAGGAUCAAUGUAGAUAAUCACAUGUCAUCACGAGUCGAUUAGUGGAUGGAUAUAGAUCAAUUAAGCUCGAAUAUAUAUUGGUCGUGACUGACUCUGUAUGGUCACAGUAUCGUUUGUGAACGACCCUAAUCCGAUUCCAUGCGACCGUGAGCCAAGACAAGUCGAUUGAUCCUACAUGAUUAUAUGACAAUCGAAGGUCAUUCAUGGGUCAGCUAGGCUCAAACAUAGGUCAUGCAUAGAACCCAAGACAAAUGCCGAACUUAGUUUAGGUCUGGCUGCACAAGCAUCGCUGAUGUCGCCUACUUAGCAUAGGUUGUGUUAAGGCCAUUUUUGACCGAAACUUAGUCACAAACCCGGUCCCCUGCAUCGCCACUGUUUGCUGCUGCUAUGGUGUUGUCGUGAGCUGCAAGCUGCCGCUGUCUGUGUCUUGUUCUUGUUUUGAUUUUUGUACGUAGAUUCCCUAAAUGUCGACUAGGCUAUUAUGUUACGUGGCUUGGAUUUAGGUCGAUUUUGUUAGAUAGUAUUGAACCAUUUUAGAGAAGGUAUAACUAUGUGUUAAUUUUGUAUGUUUUGCUCAUUAGAUUGCUUGGCUAUUAUCAAGGUUGCACGGCUUAAACAACUUGUUUAUGUUCAUGUCCAUGCUUGGUUUCAAGAAGUCAUUGUUCUAUUAUGUGGUUAAGUUAUUGUUGUUGUCUAAGUUGAGUUAUUUGGAAUCAAUAUUAUUGUUGGAUGUGUUUGUUCUAUAUGAUGUUAAUUAGUAUUGAUGGCAAGGUUUUAUAUUUGUUUGUUCGAAUGGAUCUUUAUAUAUACAUGUCUAUAGUCCACUAUCGGUGCUUGAGAACACCUCGAGCCUCCAAGACGAGAUUUGUGAUAGUUGUUAGACAUACGUGGAAGCAUGCCGGGCUGAGUACUCUUGCUUUGGCAAUAUUGAGGUAUAUUGUUUUUGAUCCGGAUUGGACUUAGGUUGGUGCUCGAAUGUAAUGGGUCAACAUGAAUUCUUGUUUUGUGCUUGACAUAUUUUAUUGAUGUAAAUUCGAUAGGUUAUGAGAUACACACUACUUGGUAUGCCUUUGAGGCAUUCCUACAUUGGACUUAAAAAUGAAGAUAAGAAUUGGUUGUGUGCUUAAUUCGUGUAGCUUUUAUGAGGAACGUGUCACUGAUGGAUUUUGGGACGAUACCAGAUGGAUUUCAAAUGCCUUUUGCGGGGAUGAUUAUUGGAACGAUGCCCGAUGGAUUUGGAUGCUGUGCCCGAUGGGGUGGGAUGAUGCCCCAAAGAUUUCUGGAAGAGCUAUAGAGUUUCAGUCAUGUGUGUAUAAUAAAUGGACUCGAGAUAGCAUAAUAUUAUGGGGUAUUAUGUGAUUCUCGAGGCAAAAAUCGUAUGCAAGGUAUUUGAGUGUUACAUGCAUACUUUCGAAGUUGUUACAUGUCACAUGCAUUGUUUGAAACAUGAGAGGUAUGUGCAUAACUUAUUUGUCAUUAUUAGUGACUUGAAAGGUACGUACAUGAUAUAAUUGCCGUUAUUUGUGAACUGAGAGGCCCGUACAUAAUUUAUUUGUUAGUAUUAGUGACUUGGAAGACAUAUGCAUGAUAUAAUUGCUGUUAUUUGUGACAUGAGAGGUACAUGAAUAUUUUGAAGUCAUUAUUUGAGACUUAAAGACCAUGACAAUAUUUUAGAAGCUAAUAUUUGAUACGUGGGAAUUUUAUAGACUAUUAUUUGUAUUAUAUGAGGUACGUGUGAAUUUUUAUGUUAUUAUUUAGGGCUUGAUAAGCAUGUAUACGUUACAUUGUUGAGGUUAUUAAUUGUCAUGUUUAGAAUUUUUAAUGAGUACGAGAUACCUCAUAGGUUCUUGAUAGGACAGAUAUUUGGGUAGCUGAGGACUUCCAUUCAUGUUCAUAGUUAAGGUAAAGCAAAUACUUUGUUAUUGAUCUGUCAUUGACAAGUUGGUAUUGGAUUUAGUAGGUUUCCAAAAUGAAUCAUCUGCCCAUACAAGAUUUUAGGCGAUUUACUUAUUGAAUUUUCAAUUCAUUUGUUGUUGUUUCACCUUUUUCAGGCUCGUAAUUAUGAGUCAUCCCCAGACCCCAACCCGUUAUGGUUUGCCAGUGUAGAUGGAGGGAUUCUCGAUAGAGGAUGUGGUACCCAACAUCAUAUAUUAGAGGCCCACCAUACGGUGUGAGUUGACGAGGGCCUAAGGUAUUUAGUUCCCCCAUCUUUACGAGGCAUGGUUCGUGUAGGUUGAUGAGGUCUUUGGGCCACUUUGUAGUUUUAACGGUGCACCACCUCGGUGGAAAACCCUCCUAACGGAUCUGUAAAUGAUCUCGACUCCAACUCGGAUUGUGACCUUGAGCUCGAACUGUGAGGAGAUGGCCUCUAUAUAGAAAUCAUUUUUGAUAGUUGCCCUCGUAUAGGUGCUAGGAGUAACCCCUUGUUACACUUUUGGAUGUGUAUAAGAUUGGCUCAAAACGGGCUUGUAAAAUAACGAACUGAUCUAAUGAAGCAGUAUAUAUAAUUUUUAUAUUUGCAUAUGUAUUUGCCAAAGAAUGGGACGAGCAUGCGGACUUGACAUAGGCGUGCUUACAUAGGGCCGCAAAGCACACAAAGAAAUGGACCGACAAGAAGCGACGACACGUAGAAUUUUAAGUCAGGGACCUAGUGUUGGCCAAGCUACACUUGGUUCUUCGAUACCGCAACGUGCACAAAGGGCUGAUCCAUCGCUAUGAAGGCCCCUUUCAAGUGUUGUAACGGAUCAGGAGGUUGUGUACAAGCUGGACUUGCCGGUCAAACUCAAGGUACAUCCCUUGUUUCAUGUGAGUAUGCUGAAACCUUUCUAUGCAGACGAGGAAGAUCUGGAUUGAGGCGAAUCGCAACCAGCGCCCCUUGGAGCAAAAACCUCCUAUGAUUGGGACAUUGAAUGCAUCAUGGCAGACCGUGUCAUACAGAAAAUAUAUUGUGCGCCAAAGAAUGAGUACCCUGUCCGAUGGAAGGGCCUUCUCGAGAGUAAAGCAAGUUGAGAACCGUCCGAGGCCCUGUGGUAGUUCAAGAAACACAUCGAUGCCUUCCAUGUCACAGACGCAACGAAGGGUUCGCCUGAUUAGGUGGGGGAGAUUGACACAGCCCACGGAUGAGCAUGAUCCAAGACUGUCCAUGAAAGGGCUGUGUCCUGUACAAGGGCCAGCCCAUGAGCUGCCCACGAUCGAUCCGUGCACGACCCAUGAUCAAUGCUUGGCCGGCCCAUGCACAACCUGUGACUGCCCACUUGCUCAUGUCAGGUGGCCUGCCCUUGCUUCUGACCCCGUAGGCUUUCCCAAGGCCUAGCUAUUGAGUGGCCUAGUGUACAAACUUAUAAUGAUGGCAUACAUUCAAGCACAACCAUUAGAUUAUAGGAAAGAUCAACAGGUGAGAUGAGACCUGAACUUGUAUAAAUAGGGGACCCUCUCCCUCAUUGUAUUUAGCUUUGUUUAUAAGCUAUACACUUGUCCCUUUGUUCAUAUGACCCCUUGUGUUCAAGCGUGUGUGUGUGUGAGGCUAACUUAGGAUAAAAAAUCCUAAGGCUGCAUGGUGUGGGAUCGUUUGGAAUCGACUGACCCAUGACACAAGGUUCUUACUUGAGCUUCUCAUAAAAGCUAUUUUAACUUGUCCAAAUGUUACUCAAAAGUGAUACCAAAAAAAUUUUACGUGUUGAUCAAACCCGUGUGGAGAUGCACGCAUCCAUGCAUGACUUUACUAUUAUUAUUAUUUUUUUUAUUAUUUUUUGGCUUUUAAAAAGUUGAAUAAUUCUUUUACCACUUCGGACCGUGUGUAGUUAAAAUAAAACUAUUCCGAAAAUAUCCCAAUAAACCUUUUUUUUAAUAAAUGAUGUGGUCUACAUAAUCAAUUAUAACUAAAAAAAAGAAGAAGAUCUUUCACACAUCACUUUAGCAUGUUAUCCUUUUUAGUAAAUCGGUACCAAAUUUAGCACGAUUUAUUUAUCCGGCAAGUAAAAAUGAACCCAAGUCAUUGUCUCCUGGAUUUCCCAAUUAAACGGUACGUCUGAGUGGAGCACUAAUCACGCAGUUCGGUGAUUAUUUUUGUACCUAGUCAUCGUUAAAGAAGACUGAAAUUUUCCAAUUGCAACGAGUCAUGAGUAUGUUCUAGAUUUUGGUCGAAUUUGAACCCCGGUGAGGGGGUUUGUUACUUUGACGGUAGAUACUAAUCUUUUCUUUUGACAUAACAUGGCCUCUUUUAUCUCCGUUUUUAUGUUGGAAAUAUGGACACCAACCUAGAAAAAACGCAGCAAGUCAAAUAAAGUUUAGGCUUAAAACAAAUAAUAAUCGUCCUUAGACCAAGCGUAUAGGGAUAUACGCCAUCCCAAUGGGAUAUUCGGACGAUCCGCAGACGUCCCAAAGAUAAGAUGUGUGUUUGGGACAUUAGGAACAUGUGAAUUCACUUUUAUCAUUCUUGUGGAGUUCAUCGACCAAUGUAUCUUCGCAAUCACAAUAUCUUGAAUAAAAGGUCAAACCCUUUCUCUCACAAGGUAUUCCUCAACAAUUGAUCCUCCCAUAUGACAUUUGCUGCGAGCUUGUGUAAAGGAUAUGAAGAGACCACUAAAUUGAUUGAAAGAUUGCCUUCAAUAGGAUACGUGUAUUUGAUUGCACCCGUGUACCAAGCUUGCUCCAUCUAUCACAUGCACCAUAAUGAUAGCAAAGAAUCCGGGAGAAAAAUCCAAAUUUAAUCUCAUUUUGGAAAAGAUGAUGCAGAUCUAAUAAUCGCUUGACUCAUAUUAGAAAUCCUUUUUCUCUGGUUUCGUGUAGCGAAGAAAGACAUCAAUUUUAACUUUUUGAAGUUCACCAUCGUUAGAGUUUAACAUGGAACUUUCAAAAGAUCACAUGUUGAAUUUAAUUGCAUUUGUUGACAAGUCUUGUGCAUGACAUCGCGCGUGGAAUGGAGAUAAAAGAGGCCACGUGAGUGCAAAGCAAAGAAAUGUAUUUGCCGUCGGUGAGAAUAUAUUAGGUGCAUUUAAUAUACAACAUAGGAUGAUAUAAUAAAUCAUAUACGGAUCCACACAUAUGACAAAUCUGAGUCCACCUGUCAAUUGAACCAUCAAAAUUUCUCUCUCUCCGUUAACGCUUACGGAAACUCUCCUUGCUUACCUUUACCUUCUCCUCCCCUCCGUUUCUGCGCGUGACUCUCUCUCUCUCUCUCUCUCUCUCUCCUCCCCUCCGUUUCUGUCUCUCUCUCCCCCUCGUCUCUCUCUACUUCUCUUUUCUUUCCACUUGCGUCUGUCAUGGCUCGAGCUCGAGUCGGCUCAUGGCCGCUUCAGGUUGAGGAGGGAUGGCACGCCUCCGGACGCAACAAUGAGGGGUGAUUCGAAGGGAGGUCGAGUGGUUGAGUUGUGUGGAGCCUGCGUCAAGCUUCGUUUGCGGUGAGAUGGCUUGAGGCCAAGCUCGAAACUCGAGUGGCUAAGACUACCCCAAGCUCCGGGUUUGAGGUCGAGCUUCAUGGCUACUUGGCCUUGGAUGAGUGCUGUCCAUGGCUGGUCACGAGCAUCGUCCAUGUUGGAUGGGAAAAAACGAUACCCAGGGAUCAAUAGCAUAUCCAAACGACGCCGAGGACGGCCAUGGAUGAGCGUUGGCGUGCUCAUGAACAGGGUGUCCAUGGCUGGUCGGUGACGCUGCAAUCCACAUCCCAAAAGUCGUCCAUGGCCUCAAGGCAAAAAUAAAUAGAAUAAAAUGGAGAGAGAAAGAGCUUCAUUAAGCGUGGGACGGAGCUUAACCGCGAGGAAAAGGGUCAUUUAAAAGUUUUAAAAAAUCUAGCAUGUGGGCCCAAGCCGACACAUAUCAAUUUCUGAGUGGUUUAUUGUACCAUCCUAUAUCACAUAUUAAAUGCACUCAAUAUUUUCUGGACGGAACCGUGCAGAUUGGGACAAUUUUCUUGCCCGGCGGGACAUCUAAUAACCAUCCCUGAGUAAUUAGGGACGAUUUGUGAAAUGGCCUGAGCAUGUUGGGAUUUACGCUGUCCCAGUGGAAUACCGGUGUGCUCCUCUACAAACAUCCCAAUGAUGGUAAAGGCGUAUGGGACGUUAGAAAACAUGUAAAUUCAUGAUGCCAUCCCUGUAGGAUUAAUCGACUAAUGUAUCUUCGAGAUUAAUAUAUUUAGGACAAACUGAGGUUUAUGUCUAAAUAACGGUUUGCAGCGAGGCCCGACAGUGCCACCAAGUACUAGAGGGUCGUGUGAUCCCUGAAGGGUGAUUUCCGGUGAUUCCUUAAUUAUUAAAAAAAAAUUACAUUUUUCUGUUAUUAUAAUUGUCAAUGGAUGAAGAAAAAUCAAUUCGUCCAUAAGGAGGGCCAAGUCAGUUUACUUGUCUAGCUACCCAAAACGUCAUUAGCAGACGACACCAUGACGUUGCUUCCUUAAAGAUGACCCAAUGAUUCACCUUUUAGUUACUGUUAGCAUGGUGAUUUUUGAACUCGACAAGGACUGCCUAGUCAACCAUACAACGAGGGGACAAUUUCUACGACGAGAAACACGCAUGCAUGCAUUGACUAUGGGAGUCUCCGGAGACAAUUAUUCGUUCUUACCGACAUUGAGAAUCCAAUCUCCAUGAUUUGGCAAUUUGCUUUGGCAUGGGAAAAUUGUCCAAAAAAUUCUAAAUUUAUUACACUUUUGUCAAUUUAGUCCUAGAUAUUUUAAUUAUGCAAAUUGAGUUCUAAACAUUUUCACUUCUUACCAAUCAACUAUAAACCUUUUUUCAUUUUUUGUCAAUUAAACCAUCUAGCCAAUUUUGGCUGGAAAUUACUAACAUGAAUAGCCGAUGUUGAUGUGGUACUUUUUUAAUAAUAUUUUGAAUUUUUUUUUUUUUUGCAACCUCUCCUGUGGCUGGCGAGAGUUGGUUGGCAACUCUCCUCUGGUCCUGACUUGAUAUAGUUUGCGCGCCAUUGGUGGUAUCAUAUAUGUUUAACAUAAAUAAUGAAAAAAGGCAUCCUAUUAAAGUUGUUACAAUAUAUAUAUGUUGAGUUUGGGAUCUAAUGUCAAUGGACAGAAUAAUAAUAUCUUAAGACUUUUCAGGACAAUAAUUGAAUUGUACAGCCGUGGAAACUGAAAUAUUUGGCAUCAUGGUCUAUCCCGUUCAUUAAUGGGUGCUUGUACAUUAGCAUAUCUAAGUCUCUAUCAAUGUUGACAGGUGUUUCACCCAUUCAACAUGGAAUUAUUUGAUAUAGAUUAAUCCAAGUCAACUAUACAAUGCUGUUUUUUAGAUAAAAUUACCAAAAGCAAGUUCUAAACUGAUUGUAUUUGUAUCAAUUAAGUUGUAAAAUUUUCAAUUGUACCAAUUCAAUCCUAAAUUUUUUUAUAAUUGCCGACAUAAUCCAUCCGGCCCUCACCUCUAGUCGGCCAUGGUUACUGGCAGAGGAAGAAGGAAAAAGAAAAUAAAAAAAUAAAAAAAUGUGGAUUCUUUCAAAUUGCAAAAAUUAUCUACGUGAGCGCCAACGGUGCCACGUAGGAUGGCCAGUGGGCACGACUGGUAUCCAUAUCAAAAAUUUCCUAUCAAAAUUGGCCAGUGAACUUAAUUGGCAAAAUUUGAAAAUAUUUAGGAUUCAAUUGAUAUAGUUAAAAAGUUUAUGAUUAAAUUGGCACUGGUGCAAUAGAUUUAUGAUUUAAAAAAAAAAAAAAUUUCCCAUCUUUCUUGAGCUGCUCAUAGACUUGUCCACAUACUUCAACAAUUAAUUACUACCAGAAAAAUUAAUAUAUAUAGACACACACAUGACUAUCUUUGUUUUUGGCUUCUAGAGAAGUCCAAUAAUUUUUAAACUCAAAUAUUUGAAAAAUUAUAAAAAGAUUAUAUGAGAACUAUUGUGGCAAAUGAAAGGUUUCAAGUGCUUAUAUAUAUAUUUUAAAAGUCCAAAUUAUGUGCGUAAAUAUUUAAAGAAACUUUUAACUGUUUAGAUAGUCAUCAUCGAAAGAAGCUGAAAUUUUCCAAUUUUAGGACGAGUCAUGGAAUCGUAGCGAGGAGAGGUUUUGUACUUUGACUUUGCUUUGGCCUAACAUGGCCUCUUUUAUCUCUGUUCCAUGUUAUAAAUGUGGACACCAACAGCUGAGAAAUCAAGGCACGUAAAAUGAAAGUUUAGACUUAGAGCAAAUAAUAAUGACUCCACGGACCACGUCAUGCACAAGACCUAAGCAAAACAUAAUCUUCUAUGCAUGUCUAAUCAGAUUAAUGUCAAGUCGUUGAGGGUUGUUUUAAUACCGUCAAUCACGCAGUUAUAUUCAAAGUUUCGAGCUUUGAAAUUUCAAGUUAACUUUAAGUAAUGGAUUCUAAGCAUNNNNNNNNNNNNNNNNNNNNNNNNNNNNNNNNNNNNNNNNNNNNNNNNNNNNNNNNNNNNNNNNNNNNNNNNNNNNNNNNNNNNNNNNNNNNNNNNNNNNNNNNNNNNNNNNNNNNNNNNNNNNNNNNNNNNNNNNNNNNNNNNNNNNNNNNNNNNNNNNNNNNNNNNNNNNNNNNNNNNNNNNNNNNNNNNNNNNNNNNNNNNNNNNNNNNNNNNNNNNNNNNNNNNNNNNNAAAUCUCAUCACCUCUCCUUUCGAGCUUCUAUUAAAGAUAAGAUUUCUCAAGUCCUACCUGGACUAUUAGAGAUAUAUUUAAAAUAUCUAUGAUUCUAUAUAUUAUUAUAUGGUUAUGUAUAUUUCCUUUGAUUGGUCUUGAUUGUUACUUUAGAUAGUUAUUAUAUAAAGCCUAUAAAUAAGCUCGUGUAUUCUUUAUUUGAUGUUAUAUAGAAUAUUACAUCUUUCAGUCAUUAUGAUUCUCAGCUUGGAUGAAAAAAAAUCAACUCCUCAAAAGUAGAACCUAGUCAGUUUACUUGCCUAGCCGCCUGAAAUGUUAUUAGUAUACUACACUAUCACGUCGCGUCGCUUCCCUAAAGGUGGUGAUUUGAUUUUUGACCUUUUAAUUACUGUUUUUUUGGUCAAAAACCUUUUAAUUGCACCUUUUUUAUUGCUGUUGGCAUGGUGAUUUUUGAACUUGACAACGAUUGCCCAAUCAACCAUGCAAUGAGGGGACAAUUUCUAUGACGAGAAACAAGCAUGCAUGCAUUGACUAUGGGAGUCUUCGGAGACAAUUAUUCGUUCUUGCUGACACUGAGGACCCGAUCUCCAUGAUUUGGCAAUUUGCUUUUGCAUUCAUAAUCUAGAACAUGGAAUUUAUGCUAAUGAGCUUCUUUGAAUUUUCGAUGUCCUUCUAUUCUUUUUUGUGAUAGAAAACUUUCCACGCGGAUGUUUUUUUGUGUUCAAAAGAAAUGUCAAUCUUUCACAUCUACAUAAUGUUUCCAUGAAAGUCUUUACACAUUGCACUGUGAAUGUAUCAGUACAUGCAUUAAUGCAGUUGAGAGUUGAUUCGGACGCCAAUGAGAGUAAGUGCAGGCUAGGUUGAAGAUCUCCAUUCAAUCGGCGAAUGCGUCAAAUGCGGGAAAAUUAUCAUAUUAGGUAGAUAGAAUAAUUUUCAGCAUAUAAAUAAUAUGAGUCGAAAUGUAUACUAUGACCCAUCUUAAAUUUUGAGACCCAUGUUCUCCCUUUAGUCUAAUCAUGGAAACCCAUGACCCACACGUAUUUAAAUUCUCUAUCCCUUUGUUUUCCAAUUCAAUUUACAUGUUUCUAAUCUUGAUAUUUUCUAACUUUAUUUUGAUCUUAAAUGCACAUGCCAUAAUCUAAUGAGAGGAGCAUAGAUUAAAAGACAAUGUGAAUAGAUGAGAUCCGCCACUUAUUUUGAAAAAAAAAAACCAUUUUUAUGUUUUGUCAAUUUCUUGACAUUAAUUCAUUUCCAAUCUCUAAACCUUCCAAUGUCCUAUAAAAAAAAAGUCUAAACCAUUCAAUGCUUUUCCAUAGCAAUAUUGGCUGUUAGUAUUCAUUUGAAAGCCUACCCCUUUCUUGAGUAAGGGAAAAAUUACCUCAAUAGCUUGCCACCUAUUUUAUCUUAAACUAAAAUUUAAGAUCAUUCUUUUCAUAGUGACACAUAAUUAUUAAACUGAUGAUAGUUAGAACAUUGACAAAAAAAAAAAAAAAAAACCUUUCCAAAUAUCACUAUUUAAAUAAAUUUUCACUAACGAUUACAUCGAUAGUCAUAAAUGAAACCUAAACCUAAGUGAUUUAAGAAAUAUAGAUAGAUGGAAAAAUAAAUCAUCUUACCUUAUAGUAAUGGCCCGCUCAUUGAACGCGGUCUGACUUGCAUUCUCUGACCCACCCAAGUUGCAAAAGCUAACCAACGGUCAAUGUCAAUUGACUUCACUUCCCAAAAUUCAGUUCCUCGCAUUGCAUAAAAACGAACCAUUUUUACUAAAUUUUUAUUGCAAAGUCGAGAGAGAGAUAAGGAAUGGCAUGACAUUGAACUGUCAGAUUCUAUUUAUUAAUUCGAUAAGAAAGUAAAAAAGUAACUACUAGAAGUAAUGGUCCACUGAGAUACAGGUACUUGUCGGAUUCCACUUAAAGCACCCCUUCUUUUUUGUUAUUUUUCUGUUAGUUACUUAGGAUACAGGAUUUGGUUUCUAAUUUCGGUGGAGGUCUACCGAUUUAGAAAUCAGGAUUUACGAAGUUGCAACAAAUCUGUUGUUUUGCUUUGCUGGGUUGUAGUUGCAAUAGCAGCAGCGAAUCACCCCCCUUUGAUGUGGACACUUCAAUUUUCAUUGUGGGAUGUUAAGGGUGCGUUUGAGAACAGAAAUAAAUUUUAACAAACAGGCCCUAAGUGUCAACUUCGUCAAAAUAUUCACUCGGCCCCCACCCCUCAGAUCUCAGGCGGAGCAGACAAACCCAUUAAGCUUUCGGUUUCGGUUUCAACUUGUUUGAUUCUUUUGACAUUAACCUAAGGUCAUUUUGGGCAUUGACUCAUAAUAUAGAACCAUUGAUGGAACGUAAGUAGUUUGCUGAUGAGGUAGUAAUCCAACAUUUGCAAGAAACAGUGACUAGACAUGCAAGUUUCUCCAGAUAAAUUUUUUGCGGGUAGACAUACAAGUUUCUCUUUCAUCAUUUCUCAAAGAUGAGAAAGAUGAAAUUGGCCGACCAUCAUCCACACUAAAGACAAAAAAUUGGCAUCUGCUAAGUGAAAUUCUUGAGUAGCAACAUAUAACAAGUCAACCUCGUGAACAAAACACAUCCAGAGCAAGAAGGUGCCACUUCGCACAUCUCGCCAUUCAAACAAAUGAAAAGCUUCUGAUAGAUUCCCUCCUUUGCCGUGGCCACCAUCCACAUCAUUAUUGUGUGAAAAGGAAAAAGUUGCAACAUCGUCUCUCUUUGAAUAACAAAAUGGAAAGAGACAGCAUGAAUACAAAAACCAAACCACAAGCCAUUGUCUUUAGGCUUUCCCCACUAAUUAGUUCACAAAACCCAAUUCCUGCACUGCAUAACACUCGUCGUUUUGUUUAUAUUACCUAUACCUUCAGUUCCAAAUGCGAGCAAAAGAGAAACUUCGAAGCAACAUGUAAGAAUUCUGCUGCAAGGAUUACCCAAUGAAGCCCUAGUUCUUUCAAGAACUAAUUUACUUAGAACACAACAAACCAUUUCUUACUCUCUCUUGUGCCAGUAAUCAGUAUCCAGAAGUACUGACGAAGCGGUUCCAGUCCCUGGCCCUUCAAUAGACAUACUCUUGGUGAUAUUCUCACCAACUGGCUGAUGUUCGUCACUGCUAAAAUGCUUCCUCAUGGCCUCAAUUUUCUCCUCAGUCAUGAUAGCGCCCGCAGAGUCCAGCACGGGAACAGCAACCUUGCCUUCAAGCAUGCCAACCACAGAUGACACUGGCGGCCUUAGUGCUAGAGUCACAUUAGUACACAUCAGAGCUACCUUUAUCAAUGCCAGCGCUUCCUCUUUGUCAACGUGAGAACCAAGCCUCGGAUCAACUAGUUCUAUCAAAUUUCCUCUCCUUCAGAAAGUGUGCCUAGAUACAGAAAUGAUAAGUGAAGGUAUUUCCCUUUCAAGCUUCAGGUAUUGAUCAGUUGCAAAAUAUGCUCUAGAUACUGAAACAGGAAGAAGUAUAUUAUCUCCCUUGAUAAUUACGCAGCAAAUGCAGUUGAUAAGCACCUGCUAGAUUUAGGGUAUAAAUGGAUAAAAAGAAUCGAAUGAGUCAAUACAGAUCAAACAUUAUUUUUUUUACCGAUUUUAAAUAAAAGAUACUAGACUACAACAUCACUUACUAAUGGUUAAACGGUUGCCAAGAAAUCACCCACACUGCUUUAAAAUCGCUAGCUAUUGUCGAGUUUUCUCAGCACAAAUUAUUUGACAGUGUCAUUACAUGAAACGGUAGACUCAUCUUUCAAUGUUCUUGAUUAUGAAACUCAGGCGACAAUCAGAUUUAACGAGGACUAAUAAUGAUUGUUUGCUCUAAUGAUUGCUUACUCAAAGCAAAACAAAAUCUAACUUAAGGACUCAAUUAUAUGAAUUUGAAAAAAGUUAUACCUCAAUCGAAAGUAUAUGGAUAUUCUGGUCAAGACAUGGUCUUGAAAACUUUUAAAUUUAACAGUAACUGCCAAAAUUCAAUAGAAUUCAAUAGUAGUCAAAGGACUUGUUUGGCGCUAAUGAAACUACAGGGAGUAUGAAUGUCAAGCAUAAAAACAUAAAGACUAAAACUGAACUUUCAAGAUCCACCCUAAAUUAUGGGGUUAACUUCCCCAAAUUUCAAGGAAUAUAAUUUUCUUUAUUCCAAAAAAAAAAAAAAUCUACAUGAAGAUUCAGAGUAGACCAACAUGAUAAGAAGAAUCGGAUAAUUUGAAACGACAAAUUGCACUUAACAGCAUGACAAUUCGAUAAGCAAGUUUCAAUAGCUGUUAACUGUGAAACUCCUUCGCAACCAUUGAAAGUGCAUGUGAGGAUUUAAAUACAGAUAUGAUCAUAAUUGAAAUGAUAGAGUUGAUUACCCAAUUGAGUAGAAUAAAGCAUUCCUCAGUUUUUUGGGAGCUAGUGUUGCUCCGGCCACUAACAACUUCUAAAGCAACAAUGCCCAAACUAUAGAUGUCGGCUUUGUCAGUGAGGAAACCAUGCAUUGUGUACUCCGGUGCCAUAUAUCCACUGCACAACAAGAAAAGAGCUUGUGUUUGCAACAAGGUAACUGCCUUAAAUAGCACAUACUUAAUAUUCCUAAAAUUCAAAAGAAAGAGUCAUUCCUAAAUGUGACGCUAUGGUCUAAAGAGUAGACGUAAAAAACAAAUGCAUCCUGAUAUAUUCUAAUAUCAUUUACCGAGAAUAUUUCAGGAAAAAAAAAAAGACCAUUGUUGUUCAUUAUAAAAAGAAUUUUGGUUUGAAAUAUAAGUAUCAUUUAUAAGAUGACCUACAUGAGCUUAAGGGCAUUUCCCAGCAUUACAAAGAUUUCUAAGAAUGUGCAAAAAUGGAGUGAGGGAAUCUCCAUAUAGUACCCAAAUAUUACAUUUAUUUGGGAAGGCCUAAAGUUUUUGUAAAGUGAAGCUCGCCUUGUAACAAGUUUACGAAUUUUAGCCACAAUAAUGGGGACAUCAUUUGACUUGUUUUGGAAAUGUCUAUAGUUAUGUUUAUAGUUCUUUUUGUUGAAUUAACAUUAGAGUUAGUAGAAUGAACUUACAAUUUUAUCCUUUCCCUCAUUAAUCACAUUCCUUUCACAAACAAGUUGACUUUUCACACGCAUUAACGCAAACUUCUAAAACAUGUGAACAUGCUUAUCUAUGUUUCUCCAUGUGCAUACAAUACAAACAUGGGCGAAUUUGCUUUAAUACUAAGUUAUAUUCAAAUUAACAAUUACAUAAGUCAAUAUCAGAGUAUCAUUACUUAAUGGUAAGAGUAUGACACAAUUUACAUUUUUUUUCCUAAUUAAUGUGAAGAGUGGUGGGACAGUCAUAAAGCUUUGUGGUUAAGCCGAAUUUGUUGAGCACCAUACUUUGGGACAAUGUGAAUCCACCACAAAGCUUCAUUCAACUCACUUUUCUUAAAUCAGAAUAUAUGUUUCUAUUCCAUGCUUUUAUGUUGUCACUGGCUCCUACUUAGGUGAACAGGAACAAAAAGCAAGAAACUUACUAAGUUCCAGUAAUCUUGGUGCUAAUAUGUGUUUUGUCCUCCUCAUCAAGCUUUGCUAAACCAAAAUCUGAUAUUUUAGGGUUGAGAUCCUUAUCCAGUAAAACAUUAGUAGCCUUAAUGUCUCUAUGCACAAUUUUCAGCCUUGAUCUUCAUGAAGAUAUGCCAAUCCCCCGGCAAUACCCACACAUAUCUUGUGUCUUGUCCACCAAUCCAACUUUAACUGAAAUUCUUUAGGACCUUCAAUUGUAUCAGAAGACAUGAAAGCUGCUUUACUGCCAUGUCAUUAACUAAAGUCAAUGAAGCACAACGUGAUAUCAAAUUACCAAAUAAAGCACGAGCAAGACUGUUAUUUUCCAUGUACUCGUAAACCGGCAAAAGUUGAUUUCCUUCAAAUACAUAGAGCUUCACAAGAUGUGGAUGCUGAAGAGCAGAAAUCGUCCCAAUCUCAGUCACGAACUCAUUAUUUCCUUGUUGUGAUUUGGAUGAAAGCUGCUUCACUGCUAUAGUGGUGCCAUCUGACAGAAAACCCUGCAAUUCAACUUUGGCAUCAGAUCUAUGUUGUGAAAAUUGAGUUACAUUGAAUGCUGCUUUCUACAUAUCUUCUCUCUUGGGAAUUGGGGGAAUUUGGUUAACCAAUUUUCCAGCAUACCUUGUAUACAGAACCAAAACCACCUUCUCCUAUCUUAGUGGCAUCAUCAAAAUUGUUUGUGGCAGCUUUAAUCUGUCGCAAGGUAAAUAAACCAUUUUGCAACGCUAGACCCUUCAAAUCUGCAACACGUUUUGGAACUUCUAUGAAUUUGGAAAAGUCAACAGUUAAAGUAUGUAAUCCCAUAUCUAACAAAGACGUAUCAAUUCCUUCUCAAUAUUCCAGAAAACCUUUUUGUGACUUUUUGGUCUGAGCAAGUUCAGUACAAAAUAGCUUAGCAUCUUGAAAAUUAUUUUCUAGGAAAGUCUGGCAUCAGUUGGCAGUAUGUAUUUUUGAAAAGUAAAAUGAGAUUGUGCCCAGGGUAUUCAAUAGUGAAGGAAAAUAAAAAUCAUACAGAGAACCCCCUUGCAAACGUAGGGUAUGGUUUGUAUGUUUUAAUUUCUCAUACACGUGAAGUUCCAGCAGCUAUUUUUGGUGUCUUGAAACGUAGACCUUGUGUGUAUACACACACACACACACAUCCGAGAAAGACUCUACUGUCUUUCCCUAUAACUAUCUAUUCCUUCUAUUUUCAGAUUUCUAAAUAAAAAUUUAGUUCGUUAAGCAAACCAAAUGGUUCUAUGACACUUUAGCUGUAUAUUGCCUAAUAAUAAUCUUUGGCUUUUUGCAUCGAAUCAAAUUCCCUAUGGAAUGCACAAAUGUCAUGCAUCAACAGUUUUACGGGAACUGUAAUUCUAGAUGGAGCAUUAAUGAUGCAUUGUCAUGACACUUUCCCCCACCAGGAAAGUAAGAAGAAGAAGAAGAAGAAGUGCCAUGUGCCAACAGUUUGACAGGACAACUGUGCGAUUUAGCUGAAAUAUAAAUGAAGCAAUGUGACUAUCCUCCCUCUCCACCAGAAUACAGAAGGAGGAAAAUGUAUUCAGAGUGCAUAAUUUCUCAUAUUUCUAGACAAAUACACAUGGACUAAAUAGCGGAGAUUCCAGGUAAGCAACUACCUUGUGCCAUUUUAUCUUUACGUCCAAGGCAUCCUCUCCACCAAAGGAUAACCAGGAUAAGGAAAACUACAAAAACUAUAGCAGCCAGAAUCCCAGCCACUGUGCCAGCAGAUAUGCUGGCCGGGGGAUCAAAGUCUGCAAUGAAGAAAGAACAAACAAAUAUUUAACCAAAACUGUUCAGUUCAAUGGGGUAGACAUAAAUGCAGAAAAAUAUCUGUAGCUUCUCGUUGAACACAGAAAGAAAUUGAUGGAGAACACAAUAAUUGAGAAUCAAGAGGACAUAAAACCGCCCAGAGUACUACACAGAAACUAUCAGAUAAAUGAGCACCAGAAGAUAUCAUUUAUGGAACAUGUAAUACAAAAUACAAAGGGAAAAAGAAAAAAAAAAAUCUACUCUUCGUUCUCAAGGCUGUACUGUAUGAUACAGGCACAGUGGUCAUAAUCCAUAGCGGAAAAGUGAACAAGGCUAUCAUUUCAUAGUUGAAUGGAAGGAUUAAAGAUACAUAGAGAAAAGACGCUCAGAUAGAAAGAACACAAAGCAACCUAUAACCAAUUUUCAACUCUAAGAGAAUAAUAAUAGACCCCGGUCAGCUAUUAUGCGUAAUUGACUUGAUCUAUAGUGACAUAUGCCAAUGGCCUGAAUCCAACAGUAGGCAUUUGCAACCAAGCCAAGUAACUGAAUAGCCUAUUGAUGACUUCUGGUGCAAGAAAAAAUAUGAAUAUUCUUUUCAACAUGAAUAUGAGUAACUUUCUCAACAGAGAAGCACCAAGUGAAACAUGGAAGCAUCCAUCUGCGUACCAGGGUAGACGGAGAUAGCAGAUAUAAGAGGACCAUAGACUCCUGUGUCAGGUAUAGCAGUGGUUCCUUUCCCAGCCCAAUAAAAGCGUAUCUCCAGAGUGCCCUUGGUCACAUUGGCAGUAAAAUUUCUCAUGACCUCCUUUCCAACUCCACCUGCUUCAAUCUCAAUGUUGAAAUCUUUCCACACCAAUUUCCCCUGAAAUAAUAUUUCAUCUGAUUAUAUAUAUAUAUAUUUUUGGUAAAAGUAGGAAUUAUAUUGAGCUUUAACCAAACUAUACAAGAGGCGAUCACGGCACCAAAACUUACACUCAAAAUGACAAGGAGUCAUAGCAAGUGGAAGGGUGCCGGGACAGAACAAAAGACUGCCAAAACAGCAGCACAAAACAGCCAACCAGCAAUAUCCACCAACAACGGCAAAGUGAACAAGGUAAAAAUUUUAGUCACCAUAGAAUGUACAAAUUGUGAAAAAAUCAUGAUUUGCAAGUACGAGAUAUUUGGAUAAACUUCCCAACCAUAACAUAUUGAACACUUUAUGUGCUUUAUAUAUUAGAACCAGCACUCCAUAAUGCUCCGAGUUUACCUGUAUAUAAAUAUUAAAAGCUCUCCUUCCAAGGCUUUGAUAACUUUUGUUGCCUGUGAACAUUAUCUCCGCAAAAUGAAGGGUUACAUUGUGGGGCCCAUCCAUCAGACAAAAACCGUAAUAAGUUAGAGAGAUGGCAGAACGUCGUGCUUUUAUGUAAAGUUGGGCAUCAUUCAUGGACAGUGUGGAUGUGUUUUUAACUUCAUAGCUAACUGCAGUGCUAUCGUCAUUGGUGAAGUAACCAGUGCUACUGUAGGCCUAAUAAUCACUCCUGAAGAAACUUGGAGGUGUAGCCCUCUGUGAGUCAUCUUCGUAUGUGGUGCCCCUUACCUUUGCUUUGCUCCCACCGCAAUUUAUGAAGAGGUUAUACCGAGCUGGAUGGAGUAAAGAAGCAGCCACAGAGAAAAUUCAGUUUCUUCUAUUUGUUAAUAUGGAGUGGACUUUCCAGACACACUAAUUAAGCUAGCAUUCACUCAUUGGAAAAUUACAUAGAAACUCCCAAGUUAUGAGCAACCCAUUAUUUCAUGCAGGUAGCUUUUGAAAUUAUUAGGGUAAUUAUGCAUCAACCAUCAAAGAUUGACACAAUAGCCAAGAGGAGAGUUGACAAGGAGAUAAAUUUGAUGAGAAAUUACAGAGAGAGUAAGAUGCAAUAUUAGAAUCUGAUGAUAAUGAUAAGAUAUGUCAGAAUAAUUUAAAUAUAAAAUCACGCAGUCAUCUAACAGUUUAAGCUUUUAAAACAGUUGACCGUGAUCUUAUAAAAUCCUCAUAUGGUAUCAGAGAUGGAUUUCAUGAGUUCAAAUCUUUCGCAGCCUCAUUUGCCUCCCUAAUUAAAUAUGUCCACAUUUCAUCUAAUAAUUUAAACUUUUAAAACAGUUAGCUGUAGUCCCACAAAAUUUCAUAGGAUAUACAACACGUCAAUUUACUUUUUAUACAACAAUGACUCUGCAGCAUAUUAACUUACCUUUUGCACAACAUUGACUCUGCAAACAUGAGACAAGUCCACUUGUGGCAGAACAUGAGGUUCUGAGCAAGUCAGCAAAGAUUUUACUGUUCAGAUUGGGAGAUUUCACUAAUCCAAUAGGACUGAAACUAAAGCUAAUCAUAAUUUGUUGAAAACAUCUCCUUCACAAUAUAUUAUUUAUGAAUAAAGGGAUGUCAACUCAAUACUAGGGUGCUUAGAAAAGGAAAUAUCAGCUUCAGUGAAUAAAAAAAUAAAGAAUAAAAUGAGGAUUUCAAAAAACAGGAAAGAGAAUAGAGUAUGUGAUAAGCCGCAGCAGAACCACAGAAAUUUGGUCAUUCAAGAAUGUCAGAAAAACUAAAAAUUAAAGCUCCAUUUGUUUCGUGAAAAAUGUAACAUUUUUAGAAAAUAUUUUCCAUGAAGUUAUUUUUUUAGGAAAAUGAAAAUAUUCCGGUGCUUGACUGAAAUCCUGAAAAUACCCGGAAAAUAUGUUCCAUUGUUUAGUAUGGAAAAUUUAAUUUGAUUUUCUAGGAAAAAAUUGCCAAAAAAAUCGAAUUUUUUAAUUUAUUUUUUUAAUCCUUUUCUUUUAACUUCUUCCUCGGCCGGUUGUCAGCUAUGGCUACAGGCCACGGGAUAAAAAAAUAUUUCUAUAAGAACAAACAUUUCAUUAACUAAGGAUCCGAACUUGAGCACCAAGGACCUGCACACGGCCUUCGCGGACUCAAUCUAAGUGCUGGGGACUAGAGCUUAAGUGUCAAGGACCCAAGCACUGCUUUUAUGUACUCGGGGUCAGGCACCAGGGCUUCAGGCCCGGGCACCAGGGCUUCAGGCCCAGCCUCAAUGGACUAGGCUUGGGCGCUGAAGACCUAGUUCUGAACGCUGAGGACCAAGAACCAGGCGUUGGGGUUCCCGUGUCCAAGCAAAGAGUUGCGGGUCCAAGCACCGAUACCAACUCAUAGUUUGGAAAAUGUUUUCCGACUUUUUCAAAAGUGGAAAUCAUUUCCUAAAUUUAAACAUAGAUCUUUCAUUGACUUGGAAAACAUUUUCCAUUAAGUCAUUUUCCUAAACAAACCAAAUGCUGGAAAAUCAGGAAAAUGUUUUUCGCGAAACAAACAAAGCCAUGACAGAAUGGCAAAAUGUUGCUGUUAAAAGUAGCGUUUAUUAAAUCUUACAGAGAUGACCACAUGAACAAGAAGAAUUGACUUGUAUAGAGAUGCAUUUGAAGCCAUGCUCUUGUUUGAACUAUGAAUGUUAUGUCUGACAAGUGUACAACAGUCAAGCAUAAAACUCCAGCUAGAUAUUGUAGGACUGAGAUUCGAGAAUGUAAACCACCGGAAGGAAAGUUUCCAGACAAUCAACCACUAGAAGCCUCCAUUUUGCAUUAAUGCUCUUAAGAAGUUAAGAUAACAUAUCAAAGCAAAAGUAAAUUAGACGAAAUGGGAAACCACAACAAAGGCAAGAAUUCUUGCUGGCAAAGUGAAAACAAAGAGACUGUUAGAAUAUUUAAAUAACAAACCACGCUUUCAUCUAAUAGCUUGAACUUUUAGAAGAGUUGACAAUAGUUCUACAAAUUCUCACAGAGAGAAAAAGUCCAUAUACUUUUGUGCGAAACUGUAUAUUCUACAGCAGAGGCCACAAUCACCAAGAAUUUAAAUGUCACAUCAUUAACAAUUCAGCAAUAUCAACAGAAAAUAUCAAAACACCAUUGAAGUCAGUAAGGGACCUUCAAGCCAUCUUGAAUGGGUUCUUUAACUGCAACCAAUAGUCAAUCAAAAACUAAUAGGAAUUUCACUCCUUAAGGGUAAAAUUAUUUAUUCUGCUUGGAAUAUCCUAAGGGAAAAGCCGCUUUCUACUCACAAUAUAUAUAGAUUUGUCAUAUUUGCUAGAUAACCAGGUAGCUCUCCCAUGAGAUUGCAGCUCCUCAGAAUCCUAUAAGAAAAUAAUACUGAUAUUGUCACAUUGCUAAGACAAUUUGGCUCUUUUGCAUAAAGUAAACUAUCUGUGAAGGAGCAUCGAUCUCACAGUAUACAAAUAUAUGUAUUGUUAAUUUGUGGAACACGAGACUCGGGUCCAUCAAGGUCACUUAUUCUCCUGCAUAUCAAAAUCAAAAAGGAGCUCUAUUUGAUUGAUAACAUCUUAAAGAAAGAGAGAUUAGAUCAAAUGCCAAAAUUACAUACUGACAAGUCGUUCAAAUGCUCCAAAAGUGCGAUCACAGAGGGAAUCGGCCCUUGCAAUCCACUUCCUUGAAUAACCCUGAUGAUACAAUUCAUAGAUGGAAUUGUCUUGGGGGUAUAUCUAUAAAGACCAACUUAAAAGGGGAAGAAGCAUUAAGCCUUACAGUGUUUGGAGAUUUGUCAAGUUCUGAAUGAAAUCGGGUAUCUUUCCUGAGAACUGAUUAUCACCAAGUUGCCUACAGUGCAUUAAACAACAUGAUUCAUAUGAAGGAGAACGAAUAGAAAUGGCUAAAUAUUAGCUGAGUUUGUGGAUACUGGAAACUAACAGGUCAGCCAAUUUUGUGAAGUUAACAAAUGUUUGAGGCAGCUCCCCUGUGGAAUUAUUUGACGUAAGCCACCUGAAACAAGAAAAACCCAUGACAACACAUUGGUUAAUAGAACCUGAAUGCUGUAUCUCUCAACAGAUCACUCCAAUGGAUAAAAUUCCCUCGCCAGAUACAAAAUCAUCAGCGAAUAAAAACUCGAUGCCUAACACAGAAUUUUGCAUCAAGAGAGACUCACAAAUAAUAUAACACGGACAAGUUCCCGAGCUCUGGAGGAAGAGGUCCAGAAAGCCAAUUGCUUUCGACGACUCUGAGUGGAAUAUGAAAGUUAAAAUCUUGACACAUCAAUCAAAUUUAAAAUAGCGAAGAGGCCAAAGGCGAGCGUCGGGAUGAGUGGUCACUCACAAAUGCAGAAGUGUGGAUAUGUUCCCCAACUCCUUCGGGAUUGGACCAGUCAAUCGGUUUCGGGUACAUAACUGCACCCACAUCAUCGCGUUUCCCCCAAUCAAACAAUAGAACAUACACUCGUGAGAGAGAGAGAGAGAGAGAGAGAGAGAGAGAGAGAGAGCAUACAUGUAUUCCAACUUCGUAAAGCCCCAUUCUUUAGGAAUUGUGCCGUUCAGGUAGUUGCGGGAGACAUCACUGUUUAUAGAGAGAGAGGAUGAAGAAGAAGAAAGAGAUCGAAAAUGGAGAAAGAGAGUACUUACAAGACCUGGAGGAAAGGCAAUCUGAACAGUUGAGGUGGAAGGGUGCCGGCAAGAGAAUGCUCCCGAAGUCGUCUGUUUAAGCAAUGACACAAAGGCUUUAUUCUAGCUUUACUUAAAAACUAGGCAUCAAAAUGAUGUUACAAAAUGGCUUUAUUACAUCUAUUGAUAUGUAUACAUAAAUCUCAAUUGAUUCUAAAUGAAAAAAUUCUUCAAAAAUUGCCUAAAAAAAGGUACGAAGUAACUCUCAAGCCAUGCCAAUUGGGGCAAGAAUCUACUUUGGUAAUGGUAUACUCACUUUUAUCACUUCCACCGCUAUGCUUUGUAGCAGAGAAAGAACAGAAGGAAUAAGAUCAGGAAUUGAUAGACAGAUAUCUGUAUCCUUGUAAACUAGUACGGACAAUGCAGAAACAGCUCCACUUGUAAUUUGAGGUGAUGAACCAGAAAGAUAGCCCACUAUCUGAAAGCUAAGCAACCAAUAGGAUCCUGAGAAAUCAAAACUGAGCAUGAUAAUCUAACUCAUAUUAUGUAUGUCAAUUACUAAGCAAUGGGAAAAGUAAAAGGUAACCCGUGAGCAUUGACUGAAUAUAUCUCAGAGUCGAAGUUCUUUAAGACGGCUACUCAAUACAGCUUCCUUUUGCUAAUUCAAUGCAAUCCACGGGACUCAAUCCUCUCUUUCAAAAAAUUCAUUCGCAAAAUUAUUGAACGCUUUAUAGCGCCCAGAAGUUUGAUCCAAUUAACAAAGCAUCCACAAAGUUCUAUAACUCACAUGCAUGACGAUCCCUUCCACAAUGACCAACCUAAUCUAUCUGACCGAAUCUAGUACUUCAAAGUAUUUUGGUGUUCCAUGGUGAGUUCAGGGAGGGUAGACACUUGAUACACAACAUUGAUGCCACUUCACUUCUCAUAGCUUUAAUUCUUUUUAACUUUUCCUUUGAGGUUUUCUAAUAACAAGUACGUGAUCCAAUGUUUCAAUGCCAAACCAACCUCACAUAACUUUGACUUUUUCUUUUUCCUUUUUUUAUUUUCUUGGGGUCCAUUUCUAAAGAAUAAUUUGUUGUCAAUAAGAAUAUAAUAAAAAACCAUAAAAAUUCUAGCUUAUGCAUGGCUAUCAUGCUUCUAACAUAUGUUUUUUGGUAGGAAUGCUUCUAACAUAUGUUUCUACCACACAAAAGCAAUACCAUUAUUUUCCUUCACCAUUUUACAUUAAAAUAUAAAAUUACAACCAUCAAAUAUAGAAAAAUAACUAAUCAAGUAAAAUAAUAUUAUCUAAUCCAAAUUUUAAUGAUAUGAACUUGUUUUUGCGCAUGUUAACACAAAUUUCAACUUGCUUAUAAUAUUUUACAAAUUUAAAAGAAAAGGACAUGAAAAAGUUCAAGUUGAAUCUUAAAUUGAUAGUCAAAAUUAUAUUUUCUCAAAUCAGUUCAACUAUAGCUUCCUGAAGUGACAGGACCACAUGUCCUAUAGAAUCACCCUAAUUUAUCAUGCCAAAAAAAGUUGCAUUAAUCUCUUUAUACCAACCAAACUUACUUUCAACAGUCAUGGAAUGUUGCAUUAUUUUAAACCUACUCGGCCUAUUCUCCACCUAAUGAUUUUCUCCAUAUACAUAAUUUUUCAUCUGAAGAUUCGAUAUUGUCAAUGGCAUGAGAAAAGGAAAGACAAUCAUGCCAAGUAGAGGAUUCCAAGUAAGUUGUAUAAUUUUAGGAUCACUGCAUCUUGAAUUCACACUUCAUUCUAGGGGGUCAAAAGUAUAUAACUAUUCCGACAGUGAAGGUUUUCUCUUAAUUUUCUGAUUAUUUAAAAGCUGCUGUUGUCUGGUGGGGCACACUUGGGAACCAUUCUUUCAUGCAAAGCAGGGAUGGAACAAUAUUUUCCCCAUAGGGCAGGGAAUGGGAACAAAAUUCCGGGCCUGCUCCUCCCAAUGGCAACCACUAGUGUGUGCAAUUCAAAAAGUACCUUGAAUGAUGCAAUCAGAAGUAUUAAUUGUACUUAAGGAAAAUUUACAACUCAAAAGGGCUGGAGGGAGGUCUAAAAACACGACAGAAACUUCUAGCUAGAAUCCCAAAAUGUUUUAAGCUUCCAUAGGAUAUCAAAUAGCACAUAAUGACCUAAUAUAUAUCCAUGUAGCCAACCCCAUCUACGUGAACUGUCUCCACAAUACUUUCUGCAGCACUUAUAAGAAUGAUGCGGCCUCACUAGGAAGGAGAUUAGGCAGGUCUGAAUCUCACCAACCCAACAAUCAAAUUUAGCAUGUCAACUGCCUCAUACUAAACAGAAACCUUUGAAUUCCUCUCUACUUCUUCCAGCAAUUAACAUUGACAGAAAGAACUCCUACUAGUUAUACUAUUUUCAAUCUGGACAGGACUGAGGGAGAUGGAGCUUGGAUUAUCAUAGAGUAUUAGUAUCCUAUUAUUAUCUUAUAGUGCACAUGAGUCCUAUUAGCAUCUUUGAGAUGAGGCAUAUGCCUAAAAAAUUGGAGAAAAAGUUCAGACACCCAAAGUAAGUAGAAAAUUAUGACUAUGAAAGGGGAGAGGAGAAAACAAUUGCGCAAUAACUAGUAAGAAAUUUAGUAUAGAGCCAAAAAUGACUUUAGUGAUUGAGGGAGAACCUUCAAGUAUGACCUUGUCGCGGGAAUGGAAUUGACAAAUAAGUCCAAUAAAAGUUGAAGCAACUCAGUAGAGCAUGAACUUAAAGCCUUGAUAUUUCUGCUUGCAGUUUUCUUUGAGUAAAUCGUUAGAGUUCGCAAUUCUAAUCCGGAUGCUUGAACAUUACAGGUGUCUAAAUCUUUAACUACUCUAGAGCCGAGUACACUUGUAUUCUGAUUCACAAGGAUCUGCAGAAUUAGAACAGUACUAUCAGGAGAUAUGAAAAUGGGAUAACAACCUCUUCCCAGUAAAGAACAAGUGUGAGCCAAAUGUCACCAAUGUGGCAAGAAAGAUCACCUUUAAAGCAAGAGCCACACUUUCAUGCAUAAAAGAAUAUUUUUUAAGAAAAUCAGUCAAUAAUACUGCCAAAUGUCUAAACUGUUUGUCUGUAUCACUUGAAACCCGGCAAAAGGCUGGUAACAGUUUCCAAAGGUCAUGAGCAUGACCCAGCAGCUCCUUACCAAGUACUGAUUUCUUAACUGGAGAAAAAGAUAAACAGAAGCACAAUCAAAUCCCUGAUGUCACUAAAAUGUUAAUGAUGAACUGAACAAAACUCAAAUCAAGUAAUGCUGAUUAAGGACUCCACUACAUACAUGAACAAUCAGCAUUCAACCAAAGCUCACACUAAAAAAUAUGCAUCAAGGAAGGAAAAGUUAAUGUCACAGAGGCAGAUGAAGAAUAAAAUUGCAUAAACAACAAUAUUUUGCUCCCCAGGCCUGUCCCUCCUAUCAAAUAUCUACAGAAUGCAAAAAAAACAUGCCUUGAGAUGAACAAUUGCAAUAAGAAAAUAUGAUAUGCAUAAUUCAAUGGGUAUCAUAAGCCAAGUAAGGGGAGGUCAACGCUUUGGGAUGGCACCUAUCAAAUGGGAUCAACAUAUAUGAAAAAAAAAAAAAAAUCAAGAAGUUGACAGUUCUGUUAUAAUGUUUCAGAAAAGCUUUCAGCACAGCUUACAGGCAGGUUGAAUUACCCAGCUUGAUAAGUCUAUGGAGACUCUUAUUGAAGACUAAAGCUCCUUUUAACAUAGCUUGUGAACAUGCAAAAAUGAUCUCACAUGAUGAUGAUCUAUUGCGAGGAGUUUAUGAUGGACAAAAAAGUUUUUGUAUUGAGUUUUGGUUAAACACACGGAAUUUUGUGCACUUAUUCCUUAUAAAAUGUGUCUCCUGUCAAAGAACACUUAGUGGUGCCUUUGCAAAAAGCAGGACUUUUACCCUGCUUAAACUGAUUUGAAUCUGAAUACGGAUUUAAAGAUGGAGAUUCUAGGUUGCUUUUAAUUGAUAACUCAUAAGUUAUGCACAACCAGUUGUGAAUCUGUGCCAAACAGCCAAGGAUCUCCACACUUAUUAUGACGUCAAAUAUGAUAUCUGAAAAAUGAAAAUCACGGAAACAAAAGUCAUGUAGAAUGAUGACAUACCUCCAGAACUAGCACGCUUGAAACAUUUUGCGAGGGGCACAAUAUAAUCCAUGUAAUACUCAAGUGAUGAACCAACCACAUAAUCUCUUAGAAUGGCCACCAACCAAACAUUACUAGAACUAAAAUUGUUGGGAUGCAGUGAAAUAGGCACAACAGAAAGCAUCUUUUCUGGGCCCAUAGCAAUUACAGCAGAACCAAUACAUCUCUGAAGCUGUGUAUCACAGUAAAUUGAACACUGAUAAGUUACCAUUCAAACAAUCUUCAAACUACACAAGUAUUUGUUUUAUAAAGCUAGACGGUCAAUUAUUUGUUUCAUCAGAUAAUGGCAAAGUACUAUGCUCAAAGCUCUGUUAACUAGUCAUGUACCCAAUUUAGUAAAAAAAGCUUUUGUUAAUCCUUAUAUGUAAGUAAAAAAAUAACCUGCUGUUAACGCUCCAAUCAACAAUUCAAUCUAACUCUAACAAAAUUCAUGACGACAAGUCGAUUUGGAGUUUGCUAUGAACCCCAUCUUCUUCUUUGCACACUUCAACAGGAUAAACAUAUGAAGCAAAGAUGACUUGAAAAAUCAAAUUUUGGAGAGCAAGAUCAAGUAAUAGCCUUUACAUCAUUCUCUUGAAAAUCAAUUUCGAGAUCAACACAAAUCAAUUCCCUUUACAUCAUUCUCUUUUUCCUUUAUACAUGAAAUUAAAUCAAUAACAAGGCAGCAAGGAGGUGCAAACCCAAGUACCAAAGAAAUCAAGAACCAAAAAAAAAAAAAAAAGCUCAAUUCAUCAAUAAUGACAAUAAAUGCAUCUACAUCGACAUGCAUGUUUUCAAGUCGCAUUUCCACUUCCAUAAGAACAUUGACAAAAAACAAGGACAAAACAUAUUGCCUUCUUCCAUGAGUAACCAGCCUCGCUAUGAAUGACAACGUCAUCACAUAAUUAAGUACUUUUGUUGCUUCAAAGAGCAAUACAGUGACUUUAUUCAAGAACUUUAUCCAUUCAUAACAUACUCAUAAUUUCAGCAGCAAUUUUAAUGACAGAAGGAACACCACUGCACUGACAUGCCAUGUAGAGAGCUGAACCAGAGGCGAAUUGGGCCAUCACACUCUUAACUACAGAUGAUAACGGACAUUUUCAGAUGCUCUUUACUAGAAUAUGACAAGAAUACUGUAACGCAAACUUGCACACUGCACGAACUUAAAAAAAAGCUAAAGAUGAUCCUACAGAAAUAACAGCUUUCACACCAAUGACAUUUCUCAUGCCAAUAAAUUUCUAAAGCAUACAAAUACGUACAUGGCCUGUGAUAGAUGGGCCCCUUUCAGCUGAGGUUAUUAAGUGAACAAGUUUGAGCAAGAUACUCCUCAUAUAGAUGUAAGAAGUUUUUCCUACACACAUUUAGAGAUGAGAGGAGAGGACUGUGUAAAUCAGUUUGUGGUCAUAUUAACAAAGAUAAUCAAAUGAGAAAAAAUAGUAUUUAUACACUUUAAGAAUAGUGCAUGUGAAAUAAAUCCUGAACAAUCUCACACGUCAUUCUAUACUAGCAGAGGAAAAGCACUGUCACCCGCAACCAAUGUGGCAUUAUUAAAAAAAAAAAAAUGUCAUUCCACAAUUCAAAUGAACUUCCAAGAGACAACAAUCUUCUUUUUCAAGGAAUAGGAAAAUGAAGGAGGUAUGUAGACCUAGCUAGUCCAAAAGAACAGACUGAUGAAAGAAAUGGGCAAAAUCCAUGGUAAAUCCAGUACUCAUGAUUCAGGACAUUCUAAUCUAAACUUUAAAUAAUUUUUAACAUGUCUGUACAGGAAAACUCUCCAAAAAAAUUGCAGCUUAAUCACUAAAGUCAAGUUCAAACUGACACCUUACGAAGAUCAAAGAGCAACACCCAGGACUUUAGAACUUUUACAGUGAAAAAUCAUCAAUUGCUGAUCAUAUCCUGUUUGAAUUCCAACAUGCAAGACAAAGUACUUUUGAGAACUUGAAACUGUAAACCUCAUGCAAAGGUCAAAACUCAAUUCGAGUAGAAGUCCAGUUCUGCGUAAUUUAUUGCAAGGUAUGGCACUAAUACAUAUUUCUUUGCUAAAGUUUGACAUUUNNNNNNNNNNNNNNNNNNNNNNNNNNNNNNNNNNNNNNNNNNNNNNNNNNNNNNNNNNNNNNNNNNNNNNNNNNNNNNNNNNNNNNNNNNNNNNNNNNNNACGAAGAAUGCCUUCCAGCUUAUUUAGUUGUUGAAAAACAAACCAAAAAUACAGCCACAGCAGAGCUCGUAAGCCUCUACAAUGUUGAACAUUAUCAGCAAGCCCACAACAAAUAGAAUUGAAAGUAAGAACCGCAGAAAGUAGUUGCCAAGAAGUCAAGAUGGAGAAACAUAGAGAAUUAAUAUGGGUUCAGACGGAAGUAUAAGCCAUUUCUUUCAUAAUCGAAUUCAGAAAUUGACAUACAGUAGUCCUUGAUCAAUGUCUGGUAGAACUUAAUCAUGCCAAUCAUACAAAUCACAAGAAACAAAGAACAUUAAAUAUAUUGAGCUUGAGUUAUUUCAUGACAAAGCAAAGGGUUAAUACAUGUAUUUGCAAUUGACAAAUGGCAAGAAAUGAAGAUCUUCUAUAGCAUACAAGAAAUCAAGAUGUAUGCAUACCAAGUUUGAGGUACAAAAGAGAGAUUACAGAAAGUGCAUGCUGAUUUGGAGUUUCGCCAUGGGCACUGAGGGCACUUUCCAAAGCAAUACAUAUUCUCCUUAUUGCUAUUGUUUCCAGACUCUCCUCACUUACGUCAUCACUUGGUUGGCUCUCCAUAUGGAAAGUCUCUUCAUUUACUUGUUCAUUAAUCAAGUCCUUCAAAAUACUCAAGGCCUGCGAUGCAGCAUCAGCCUCACCAACGAGAAGUCCUAAAUUAGUAUAACCAAGUGCAUCAGAAAGCAAACACCGGGGUUAACAAUAUCAAAAGAUCAAGUGAACCAUCCACAAUCUCAUUUCCAGUAACUAAAAUUAACAAAAGAUAAAAGUAGAGUCCUUGAAAGUAAGCUUCCAAGUACAUCGGCCUAGGCUCCCGAGUGGUGGAGGUUCAUUUGUUUAACAAUCAAGGGAUAAUCCCAUACUUCCACUAUCUCAAAAAUGAUGUCUUAGACUCUUUGAUCGUUUUUUUUUUUGGUAGAAAGGGUAAUAAUUAUAUUGAGGAAAGGCAAAUGUACAGGAAAUCCCGGCACCGAAACUUACACUCAAGAAGAAAAACAACCUGAGUGGAAGGAUACCGGGACGUAAAAGGACCAACCGCAGCAAAAAUAGAGCCAUGCAACCAACAAAACAAGCACGGCAAACAGAAAGCCGGCACAAAGCUAGGGUGGCAGAAAGCCACACCAGAAAAACUAGCAAAAAACAACCCCCAGCCAGGUAGGAAGGUCGAGGAGAACUAACACCAAACAUGAUGGAGCAGCGCCUGCAACCACCACGCACAAAAAUCAACUAGCCAAAAUGAGGUCCCCAGAAGAGAAAUCAAUGGGGUCAAUAUCCCAAGAACGCUGUAGCCUCCUAUUUCUAAUGGAAUUUUCCACACCCCUGAAGGAAAGGGCCUUAUCUUUCACGGCUCUAAGCAGUUGCUUCUUCAUGGCCAAAACAGAAAUCGGCUCUCCCCUGAAUAGGAUAUUGUUCCUGUUCUUCCAAAUGAUGUGGCAAACCGCACCGAAGGGUAAUAAUAGACUCUUUGAUCUUUGAUAUACUGCAGUUGCACAAAAUUUCUUGUAAAAGGGAUGAUACCCAUUUGAGCCACUAUUUUUUCUAUCAUAACUCCUUCAUAACACCAUACAUAAGAUUUUGUUUCUAUCAUAACUCCUCCGUUCCACCAAGACAGAAAAGAUUGCAGUAAUGAUUUAAAAAAUAGCAGGAGCAAAAUAAUGAAGAAUGUUGACAGCAGAGAAAACCAAACGUAAAAUAAAAAAAUAAUAUGCGACAAAGGCUUGACUAUAUUUAGGAAAGUUAAUCAAUGAACAAGGUGCCAUAGAUUAAACUAAAGGGAGAACAUCUUUUGAUUAACAUAAAGAUCACAUUUUUUUGGUAAUAUAUAGAUGGUUUGACUUUGCUGCAUUGUCUGUUCAACCAUCAAACUUCAAUUUGCGUCAUGGCCAUCAACUACUGCCCUUUACAAUUCUUCCAAGCGUGUAGUCAUAAUUCCAAAACAUCAAUGACAUUUGAAUAACUUUGUAGAGUAUAGUAACAAGCAAGAUACACAUUUAAAAUUGAUGCACCUCCUUCCAUGCACCACUUUACACCACAAAAGGUAAAGCUUCAAUCAACAAAGUCAAUCAAUGAUAAAGAUUGAUACCACCAAUGUUGGAGAUUUAGGGCCUGUUUAAUUACCAUCCUAUUUUUAUAUUUUUCUGUUCUUUUGCUCCCCGGAGUAGAAAUAGAAUAGAAAUUCAUUUGGUAACAUCAGCUAAUUUUUCUAUUAGGAAUAGGAAAGUGGCUAGGGAAUAGAUUUGGAACAAAAUCAAGAAGAAAAAAAAAUAUAUUUCUUUGUUCUUGGGAAUAGAAAUGGAAAAAACUAUUUCUGAACAUAUAUUGUUCUCGGGAAUCCAAAGGUUACUAAGGGCACCCAUAGAAGUUAAUACAAAAUGUGACAAGGAAAUUCUCACCAACAAAGGAAUCCACCGUAGGAUACAGGACAGUAAUUUUUACAAAAAAAAAGUCUAUUUAUUGAGAAAUCUGCUCAAAUUAACGAAAGGAAUAGUAACUCAAGAAAUGAUUAGAGCAUAAACCCUACUUAUUAAAAUCAGCAAAAACAGAAUCAAGAGAAGAUUAAGAUAUUUGAAUUGUCCCCUAUUCCAUUCUUUUCCAAACUCACCAUGUAAGGCAAAGAGUAGGAGCAUUUUGGGCUGUUUUGAAAUGUAGAGAAGUAUGGGAAAACAUGACAUCAUUGUAGAACCAAGAUCGCAAAAUUAGCUAAGAAACUACCAAAACAAAGCAGUCGAAGCACUCCCUGCCCCAAGAAAGUUAAGAAGCAUACCUGCUAGAGACUCCCAAACUACAGGAAGGUUCUUAAUCCACAAGCUUGAUCCUCCAGUGUGGAAUUUAUUCAGAGCAACUCUUAACAAGUUUGCAGCAGUCAUGACUGUCCACCAAGUUCUCUUUAGAAGAAACAUAAGAAGCAAGAGAAGUGAUGACAUUUUCUAUCUCUUGAGCAGUAUCUCCCACCGCUAGAGUUUCCAAUAAUGCCUCGAUGAUUUUAAGAAUCAGUGUUGUAAGCGCUGAGAACCCGAGACUCAUAAGCUUGUCUCAUUCUGAAAGAAUCUGAAUGCUUACUUUGGCAGACAGAUACGGACAAACAGAUACCAGCACAUUAAGCAUAUGUAAGAAUCCUAUAUUCUCGGAUUUCAACAGUUUAUCAUCUUUAGAUCCAUCCUCAGGGCCCGUAGUCCUUGACCAAUCUGCUGAAGAAAUGCAACUUUCANNNNNNNNNNNNNNNNNNNNNNNNNNNNNNNNNNNNNNNNNNNNNNNNNNNNNNNNNNNNNNNNNNNNNNNNNNNNNNNNNNNNNNNNNNNNNNNNNNNNAUUCUUGUGCACAACGCCGAACCUGAGAAAACAACAAAACAUAUCUUCAAUUGCUACUCGUUUCUUACGAUAUGCAAAAGAAUAGGAACACAUUUCCACCUUUCAAAGCCCAAUUACGAUCAACAAGGCCAUAAGGGGAAGAAUACUGACCUAAAAAAGGUGACAAUUCCAUGUCGCCAAGUCUAACAGAAAAAAAAAAAUCCCAAAGAGCUUAAAAGAGCAGAACUGGAUACAGCAAUGCAUGAUUUGCGACAAUAUACCUUAGGACGCUUGGCCAGGGAGAACUUCAAAAGCAUCUUCAACCCGAAUUUCACCGAAUCCCAAUCCUCCAAGUCGCAAAACCCAAGCAAAACCCCCAAACACUUCACCGCGGACCUCACGCUGGACACGGCCAGCUUCUCCUCCUCCCUCGCCAACACCUCCGCCGCCUCCCUCGCCCUCGCGGGCGCGAUCCCCUGCGGCGGCACCGCGGCAGGACGAUCACGAGGAACGACAUGAGCGCCGCGACCUCCGUGGAGUCUAGGGCCUGCAACGAGGACGUGGUCUCGACGGCGGACAUGGCGGCGCCGAAGUAAGAGGCGGGCGUGAGGGGAGGGACUCGGCGUCGAGGAUGGCGCGCAUGGCGGCGGCGGUGGCGAGGAGGUGGCGGUGCUGAGGGGCGGAGGAUUUGGCGUAGCGGUUCAUGAGCUGUUGGCAGACGUCGGCGCCGUCUCGCAGCGGUUCGUCGGCGUGGUCGACUCGUGCUCCAUCUGUUGAUCCUGUCGAAGUAAUGAGGGUCGCUCUUCCUGUUUCCGUUGUCUCUGCUUCUGUGGCUUCAUGGCGGCGGCGGCGGCGGCGGCGGCGGCGGAUGCUUCGAUCGCCGCCGUGCGGUGGCUUCUCCCGGCUGUGGAAUGUUUCGGGGUAAAAAAUUCGCCUUUGAUGCUUAAUCCAUGUUUUUUCAUAUGUUUACGAUAACUAAAACUCAGGGGGUCGUUAUUUUCUUCGCAUUUGAUCUAUAUUGCUUCGCAAAGAACACUUUUUGAUUACAUUGAUGAGGUUUGCCUUGUCCCUGGUUCCUACCUAUCAGGUAACUCAACUUUCAAGGAAAUAUAAAAGUUAAUCUCACAAAAAAUCUCAAAUUAUACACAUUGUAACCAAAUACUCCGAAUCUUUUUUAUAUCACGAAGAAUCUUAAAUUCAUUUUUAUGACAUAUAUCCUAGCUUUUUUUUAUGUCAUAAAAAACCUCGAAAUUAUAUUAAUAUAACAAAUAUAUUAUAGAUGGAACUGAAAUAGAAAACAUAUAUAAAUAUGAUACACAUGUAAAAAUUUGGAUUUUUUUGUGAUACAAAAAAAUUAAGGUAUUUGUGUUGCUAUGGACAAAUUUAGGGUUUUUUGUGACGUAAAAAAAAAAGUUGAAGAUAUUUAUAUCACAAUAAAUGUAAUUUGGGGGCAAAUCAAAUUUAUGGAGCAAAAGUGGUACAUCUAAUCUUUUCCUUUCAAUCAUUAUUAUUUUCUUGUUUUAUAAUUAAAAGGUGUUAAGAUUUCAACGGGAAGUUUUCCGUUUUCGAUUUCAUCUUAGGUAUGCUAAAGUAUUCUCAAAGGAAUCUAGUGAUAUGAAAAACAAACUAGUAAAAUGAACAUACGAAAAAAGGUUAUUAUUGUGAUAAAAAAUGACAUCACAAUAUUUUUUUUGGAGGAAACAAAACGUCGCUUUUUAAUACGAUACACGAGAACCGCACUGAAUCAGCUAGUUUUGGUUAUUCUCGAUUCCAAAUUUUUUGAAUAGGAAUAAUCAAACUAUUUCCUAAUUUCAUAUGGGAAUCAAACUACUCGAACGAUAUGUCUUUUUUUUUUUUAACUACCCUCUUCUUUUAAAAAGUAAAGAAAAGGAAAUUGCCAAAAUCCUAAACCAAACCGGUCUAACCUAGGAAUUAAUCUAGUUUCCAAUUCUAAAGUGAAAUUGGCCCAACUCGGGAAUCAAUCACCUUUCCUUUUUAAUGAUAUGCAAGAAAGGAUAGAAAAGGAUAGGUAACUUUAUAUUCUAUCACGAAGUUGAUUAGAGAACCUACAGUCUACAGUAAGUAGCCAAGAGAGAGGAAGAAGGGAGGAAAAAUAGAGAGGAGAACAGGAAGAAAUGAAUCCUAAAAGCCAACAAGGAGUGCUUCAUUUCUGUGUUACUGAAACCGUAUACCUAUUGCAAUAUAUUUACAUUGAAUAUAAAUUAUACAUUACCAUGAUGCCCUUAUGUAUGUAAAAAGAAAUAAAAGCUAGAAAAUAAAACCAACACCAUUCAAGUAAUGUAACACUCCCCUUAAACUAGAGCAUAUAGGUCACUCAUACCCAACUUGGAACAGCUAGUAACAAAGACAAGACAAAACAACACUUUAAUAAACAUAUCAACCAAUUAAUCUCUAGAGGCAAUAUAAAUAGUAGUAACCAACUUCUGCUUCCCAACAUCACAAAUAAAGUGACGGUCAACUUCUAUACACGUAGUUCGCUCACGAAAAACAGAAUUCCUAACAAUAUAAAUAGCUGCUUAAUUAUCACACAUCAUAUCAUAAUCAUAAGUUGAUUAAUAGAAGGGAUUUCAACCACAACAAUUUAGUCACAAUAUGUGCCAUAGCACGAUAUUAUGCCUCCACACUAGACUUAGGAAUAGUUGUCUAUUUAUUGCUCCUCCAAGUAAUCAAAUUACCACCAAGAAAAGUGCAAUACCUAGUUGUGGACCGAUGAUCACAUGCUAACCCAGCCCAAUCAACAUCAGAAUACCAUUAGGUUUAUAAAUCAGCCCCUUAUUAGGAGAGCCUUUAAAGUACCAAAGAUGCGAUAAAAAGCGACCCAACAAGUGUUCUUUGGUAACACCUUUAAUUGACUCACCACACCAAUAACAAAGGAAAUAUCUAAAUGUGUAACAAUGAGAUAAAUUAACUAAUUAGCUUGAAUAUCAUGAAUAUCCUUGAUGCUUAUCAUAUAUGAUUUCUAAUUAACAUGCAAUUACUUAUUCUUUUUCAAGAUUUUCUUUUAUUUAAAUGAAAUUUAUUUUUGUGUGAAAUGCCAUGCAAUGACAAGCCAAAAUGCCUAACUAAAAUGACAUGUAACAUGCAACGUAUCAUGAACCAUAUGUCACAACAUGAUCUAAUGACAAUGUAAUUAUCCUAAUAUGUCAUGCACUCAAAUGAUCCUAAACAUGCAAUGACUAGAUGACGAAAUGACCUAAUUCUAAGUUACACACGCAUGAUAUUGCCUAAUAAUUGAACAUGCAAUUAAUGAAAAGAAAAUCUAACAUCCUCAAUUAAUGUUUUUGGUGUUCUUAUUUCAAAAAUUCAGAAUUAAUAAAAUGCCUAAUCUAAAUAUGCAAAUUAUCCUAAAACAAGCAAUAUUCUAACAUGAACCUAAUCUAACUCUAUAUAUAUUGGGUUUUUCUUUUAUGGAAAUAAAAUCGAUUCAAACAAUACAACGGCAAAUCAGACAAGAUAUGAUUAAUAUCCACCAAAUAAAUUGAUAAAUCGUAUCUCGCGCAUGAGAUCGGAUUGGUCAAUUCUAACAAAAUCUUGACGGUGAGAUCGGAUUGGCGAUUUUUCCGCACGAUUGUGAGUCAUAUUCCAGGCGUGAAAUCAGAUUGUCAAUCGUAUGCACAUUGUGAAAUUAGAAAGAUUACCCAAUUUAUAAGGCUACUCGAGAUUACGGAUAUGAUAGCAUAUCGAGAAUUUCAAUCACGUGCAUUGAUGAAUAUUUGAAAUAAGGAAAUGAAAUUUUCUGAAAUCAAAAUAGAUAAGUUUUCACCUAAUUCGAAUAUUGGCUCACCACGUAAUGUGGUGGUGCUCAGCGAGGCUCACAGGAUGGCUACUCGCCAGGGGGCUUUGCGUGCGGCACCUUGAUGAUUGCUCAAUUCAAUGAUAUGCGCGUAAACCUCAAGAAGCAAUUUGCAAAACGAUAACUUUUGUUGUUGUAGCAAUAGCAAGGCUUAGCCGAGAGAACUAGAGAACCACGAUGGGGAGAUGCUCCAAAUUACAAUAAAAUAAGCGUGUGAAAUCCUCCCUCCUUUCAAUGUAUACGUCCUCCUUUAUUAAAAGAACAUGCGCCCUUCUCUUGCCCAGAUUUUAGUGACUCGGAUGAUUGCUGAAUUUUUUACCGAGCUCAAUCACCUCGCUGGAAUUCGUUGGCAACGCGAGUAUUGGUGCAAAUCGUCUGGGCGCGAUGAAACAAACCCAAGGAUCGGGCUGAUUGGGAUGGGUGACAUGAGCAGUGCCUACUGGCGUUGCGGUAGCAACGGGGUCGUGGCCAGGAAACAACCAGCUCGGUUCACGGAUGCGGGGCAGCAGCGAUGGCGGCGUUCGGGUAAUAGUCGGAACAGCAACUACGAGGGGCGGAGUUGCAGUGACGUCAUCGAUGAAGGGGCUGCGGUGGCGUUGUCAAGCGGUCGAGUAAUAACUCAACAGGGUGGCAGCUCGUUGACAAUGUAUCGCAGACGAUGAAAGCACCGCGGCAGAAGUGUUGGCAUGGGUCUGACUCUUGACCAAGAAGACUCGCACUCUUUCCUCUCUCACGUGUGUGUGUCUCUCCCUCUCGUAUCAAGAAUGCCCCCUUUUUUUUGUCGAGUAACGAGUCCAUUUAUAGUGAAAGGGUGUAAACCAUCGAGGAAAGAACGCAUAUUUUGUUUCCUUCUGUGCAUGCUUUGAAAUAUAUUCUAUUUCCUUUCCUCUUCCUCGUUGUCCGAAUGCCUUCUUUGCAGGGAUAUAUCUUUUUUUGCAAAUCCAUGUGCCCGUAGUGUAGAACGUGCCCAACAUUCCCUUCUCAUGCUGAUCUUCCGAAUUUCCAUAUGCUCGUAUCUUUCCACAUAGGGCCAUGCAUGAUGAAUAUUCUCUGCCGAUUUUAUUUCUUUAACCCAAAUACUAGCCCACAAAUUGAUCGAGUAUUGCCAAAAAUUCAAGAUCGUAAUAGAUUUUUCCUAGAUUACGAACCUUGCAAAGAUGAGCUCGCAAUAUCUCCCUCAUAUGCUUGUCAUCACCGAAUAUACGAAAGAUUCACCGAAUAUUGGAAGAAUAAUAUAAAUCUUUUCCAAAAUAUAUCGAAUUGUCAACUCGUAAAAUUGUAGCUUAUCCGCCGCCGAUCAAAUGCAAAAGUGAUAAACAAAUAGAUAAAUGCAACUAAAAUUAUAUGCUAUGCAAUUUUAAUUUUAUUUUUUUAGGGGUUAAAAAUUAAUCUCUAAUUUUCUAUGCAAUAAAUAGAUGACCGAGUCGUCAAAAUUUAGGUGUCAACAGCAGGCUACGCCAUGACAUUGCUUCCUUAAAGAUGACCUUUUAAUUAUUGUUUUUUUGGUCGAAAACCUUUUAAUUGCACCUUUUUUUAUUACUGUUGGCACGAUGAUUUUUUAACUCGACAAGGACUGCCAAUCAACCAUGCAAUGAGGGGACAAUUUCUACGAUGAGAAACGCGCACGCAUUGACUAUGGGAGUCUCCGGAGACAAUUAUACAUUUCUACCAACACUGAGAAUCUAAUCUCCAUAAUUGGCAAUUUGCUUUUGCAUGGGAAAAUUGUCCAAAAAAUUCUAAAUUUAUUACACUUUUACCAAUUUAGGCAUAGAUCUUCUAAUUUGUAAAUUGAGUUCUAAACAUUUUUACUUCUUACCAAUUCAGCUGUAAACCUUUUUACUUUUUGCCAAUUAAACCACCGGCUAAUUUUGAUCAUAAAUUACUAACAUGAAUAGCCGAUGCUGAUGUGGUACUUUUUUUAAUAAUACUUUGAAUAUUUUAUAGUUUUUUUUUUGUGACCUCGCCCGUGGCUAGCAAGAGUUGGCCGGCAACUCUUGUCUGCCCUAGAUCCAAAAACCCAAAAAUAAAGCAAAAAAGUUUUUAAAAAACAAAAAGAAAGAGAAAAAAAAAAUCUAGAAUGGAGUAGUAAAGCUUUUGUCCAACUCUUCAUGUGAGAGCAAGAGUGAGAGCAAGUCAGAGACAGAGAGUGAUGUCUGAAAGUGAGAGAUAGAGAGAGAGACAACCCCGUGUCUUCCUCCAAUGUAGGGAUAUUCCAUUUAGAAUGAAGUAGUAAAGCUUUUGUCCAACUCUUCUUACCUAAUUUUUUUUCUUCUAGAGACAAUAGUCUUUUUUGUUGCUCUAAGUUUGCUAUGACCACAUCUCAAAUUUAGAUUAUUAUACAGUUUAUUGAAGGCAGAGUCCAAAUUCCACGAUUCUUGGAAACUUCAGUAGCUCAUGAAGUUGUCCAAAUAAUAAUUAGAUUCACUUUUUUUGGGACAAAUCUUUUUUCCCCCUCUUUCUUUUGACUUCAAUUGUAACAAAUUACUAUUCUUUUAAAAAAUAGUCAAGGGCUACGGCCACCAAGACCCGGUUAUGUGGAGGCCAAUGAAAUACCCUACAAGUCUUACAAAUUGGCUAAGCCCAAUUCUACGCCCCUGACUUGAUAUAGUUUGCGCGCCAUUGGUGGUAUCAUAUAUGUUGAACAUAAAUAAUGGAAAAAGUUAUCCUUUUAAAGUUGUUAAAAAAUAUAUACAUAUCAUAUAUGACGAGUUUGGGAUCUAAUGUCAAUGGACAGAAUAAUAAUAUCUUAAGACUUUUUAGGACAAUAAUUGAAUUGUACAGCUGUGGAAACUGAAAUAUUUGGCACCAUGGUCUAUCCCGUUCAUUAAUGGGUGCUUGUACAUUAGCAUAUCUAAGUCUCUAUCGAUGUUGACAAGUGUUUCACAAGUCAACUAUACAGCUCUCUUUUUUAGAUAAAAUUACCAAAGCAAGUUCUAAAUCGAUUGUAUUUGUAUCAAUUAAGUCAUAAAUUUUUCAAUUAUACCAAUUCAAUCCUAAACUUUUUGAAAAUUUCCAACAUAAUCCAUCCGGCCCUCGCCUCUAGUCAGCCACAGUUACUGGCGAAGGAAGAAGGAAAAAAGAAAAUGAAAGAAAAGAAAAUUAAAAAUUAAAAAAUGUGGAUCUUUUUAAAUUGCAAAAAUUAUCUACGUGAGCACCAACUGUGCCACAUAGGAUGGCCAGUGGGCACGACUUAUUCAUAUCAACAAUUUCCUAUCAAAAUUAGCCAGUCAAUUUAAUUGGCAAAAUUUGAAAAUAUUUAGGACUCAAUUGAUAUAGUUGAAAAGUUUAUGAUUAAAUUGACACUGGUACUAUAGAUUUAUGAUUUUUUUUUAAAAAUAAAAUUUCCAUCUUUCUUGAGCUGCUCAUAGACUUGUCCACAUACAUACAUACAUACAUACAUACAUACAUACAUACAUACAUACAGAGAGAGAGAGAGAGAGAGAGAGAGAGAGAGAGAGAGAGAGAGAGAGAGAGAGAGAGAGAGAGACGACUGUCUUAGUUUUUGGCUUCUAGAGAAGGCCAAUAAUUUUUAAACUCAAAUAUUUAAAAAAUUAUAAAGAUUAUAUGAGAACUAUUGUGGCAAAUGAAAGGUUUCAAGUGCUUGUAAUUUUUUUUUAAAAGACCAAUUAUGUGCGUAAAUAUUGAAAGAAACUUUUAACUAUUUAAAUAGUCAUCGUCGAAAGAGGCUGAAAUUUUCCAAUUACAGGACGAGUCAUGGAAUCGUAGGGAGGAGGGGUUUUGUACUUUGACUUUGCUUUGGCCAAACAUGGCCUCUUUUAUCUCCGUUCCAUGUUAUAAACGUGGACACCAACUGCAGAAAAAUCAAGGCACGUAAAACAAAAGUUGACUUAGACCAAAUAAUAAUGGUUCCACGAACCACGUCAUGCACAAGACCUAAGAAAAACAAAAUCUUAUAUGCAUGUCUAAUCAAAUUAAUGUCGAGUUGUCAAGGGUUGUUUCAAUACCGUCAAUCAAUGAAGCUAUAUUCAACACACAAGUUUCAGAGCAUUGAAAAUUCUAGGUUAACUUUAAGUAAUGGAUUCUAAGCACGGAAUCUCAUCACUUACCUUGAAAUCUUCCUUGACUACAAGAAACCAUGUAGAUUGGAACAAUUUUCCGUUGUAUGUUUCAAUAGUCUUGAAUUUCGAAAGCUAUUAUAUUUUUAAUGAUUUUCGACCGUCAUCAAUUUGUAACCAUUUUUAUCACCCAUUACUUUAUUACAGUUUUAUACUUCUAAAGGGGUUGGAGUAAAUCUCUUAAUUAGACAAAUAAGAAAAUAGUCAAAUCUCAAUAACCUCUCCUUUCGAGCUUCUAAUUAAAGAUAAGAGAUUUCUCAAGCCCUAAUUAGUCAACUGGACUAUUAGAGAUAUAUUUAAAAUAUUCUAUGAUUCUAUAUAUUAUUAUAUGGUUAUGUAUAUUUCCUUUGAUUGGUCUUGAUUUGUUACUUUAGAUAGUUAUUAUAUAAAGCCUAUAAAUAAGCUCGUGUAUUCUUUAUUUGAUGUUCUACAGAAUAUUACAAGCACGAAUAUUACAUCUUUCGGUCAUUAUGAUUCUCAACUUGGAUGAAAGAACAUCUUAAAAGUAGAACCUCGUCAAUUUACUUGCCUAGCCGCCUGAAACAUUAUUAGUAGACUACACCAUGACGUCGCUUCCCUAAAGGUGAUUCAAUUUUUGACCUUUUAAUUACUGUUUUUUUGGUCGAAAACCUUUUAAUUGCACCUAUUUAUUACUGUUGGCACAGUGAUUUUUGAACUCGACAAGGAUUGCCCAGUCAACCAUGCAACGAGGGGACAAUUUCUACGAUGAGAAACACGCAUGCAUGCAUUGACUAUGGGAGUCUCCGGAGACAAUUAUUCAUUCCUGCCGACACUAAGGACCCAACCUCCAUGAUUUGGCAAUUUGCUUUUGCGUUCGUAAUCUAGAACGCGGAAUUUAUGCUAAAGAGCUUCUUUGAAUUUUUGAUGUCCCUCUUUUCUUUUUGUGAUAGAAAACUUUCCACACGGAUGUUUUAUCGUGUUCAAAAGAAAUGUCAUCUACAUCAUGUUUCCAUGAAAGUCUUUACACAUUGCACUUUGAACGUAUCAGUACAUGCGUUAAUGCAACUGAAAGUCGAUUCAGACACCAAUGAGAGUAAGUGUGGGCUGGGUUGAAGAUCUCCAUUCAACCGGCGAAUGCGUCAAAUGUGGGAAAAUUAUCAUAUUAGGUAGAUAGAAUAUGAUUUUCGGCAGAUAAAUAAUAUGAGUCAAAACGAAUACUAUGACCCAUCUUAAAUUUUGAGACCCAUGUUCUCCCUUAAGUCUAAUCAUGGAAACCCAUGACCCACAUGUAUUUAAAUUCUCUAUUCCUUUGUUUUUUAAUUCGAUUUACAUGUUUCUGAUCUUGAUGUUUUCUAACUUUAUUUUGAUCUUAAAUGCACAUGCCAUCACCUAACGAGAGGAGCACAUAUUGAAAGACAAUGUGAAUAGAUGAGAUCUGUGGCAUCCCAAAAAUUCAAGACAUCCUCUAGAGAAAUUAAAGCCCAUAAUUAGGUAAUGAAAUUACCUAUGGUUUAUGCUUUAGCCAUUAGUUUUCUUUUAAGGCUAAGUGAUAUAUGCUUGUGUUCAUGAAUUUUGGAAAUUGGAACUAUAGGAUAAAUUUAUGAGGAUGAUUUAUUCUUAGCCAUGUGAAAUUAAAAUUUGAAAAUCUAUGAAAGAACAAAUUAAAGAUGAAUAAUUGAAAAGUGGAAUUGUGAAUUUUAAUUAGGUUGGGCCUUAGGCCCAAGAGUGGACCUUUAAUGGGCCAAGUUGGCCGGCCCAUUGAAGCCCACAAGGGGGCUGCCGUCGACCAAGAAAGGGGGGAGGAGUGGCCGGCCCAUUGCUGGCCCAAAUGCCCCAAGCCCAAGCCCAAAAGCCCAUGCAUGAGCUUUGACAAGUGGCAAAAGGGAGAUGGCAUGCAUUGGCCAAUUGAGAGGCAACCUAAUCAUUGCAAAUGAUGAGGAAAUGGGGCAAUAAAAGGGAAGAGGAGAGAGAGAGAGGUGGCCGGUUAGCCAUUCGGCCAAGUGAGAGAGAGAACCGUGCGAGAGAGAGGGAGAGAGUGUGGCCGAGAGAGGAGAAGCCGAGAGGAAGGAGCUCGCCGUCCGCCCGUUGCCACCCGUUGCCACCCGUGCGCCGCCCGUUCGCCGCCAUGUGCUCGUCGCUAGCUUGGUUUAGAGGCAAGUUGGGAGUCCACUUUCUACUCUUGCACCAAUGUCUUGCAUGUAUGGUCGGAGUCUAGGAUGUUUGGAAGCAUGGGAGCGAAGCUAUUGUGGUUUGUUCUUGAGUUGCAUGCUAUUUUCGCUUGAAUCCGCCUGAGCCAGAACUUUGUGAGAGCUUGCAUGCAUGUUUUGAGUUAGAUUUUGACCUUUAUUCCUUCAUGAAAGUUGUAGAAAACAUCUUAAAAUACAACAUACUAAAAUUUGGUACAAAAUUGUGGAGACUUAAGGGGUCAAACUCUCAUCCUACGGAGACAUUAGAUCUGGAACGAUUUCACUGACCUUUCGGUGGAUUUGAGGUUGCAUGUUGAUUUUUACUAAGAAUAUAUUUUCGACUUCUUCAUGGAACUUGUAUAGAACAUCUUAAGCUACAAUAUACUCAAAUUUGAAGUAAAAUGAACAAGUAUAACCUAGUAAAUCGACCUACGCUUGAAGACGGUAAAUCUGGAGACGCGGUACAGGACACCCGAGACUUCAUGGACCCAUAUGAUGACUAUACUCUGGAUAUUUGACUUAUAUCCCUUCAUGAAAGUUGUAGGAGACCUCUUUAUGUAGAACAUAUCCAAACUUCAGAGGAAACGAAGAAGAAUAAGUGGGUAAAAACUCGGUAUUUCGGAGAUGACUACACUGGACGUUUCGGUAUGAGGACCAGAAGCUUCGGACGACUAUAGAAAAAUAUCUAAAACGAAUUUGGCUUAGAAUUAUUCAUGAAAAAUCUAAUUUAGUGUCUUAGCUAGAACCUGGUAAAAUUUCAUAAUUUUUGGAGGUUUUUCGGGUAUUUUAAUCGAAUUAAUCCGAAAAAUCCACAUUCUGUUUUAUCCGAGAAUUGCAUGCUGUAAUUGUCCGAAUGAUAUUUUGUAUGGAACUUUAUUGGCCAUGUGUUUUUCAUGAAAUCAAUGUAUUAUUGUCUUGUCUAUGUUAUGUCUUAAUUUCGUGAUUUUUGAAAAUCAUAUGGAUAUUUAAUUUAAUUAUUUUCGAAAAUGGUACAAGCUGGAAUUUAAAUAAAUUCAAAAGGCAUGAUAAAUGGACUAUGCUAAAUUGUAUGAGUGCCCUAAAUUUUAUGUUUAUGAUUGAUUGCAUAUUGCUGCAUGUAUGAUGAUGACCGAUGAUGCACGUAUAGAUUGAAGCAUGAAAGUGGUUUUGUUUGCCAUUAUAUCGUGUGACAUGCUGAGUUGAGACCUAAAUUGGUAAGCAAGAAUAACAAUAAAUGAGGAAACGGAAUGUGGCGGAUGAUAAUGCCCUGGGAGUAUCAGGAUGCCCGGAAUGGUUGGGUGCCGGAAGCCUCGGAGGUCUUUGCCCGAGGAGAUGCCUUGUGAUGCCAGUUGGGAUGCGAGAUGUCCGGAAUGUGGGGGUGCCGAAUGCCCGAUGGCCUUAAAUGGCUGAAUGCCGGAGGUUUUUCUCGCCAUGCCAGGAUGGGGUGCGAGUGUAAAGUAUGGGAUGAAAUUGAUGAUCCGAGGAAGGGUGAUGUGGUGAUUGAAUUGAAAGUUAAAAGUGGAAAUUGAAUCACGCAUGUAUGAUAUGAUAUGAUGAUGAUCACCCAUGGCAUGAUGAUGUGCAUGUAUGAUAUGAUAUGAUGAUGAUCACCCAUGGCAUGAUGAUAUGCAUGUAUGAUAUGUGAUGAUGAUCACCUGUAGCAUGAUGAUAGGCAUGUAUGAUAUGAUAUGAUGAUGAUCACUUAUGGCAUGAUGACAUGUAUAUAUGAUCAUGAUUGUGAUGAUGCCAUGCAUGGCAUCAAGGUAAGUACGCUUGAAUGCAUGAAUGGCAUGUAUGAUGUUGUGAUUGUAUUGCAUGAUGCAUUAAGUGGUUAUUAGAUUCCUUUACCUACUGAGUGGUUGUACUCACCCUUUUGGGGAUCAACAUUUCAGAUUAGCAGUAUGCCGCUUCCUACUGUCACGCGGGGUGUAUUUUACGGCCUACCAUUCGAUGUUGAGGUCGAGUGCGAGGAGUUUGGCUGUCCCUCUGUUUCUGGAUUGACGUAUAUUCGAGUACGCUGUUUAGUUAUGUACGAUGUAGGCCUGGCUGGGGGCCCUGUUGUCCAGGAGUUCAUAUCCGUCCACAUUCGCCGUAACGGUGUGAUGCGUGGGAUGCUGCCGCCGCCACCGCCUGAUGCACCGGGAUGGGUGUGAGGGCCCGUGCAUGACGAGUAGGAGCUGGAACUUUUUGGGAUAGUUAGCCGACGCUAGUGAUGGGGGAUCUUGCACGUAAGUUGUAAUGGGUCGAGAGUUUCUUUUUGGGGUUUUAGGCCGGGUGUGGCUAAGUCCUGGCUUUUCUUUUGAUGUACCGACCCAAGAAAACCCAUCUUGAAAAUGUGUAAAUAAAGUGUCAUGGCUUGUCUUUUAAUUAUGAUGAUUAGUGGUGUGCAAUUGUAUCAUGGUUGAUGGAGGGUGAGAUGGCGAUGUUUUAUUUUGCUUCCGCUAAUGAGUUGCGCUGGAACCGUUUAAAAAAAAAUUGUCUAUGAAUUACGACGCCUCUUCUAAGAGAUGUAAUAAGGUGUAACGUUGGUGCUUGUGGCGACCUGAGAAGGGUUCGGGGUGCCACAAGAUCCGCCACUUAUUUUUUAAAAAAUCAUUUUUAUGCUUUGUCAAUUUCUUGACAUUAACUCCUUUCCAAUCUCUAAACCUUCCAAUGUCCUAUUAAAAAGUCUAAACCAUUCAAUGCUUUUCCAUAGCGAUAUUGAUCGUUAGUAUUCAUUUGAAAGCCUACCCCUUUCUUGAGUCAUGGAAAAAUUACCUCCAUAGCUUGCCACCUAUUUUAUCUUAAAUUAAAAUUUAAGUUCAUUUUUUUCAUAGUGACACACAAUUAUUAAACUAAUGAUAGUUAUGGAAAAAUUACCUCCAUAGCUUGCCACCUAUUUUAUCUUAAAUUAAAAUUUAAGUUCAUUUUUUUCAUAGUGACACACAAUUAUUAAACUAAUGAUAGUUAUAAAAUUGACAAUAAAAACCUUUCCAAAUAUCAAUAUUUAAAUAAAUUUUCACUAACGGUUACAUCUAUAGUCAUAAAUCAAACCUAUAAAUCAAACCUAAACCUAAGUGAUUUAAGAAAUAUAGCCAAAUGGAAAAAUAAAUCAUCUUACCUUAUAGUGAUGGCCCACUCAUUGAACGCAGUCCAAUUUGCAUUCUCUGACCCAACCAAGUUGCAAAAGCUAACCAACGGUCAAUGUCAACUCGGUAUCGACUUCACUUAGUUCCUAAAAUUCAGUCCCUUGCAUUGCAUAAAACGAACCAUUUUUACUAAAUUUUUAUUACAGAGUUGAGAGAGAGAGAGAGAGAGAGAGAGAAGUAAUGGCAUGACAUUGAACUGUCAGAUUCUAUUUAUUAAUUCGAUAAUAAAGUAAAAAAAGUAACUACUAGAAGUAAUGGUCCACCGAGAUACAAGUACUUGUUGGAUUCCACUUAAAGCACCCCUUCUUUUUUGUUCUUUUUCGGUUAGUUAAUUAGGGCGCGUUUGGUAACAUUUCUAUUCCCGGAAACAAUUUUUUAUCAAAAAUGAUUUUUUUAUUUUUUUUUAUUUCUGUUCCCGGAAACAAUUUCUGAAUAUAAGAACGCGUUUGGUAACUGUACAAAAUUUAUAUUCCUAGGAAAGUAAUGUGUUCGGUAUAAUUGUAUAAUUUGGUUGUUUCUUUUAAUUUUUUUAAUAUUUUUCAUUUUUUUUCUUCUUUCUUUUUUCUUUUUUCUUCUCUCUCAUUCUUCCUCUUUUGUGGCCGGUCGCCGGCAACUAGCUAGGCGAGGUCUGGUGAGCUCGCCAGAGCCUCGUCAAGCCAAGGCAAGGGCUGGUGAGCUCGCCGGAGGCUCGCCUAGCCCCCACAAGGUUAGCCUCGCCAAAUCUAGGCAAGGCUGAGCCUCGUUAGUGGCCUCGCGAGCAUCGCAAGGCUCGACCUCGCCCAGGCAGCGCAAGGCCGAGCCUCGCCGUGCCUUGCCUAGCCAUGGCGAAGCUCGGGUCAACGAGCCUCACCAUGGCUCGGCGUCUCCAGGGGCCGCUAACGUUCCGGCGAGAUCACUAACCCUCAUCUAAUCAGUCGCCGAUGCCGGCCAUGGCCAAGGCUAGCGACAGGCCAAGAGGAAGAAGAAAAAAAAAAAGUAGAUAGAGAAAUAUAAUCUAGAAAUUGUUCUCGGGAAUAAUAAGUUAUUUUUUCUACUUCUUAUUUCUAUUCCAAAUCUAUUUUCGGGAAGGAAACAAAAAUUUUACCAAACAAGUUUUUAUUAUUUUUUCAUUCCCCGGAACAAAAGAACAAAAAUAGUUGUUCCGAGGAACAGAAACGGAUUUUAACAAACAGGCCCUUAGGAUACCAGAUUUGGUUUCCAAUUUUAGUGGAAGUCUACCAGUUUAGAAAUCAGGAUUUACGAAGUUGCAACAGAACUGCUGUUUUGCUUUGCUGGGUUGUAAUUGUAAUAGCGGCAGCGAAUCACACACCUUUGAAGUAGACACUUCAAUUUUCGUUGUGGGAUGUUAAGUGUCAACUCCAUCAAUAUUCACUCGGCCCCCACCUCUCAGAUCUCAGGCAGAGUAGACUAACCCAUUAAGCUUUUGGUUUCGAUUUCAACUUGUUUGAUUCUUGACAUUAAUUUAAGGUCGUUUUGGGCAAUGAGGUAUGAUGAGGUAGUAAUCCAACAUUUGCAAGAAACAGUGACUAGACAUGCAAGUUUCUCCGGAGAAAUUUUGCGGGUAGACAUACAAGUUUCUCUUUCAUCAUUUCUCAAAGAUGGGAAAGAUGAAAUUGGCCGAUCAUCAUCCACACUAAAGACAAAAAAUUGGCAUCUACUAAGAGAAAUUCUUGAGUAGCAACAUAUAACAGGCCGAGCUCAUGAACAAAACACAUCCAGAGCAAGAAGGUGCCACUUCGCACAUCUCGCGAUUCAAACAAAUGAAAAGCUUCCAUAAUAGAUUCCCUCCCUUGCAGUGGCCAACACAUCGUUAUUGUGUGAAGAGGAAAAAGUUGCAACAUUGUCUCUCUUUGAAUAACAAAAUGGAAAGAGAUAGCACGAAUACAAACACCAAACCACAAGCCAUUGUUUUGUUUAUAUUACCUAUACCUUCAGUUCCAAAUGUGAGCGAAAGAGAAACUUCGAAGCAACAUUUAAGAGUUCUGCUGCAAGGAUUACCCAACGAAGCCCUAGUUCUUUCAAGAACUAAUUUACUUAGAACACAACAAACCAUUUCUUACUCUCUCUUGUGCCAGUAAUCAGUAUCCAGAAGUACUGGAUAGAGAUCCAGAUGUAGACAAAGCGGUUCCAGUCCGUGGCCCUUCAAUAGACAUACUCUUGCUGAUAUUCUCACCAACUGUCUGAUGUUCGUCACCUCUAAAAUGCUUCCUCAUGGCCUCAAUUUUCUCCUCAGUCAUGAUAGCGCCCGCAGAGUCCAGCACUGGAACAGCAACCUUGCCUUCAAGCAUGCUAACCACAGAUGACAUUGGCGGCCUGAGUGCUGGAGUCACAUUAGUACACAUCAAAGCUACCUUUAUCAAUGCCAGCGCCUCCUCUUUGUUAAAGUGAGAACCAAGCCUCGGAUCAACUAGUUCUAUCAAAUUCUCUCCCUCCUUCAGAAAGUGUGCCUAGAUACAGAAAUGUAAAGUGAAGGUAUUUCCCUUUCAAGCUUCAGGUAUUGAUCAGUUGCAAAAUAUGCUCUAAAUACUGAAACAGGAAGAAGUAUAUUAUCUCCCUUGAUAAUUACGAGACAAAUGCAGUUGAUAAGCACCUGCUAGUUCUAGGGUAUAAAUGGAUAAAAAGAAUCGAAUGAGUCAAUACAGAUCCAGCAUGAUUUUUUUUACCGAUUUUAAAUAAAAGAUACUAGACUACAACAUCACUUAAUAUGGUUAACCAGUUGCCAAGAAAUCACCUACACCGCUUUAAAAUCGCCAGCUAUUGUCGAGUUUUAUCAGCACAAAUUAUUUGUCAGUGUCAUUACAUGAAACGGCAGACUCGUCUUUCAAUGUUCUUGAUUAUGCAACUCAGGCGACAAUCAGAUUUAACAAGGACUAAUAAUGAUUGUUUGCUCUAACGAUUGCUCACUCAAAGCAAAAUAAAAUCUAACUUAGGGAGUCAAUUAUAUGAAUGUGAAAAAAGUUAUACCUCAAUUGAAAGUAUAUGGAUAUUCUGGUCCAGACAUGGUCUUGAAAACUUUUUUUUUUUUUGGUAAGAGUAAGCAAUAUAUUAAAAGGGGUCAAACUGUACAAACAACACGACUCCAAAAGCUUACACUCAAAAUGAACACGCUCAUUAAGAGUGAAAGGAAGCCGCGGACAAGCAACAAAACGACCAAUAGAAAGCCAACGGCAAACAAGCCUGGCAAAAACACCUAAGCAACCACCGAAAAGUGUAUGUCAGACUACGAUCAGAGGAAGCGAAGAUAAUGGGGUCCACAUCCCACGAGCGUUGCAUCCCACGAGCGAAGAUAAUGGUCUUGAAAACUUUUUAAUUUAACAGUAAUUGCCAAAAUUCAAUAGUAGUCGAAGGACUUGUUUGGCGCUAAUGAAACUACAGGGAGUAUGAAUGUCAAGCAUAAAAACAUAAAGACUAAAACUGAACUUUCGAGAUCUACCCUAAAUUAUGGGGUCAACUUCCCCAAAUUUCAAGGAAUAGAAUUUUCUUCAUUCCAAAAAAAGAAAAAGAAAGAAUCUACAUGAAAAUUCAGAGUAGACCAACAUGAUAAGAAGAAUCGGAUUAAUUUGAAAUAACAAAUUGCACUUAACAACAUGACAAUUCGUUAAGCAAGUUUCAAUAGCUGUUAAUCGUGAAACUCCUUUGCAACCAUUGAAAGUGCAUGUGAGGAUUUAAAUACGGAUAUGAUCAUAAUUGAAAUGAUAGAGUUGAUUACCCAAUCGAGUAGAUUAAAGCAUUCCUCAGUUCUUUGGGAGCUAAUGUUGCUCCGGCCAUUAACAACUUCUAAGGCAACAAUGCCAAAACUAUAGAUGUCGGCUUUGUCAGUGAGAUAACCAUGCAUUGCGUACUCCGGUGCCAUAUAUCCACUGCACAACGAAAAAAGAGCUUGUGUUUGCAACAAGGUAACUGCCUUAAAUAGCACUUACUUAAAAUUCCUAAAAUUCAAAAGAAAGAGUCCUUCCUAAAUGCAACGCUAUGGUCUAAAGAGUAGAGGAAAAAAACAAAUGCAUCCUAAUAUAUUCUAAUAUCAUUUACCGAGAAUAUUUCAGGAAAAAAAAAAUAUCAUUGUUUAUAAACUUUUUUUUGGUUGGAAAUAUAAGGAUCAUUUAUAAGAUGACGUACACGAGCUUAAGGGCAUUUCCCAGCAUUACAAAGAUAUCUAAGAACGUGCAAAAAUGGAGUGAGGGAAUCUCCAUAUAGUACCCAAUAUUACAUUUAUUUGGGAAGGCCUAAAGUUUUUGUAAUGUGAAGCUCGCCCUGUAACAAGUCUACGAAUUUUAGCCACGAUGAUGGAGACAUCAUUUGACUUGUUUUGGAAAUGUCUAUAGUUACGUUUAUAUUUAUUUUUGUUGAAUAAACGUUAGAGUUAGUAGAAUGAACUUACAAUUUUAUCUUUUCCCUAAUUAAUCACAUUCCUUUCAAAAACAAGUUGACUUUUCACACGCAUUAAUGCAAACAUCUAAAAUAUGUGAACAUGCUUAUCUAUGUUUUUCCAUGUGCAUACAAUAGAAACAUGGGCAAAUUUGCUAUAAUACUAAGUUAUAUUCAAAUUAACAAUUACAUAAGUCAAUAUCAGAGUAUCAUUACUUAAUGGUAGAGUAUGACACAAUUUACAUUUUUUUGCUAAUUAAUGUAAAGAGUGGUGGGACAGUCAUAAAGCUUUGUGGUUAAGCCGAAUUUGUUGAGCACCAUGCUUUGGGAUGAUGUGAAUCCACCACAAAGCUCCAUUCAACUCACUUUUCUUAAAUCAGAAUAUAUGUUUCUAUUCCAUGCUUUUAUGUUGUCACUGGCUCCUACUUAGGUUAACAGGAACAAAAAGCAAGAAACUUACUAAGUUCCAGCAAUCUUGGUGCUAAUAUGUGUUUUGUCCUCCUCAUCAAGCUUUGCUAAACCAAAAUCUGAUAUUUUAGGGUUGAGAUCCUUAUCCAGUAAAACAUUAGUAGCCUUAAUGUCUCUAUGCACAAUCUUCAGCCUUGACUCUUCAUGAAGAUAUGCCAAUCCCCUGGCAAUACCCACGCAUAUCUUGUGUCUUGUCCACCAAUCCAACUUUAACUGAAAUUCUUCAGGACCUUCAAUUGUAUCAGAAGACAUCAAAGCUGCUUUACUGCCAUGUCAUUAACUGAAGUCAAUGAAGCACAAUGUGAUAUCAAAUUACCAAAUAAAGCGCGAGCAAGACUGUUAUUUUCCAUGUACUCGUAAACCAGCAAAAGUUGAUUUCCUUCAAUGCAGCAUCCAUAGAGUUCACAAGAUGUGGAUGCUGAAGAGCAGAAAUCAUCCCAAUCUCAGUCAGGAACUCAUUAUUUCCUUGUUGUGAUUUGGAUGAAAGCUGCUUCACUGCUAUAACGGUGCCAUCUGACAGAAAACCCUGCAAUUCAACUUUGGCAUCAGAUCUAUGUUGUGAAAAUUGAGUUACAUUGAAUGCUGCUUUCUACAUAUCUUCUCUCUUGGGAAUUGGGGGAAUUUGGUUAGCCAAUUUUCCAGCAUACCUUGUAUACAGAACCAAAACCACCUUCUCCUAUCUUAUUGGCAGCGUCAAAAUUGUUUGUGGCAGUUUUAAUCUGUCGCAAGGUAAAUAAACCAAUUUGCAACGCUAGACCCUUCAAAUCUGCAACACGUUUUGGAACUUCUAUGAAUUUGGAAAAGUCAACAGUUAAAGUAUGUAAUCCACUAUCUAACAAAGACGUAUCAAUUCCUUCUCAAUAGUCCAGAAAACCUUUUUGUGACGUUUUGGUCUGAGCAAGUUCAGUAUAGAAUAGCUUAGCAUCUUGAAAAUUAUUUUCUAGGAAAGUCUGGCAUCAGUUGGCAGUAUGUAUUUUUGAAAAGUAAAAUGAGAUUGUCCCCAGGGUAUUUAAUAGUGAAGGAAAAUAAAAAUCAUACAGAGAACCCCCUUGGAAACGUAGGGUAUGGUUUGUAUGUUUUAAUUUCUCAUGCACGUGAAGUUCUGGCAGCUAUUUUUUGGUGUCUUGAAACAUAGACUUUGUGUGUAUACACACACACACACAUAUCUGAGAAACAAUCUACCGUCUCUCCCUAUAACUAUCUAUUCCUUCAUUUUUCAGAUUUCUAAAUAAAAAUUUAAUUCGUUAAGCAAACCAAAUGGUUCUAUGACACUUUAGCAGUAUAUUGCCUAAUGAUAAUUUUUGUCUUUUUGCGUCGAAUCAAAUUCCCUAUGGAAUGCACAAAUGUCAUGCAUCAACAGUUUUAUGGGAACUGUAAAUCUAGAUGGAGCAUUAAUGAUGCAUUGUCAUUACACUCCCCCACCAGGAAAGUAAGAAGAAGAAGAAGAAGAAGAAGUGUCAUUUGCCAACAGUUUGACAGGAACACUGUGUGAUUUAGCUGAAAUAUAAAUGAAGCAAUGUGACUAUCCUCCCUCUCCACCAGAAUACAGAAGGGGGAAAAUGUAUUCAGAGUGCAUAACAUUCUCAUAUUUCUUGACAAAUACACAUGGACUAAAUAGUGGAGAUUCCAGGUAAGCAACUACCUUGUGCCAUUUUAUCUUUACGCCCAAGGCAUCCUCUCCACCAAAGGAUAACCAGGAUAAGGAAAACUACGAAAACUAUAGCAGCCAGAAUCCCAGCCACUGUGCCAGCAGAUAUGCUGGCCCUGCUGGCCGGGGGAUCAAAGCCUGCAAUGAAGAAAAAACAAACAAAUAUUUAACCAAAACUGUUCAGUUAAUGGGGUAGACGUAAAUGCAGAAAAAUAUCUGUAGCUUCUCGUUGAACACAGAAAGAAAUUGAUGGAGAACACAAUAAUUGAGAAUCAAGAGGACAUAAAACCGCCCAGAGUACUCCACAGAAACUAUCAGAUAAAUGAGCACCGGAAGAUAUCAUUUAUGGAACAUGUAAUACAAAAUACAAAGGGAAAAAGAAAAAAAAAAUAUACUCUUCAUUCUCAAGGCUGUAUUGUAUGAUACAGGCACAGUGGUCGUAAUCCAUAGCGGAAAAGUGAACAAGGCUAUCAUUUCAUAGUCGAAUGGAAGGAUUGAAGAUACAUGGAGAAAACACGCUCAGAUAGAAAGAACACAAAGCAACCUAUAACCAAUUUUCAACUCUAAGAGAAUAAUAAUAGACCCUGGUCAGCUAUUAUGCGUAAUUGACUUGAUCUAUAGUGACAUAUGCCAAUGGCCUGAAUCCAACAGUAGGCAUUUGUAACCAAGCCAAGUAACUAAAUAGCCUAUUGAUGACUUCUGGUGCAAGAAAAAAUAUGGGUAUUCUUUUCAACAUGAAUAUGAGUAACUUUCUCAACAGAGAAGCACCAAGUGAAACAUGGAAGCAUCCAUCUGCGUACCAGGGUAGACAGAGAUAGCAGAUAUAAGAGGACCAUAAACUCCUCCGUCAGGUAUAGCAGUGGUUCCUUUCCCAGCCCAAUAGAAGCGUAUCUCCAGAGUGCCCUUGGUCACAUUGGCAGUAAAAAUUUUCAUGACCUCCUUUCCAACUCCACCUGCUUCAAUCUCAAUGUUGAAAUCUUUCCACACCAAUUUCCCCUGAAAUAGUAUUUCAUCUGAUUCAAGUUGAGUUUCUCCACACUGAACAAGGUAAAACUUUUAGUCUCCAUAGAAUGUGCAAAUUGUGAAAAAAUCAUGAUUUGCAAGUACAAGAUAUUUGGAUAAACUUCCCAACCAUAACAUAUUGAACGCUUUAUGUGCUUUAUAUAUUAGAACCAGCACUCCAUAAUGCUCCGAGUUUACCUGUAUAUAAAUAUUAAAAGCUCGCCUUCCAAGGCUUUUAUAACUUUUGUUUCCUGUGAACAUUAUCUCUGAAAAAUGAAGGGUUACAUUGUAGGGCCCAUCCAUCAGACAAAAACCGUAAUAAGUUAGAGAGAUGGCAGAACGUCGUGCUUCCAUGUAAAGUUGGGCAUUAUUCAUGGACAGUGUGGAUGUGUUUUUAACUUUAUAGCUAACUGCAGCGACAUUGUAAUCGGCGAAGUAACUAGUGCUACUGUAGGCCCAGUAAUCACUCUUGAAGAAACUUGAAGGUGUAGCCUCCUGUGAGUCAUCUUCGUAUGUGGUGCCCCUUACUUCUGCUUUGCUCCCACCGCAAUUUAUGAAGAGGUUAUACCGAGCUGAAUGGAGUAAAGAAGCAGCCACAGAGAAAAUUCAGUUUCUUCUAUUUGUUAAUAUGGAGUGGACUUUCCAGACACACUAAAUAAGCUAGCAUUCACUCAUUGGAAAAUUACAUAGAAACUCCCAAGUUAUGAGCAACCCAUUAUUUCAUGCAGGUAGCUUUUGAAAUUAUUAGGGUAAAUAUGCAUCAACCAUCAAAGAUUGACACAAUAGCCAAGAGGAGAGUUGACAAGGAGAUAAAUUUGAUGAGAAAUUACACAGAGAGUAAGAUGUAAUAUUAGAAUCUGAUGAUAAUGAUAGGAUAUGUUAGAAUAAUUUAAAUAUAAAAUCACGCAUUCUUCUAACAAUUUAAGUUUUUAAAACAGUUGGCUGUAAUCCUAUAAAAUCUCAUAUAGUAUCAAAGCUGGAUUUCAUGAGUUCAAAUCUUUCGAAGCCUAAUUUGCCUCCCUAAUUAAAUAUGUCCACACUUCAUCUAAUAGCUUAAACUUUUAGAACAAUUAGCUACAGUCCCACAAAAUUUCAUAGGAUAUACAGCACGUCAAUUUACAUUUUAUACAACAAUGACUCUGCAGCAUAUUAACUUACUUUUUGCACAACGUUGACUCUGCAAACAUGAGACAAGUCCACUUGUGGCAGAAUAUGAGGUUCUGAGCAAGUCAGCAAAGAUUUUACUGUUAUAAUCAUCAUCAUUCUUAAUGAAGUUCAAUGCUAAGAACAUAAUCAAUAAAAAUGUGGAUCCUUAGAAAUCCAAGUCUCUCGUUGAAAAGUUAAUCGCAAACAUACGCAUUCUCAACCUCAGAGCUUGCGAACAAGUUGCUGUAGAGAAAAGACAAAAUCAACAUUCAGCAGAGAAAUGGAAAUAUUAUACACAAACAGGAUAUAAGUUACUCAAUAAGUGCACAUUUGGGGGGAGCCCUGGACUGACUGAAGGAAGUAGGACAUACACAGAUCCUUCAUGACAUUCUAAGCCUCCAGCAGUGAAUUUGUUGUAUGAUAAAUCACUACACAGAGAAACAGUCAACCAUUUCCAAAAUCUCAUCAAUUUGAAGAAUAAACUGAAAGUCAUUCCAUCCAAUGAUUUUUUUUUUCAAUAAUUCCAUCAAAUGAUUAGUAUGUACAAAAAUGCAGACAAGUUGCAAAAAAUGGACAGGUAAGGCAAGAUGAAAGGUGAAAACAUCACAAUAUGAUGAAAUUGAUAUUUUAUUCCUACUGAAAAUAUCUUAUCUUAGAAUAUGAAAAGGAGAAAGACUAACUGAAGUAAAUGGAGACUUCAAAACUAUUUAUAGUGUAUAAAAACAUUUUUACUCAGUAACAGUACCAGUCAUGAUGUCUAAGGCAAAGAGGCUUAAAUAGAACUGUGAUUCCACCUACUACUACGUCGUGUUGGGGACUAGAGCUUGAGUGUCAAGGACCCAAGCACUGCUUUUAUGUACUCGGGGUCAGGUAUUAGGGCAUUGGGCUUGGGCACCAGGGCUUCGGGCCCAGCCUCGAUGGACUAGGCCCGGGCGCUGAAGACCUAGUCCUGAACGCUGAGGACCAAGAACCAGGCGUUGGGGUUCCCGUGUCCAAGCAAAGAGUUGCGGGUCCAAGCACCAAUACCAACUCAUAGUUUGGAAAAUGUUUUCCCACUUUUUCAAAAGAGGAAAUCAUUUCCUAAAUUUAAACAUAGAUCUUUCAUUGACUCGGAAAACAUUUUCCAUUAAUUCAUUUUCCUAAACAAACCAAACGCUGGAAAAUUGGGAAAAAGUUUUUCGUGAAACAAACAAAGCCAUGACAGAAUGGCAAUAUGUUGCUGUUAAAAGUAGCGUUUAUCAAAUCUUACAGAGAUGACCACAUGAACAAGAAGAAUUGACUUGUAUAGAGAUGCAUUUGAAGCCAUGCUCUCGUUUGAACUAUGAAUGUUAUGUCUGACAAGUGUACAACAGUCAAGCAAAAAACUCCAGCUAGAUAUUGUAGGGCUGAGAUUCGAGAAUGUAAACCACCAGAAGGAAAGUUUCCAGACAAUCAACCAAUAGAAGCCUCCAUUUUGCAUUAAUGCUCUUAAGAAGUUAAGAUAACAUAUCAAAGCAAAAGUAAAUCAGACGAAAUGGGAAACCACAACCAAGGUAAGAAUUCUUGCUGGAAAAGUGAAAACAAAGAGUGUUAGAAUAUUUAAAUAACAAACCACGCUUUCAUCUAAUAGGUUGAGUUUUUAGAACAGUUGACAUUUCCCGUUAAGUGAUUUAUAUGAAUCAUUAAUUUUUCUUUCAUGGAGUUUCUCCGUUAUUCAUAUGGUUCCGUAUUUUAGAAAACAUAAAAAUUAUUAAAGCACAAUGAACGCGCCAAGUACUAUUUUUACCCAAGGCUUUGCUACUUCGGGCCUUUUAACUGAAAUGCAUCAAUCCGAAAUAGUAGUACCUGCUCUCCAAUCCCAAUGGUUAAUGAUGCAUGUAAGUAUGAUGAUAUUGGGCUACGCAGCUCUUUUAUGUGGAUCAUUAUUAUCAGUAGUAGUUCCACAAAUUCUCACAGAGAGAAAAAGUCCAUAUACUUUUGUGCAAAACUGUAUAUUAUACAGCAGAGACCACAAUCACCAAGAGUUUAAAUGCCACAUCAUUCACAAUUCAGCAAUAUCAAUAGAAAAUAUCAAAACACCAUUGAAGUCAGUAAGGGACCUUCAAGCCAUCUUAAAUGGGUUCUUUAACUGCAACCAAUAGUCAACCAAAAACUAGUAGAAGUUUCACUCCUUAAGGGUAAAAUUAUUUAUUCUGCCUGGAAUAGCCAACGGGAAAAGCUGCUUUCUACUCACAAUAUUUUUAGAUUUGUCAUAUUUGCUAGAUAACCAGGUAGCUCUCCCGUGAGAUUGCAGCUCCUCAGAAUCCUAUAAGAAAAUAACACCGAUAUUGUCACAUUGCUAAGACGAUUUGGCUCUUUUGCAUAAAGUAAACUAUCUGUGAAGGAGCAUCGAUCUCACAGUGUUUCAAUAUCUGUACUGUUAAGUUGUGGAACACAAGACUCGGGUCCAUCGAGGUCACUUAUUCUCCUGCAUAUCACAAUCAAAUAGGAGCUUUAUUUGAUUGAUAACAUUUAAAGAAAGAGAGAUCAGAUCGAAAUGCCAAAAUUCCAUACUGACAAGUCGUUCAAUCGCUCCAAAAGUGCGAUCCCAGAGGGAAUUGGCCCUUGCAAUCCGCUUCCUUGGAUAACCCUGAUGAUACAAUUCAUAGAUGGAAUUGUCUUGGGGGUAUAUCUAUAGAGACCGAUUUAAAAGGGGAAGAAGCAUUAAGCCUUACAGUGUUCUGAGAUUUGUCAAGUUCUGAAUAAAAUCGGGUAUCUUUCCCAUGAACUGAUUAUCACCAAGUUGCCUACAGUGCAUUAAACAACAUGAUUUAUAUGAAGGAGAAAGAAUAGAAAUGGCUAAAUUUAGCUGAGUUUGUGGAUACUGGAAACUAACAGGUCAUCCAAUUCCCUUAAGUUAACAAAUGGUUGAGGCAGCUCCCCCGUGAAAUUAUUUGACGUAAGCCACCUGAAACAAGAAAAACCCAUGACAACACGUUGGUUAAUAGAACCUGAAUGCUGUAUCUCUCAACAGAUCACUCCAAUGGAUAAAAUUCCCUCGCCAGAUACAAAAUCAUCAGCGAAUAAAAACUCGAUGCCUAACACAGAAAUUUGCAUCAAGAGACUCACAAUUGUUGUGACCCGGACAAGUUCCCGAGCUCUGGAGGAAGAGGUCCAGAAAGCCAAUUGCUUUCGACGAUUCUGAGCGGAAUAUGAAAGUUAAAAUCUUGAAACACCAAUCAAAUUUAAAACAGCGAAGAGGCCAAAGGCGAGCGUCGGGAUGAGUGGUCACUCACAAAUACCGAAGUGUGGAUAUGUUCCCCAACUCCUUCGGGAUUGGACCAGUCAAUCGGUUUCCGAAUACAGAACUGCACCCACAUCAUCGCGUUUCCCCCAAUCAAACAAUAGAACAUACACUCGUGAGAGAGAGAGAGAGAGAGAGAGAGAGAGAGCAUACAUGUGAACCACGUUCGUAGAGCCCCAUUCUUUAGGAAUUGUGCCGUUCAGGUAGUUGCGGGAGACAAUACUGUUUAUAGAGAGAGAGGAUGAAGAAGAAGAAGAUCGAAAAUGGAGAAAGGGGAAAUGGAGAAAGAGAGUGCUUACAAGUUCUUGAGAAAAGGCAAUCUGAACAAUCGAGGCGGAAGGGUGCCGGCAAGAGAUUGCUCCCGAAGAACUCUGUUUUCGCAACGACACCAAGGCUUUAUUCUAGCUUUGCUUGAAAACUAGGCAUCAAAAUGAUGUUACAAAAUGGCUUUAUUACAUCUAAUUGAUAUGUAUACAUACAUCUCAAUUGAUUCUAAAUUAAAAAAAUCUUCAAAAAUUGCCUAAAAAAAGAAGGUUUGUUUAAAGUAAAUGAAUAUAUAGCUAAUGUGAAAAGCAUGCAUCACUCAAAGUACAGCCCUACCAUGCAUUAAUAUAAAUAACAUAUGUAAUAAGGAGAGAAUAGCAAUAAAAUUUUGACACUACCCUUACGAUUAAAGGUAGAGGGAGUAUAAUCACCGACCGUGGUGGCUCCGCUGGGUAGGCUUCAAACCUUUGAAAGAAGGUCAGGAGUUUGAAGCACAAAAAAAAAAGGUAGAGGGAGUAUAUAACUCUCGUCACUUUGAUAUUUAACCAUGAUCUUUGGGUUUGACAUUCCCAUUAAUCACUAAAAAUAUAAUUUAUAUAAUUAAAUGCCAAGCAUAUAAUAUGCAAUUUUAUUGAUUUAACUUAUAAAAAUUUGUAUAAUCAUACCGUGAAUAAUUAAUAUUAUGCUCAUAAUUACUUCAUGAGUAAUUUUAAUGUAAUAAGUGAUUACAUAUUGUUGCUACAUUUCGACCAAAAAAUCAGCUAAUGUUUUUUUUUUAUGAAAUACUAAUAUGGUGCAAAGGGAUUCAAUUCGGUAGCCUGUCAAUUCUAUAAAGACAAAAGAUUGGUGUGCAACUACGUGAUUGAUAUUAAAGUCUAGCAAGGAAUCUACGAUGGUAUAAUUCAUGAAAUUGAGGGAGAAAGAGACAUGCUGGUGACGUGAGAAAUGGUGUUGUUGUGGGCGUCGGUGGAAUUGCCACAGGUGAUGGCGUUGAUAGUUGUAUAAAUGUCUUUGUCGUCACCCCAUCCACCCUCCACACCGCAUGGAUCUGCAUUGAAAUCUCAAUCCGAUUUCCCUAACAUCUUUGCUAUUUCUUUCAAUGCAUCCACUGAAAGAGGAAAGAGUUGAUGAGUCAAAAGGAACAACUCGUGUGUGCCUGAGGUUGAAUAUAUGUAUGAAAAACAAGCACCAAAAACAAAACAAAAAAAAAAAAACAAAAAAACUUGGUGUACGUUGGAGCCCAAAAGGUAAAAGAACAAUACGAUGAAAGCGAUGAAAGCAAUGAAAGAUCGAUGGGUUUAUUUUUUUUUCACCUUCGUCUUGGGGCAAAAGAGUGGCGACAACAGCUAAGUUAGUGAUGCUGAAAAGGACGAGAAUAUAGAAGAGAUAUCGAGCCGAGAAGAGAAUUGUCGUCAUUUUAGUCUCAAGCUUAACGCAGAGAGAGAGAGAGAGAGAGAGAGAGAGAGAGAUCUCCCGUUCUUUAAUCAGAGUCUGUGAAAACAAAACUUGGCUAAGCGAGGGAGCAAGAGAGAGAUAAUUGUUAAGUGAGCGAUCUAACUUCAUGCAUUUAUGUAUGAAAAAAGGGAGAGUGGAUAAAGACAUUUUGCUAUUAUAUAUUUGACGACUUUAAGUCUUCUUCAAACGUACAAAUAUUCAUCCAGAAUUGAGUUUUGGUUCAACUUUUCUUCAUAAUAACUUUCUUGGAAAGAGAGAGAGAGAGAGAGAUGUGAUUGUUAAUUGAGUGGUCUUCACGAAAAAUAGAGAGAGAGAGAGAGAUGUGAUUGUUAGAGUGGUCUUCACGGAAAACAGCGAAUGGACAAAGACUGAGAGAGAGAGAUGUGAUUGUUAGAGUGGUCUUCACGGAAAACAGAGAAUGGACAAAGACUCUUUGCUUUUGUAUGUCUAGGAUGUGAAAGUGAUGUGUGAGAGUGAGACAGAGAGACAACCCCAAGUCUUUCUUGAUUGUAGCAUAUCUAUCUAGAAUAGAGCUGUCAAGCUUUUGUCCAUCUCUUCUUGCAUAAUAACCUUUUUCAUAUUAUGGGUUUAGCCAAUCCCUCCUUUCAUAUUGUCCUUCCAACGACAGUAGUCUUUUUCAUUGCUCUAAUUUUGGCAGUCGACAAAAUUUUGAUUGUCGACUUAAAAUUAAGUUAUAUAAAAAAAUUAUGGAUUAAUUUUUAGCCUCUAAAUCAAAAAGAAAAAAAAUUCCAUUAAAUUACACAGCAAAGCGCAGGUCAACGCCAAAGGACGAAGGAGGAGAAGGGACCGCCAAGGUAGCCUAAGGACUGGCCAGCACGCGAGAGAUUGGAGGGUGAAGGGUCUCCGCUGAUUGGACUUUUCCGCAGGUCGAGAGCCUAUAAAAAGAGGCCUUUGGACGCUGACCGGGGAGUUCGAAGAGGUUCAAGAUAGAAGGGAAAAAAAAAACAAAGAGAGAGAAAAGAGAAGAAAAAAGGUCCGCCGUGAGAAAUCUAGCGAGUGUCCUCUGGCGACAGACACACUCGAAACCCGGCCGACAACUUACCGAUGUUAGCCUUCUUCCCGAAUUAAAGCCACGGUAGGUCUUGGUUUGAAUCUGGUUUGUUCUUCUUCAGGUGCGUCGCGUCGAGUUCCUGAGGAUUCUGGCUAGGGGGUGCGCGAGGCGACCAGACAUUGUCCGAUCUAUCAAGUUCACCCUCAUUCGCCGCCCCUAAGUUAGUUAGUACCACCAAUGGCCCCUUUUUUUCCCUUGUCAUUUUGAUUUUGUGGCCUGAUUCGGGUUGGCCGGACCGGGCUACCGUUGUCAGUAAGUCCAUGAGCGUUCCCUGGUCGCUUUAGUUUUGAGGAAUCUGGGCUUGUUUUAAUGUGGAGAGUUUGAGUGUGAUUCAGCAUUGAUAAUGGUGGGCUUAGUUCAGCUUGUUGAGUUUGGGUUUAAUUUGGUUGAGUGGGGUUAGAAUUUGUCCUAGGCUUGGCCGAAUUGCGCUUCAAUUGUUGAGCCCAUCCCUUUCUUUAGGCUUUUAUUUAGAGCCUGACUCAAAGGCCCACGAUAGUCCACAUCCUGACCGGGCUCUAAGGCCCUACCCGGAUACGCAUCUUCGGAAUAAAAAAUUAUUAUUAUUUAAAAUAAUUUUAAAUUAAAAAAUUAAAAAAUUUUAUUUUUUUAUUUAUAUAUUUUAAGUUAGGAUAAAGCUUAAUAAUUAGUUUUUGAGUAGUUGUCUCUUAAAAUAUGUGAAAAUCCUUGAUAAAUAGAUUGUGUUUUAUUAGAUUGUUAUUUGCAUAUUUCGAUAGUGCACUUUUCAUAAUCUAUUUCCUUAGCCUAGUUAAGAAUACAUUUCUUGGACUCAUGAAUGCUACAUGAAUACUUUAUUUGGUGAUUGAAUAAGAAUAAGUACCAGAAGGGCAUUAGUUGGUUAAUUAGUGUAAUUAAGUUUCCGACUUUAGAUUAUCUAGUUCAAAGUAAGUAAUCCUCCCAGUACUUUACUUGGAAUCUAAUCGAUCCACCUUAAUUGAUUAAUGUCGUGAUUUGUAUGUUAAAAACUCAAAACAUAAGUUGCGAAUUAGUAUAAGCUUGAGAGAUUGAGCUAGAUUUGAACUUAACAAUCCAUUAGCCAAAUUCUUAGCGGUCCAUCCGAGGAUAGGUCGCAACAAUUUUGCUAUGACCAUAUCUCAGAUUUAGGUUAUUAUACAAUUUGUCGAUGGCGGAGUCCAAAUUCCAUUAUUCUUAGAAACUUCAUUAGUUCAUUCAAGGUUAUGGCUGUGGAGACCCAAUAAUGUGGAGGCCAAUGAAAUACCCUUCAAGCCCUACAAAUCGGCCAAUGAAAUACCCUUCAAGCCCUACAAAUCGGUUAAGUUCAAAUCUUCAGACCUAGACCCAAUAUUAUCUGCACACUAUUGGUGGUAUCAUAUACGUUAAAUAUGAAUAAUGGAAAAAAAAAAAUUAACCUAUUAAAGUGGUUACAAAACAAAAAUAUCAUAUAUGUCAAGUUGGAAUUCUAAUUUAGAUAGACAGAAUAAUAAUAUCUUAGGAUUUUUUAGGACUACAAUUGAAUUGUACGAUCGUGAAAACUAAAAUAUUUGUCAGCAUAGUCUAUCCCAUUCAUUAAUAGGUGCUUGUAAAUUAGCAUAUCUAAGUCUCUGUUGAUGUUGACAAGUGUUUCACCCAUUCAACAUGGAAUUAUUCGAAAUAGAUUUGAUCGAAUUUGGAUUCGGAGCGUGAGGGUUUUGUACUUUGGCUUGCUUUGGCCUAACAUGGCCUCUUUUAUCUCCGUUUCAUGUUAUAAAUCUAGACACCAAUUGCAAAAAAAUCGCGGCACAUAAAACAAAAGUUUAGACUCAGACCAAAUACUAAUGGUUCCAUGGGUGAGGUUGUGCACGAGACUUAGGCAAAACAUCAUCUUCUAUGCAUGUUUAAUCAGGUUAAUGUCGAGUCAUGGAGGGUUAUUUUAAUAUUGUCAACCAACACAAUUAUAUUGGACCCACAAGUUUAGCAGAGCUUUGAAAAUUCCGAGUUAACUUUAAAUGAUGAAUUCUAAGCAUGUAAUUUUGUCAUUUACUGUCAACCCCCGAACUUCGAGCGUUCGAACAUCCCCCAAUGGUCAAUUAAAAUGCAACUUCUCAGAACACGUUGCCAACUUGCCCAUCCGGAAACAGCCUUAGGCUGAAGUUUGAGAGCUGUGUUGGGAUAUACAAAGGAAGAAAACCCUUCCGUUACUCUUCAGCUUAUACACCCAAUCACACUAACCAUCACCACCGUGCCACCGCCAAUCGCCCCUUUGCCACCUGAAUAGUCGAGAUUCUUUUUGUUCAAUAUGGAACUUUCAGAAGUUUGUUUAAUGAAACUUGGAUGUCCCUUUGAAAUUAGUUGGUGAGAUUGAAUACAUGAGAAUUCGCUGGUUGGGUUUUGCGAUGAUGAUUGCUGCUCUUCUAGUCCAAUCAUACCCCGCACGUGUUAAGAGUAAAUAAAUAUAAAUUACACCUUCAACUAACAAUUUAAGCUUUUAAAACAGUUGAUACUUGUUUUACAAAUUUUCUCGUUGUAUCAAAGCUAGAGGUCCUCAGUUCGAAUUUUUCUAGGCCUUGUUUGCUUACCUAAUUAAAUUUCCACACUUAGAUAUUAGGCAAAAAAAUCAGACUAAGACUAAGUGUCACCUCAAGACCUUUAGGAAGAUGUACAAGAGGAGCUGCGGAACAAAAUCGAAAGGUCAAAAAGGACAUUAAUUGUCCUUAAUAAACAAAUAACUUCCUGAUGUACAAGAGGAGUUGUGGAGCAAAAUUGAAAGGGCGAAAAGGACAUUAGCUGUCCUUAAUAAACAAAUUACUUCCUGAUAGGUUAGUUGUCCUUAAUAAACAUAUAACUUCCUAAAGUACAAGAGGAGUUACGGUACAAAAUGGAAAGGUCGAAAAGGAGUUAGUUGUCCUUAAUAAACAAAUAACUUCAUGGUCUAAUAUGCGGUUAUAAAAUUGUCAUAUUAUCUAAUAGGACUAUGCUUAGAGGACGGUACCAUCACUUUCCAUGAAGUGACGGAGCCCUCCUCACCACACAUCCUUAAGUGUAAGAUUUUGGGGAUCGGAAUAUCAAAUUGACAAAUAUGUUGUCAAAAAUGUCAUUGCUGUAGAAUUGCCCUAUCGUAAAAUCGACCAUACAAAUUUUGAGCUUGUAUGAUGUCAACUAAUAUUUUAUGAAAUUUUCAAUUCAUCAAAUUGAUGAAAUCCCUCUGAUCACUCAAUUCCAAACUUAGCAUUAAAUGAUAACAAAUUAAAGACAAAUGAAAAACAGAGGCAAAGCAGAAGAGAGGAACUGGACGUAGAUAAAUAGUGGUGUUGGCAAUGGUAGCUGUAGGCGCCAUGCAUAUGGAGGACGGCGAAAUGGUGGUGGGGCUGGGUUCAAAUGGAGGGAGGGCAAGGCUAUUGGGUGGCGAUGGAUGUUGCGAUGAGGAAGGAGAGGUGGCGAUAGCGGAGACGAUGCUACAACCAACUCUCGCCGAAGCCAACGCCUUUGUGUCAGAGUUAUCCCUCACCCUCGCUAUUGAAGCUUGCAAUCGCUCCGUAUUCGUCGUCCAAUCUCCUUCUCUGGUACAGACUGCAUUAUGGAAAUUCAUUAAGUGCCUUCAGUGGAAGAGAAACUUUUCUUUGAUCAGAGCAAUAAUCUGAGAAAAUGUAUGGAGGAAUACAUAGCAUGGAGGAGACAAUAGCACGUGGGAUAUAUGUGGCUUUACAACAAGGCCAUUUUUGGCAAUUGAUUUUGUCAAUUUGAUAUUCCGAUUCCCAAAAUCUUAUAAUGUAUAGUCAGGAGAGCUCCGUUACUAUGUAGGAAUUGACAAUACUAAUCUCUAAGCAUUUCUUUGUCUAAAAAUACCUAAGUAGAUAUGUUUUUGUGUUGAUCGCUUCUUGUUGAUAAUUUUUUCAAUCAACUUCCCAAAUCUUCUUUUGCGGAUAAUUUUCAAGUUGUGUUGUCAAUGACUUCAUUGGCAAUUUAUUGAUCCCUUCAAAUUGUGGACUGUUUUGUUUUAUUUAUGAUUUCUAUUUUCAACAAACCCCACUCUUAUCUGUUAGAAUAAUAAAAAAAAAUGAUUGUUGAAGAUUUGAGUAAGUUGGUUAUUGAACUCUAGAUUUGGUGCGAGAAGAAGAAGAAGAAGAUUGCACACGGUUUUCAUGUCAGCCUAAUAAGAAAGUCAAAAGAAAAGGGACAACAUAAAUGAAGAGAAGGAGGAGUCGCAAGAAAAAUUGGCCAGUAAAAAUUGUGGGCUUCGUUUGUCCUAUUUCAUUCAUUGCAUGGAUCAAAUAAAGAGGAAAGAAGGCUCCAUGAAGGCCCAUUAAUGCGUGCACAUGUAUGCGUGCCAUGAAAAAUGGAGUGGGCCGUUGCUAUUGCAAAGAUUUGUCUUGCAGGCACCGUUGCUAUUAUUUAAUGUUUGUGUGAUUUCCUUUUAGCUUUGUUGACUUUUGUAGUUUCACUUUAAUGUUAACAGAAGGAGCGUUGAAGAUCUCGUGUGCCAUGUUUAUCUUCAUCUCUAUUGUAAUUUAGUGUUAUGCUAUUAUGUAAGAUGUGUAAGGGGUGUGUUGUAAAAGAGUAGCCACCACAAAGCAUUCUAAGAAUAACUUCUCCCUUUGGUCUUCACUUGUGCCUUAUUCCGAAAUUUUCAAAGUUGCCAUUAAUUUUUUCCUUUUUUAUUCCAACAUCAUUGACUAGUCUAUCUUGUCGAUAAUAAUAAAAAUUCGAUCAUCUUUUGAUGUCAACAAUAAUGAAAAUAUAUGUGUCGAUACAUCUUAACGGGAACUAAAUUAAUAAAACACAUAAAUUAUAUUAUGUUAGUUUGAUUUAUGUCAAUGUCAGUAGGGUAAGUAAUCUUUUGCUCAGUUGUGAUUAAUGAAGAACAGUGAUGGAAUUUUGUGAUCAAAUGCGUCGCUAUCUGCCCCCACCUCCUCAUUUAUUAUUAGAUUAGAUACACACAUUUUACUCAACUUUCUUGAGACGAAAGAGACGGAUGCUAAAACAUUACGUGAAGAGAGAGAGAGAGAGAGAGAGAGAGAGAGAGAGAGAGGAUACAGAGAUCCAAGACUAAAAAUCAGCUGCCACAGUUCCCGUAAAUAAACAUGCAGGGGUUACGAGCAAUCGCCAUACCCACGUCGGAGACUGCAGAGAACGAGACCGAGCUGAGACAAACCGUUUUCUUUGUUCUUUCUCAGUGAAAAGCCACCAGUGUACGUGUUUGCAUGAUCGAGUACCGAGUGUGUGCAGGCAAAUGUUCGUCAAACCAGCGAAAUAAAACAAAAUGAUCAACAAAUCGAUCAUAAUAAAGUAAAUAUGUGAAAAUAUGUCUUCUUCUUCUCCUCCUCUUUCUGAAGUAUGGCGCCUCAGAUGGAUUAGGUCUCUCCAGGCAUGUGCAGUUAAAUUGAUCAUGUUGGACAAGUCUAAGGAGUAAGUUCUUGCAGCCUCUUGAUUGCGCUUGGGUCGCUCCGUGGGCCGAAGGUUAAAAAUAGCUAGGUUAUCGAUACUUCUUUUACUUUUCUUAUCAUUACAUCUUCAAAUGGAAAUCAAACUUGGUAUACACAAACAACCCCGUCAAGAUCCAAGAGAUUCAAACGUACUUAAGAAGCCCUGCAUCAAAAUGACAAAAACCCUUGAAAAGGAAAGGCCAUGGAGUGGGAGAGAGGGAUAAAACCAGCGUUCAAUUGAAACACCCAACGGCCAACUCAUCUCAAUGUGUCACCAUCCGGCACCACAUAAGCAUGUCAUAUCUCAGGCCCCCUCCCAUUCCUAUAUAAUUGGUAUCCAUCCUCACAGGCCUUUCCCACUUGCACUACAGAUCCAUUAUAAUCCACACUGACCAGCACUCGCAGUUUUUUUUUUCUUUUUGGUAAAGGUAAGAAAUCUGACCAGCACUCGCAGUUGUACUUGGCUGGGAGCUAGAAAACGAGACCACCGAGAGAGAGAGAGAGAGAGAGAGAGAGAGAGAGAGAGGGAGAGAGAUGAAAAUGAUGGAGGCGAGGAAGGAUGUGAUAAAUAAUGACUUUGAAGAGAAAGAGAGCAACUGCAUCAACGGGCAAUCGUCCGCGUCCUACCUGGUGUGGAACGACUUGACGGUGUCGGUCCCCGCUGGUUCCAAGAGGAAACUGCUAAACCAGCUCAGCGGGUACGCUCAGAUGGGUCGGAUCUUGGCCGUCAUGGGUCCUUCCGGCUCCGGAAAAUCCACUUUCCUCGACUCAUUAGCAGGUUUCUCCGCUUCUCUCUGCCAACCUCCUCAUUUCGGAACAUUUUCUGGCAACAAUAUAUCCAUUUACUUGGCCUUGUUGUAUUGCAUUUUUAUUUGAGUUAUUAAAAAGUCCACCGCCGGUGAAAUCCGAAUUCCACCUUCGAAGCUCUACGUACGAAACUCCUAGUGAUACCGAUACUGUUACCGAAAGAUCAAGACAACAAGCAUUGCCCAUAUAUGGAAAAUAUAGCAACUUAAUAUAGUCACCAAAAUCAUUAAUAGCAUCGAAAUAAUUGCAAGUGGCUACGAUGAUUACCCUUUCCAUAGCCAGAUCUAGUAGUGUAGAAACGAAAGUGCAGCAAACUGUUUAUUCUCAUAUGAAUUGGGUCUCCCAUGUAUAUUGAUGCUAUUCUCUUUCGAUAUCUAUUAUGUAUAGUUGAACUCACUUUAUUUAAAGAUUAGAAAUAGAAUUACAUAAAAAAAAUAAAAAAAAGAUACGGUUUAUAGAAGUAAAAUAGUGAUGAUAUAAUUAUUUUUGUAACUAAUAAAUUCACUCGAUAUAAAUUCUAAUAGCAUAAUAAAAUUCUUAUAAAAAAAAAUUAAAAGAUGAAUAGUAUUUAAGUGUAACUAGUUCAUAGUUAUAUCAUUUCAUCUGGCUUGAUAUCAAAAUCCUUUGACAUUGAGGCGCAAACAUACUCUACAACGAUUUUGUCUCUCAUUUAUAUUGAUGUUAUUCUUUUUCUUUGUUGAAUUAUGAUAUAUAAUUGAAAUCAUGUCAUUAGAAGAAGAAAAUAAAAUUAGCUCACGAAAAAAAAUUAAGAAGAUACAACUCUUAAAUUUCCGGUAACUAAUAUCAAUAUCACUUGGGAGUUUCCAUAUAUGGUGCACUGAAAGUGGGAUUUGGAUUCCACUAGCAGAGGACAUAGAAUAACUCUGACUUGUUCACCAUGGUUUUAAAAAAGAAAAGAAACUCUUGAUUUGAUCAGCAAGACCACAUUAAUGAUAUCAUGCUAUGAUAACAUAGCGUAUUAUUGUUACACCCAUGUAAGCUUGAGGGUUUUGGCGACAAAAAAAAAGGUUUUUGAGUAUUGAUUUAAUAGUGGUCAUAAUUUACAAUUUUAUUUAGUUGUAUGCCCUUUGUAAGGGACAUGUUUUGUUAAUUUGUAAGAUGUUUGUGAUUUAUGUUAAUGUUCAAAUUAUUGAAAAACCUACAACCAAGUCAAAGAGAAAUGCAACCAUUGGCCACUCUUCCCACAUGGGAAUGGGGAGGUGGGGAGUUCAUAUCCCCACCUUCUCAGGUGGGUUGAGGUGAUGACAAUUUAGCUUCGAGUUUGGGUUUUAACUCUCACUUCCUACAAAGAUGCAGGGCAAAAGUCUAAGAGUGAGAGUUAGAGUAGAAGUAAAGUAAUAUAGACAAAAAAAAAAAAAAAAAUCAAAGACUAGGCACAUGUAUGAAGCAUCAACUACUUUAUUUACUAUUUGAGUCGUAUGUCCGUGAAAGGAGUGCCAAUUCAUCAAAUCGAGAGAUUCUUGAAGGUUAAGACAAGCAAGAUGGCUGUAAUGAUGAAUAAGAAAGUUGGGACUUUUUUUCAUGAUCUAAUCCUCUUAAAAAUCACCACUCCCUAAAAAAUCUCCAACUUUAUAUUUACAUCCUAAUUUUGCCUCGAACUUAAAAAAUUUCUAACUUUCACUUUAGUUUCAAUUCAACUUCACAUCCCAAAAUCACCACUAGUUUUUUUCUCAUGUCAUCAAUAUUUGAGGUUCUUGUCAUUCUGUAUGAAGGUGAGGGUGUGUAAGAAGACGUGAGUUCCGAUUUUAAACCUCUAACUAGCUUUAGUAUUGAAAAUUUCAAAGAAAAUAGUUACUUGUUUUGAACGUGGGAGCAAAUUUGGGACUACGGUGAAAUUUUGUGUGUGUGUGUGUGUGUUUUUUUUUUUUUUUUUUUUUUUUUUUUUUUUUUUUAAUAAAAGAAGUUUGGGCCAUGAUAAUUGGGGGUUUUCUAGAGAAUUAACCUCAUUUUUUUUCGUCAUGUUCUUAUUAUGGCCCAAUUUUUUUAUUUCAUAAGAAAACCACAAAUCAAUGGUACCCCAAUCCAGUAGUUUUUAUCCAAUGACGUUGUCCAAGAUUCGACCACCAUUCCAUGUGUACUUGGCAGAAUCUUAAUGAGGGUCAGAUGUGGGUGCCAAAUGAAAUUGGUAUUUCAUUAUGGGACUGAAAAAAUUUGGACUAAAAUUAGGCCACAAUUUGAAGUUAAUGUCUUUUUAUGAGAUAAAAUAUAUGGAUUAGGGCUUUGAUCCAAAGCCAUUAUUUCUCAAUAUUUUUCUACAAGAGAAGAAAUUGAGUCAACAUUGAGAUUCAAGGUAAAGUUGAUGCACUUCAACAUUGAGAUUCAAGGUAAAGUUGAUGCACUUUAAAAGGAGUUGCGCUUUUUACGGAUCAUGGCCCAGAGACUUUCCUGAAUCCGGGGUUGACCCGUCCACUUUAUCCCUGGGCUUGACAAGACAACUUCAAUUUAAAGGGAUUAUUUGGUUGCUUGUAGUUGAUAUGGGACAAGAAUAGUGUAGAUAGAGAGAAUUAUGGCUUACGCAUUCCAUAUUUUAGGUGCAUAAUUACAUUUACUACAUAAGUACGUAUACACCAAGAAAUACAUGUUUCAACCAGUUAAUAGCCACUUUAGUUAACUACUUACUAUGUUUUGCUUUUUAGCAGGUCGGAUUUCUUCUGACGUCAAAAAAGAGGGAAUUAUUUCCCUAAGUGGGAGGAAGAAGGGGUUCCUAAACCACAAUGAUCUGGUAAGCAUAUCAAAGUCCUUAGGCAUAAAGUUAGCUUUUGCUAUAUAUUAUUUGUCGGGGGCAGAUUUAAUAUAACAAAGUAAAAAAGAUUAAGAGACGAGUAUCUUGACUCUUGCGGAAGAUAAUUCUCUUUUUUUUUUUUCAGGAUUACUAUCAUUAAAAAUUUCGAAGUGGUAUUCCAUGACAUAUCUAUCCCAAAACAGUUUUUGUUUCCCACAAAACCCCAACUAUUCAUUUGAUUAACUAAAAGGAAACUUUAGUGCAGUAAUUCUUAGAUCAUCAUUGGAAAAACAAGAUUGCUUCCAUCAGCUCAAUCCUGGCAAUAGUUUCAGUUUGGCAUACUACUCUGACCAGUGACCUCUAAAAUGGUGCAUCACUAGGCCACUCUUCUGUCAAUUUUGUUUCAUGAAGCAUUCCUUUAGCCUUCAAAAGAUUAAAUCAUAUUUUCAACUUCCUCUAAUUCAAUCUAGUGGUUUAUGUGUAUCACUGGACGAUAUUCUUAUAAUAAAAAUUUGGCCAAAAAAAAAAGUCAAAAAAUUUGGCUGGUUGGGCCAUGUUUCUCCUUUCUAAAAUUUGAGCUUAUAAAUUGACAAAUAAAUUUAUAUCUAACGAUUGACAUUUCAAUCGGGGUCCCAUGCUUGCAUUUAGAUGUGAGAAUAAUUUUAGGAUUGAAUUGGGAAUUAGAGAACUGGAUCGAUCACUGAUUCGGUUCUAGGUUCCAAUGCACCCUAGUCCGGUUCCAUUUUUAGGAAUCGAUGGUUCCCGUGGGAACUGGGAAUUGAGAAUCAAACUGAUAACUGAGAAUCGAGAAAACCCUAAAGAGAGGCUUUUACUUUUUGCUAAUAAGAACUUAGAUGUGCUUAUAGAGGGGUUAUAUUCAUUUUUCUUGCAAUCAAUAACAAUCAAUGUGCAUGAGGUCGUCAGUAGUUGAAAUAAGGGUUACUCCUAGGAAGAGUUAUAAUUCUCUACUAUAGUCACUUAUAAAGUUCUAAUAAAGGAAUUAGACCGAGACUUAACAUAAAAGGUUUUCAAAUAUUAGCAGCUGGAUAAAGCGGCAAUAAUGUCAAAUAUUGCACUAAUUUUCCAAGACCAUUAGAUCUAUUCUAGUUUCAUUUCCUGAAAACAAACAUAUAACAAUUGUGUCUUAUUAUAAUUCAUAUCAUUCUAUGUUGUUCAUAGACUGAAUAAAUUACCCUACAUAGCAUUAUCUAGUGGGAAUAUGCAAUGGCGAGUAUCAUACUAUCACAAAAUUUCACAUGUUAUUCAACAUAUUCAAGGUACUUUUGUCGUGCCCAUUAAAACAAAAUUGGAAUCCAUGGACCUUUUGCUCUAUAAGACCAUAAAUAUGGUGAUUAGUUUGGUCAUGAUCUUCACUGGAUAUUGGCCAAAGCUUAUGUUAACACAUGUUAACAUGUACUUCGAUAAUGUAGAAUUUAAUUUCUCGCUUGGUUUAAUUAUAACACCUUCUACUUAUAUUCUAUUAUUGAUGUGUAUGUGUGAAAUUGACGUAUAUAACAUGUCAAUGGAGGUGGAAGGAUGUGAGGCAAUGAUUUUCAUUACGUGUGAGGGAUGUGGAUGAUUGAUGACUAAAAUUCAAUAACUUAGGUUUCAUGUUAUGUGUUUUGAACUUUUUAUUGUUUAUUUUAUUUUAACGUUCAUCUUUUAUAGAUAAUUUCUAUUGACAAAUGAAAAACGGUCAUUUUUGCUUUUGCAUUCACUAUCAUUUUGCUUCACUAAAACUGCCAAAAGAAAAGAAAAGAAAAGAAAAGAAAAGAAACAAAAAGGAACAUGUUAGANNNNNNNNNNNNNNNNNNNNNNNNNNNNNNNNNNNNNNNNNNNNNNNNNNNNNNNNNNNNNNNNNNNNNNNNNNNNNNNNNNNNNNNNNNNNNNNNNNNNNNNNNNNNNNNNNNNNNNNNNNNNNNNNNNNNNNNNNNNNNNNNNNNNNNNNNNNUCAUUUUGGCAUUUUUUCAGUCCUAUGUGACCCAAGAAAAUCUUUUCUUGGGUACUCUCACUGUCAAAGAGACAAUAGCUUACACAGCUCAUCUGAGGCUUUCUUCCGAAAUGACGAAAGCCGAGAUCGACGAGUUGGUAGAAGCAAACAUAAAGGAGAUGGGACUUGGAGACUGCGCAGAAAACAAGAUUGGUAACUGGCACUUGAGGGGCAUAAGCAGUGGAGAAAAGAAAAGACUCAGCAUCAGUCUUGAAAUGGUCACAGACCCGCUGAUCUUGCUCCUUGAUGAGCCUACCACAGGCUUAGACAGUGCCUCGGCUUUUUCCGUGGCAAGAGCUCUAAGAAAUAUUGCAGAUGAAGAAAGAAUAGUUAUUUGCUCAAUCCACCAGCCCAGCAGUGAAGUUUUCGAUCUUUUUGAUGAUUUACUCCUUCUGUCGAGUGGAGAAACUGUGUUUCUAGGAGAAGCCAAAAUGGCCAUUGAGGUAAUAAAGAGUCAACACUUCAUUCUUACUCAGACAUUUUGGCUGUGCAGAAGCAAGAUAAUGUAAUUUUAAGUCCUGGUGCAGUUCUUUGCAGAUGCUGGAUUUGCUUGUCCGAGGAGGAGAAAUCCCGCUGAUCACUUUCUACGGUGCAUUAGCUUGGACUUCGAUUCUGUAACUGCUACUAUUGCUUUCUAAUAGAAACUAUGUUGAGUUUUAAAUCGAGCACUUCUAUACUCUGCAUCAGUUCUUGUGAUAUGUAAAGUGACUUCCGAAUAUAAUUAUCAAGGCUUGCUAUUUUAUCUUGCAGCAACUCCAGCAUCAUCUGGUUUUUCAUGAACAUGAAACAGCAGAGAUUAAAGCCACACUCAUCCAAAGUUACAAUCCUCAAGUAUUCAUGCAAGUUAGGAAAAAAAUNNNNNNNNNNNNNNNNNNNNNNNNNNNNNNNNNNNNNNNNNNNNNNNNNNNNNNNNNNNNNNNNNNNNNNNNNNNNNNNNNNNNNNNNNNNNNNNNNNNNGAAAUUGCAGCUACUGUAAGCACUCCAACUCAGAAGAAAUAAAAAUCAAGAUAAUGCUUGUGCAGUCAUUUUUCCUGUCUUUCCUGCUUACCAUAGUUAAUGAACAAUGUCUCCAACUGUGAUUUUUGAAACUAAUGGAGUUACAUCUAUAUUGAAGUAGCAAUUUCCAUAACUGAUGUUGUCAAAAUUGAAUCUCCUGUUGAAUGCUGAAGGAUUAUCAGGUCUGCGAGUUGAAUAAGAAUACUAAUUCCAGCAAGUGGAAGCAGCUCAGGGUUUUGACUCAUCGGUCCUUCAUCAACAUGUAUAGGGACAUUGGAUACUCCUGGUUGAGGAUCAUGCUCUACAUUUUAUCAUCAAUAAGUGCUGGAACUCUAUAUUUUGACAUCGGAUACGACAAUGGGGCAAUUAUCAACAGAGGAAAGUUUGUUUCAUUCCUCUUCGGCCUCAUGGUAUGUUUGUCUUGUGGUGGUGUCCCUUUCUUCAAUGAAGAACUGAAGGUAUAGCAAAGGAUCAAGGCUGAUCGAUUUUCAGCUAUUAUAUAUCACCAGUAUCUUCUUACUUGAGGUGAUAUUAGAAUGAUUUGUUGUUAGGACUAGAACUAAGUUUCCUCUGCAGGACAGACAAGCUCCACCACGAUAGGUGUGAAGUUGCAUGUUGAAGCCUAAGACACUGUAAAUAACACAAAUCUAACUAAAGAACUUUUAGUUGAUGGCCUACUCCAACUCAUAGUCACAGAGGAAUGUGAGUAUUGCACAAUCAAUUGGAGAGAUUAAAGCUAAAUCAACUAACUUUUUUCAAGGGAUGCUUAAGAUUAUUCAUAUGGGAUCAAUCUCAUCAUCAAAGCAAGAAUAUACAUUAAUUACAUAAAAAAGGAGAAAUCUCGACAGCGUAUGACAUCCUUUUCUUGUGUAUCUCAGGUUUUUUAUGCCGAGAGACUCAAUGGACAUUAUGGCGAGACCCUGUUUGUGCCUGCGAAUUUCCUUUCUUCGCUCCCUUUCUCGGUGGCGAAUUCUCUGCUUUCAGGAACAACGAUAUUCUACAUGGUGAAGCUUCAUCCAGGACUCUCUCACUAUGGUUAUUUCUGCAUUAACUUCUUCUGCUGCACCACCAUUAUUGAGAGUUGCAUGAUGGUUGUGAACUCAUUUGUCCCCAACGCCUCGAUGGCUGUAGUAAUUGGAAUUAGUGUCAACGUAAGCAAAUUUUCUCUCUUAAACUUCCCUUAAAUUACGUUGUCAUUCAUAGCUAAUUUUUGUGGAUUCAGGUUCUAAUGAUGAUGGCAUCACAGAUCUUUAGACUUCUUGCUGAUCUUCCCAAGUUCUUUUGGCGGUACCCCAUGUCCUACAUCAGUUUUGCCAAGUGGGCAGUUGAGGUAGUUAGUAUAUAGUGAUUAGCUAUUUUUUUCCUAAAUCAAGCUUGAAAAUUUAUCAACAUAGUUAUGCAUAGAGCCAUGACAUGGAAGACAUUUAUCUUCAGUUUCAAUAAUAUCGUCUGCCUAGUAAAACAAAACCAGGAGCAUGCGCUACUACUUGCAUUGCAUAUUUAAACUCAUUGAAGUUAAAAUUCUCAUCUUCCGCCUAAGGUACAUUUAUGAGAAGGAAAUCUCAAACAACAUAAAUUAAGUAAGAUGCCUUUUAUUUUGAUGUGAAGAAAUGGGUUGAAUGGUCAGACAAUCCCGCCACUCCCUUCUUCCUUUUCGGAUCGUUGACCUGCUCUUCCAUAUGCUAGAGGUUAGGUUAACCGAUGUAAUAAUGUAAUACUAUGAAAAUUCUGUUAUCAAUCUCUUUCAUAGAUUGAUCAAAACACCACCAGGCUUCACCACAUGUUUCACUCCGUCUCUUUACUCAAGCUAGAGCUUCAGAUAAUCAAGGCUUCUCAGAAGUAGUUCUGCGACUAGCCAUGGCAGUCAACAAUACAAGCAUAUGAUUUGGAUCAGUGACUUCGAGUUCUCCCAAAUAUCUCAUGAAUUACAAGUCACUCAUACAAAUCAUUCACACGCCUUGCAGGGUCAAUACAAGAAUGUCAUGACCGGUCUUGAGUUUGAUUCAGCAGAGCCAGGAGAACCACAACUGAAAGGCGAGAUGAUCCUCAAAACAACUUUCGGCAUAUCACUGGAUCAUUCCAAGUGGUGGGAUGUAGCUGUGCUUCUGUUUCAACUGUUUGUUUACAAAGUACUGCUCUUGUUAGUGCUUAGGUACAAGAAGAGAAUAGCGCCCCAGUUAUGGUUGUCGUCACAAGAGUUACUCAGGGUGUCUUGACAGAUGAUUUCGGUGCCAAAUAGCAGCUAGCAUCCCUUAUGUUUCCAGAACAUACUUACUUUAUCGGCAACUAAUGCACCAUGGUUAUGUAAACGAUGCAUAUAUCUCUAGUUGUCGCAAGUUCUAAAUGCAAUUCAACUUUUUCACUUCAAUGUUAUGACUAAUUUGAUAUUGGUAUACGUAAUGUGACAAAAUUUAGACCUAAUGCUCGGCCUGAGGUCCACCCCUUCCUCUUUGUAAUUAAUGUAGAUUAUAAACCUCUUACAAAGCACAAAAAUUGGACAUACGGCAUUGGACAGACGGCCCGUUUAGUGCCUCUCUCUCUCUCUCUCUCUCUCUCUCUCUCUCUCUCUCCUACAAGCUACUGCGAGAUUCGAUCUAGUGGAUAAUAAAGUACAUUGAUUACAAGCAAAACAUAUGUCACGCAAUGAGUUACAACUUAUAUUGAAAAUAAAGAUUAAGCAAUUCAAGGGUUGUACAAGAGUCAGAUAUAGCUUGCACUCAUUUCCAAAAGCGAAAGGGCCAAAUAUGUAAAAGCCAAGAAAGUGUACUUGUCCUCGAAUGCCCAACUUUUGAGGCGCCCAGGAUAAACAAAAUCAUCGUGACUUUAAGAUGCUUUGCAAGAAAAACCGGUAUCCUCAUCCUUCCUACUUAUUUCUUCUGUUUUUUCCGCACAGCAUUAUUGCCAUUGCGUGCUCUGGAAGCUUUAUGAUUUCUCAUUGAGGUUUCCAUGCUCAUGCUACCUUUUAGUUCCAUCUUUCUCUUUUCCCCGCUUUUAAGUUUGUGAAAGGUCCUCUUCCUUUUCUUUACAGAUUCGUUGGAUUGAAUCUUAGAAAAUUUCCCAGAAGCCAAAUCACCAUUCUUUUUAGAACCUUCUAAUCUGCCAUCAGCAGUAAGAGAAGUUUCAUAUUCUCCUGAGUGGGGGGAGCCAUCUUUGUUCUUCAAUCUCCUUUUCUAUCCUCGUUCCCCGACAUCUUUCCGAUUUGCGGAAGCUUCCUUGUUCUCUAUCCUGCCUUCAUUUGAGGUUUUGUUUCACUGAUUCUAAAAGGUCAAACAUGCGAUCAUUUUACAAAACAAUAUUACGACCUCCAGAAAUCAUGCACUGCUAAAUAAUAUUUCUGUAGGAUACACAUCCAAGCGUUGUUGAAUUCAUUACCUCCAUAACUGUCUUAAGAAAACCCUUGUACUUUUCUGGGGUAACAAGCUGAACAGCAGCAAAACCACACUUCCUAGUCAUUAUCUCAAGAAUGACCGUGACCUGCAAAAAAGAGGCCCUUGGAAGGAUGUGUGCAUGGAAUUAUCACAAAAAAACUCAGCAAACUCCCAGUAAAUUUCACAUGCCUUUGAUCUGAAGUGAUGCCUGGAGACAGAUGACCAUGAAAUAACACCAUCAACAAUGUCUGAAAGUAAACUCUGAAGGUCUUCAUUCCGUAAGCAAGACACUACUACUUUCACAAAACCUAGAACAGCCUGCAAAAUGUGUACGAAGUAACUCUCAAGCCAUGCCAAUUGGGGCAAGAAUCUACUUUGGUAAUGGUAUACUCACUUUUAUCACUUCCACCGCUUUGCUUUGUAGCAGAGAAAGAACAGAAGGAAUAAGAUCAGGAAUUGAUAGACAGAUAUCUGUAUCCUUGUAAACUAGUACGGACAAUGCAGAAACAGCUCCACUUGUAAUUUGAGGUGAUGAACCAGAAAGAUAGCCCACUAUCUGAAAGCACGUUAUUUAGAAUAAAAAAACUAUUACUUGAAUAAAAUUACAAUCCCGAGUAUUGCAAUUGUCCAGUAAUAAAUCACUGUUAAGAACUACAAGCAGAAAGGAAAAUUGCAGAUUAGGUUAGACAAUUUCUACAUAAGUAUGCUCUCCCGAUCAUCUGACAGAAAGUCCUGUAAGCAAAUAAAAUUCCCCGAUGUUCACAAGACACUUAAAGUGUUCAUCUGUGCAGUGCAUAUAAAACUUCUUUGGGCAACCAUUUACACGAGGAACCCAAGCUUUAAUAAUAACACAUGAGAAAGGGACUCCACUACCCCUUGAUUAACCAAUUUGGCUUCUUAAAAUUUCUCAACUUUUCAUCGGAUGAAACAAAUGCAAAAUUUCGAUUGAAUAGCCUUAGGGGCCAACAAGGCAUCCACAAGAUACAGACCACAUGAUUUUAAAUUUUGCCACUUGUAUUUCGGUUCUUCGUUUUUCUACUGGUUAGAGGGCAUUAAUCAUCUUCUCCUCUGGCUGCAACUGCAAAGCCUAAUCCCUUGGCAGAAGCAGCUAGACAUGAAUAAAUGAAGGAAUAUGCCGUGACUCAACCAUACUGCAGCCAUGAAAUUAGCUUUAUUCUUUUAGAAGAGAAAUAUGUUUUAAGGCCUCUGAAUCAAUUCGUAGCCAUACCAGGCUUACAAUCUUCAAAUACAAUGCACAUACUUAUAAAGAUUUUAACCAAUACCAGGAAGCAGUAUACACAAGACCAUGAGGACUUCAGUCCACUGUUUCCCAAUUUUGCAGGAACAACAACAUGGCCAAAGAAGAGGAAUUUAAAUAAACUACAUUCUCCUUCAACUUUUCCCCCAUCUAUGGAUGUUACGUGAGGCAGAGCAGAAACCCAAUUAUUUACAACACGAAAGCCCCUCCAGAUGACAAUUUACAUAGGAUCAACCAUUGUAAAAUACGUACUUCAGACAAGAUAGAAGGAACUGCUUCAACCUCUUCCAUUGUUGUUACUUUCAACUCCCUAUGCCUCAUGUACCCAUUCUUUUAAAGUUCUAUUUUUGUUUUCCUUGCAUGUUCCUGAUGUUCUAGAAUGUAUGUAGUAUCAAACAUGUCUUAAAAUAUAAGCAGUAAUUUCCACCAAAGCUACACAAAUAUGUCCCAUAAUGAAGAAUACCGUACCAUGUUAAUCAGUUUCUGACAAGGUGCAACUGAACUAACAGGCGAAAUGCUUCUCAAGCUGGAACAUAUGUUGAUGAGAACAUCAUAAGCUUCCUUCCUAGAUUCCUCCUUAGCCUGCAAAUUUCAUGUCACAACAGUGAUUAGUGCUGAAAGUAGAUCAUCACCCCCACACUGUAAAGGAGGUUCUUACAUCCUUUAAGACAAGUAUAAUCUCAUUGAGGAUGAAAAAAGCUUUUGAAUCUUCUUUCUCCUCCUCCUCCUCCUCCUCCUCCUGCUGCUCCUCCACAGAGUUUAUCUGCAUGAAGAAUCAACUUGACAUGUCAAAUAGAACAGCAUAUGACAUCAACAAUAGACGUGCUUAUAUUACUUAAUUUUGAGCUACAAUUGCAAAUGCACCAUAACCAAAAACUUAAGAAUCCGUUUGCAAGAAGUACAUAUAUGAUUCCUUCCAUGUUGAGACACAGCCCAAAAGAAAAAAGAAGUUUUUGGCCUUAAAAGCGGAAAAGCCAUUCAUGGCAUUCAAUAUUAUUUUAACGAAUUAAAGGGAAGAUGGGUGAAUGAUGAUAGUAGGAUCAGGUUAUUAGAAAUUUAAAAAAUUGUGAGAUUGGCGAAAACUGAUCUGUUAGGUUCUUUAAGCAAAAUACCACUUAUAUAAUCAUUUUUAAUUUUUUUAAUUUCCACAAAGUUCAAUAAAAAACAAAAGGGUGAUGAAAUACUCCAUGCUUAGCUCUGUACAAGAACCUGUUAGCCAUCCAUACAUUAGGAGUUUGGAAAAGUGAAAAGUUUAAGAGUCUUCAUAUUCACAAAUACAGGCGUUACACCUGCUGUGAGGAUGAAAUUCGAAUUUCCUCUAGGAAGGGAAAGGCCUGCUCUUAGAUCAAGUCUUAAUGUCAAAUUUCCAAAGGCAAACUUCAACUGAAGGAGAUCCAUUAAACAUUUUAAGAAAUUCCUUAGAGAUGGAGGGAAUUGCCCAAGUAGGAGACCAUGCGAAUAUAUUGUGGGGCCAGAACAAAAAAUGGAAUAGUAUUUAAUUUAAGGAUUGUGAUAUAGCUGCUCACCUGCAGCAUACAAUCUAGGCAACAGAAAUAGAACAAAAGCCAAACUCAAAGAACUGCUAAAAUAACUGUUCUAGCACAUCAAGAAUAUAAAACCAUGAAACACGAGGAGAAAUUUAUUAUGAAGAACAAAUGCAAUUUCUUCUUGAAUAAAUGUUGUAUACUUUGCUUUUCGGUGGGACUAAUCUUGAGCUGUUUUCACAACACAGGAUUAAGACAUUUCUUAAAGGCUCAUUGCACUCUUAUUCCAAGACAACCAGCCCAGGACACAGCUCAUAUUCAGUUUAUGAAAAGAACAAGAAAUGGCUUCUAUUUACGUCAAAACGUGAUAUAUACACCAAAAAUGAAGGACAUAAAAUUCUGCACUUUUUUCACAAGAAUAGUAGACACCAAACAUACAAAAGAAAACAAGUACUGCAUUGCCACAAGAAACAUUCUGACCUUUAAUGCAUGAACUAUCAGAACAUGGAAACAGGCAAAGCGGCUUCUCAGAGUUGCAAUAUCAGAUGGAGUCCUUAGGCCAAUUAGUAAAUCAAUCAACUGCGAAUAUUGAGAUGAACAAAACCAGGGAUGCACCUGCAUAAUAGAAAUGACAGAAAAACAAUCACUUCCAGUAAGAAUAUGUCUUGAAUGGAGAUACCACACAAACAUACCUCCAAAAUUUUGCUCAAAGCAUUAUAGGCUUCAGCAUGGCCAUGGUCAUUGCUUUCCUUGUGGAAGAAAAUUCAUGAAUGAUUUAGGCUAUAGAAAUCACUAAACUCAUCCAUUAAGUCAAGAAAACAAAGCUACUAUUCUUAAAGUCAAUGCACACCUGAAAAGUGUCCUACUAUUUUUUUUUUUUUUUUUCUGAGGGUUGUGAGGACCUUGCAUAGAACAUGACAGGAGUGGAUUUAUUAUUGGAUGCAUCCUCAUGAUGUUACUGUACUUGCAUAGAACAUGACAGAUGACAAAAUGUCAUCAAGAAGAGGAAACAGCAGUGCCCAAUUUCCAUAACAUGGUAGCUCAAAAUUUUGCUAGCAGAAUAUAGAAUCUAUGCAUACGGACGCAACCUAGUAAUCUCUGCAAUUGCUAACAGUAGAAAAAAGUUCUGGAUGCUCACAAAUAGAAUUGGUCUGUCGAUAAUCAAACAUCUGUUACAAUAAAUUGUCAAAUGUGACCUAAAGGACCCCUCCUUUAUCAAGUGUUUCAUCAGCAGUCAAGUGUAUAUGCGUAUGUGAACAUAUAUGAAUCUGUCAUUUUAAUCAUUAAUAUAGCUUGCUAACAAUUCUAUCCACAAGCAUUCUAUCUCCAUUGCCUUUUAGCAUUUACAUCAAUGGCAUGCUCAUUUCCUAGUUCUUUGUCCGUUGAUGCAUCCAUUUCAUCUCUUCCCCUCUCGAACUCAUCUCUCUUAUUUAGAAUGCCAAAUCUUUUGAGAAAUGACAAAAAUAUCUCUGGUUGCAGAAGAAUCCGUGAUAGAAGCUAAGCAACCAAUAGGAUCCUGAGAAAUUAAAACUGAGCAUGAUAAUCUAACUCAUAUAAUGUAUGUCAAUUACUAACCAAUGGGAAAAGUAAAAGGUAAUCCGUGAGCAUUGACUGAAUAUAUAUCUCAGAGUUAAAGUUCUUUAAGACGGCUACUCAAUACAGCUUCCUUUUGCUAAUUCAAUGCAAUCCACAGGACUCAAUCCUCUCUUUCAAAAAAUUCAUUCGCAAAAUUAUUGAACUCUUUAUAGCGCCCAGAAGUUUGAUCCAAUUAACAAAGCAUCCACAAAGUUCUAUAACUCACAUGCAUGACGAUCCCUUCCACAAUGACCAACCUAAUCAAUCUGACGGAAUCUAGUACUUCAAAGUAUUUUGGUGUUCUAUGGUGAGUUCAGGGAGGGUAGACACUUGGUACACAACAUUGAUGCCACUUCACUUCUCAUAGCUUUAAUUCUUUUUAACUUUUCCUUUGAGGUUUUCUAAUAACAAGUACGCAAUCCAUUGUUUCAAUGCCAACCCAACCUCACAUAACUUUGACCUUUUUUUUUCCUUUUUUUUUUUUUUGGUCCAUUUCUAAAGAAUAAUUUGUUGUCAGUAAGAAUAUAAUAAAAAAACCAUAAAAAUUCUAGCUUAUGCAUGGCUAUCAUGCUUCUAACAUAUUUUUUUUUUGGUAAAUGGUAAUAAUAUAUUGAGCUUUAAACCAACAAUAUACACAAGAUCCGGCGCCACAAAACUUAUCUAACAUAUGUUUUUUUUUUUUUGUGAAAGUAAGUGAUAUAUUAGGAAAAAGUCAAACUGUACAACCCAUCGGCUUCAAAAACUUACACUCAAGAUGGACAUGCCCAUUAUGAGUGGAAGGAAGCUGAGGAAAAAACCAAGGGGCAGCCGAGAACGGCCAAAAAACUUAUCUAACAUAUGUUUCUACCACACAAAAGCAAUACCAUUAUUUUCCUUCACCAUUUUACAUUAAAAUAUAAAAUUACAACCAACAAAUAUAGAAAAAUAACUAAUCAAGUAAAAUAAUAUUAUCUAAUCCAAAUUUUAAUGAUAUGAACUUGUUUUUGUGCAUGUUAACACAAAUUUCAACUUGCUUAUAAUAUUUUACAAAUUUAAAAGAAAAGGACAUGAAAAAGUUCAAGUUGAAUCUUAAAUUGACAGUCAAAAUUAUAUUUUCUCAAAUCAGUUCAACUAUAGCUUCCUGAAGUGACAGGACCACAUGUCCUAUAGAAUCACCCUAAUUUAUCAUGCCAAAAAAAGUUGCAUUAGCCUCUUUAUACCAACCAAACUUACUUUCAAUAGUCAUGGAAUGUUGCAUUAUUUCAAAGCUACUCGGCCGAUUCUCCACCUAAUGCUUUUCUCCAUAUAUAUAAUUUUUCAUCUGAAGAUUCGAUAUUGUCAAUGACAUGAGAAAAGGAAAGACGAUCAUGCCAAGUAGAGGAUUCCAAGUAAGUUGUAUAAUUUUAGGAUCACUGCAUCUUGAAUUCACACUUCAUUCUAGGAGUCAAAGGUAUAUAACUAUUCCGACAGUGAAGGUUUUUUUUUUUUUUUUUUGGUGAACGGUAAUUGUAUUAAGCUUAGCCAAAAUGUACAAGCAAAUGGCAUCAGAGCUUACACUCAAAACAAACAUGGCAUAAUGAGUGGAAGGGUGCCGAAAUAAAGGAAAAGCCAACAAGGCAAAAGCUAGAAGGUGCAGUCAGCACAACGACAGCCACAUCCUAAAGAAUGACCAAAACAAAAGAAGGUUACCAGCUAGCAAAACAAUGGCAACCCAAGUCCAAAACCCAACACAAAAACAAUAGAGCCCAGCACGGCAACCAAGAACAAGGCAGGACGCAGCCAGGAGAAGAGAAGAAUCCCAUGCGGCAGACACUCCGCAGUAGGACUCCUAAGGAACCACCGAGGAUGAAUGAAAGAUGCAAGGGUCAAUCCCCCAGCUACAUUGAAGUCUUCUGUUUCAUGGAUUGUCCUCCACAUUUGUAAAAGUCAAGGCCUUAUCCUUGACCACCUUAAUGAGGUGAUUCUUCACUGCCUGGACCGUGAAGGUAAGGUUCCUGGAAAGGAUCUCAUUCCUAUAAUUCCAACAGUGAAGGUUUUUCUCUUAAUUUUCUGAUUUUUCAAAGGGUGCUGUUGUCUGGUGGGGCACACUUGGGAACUAUUCUCUCAUGCAAAGCAGGGAUGGAACAAUACUUUUCCCAUAGGGCAGGGAAUGGGAACAAAAUUCCUGGCCUGCUCCUCCCAAUGGCAGCCACUAGUGCGUGCAAUUCAAAAAGUGCCUUGAAUGAUGCAAUUGGAAGUAUUAAUUGUACUUAAGGAAAAUUUACACGUCAAAAGGGCUGGAGGGAGGCCUAAAAACACAACAGAAACUUCUAGCUAGAAUCCCAAAAUGUUUUAAGCUUCCAUAGGAUAUCAAAUAGCACAUAAUGACCUAAUAUAUGUCCAUGUAGCCAACCCCAUCUACGUGAACUGACUCCACAAUACUUUCUGCAGCACUUAUAAGAAUGAUGCGCCCACACUAGGAAGGAGAUUAGGCAGGUCUGAAUCUGACCAACCCAACAAUCAAAUUUAGCAUGUCAACUGCCUCAUACUAAACAGAAACCUUCGAAUUCCUCUCUACUUCUUCCAGCAAUUAACAUUGACAGAAAGAGCUCCUACUAGUUAUACUACUUUCAAUCUGGACAGGACUGAGGAGGAAGAUGGAGCUUGGAUUAUCAUAGAGUAUUAGUAUCCUAUUAUUAUCUUAUAGUGCACUGAGUCCUAUUAGCAUCUUUGAGAUGAGGCAUAUGCCUAAAAAAUUGGAGAAAAAGUUCAGACAACCAAAGUAAGUGGAAAAUUAUGAAUAUGAAAGGGGAGAGGAGAAAACAAUUGUGCAAUAACUAGUAAGAAAUUUAGUAUAGAGCCAAAAAAGACUUUAGUGAUUGAGGGAGAACCUUCAAGUAUGACCUUGUCGCAGGAAUGGAAUCGACAAAUAAGUCCAAUAAAAGUUGAAGCAACUCAGUAGAGCAUGAACUUAAAAGCCUUGAUAUUUCUGCUUGCAGUUUUCUUCGAGUAAAUCGGUAGAGUUUGCAAUUCUAAUCCGGAUGCUUGCACAUUACAGGUGUCUAAAUCUUUAACUACUCUAGAGCUGAGUACACUUGUAUUCUGAUUCACAAGGAUCUGCAGAAUUAGAACAGUACUAUCAGGAGAUAUGAAAAUGGUAUAACAACCUCUUCCCAGCUAAAGAACAAGUGUGAGCCAAAUGUCACCAAUGUGGCAAGAAGAUCACCUUUAAAGCAAGAGCCACACUUUCAUGCAUAAAAGAAUAUUUUUAAAGAAAAUCAGUCAAUAAUACUGCCAAACAUCUAAACUGUUUGUCUGUAUCACUUGAACCCCGGCAAAAGGCUGGUAACAGUUUCCAAAGGUCAUGAGCAUGACCCAGCAGCUCCUUACCAAGCACUGAUUUCUUAACUGGAGAAAAGAUAAACAGAAGCACAAUCACAUCCCCGAUGUCACUAAAAUGUUAAUGAUGAACUGAACAAAACUCAAAUCAAGUAAUGCUGAUUAAGGACUCCACUACAUACAUGAACAAUCGGCAUUCAACCAAAGCUCACACUAAAAAAUAUGCAUCAAGGAAGGAAAAGUUAAUGUCACAGAGGCAGAUGAAAGAAUAAAAUUGCAUAAACAACAAUAUUUUGCUCCCCAGACCUGUCCCUCCUAUCAAAUAUCUACAGAACGCAAAAAAACAUACCUUGAGAUGAACAAUUGCGAUAAGAAAAUAUUUAUAUGCAUAAUUCAAUGGGUAUCAUAAGCCAAGUAAGGAGAGGUCAACGCUUUGGGAUGGUAUCUAUCAAAUGGGAUCAACAUAUAUAAUAAUAAAAAAAAAAUCAAGAAGUUGACAGUUCUGUUAUAACGUUUCAGGCAAGCUUUCAGCACAGCUUACAAGCAGGUUGAAUUACCCAGCUUGAUAAGUCUAUGGAGACUCUUAUUGAAGACUAAAGCUCCUUCUAGCAUAGCUUGUGAACAUGCAAAAAUGAUCUCUCGUGAUGAUGAUCUCUUGCGAGGAGUUUAUGAUGGACAAAAAAGUUUUUGUAUUGAGUUUUGGUUAAACGCACGAAACUUUGUGCACUUAUUCCUUAUAAAAUGUGUCUCCUGUCAAAGAACAUUUAGUGGUGCCUUUGCAAAAAGCAGGACUUUUACCCUGCUUAAACUGAUUUGAAUCUGAAUACGGAUUUAAAGAUGGAGAUUCUAGGUUGCUUUUAAUUGAUAACUCAUAAGUUAUGCACAACCAGUGGUGAAUCUGUGCCAAACAGCCAAGGAUCUCCACACUUAUUAUGACGUCAAAUAUGAUAUCUGAAAAAUGAAAAUCACGGAAACAAAAGUCAUGUAGAAUGAUGACAUACCUCCAGAACUAGCACGCUUGAAAGAUUUUGCGAGGGGCACAAUAUAAUCCAUGUAAUACUCAAGUGAUGAACCAACCACAUAAUCUCUUAGAAUGGGCACCAACCAAACAUUACUAGAACUAAAAUUGUCAGGAUGCAGUGAAAUAGGCACAACAGAAAGCAUCUUUUCUGGGCCCAUAGCAAUUACAGCAGAACCAAUACAUCUCUGAAGCUGUGAAUCACAGUAAAUUAAACAAUGAUGAGUUACCAUUCAAACAAUCUUCAAACUACACAAGUAUUACUUUUAUAAAGCUAGACAGUCAAUUAUUUGUUUCAUCAGAUAAUGGCAAAGUACUAUGCUCAAAGCUCUGUUAACUUGUCAUCUACCCAAUUUAGUAAAAGAAACUUUUGUUAAUCCUUAUAUGUAAGUAAAAAAAAAAAAAACCUGCUGUUAACGCUCCAAUCAACAAUUCAAUCUAGCUCUAACAAAAUUCAUGACGACAAGCCGAUUUGGAGUUUGCUAUGAACCCCAUCUUCUUCUUUGCACACUUCAACAGGAUAAACAUAUGAAGCAAAGAUGACUUGAAAAAUCAAAUUUUGGAGAGCAAGAUCAAGUAAUAGCCUUUACAUCAUUCUCUUGAAAAUCAAUUUCGAGAUCAAGACAAAUCAAUUCCCUUUAAAUCAUUCUCUUUUUCCUUUAUACAUAAAAUUAAAUCAAUAACAAAGGGGGUGCAAACCCAAGUACCAAAGGAGAUCAAGAACCAAAAAAAAAGCUCAAUUCAUCGAUAAUGACAAUAAAUGCAUCUACAUCGACAUGCAUUAUUUCAAGUCGCAUUUCCACUUCCAUAAGAACAUUGACAAAAAACAAGGACAAAAAAAAGUCUUUUAAUUGAGAAAUCUGCUCAAAAUAACGACAGGAAUAGUAAUUCAAGAAAUGAUUAGAGCAUGAACCCUACUUAUUAAAAUCAGCAAAAACAAAAUCAAGAGAAGAUUAAGAUAUUUGAAUUGUCCCUUAUUCCAUUCUUUUCCAAACUCACCAUUUAAGGCAAAGAGUAGGAGCAUUUUGGGCUGAUUUGAAAUGUAGAGGAGUAUGGGAAAACAUGACAUGAUUGUAGAACCAAGAUCGCAAAAUUAGCUAAGAAACUACCAAAACAAAGCAGUCAAAGCACCUCCUGCCCCAAGAAAGUUAAGAAGCAUACCUGCUAGAGACUCCCAAACUACAGGAAGGUUCUUAAUCCACAAACUUGAUCCUCCAGUGUGGAAUUUAUUCAGAGCAACUCUUAACAAUUUUGCAGCAGUCAUGACAGUGUCCACCGAGUUCUCUUUUGAAGAAACAUAAGAAGCAAGAGAAGUGAUGACAUUUUCUAUCUCUUGAACAGUAUCUCCCACUGCUAGAGUUUCCAAUAAUGCCUCGAUGAUUUUAAGAAUCAGUGUUGUAAGCGCUGAGAACCCGAGACUGUCUAAUUCUGAAAGAAUCUGAAUGCUUACUUUGGCAGACAGAUACGGACAAACAGAUACCAGCACAUUAAGCAUAUGUAAGAAUCCUAUAUUCUCGGAUUUCAACAGUUUAUCAUCUGUAGAUCCAUCCUCAGGACUCGUAGUCCUUGACCAAUCUGCUGAAGAAAUGCAACUUUCAAAAGAAGACAGUACCAGCUUGCUUGCUUUCCUAACAACACUAGAGGACUUAAAGCAUUUAAAAACCUUUUCAAGACAUUCUUGCGCACAUCGCCGAACCUGAGAAAACAACAAAACAUAUCUUCAAUUGCUACUCAGUUCUUACGAUAUGCAAGAGAAUAGGAACGCAUUUCCACCUUUCAAAGCCCAAUUGCAAUCAACAAGGCCAUAAGGGGAAGAACACUGACCUAAAAAAGGUGAAAAUUACAUGUUGCAAAGUCUAACAAAAAAAAAAAAAAAAUUCCCAAAGAGCUUACAAGAGCAGAACUGGAUACGGCAAUGCAUGGUUUGCGACAAUAUACCUUAGGACGCUUGGCCAGGGAGAACUUUAAAAGCGUCUUUUACCCGAAUUUCACCGAAUCCCAAUCCUCCAAGUCGCAAAACCCAAGCAAAACCCCCAAACACUUCACCGCGGACCUCACGCGGGACACGGCCAGCUUCUCCUCCUCCCUCGGCAGCACCUCCGCCAACACCUCCGCCGCCUCCCUCGCCCUCGCGGGCGCGAUCCCCUGCGGCGGCACCGCGGGCAGGACGAUCACGAGGAACGACAUGAGCGCCGCGACCUCCGUGGAGUCCAGGGCCUGCAACGAGGACGUGGUCUCGACGGCGGACAUGGCGGCGCCGAAGUAAGAGGCGGGCGUGAGGGGGAGGGACUCGGCGUCGAGGAUGGCGCGCAUGGCGGCGACGGUGGCGAGGAGGUGGCGGUGCUGAGGGGCGGAGGAUUUGGCGUAGCGGUCCAUGAGCUGUUGGCAGACGUCGGCGCCGUCUCGCAGCGGUUCGUCGGCGCUAUCUGUUGAUCCUGUGGAAGCAACGAGGGUCGCUCUUCCUGUUUCCGUUGUCUGUGCUUUCUGUGGCUUCAUGGCGGCGGCGGGGGCGGCGGCUUCGAGCGCCGCCGUGCGGUGGCUUCUCCUGGCUGUGGAAUGUUUCGGGGUAAGAAAUUCGCCUUUGAUGCUUAAUCCAUGUUUUUUUAUAUUUUUACGAUAACUAAAACUCGGGGGGUCGUUAUUUUCUUCGCAUUUGAUCUAUAUUGCUUAGCAAAGAACAUUUUUUGGUUACAUUGAUUAGGUUUGCCUCGUCCGUAGUUCCUAUCAUGUAACUCAACUUUCAAGAAAAUACAAAAGGUUAAUCUCACAAAAAAUUUCAAAAUAUGCACAUUGUAACUCAAAUACUCCAAAUCUUUUUUUAUCACAAAAGAUCUUAAAUUUAAUUUUUUAUAACAUAUAUAUCCUAACCUUUUCUUAUGUCAUAAAAAACCUCGAAAUUAUAUUAAUGUAACAAAUGUAUAAUAAAUUGAACUGAAAUAGAAAACAUAUAUAUACAUGUUACACAUGUAAAAAUUUGGAUUUUUUCAUGAUACAAAAAAAAUUGAGAAAUUUGUAUUGCUAUGGACAAAUUUAGGGUUUUUGGUGACAUAAAAAAAAGUUAAAAGAUAUUUAUAUCACAAUAAAUGUAAUUUGUGGGCAAAUCAAAUUUAUGGAGCAAAAGUGGUACUUCUGAUCUUUUACUUUCAAUCAUUAUUAUUUUCUUGUUUUAUAAUUAAAAGGUGUUAAGAUUUCAACGGGAAGUUUUCCGUUUUCAAUUUCAUCUUAGGUAUGCUAAAGUAUUAUCAAAGGACUCUAGUGAUAUAAAAACAAACAAGUAAAAUGAACAUACGAAAAAAGGUUAUUAUUGUGAUAAGAAAUGAAAUCACAAGAUUCUUUUUGGAGGAAACAAAGCAUCACUUUUUAAUAGGAGUAUAUACGGGAACCGCACUGAAUCGGCUAGUUUUGAUUAUUCUCAAUUACAAAUUUUUGGAAUAGGAAUAAUCAGACAAAUUCUUAAUUUCAUAUGGGAAUCAAAUUGCUCGGACGAUAUAUAUAUUUUUUGGAAUUUCCCUCUUCUUUUAAAGAGUAAAGAAAAGGAAAUUGCCAAAAUCCUAAACUGAACCGGUCUAACCUAGGAAUUAAUCUAGUUUCCAAUUCUAAAGUGAAAUCGACCAAACUCGGGAAUCAAUCACCUUUCCUUUUUAAUGAUAUGCAAGAAAGGAUUAAAAAGGAUAGGAAACUUUAUAUUCUAUCGCAAAGUUGAUUAAAGUAGCCAAGAGAGAGGAAGAAAGGAAGGAAAAAUAGAGAGAAGAAGAGGAAGAAACAAAUCCUAAAAGCCAACAAGGGGUGCUUCAUUUCCAUGUUACCGAAACCGUAUGCCUAUUGCAAUAUAUUUACAUUGAAUAUAAAUUAUACAUUACCAUGAUGCCCUUAUAUACGUAAAAAGAAAUAAAACCUAUAAAAUAAAACCAACACCACUAAAGUAAUGUAACAGUCCCCUUUUUUUUUGGGUAAAAAGUAACGACUUCAUUGCAAUAACUAAACUAAGUUUGGAGAUAUUACAUUAAACGCAUCAGCACAUAGUAGAUCAAAUAGAGCAGGUGGGGGAUUUUCUAACCAAUUUAAUGGUAGAGAAUCGGUUCUACACGCUUUCACCAGCCAGUCCACGGGUUGGUUUGUGUCCCUGUUGCAAUGGGCCAAGGAGAUGGCCCGAUAUGCUUUCAUUUUUAUCUUGGCCCGGUCCACGACGGUCUUCGCAUCCCAACUGAAGUCUUCCGAAGUGUUGCAGCUGUUCACGAGUGGGAGGCAGUCAGACUGUACGUGGAGUUGAAGUUGAGUUCGGUCUGAGAAGAAAAUUAGGGUUUCGAGGAGGGCGAUUGCUUCCGCCUGUUCUGCCGAGGAUGCGGCCACUAAUUUCGCGAAGCCGUCGACCACCCGUCCCCUGAAGUCGUGACAGAUGCAGGCGAUUGCUCCUCUGUUUUCGCUUUCUCCCCUGUUUGCCCUAGUUUGUGAUUCGUAGUCGCUGCUUGGGAGGAAUGAAGCAUCUAUGUUGAUUUUCAACGAAUCUGGUAUUGGGGGCUGCCAUCUUUGAGGUAGGGUCUCUCUAUGUUGCUCCCCUUUCGUUUUUUUUGUUCCAAGUGGUGUAAUUCUCGUGCAAAGCCGCGGCCUUUAAGAGUGUUUGCUGUGGGUGCAGAGGGCGAUGGCCAAAUAUAAAAUGGUUUCGGUCUUUCCAGAUGCUCCAGAGGGUAACUACGAUGAGGUCAAACCUUUUUGCACUGGUUGGAUUGGUUUUUGCUAUGUACAACCAUUCGUCAAAUCUGGUUAGCUCUAUUCUUGACACUCUGAUUUGCAGGGGGCAACUUUCCAAAUCCGGGCCGUCCAGGAGCAUAGCAACACUCCCCUUAAACUAGAGCAUAUAGGUCACUCAUACCCAAUUUGGAACAACCAUUGACAAAGACAGGACAAAACAACACUUUAAUAAACAUAUCAACCAAUUAAUCUCUAGAGUCAAUAUAAAGAGUAGUGACCAACUUCUGCUUCACAAAGUGACGGUCAACUUCUAUAUACAUAGUUCGCUCAUGAAAAACAGGAUUCCCAACAAUAUAAAUAGUUGCCUAAUUAUCACACAUCAUAUCAUAAGUUGAUUAAUAAAAAGGAUUUCAACCACAAUAAUUUAGUCACAAUAUGUGCCAUAGUACAAUAUUAGGCCUCCACACUAGACUUAGGAAUAGUUGUCUAUUUGUUGCUUCGUAAUCAAAUUACCACCAAGAAAAGUGCAAUACCUAGUCAUGGAUCAGUGAUCACAUGCUAACCUAGCCCAAUCGGCAUUAGAAUAGCCAAUUAAAGUGAAAGAACCAUUAGGUGUGUAAAUCAGCCCCUUAUUAGGAGAGCCUUUAAAGUACCAGAGAUGCGAUAAACAGCAUCCCGACGAGCCUUCUUUGGUAACUUCUUUAAUUGACUCACCACACCAAUAACAAAGGAAAUAUCUAAAUGUGUAACAAUGAGAUAAAUUAACUAAUUAGCUUGAAUAUUUAGUCUGCGUGAAAUGCUAUGCAAGGAGAUGCCAAAAUGCCUAACUAAAAUGACAUGUAACAUGCAACGUAUAUUGCGAACUAUAUGUCACGACAUGAUCUAAUGACAAUGUAACUAUCCUAAUAUGUCACGCACUCAAAUGAUCCUAAGCAUGCUAUGACUAGAUGACGAAAUGACCUAAUUCUAAGUUACACACGCAUGAUAUUUUGUAUUUCUUCUUUUCCUUUUUUUAUAGAAUUCGAAAUUAAAAUUGCUUAAUAAUUGAACAUGCAAUUAAUGAAAAGAAAAUCUAACAUCUUUUUGGUGUUUUUAUUUCAAAAAUUCGGAAUAAAUAAAAUGCCUAAUCUAAAUAUGCAAAUUAUCCUAAAACAAGCAAUAUUCUAACAUAAACCUAAUCUAACUCAAAUAUAUAUAUAUAUAUAUAUAUAUAUUUUUUUUUUUCUUUUACGGAAAUAAAAUCAAUUCAAACAAUACGACGGCAAAUCAGGCAAGAUAUGAUUGAUAUCCACCAAAUAAAUUGAUAAACUCAUGAGAUCGGAUUGGCCAAUUUUAACAAAAUCUCGAGCAUAAGAUUGGAUUGGCGAUUUUUCCGUGCACUAAUAUUUCGGACGUGAAAUCAGACUAUCAAUCGUGUGCACGUUGUGAAAUUAGGAAGAUUUCUCAAUAUAUAAGGCUACUCGAGAUUACGGAUAUGAUAGCAUAUCGGGAAUUUCAAUUAUGUGCAUCGACGAAUAUUUCAAAUAAGAAAAAGGAAUUUUUGGAAAUCAAAAUAGAUAAGAUUUUCACCUAAUUUGAAUAUUGGCUUUCAAAUUCCGAUCCUCAAAUGGCUACUCGCGACGCAAUGUGGUGGUGCGCUCACAGGAUGGCUACUCGUCAAGGGGCUUUGCGUGCGGCUCCUUGAUGAUUGCUCGAUUCAAUGAUAUGUGCGUAAACCUCGAAAAGCAAUUUGCAAAACAAUAACUUUUGUUGUUGUAGCAAUAGCAAGGCUUACCCGGGAGACCUAGAGAACCACAAUGGGGAGAUGCUCCAAAUUUCAAUAAAAUAAGCGUGCGAAAUCCUCCCUCCUUUCAACGUAUACGUCCUCCUUUAUUGAAAGAACGUGUGCCCUUCUCUUGCCCAGAUUUUAGCGACUCGGAUGCUUGCUGAAUUUUGACCGAGCUCAAUCACCUCGCUGGAAUUCGUUGGCAACGCGAGUAUUGGUGCAAAUCGUCUGGGCGCGACGAAACAAACCCGAGGAUCGGGCUGAUUGGGAUGGGUGACAUGAGCAGUGGCUACUGGCGUUGGGGUAGCAACGAGGUCGUGGCCAGGAAACAACCAGCUCUGUUCACGGAUGCGGAGCAGCAGCGAUGGCGGCGUUCGGGUAAUAGUCGGAACAGCAACUACGAGGGGCGGAGUUGCAGUGACGUCAUCGAUGAAGGGGCUGCGGUGGCAUCGUCAAGCAGUCGAGUAAUAACUCAACAGGGUGGCAGCUCAUUGACAAUGUAUCGCAGACGAUGAAAGCACCGCGGCAGAAGUGUUGGCAUGGGUCUUGGCCAAGAAGAUUCGCGCUCUUUCCUCUCUCACGUCUCUCGCUCUCUCUUGUAUCAUUUAUAGUGAAACGGUGUAAACCAUCGAGGAAAGAAAGCAUAUUUUGUUUCCUUCUGUGCAUGCUUUGAAAUAUAUUCUAUUUCCUUUCCUCUUCCUCAUUGACCAAAUGCCUUCUUUUUUGCAGGGAUAUCUUUUUUUGCAAAUCCAUGUGCCCGUAGUGUAGAACGUGCCCAACAUUCCCUUCUCAUGCUGAUCUUCUGAAUUUCCAUAUGCUCGUAUCUUUCUACAUAGGGCCAUUCAUGAUGAAUAUUCUCUGCCGAUUUUAUUUCUUUAAGUUUUAACCCAAAUAUCAGUUCACAAAUUGAUCAAGUAUUGCCAAAAAUUCAAUAUUGCAAUAGACUUUUCCUAGAUUCCGAACCUUGCAAAGAUGAGCUCGCAAUAUCUCCUUCCUAUGCUUGUCCUUACCGAAUAUACGAAAGAUUCACCGAAUAUUGGAAGAAUAAUAUAAAUCUUUUCCAAAAAAUAUCGAAUUGCCAACUCGUAAAAUUGUAGCUCAUCCGCAGCCGAUCAAAUGCAAAAGUGAUAAACAAAUAGAUAAAUGUAACUAAAAUUAUAUGCCAUGCAAUUUUAAUUCUAUUUUUUAGCGGUUAAAAAUUAAUCCAUAAUUUUCUAUGCAAUAAAUGGAUGACCGGGUCGCCAAAAUUUAGGUGUCAAUAGUAGACUACGCCAUGACGUUGCUUCCUUAAAGAUGACCUUUUAAUUACUGUAUUUUUGGUCGAAAACCUUUUAAUUGCACCUUUUUUUUACUGUUGGCAUGGUGAUUUUUGAACUCGACAAGGACUGCCCAAUCAACCAUGCAACAAGGGGACAAUUUCUACGACGAGAAACGCGCAUGCAUGCAUUGACUAUGGGAGUCUCCGGAGACAAUCAUACAUUCUUGCCAACACUCAGAAUCCGAUCUCCACGAUUGGCAAUUUGCUUUUGCAUGGGAAAAUUGUACAAAAAAUUCUAAAUUUAUUACACUUUUAUCAAUUUAGUCCUAGAUCUUUUAAUUUGUAAAUUGAGUUCUAAACAUUUUUACUUUUUACCAAUUCAGCUAUAAACCUUUUCACUUUUUGCCAAUUAAACCAUCCGGCCAAUUUUGACGGGAAAUUACUAACAUGAAUAGCUGAUGCUGACGUGGUACUUUUUUAAUAAUAUUUUGAAUAUUUUAUGGUUUUUUUUUUUGCGACCUCACCCGUGGCUAGCAAGAGUUGGCCAGCAACUCUUGUCUGCCCUGGAUCCACAAACCCAAAAAUAAAGCAAAAGAAUUACAAAAAAAAAGAAGAGAAAAAAUCAUCUAGAAUGGAGUAGUGUCCAACUUUUCAUGUGAGAGCAAGAGUGAGAGCAAGUCAGAGACAAAGAGUGAUGUCUGAAAGUGAGAGAGAGAGAGAGAGAACCUCAUGUCUUCCUCCAAUGUAGGGAUAUUCCAUUUAGAAUGAAGUAGUAAAGCUUUUGUCCAACUCUUCUUACCUAAUCUUUUUCUUCUAGUGACAAUAGUCUUUUCUGUUGCUCUAAGUUUGCUAUGACCAUGUCUCAGAUUUAGAUUAUUAUACAGUUUAUUAAAGGCGGAGUCCAAAUUCCACGAUUCUUAGAAACUUCAGCAGCUCAUGAAGUUGUCCAAAAAAUAAUUAGAUUCACUUUUUUUGGGACAAAUCUUUUUUCCCCUCUUUCUUUUGACUUCAAUUGUAACAAAUUACUAUUCUUCUAAAAAAUAGUCAAGGGCUACGGCCACCAAGACCCGGUUAUGUGGAGGCCAAUGAAAUACCUUGCAAGUCCUACAAAUUGGUUAAGUCCAAUUCUCCGAGCAAGUCAGAGACAAGUUUGCGCGCCAUUGGUGGUAUCAUAUAUGUUGAACAUAAAUAAUGGAAAGAGUUAUCCUAUUAAAGUUGUUAAAAUAUAUAUAUAUAUAUAUAUAUAUAUAUAUAUAUAUAUAUAUAUGUACAUAUCAUAUAUGUCGAGUUUGGGAUCUAAUGUCAAUGGACUGAAUAUUAUCUUAAGACUUUUCAGGACAAUAACUGAAUUGUAUAGCUGUGGAAACUGAAAUAUUUGGCACCAUGGUCUAUCCCGUUCAUUAAUGGGUGCUUGUACAUUAGCAUAUCUAAGUCUCUAUCGAUGUUGACAGGUGUUUCACCAAGUCAACUAUACAACGCUCUUUUUUAGAUAAAAUUACCAAAGCAAGUUCUAAAUCGAUUGUAUAUGUAUCAAUUAAGUCGUAAUUUUUUCAAUUAUACCAAUUCAAUCCUAAAUUUUUUUACAAUUGCUGACAUAAUCCAUCCGGCCCUCACCUCUAGUCGGCCACGGUUACUAGCGGAGGAAGAAGGAAAAAGAAAAUGAAAGAAAAGAAAAUUAAAAAUUAAAAAAUGUGGAUUUUUUUAAAUUGCAAAAAUUAUCUACAUGAGCGCCAACUAUGCCACGUAAGAUGGCCAGUGGGCACGACCAAUAUUCAUAUCAACAAUUUCCUAUCAAAAUUAGCCAGUGAAUUUAAUUGAAAAUAUUUAGGACUCAAUUAAUAUAGUUGAAAAUUUUAUGAUUAAAUUGACACUAGUGCUAUAGAUUUAUGAUUUUUUAAAAAAAUAAAUUUUCCAUCUUUCUUGAGCUGCUCGUAGACUUGUCCACACACACACACACACACACACACACACAUAGACACAUACACACGAUUGUCUUUGUUUUUGGCUUCUAGAGAAGUCCAAUAAUUUUUAAACUCAAAUAUUUAAAAAAAAUAUAAAAAGAUUAUAUGAGAACUAUUGUGGCAAAUGAAAGGUUUCAAGUGCUUGUAAUUUUUUUAAAAAGUCUAAUUAUGUGCGUAAAUAUUGAAAGAAACUUUUAACUAUUUAAAUAGUCAUCGUCGAAAGAGGCUGAAAUUUUCCAAUUACAGGACGAGUCAUGGAAUCGUAGCAAGGAGGGGUUCUGUACUUUGACUUUGCUUUGGCCUAACAUGGCCUUUUUUCUCUCCGUUCCAUGUUAUAAACGUGGACACCAACCACAGAAAAAUCAAGGCACGUAAAACAAAACUUGACUUAGACCAAAUAAUAAUAGUUCCACGGACCACCUCAUGCACAAUACCUAAGCAAAACAUAAUCUUCUAUGCAUGUCUAAUCAAAUUAAUGUCGAGUUGUUAAGGGUUGUUUUAAUACUGUCAAUCAAUGCCGUUAUAUUCAACACGCAAGUUUCAGAGCUUUGAAAAUUCCAGGUUAACUUUAAGUAAUGGAUUCUAAGCAUGGAAUCUCGUCACUUACCUUGAAAUCUUCCUUGACUACAAGAAACCAUGUAAAUUGGAACAAUUUUCUGUUGUAUAUUUCAAUAGUCUUGAAAUUUCAAAAGCUAUUAUUUUUUUAACGAUUUUCAACUGUCAUCAAUUUGUAACCAUUUUUAUCUGCCAUUACUUUAUUACAGUUUUAUACUUCUAAUGGGGUUGGAGUAAAUCUCUUAAUUAGACAAAUAAGAAAAUAGUCAAAUCUCAAUCACCUCUCCUUUCGAGCUUCUAAUUAAAGAUAAAAGAUUUCUCAAGUCCUAAUUAGUCAACUGGACUAUUAGAGAUAUAUUUAAAAUAUUCUAUGAUUCUAUAUAUUAUUAUACGAUUCUAUAUAUUUCCUUUUAUUGGUCCUGAUUUGUUACCCUAUAAGUUAUUAUAUAAAGCCUAUAAAUAAGCUUGUGUAUUAUUUAUUUGAUGUUCUACAGAAUAUUACAUCUUUCAGUCAUUAUGAUUCUUAACUUGGAUGAAAAAAAAUCAACUCCUCAAAAGUAGAACCUCGUCAGUUUACUUGCCUAGCCGCCUGAAACGUUAUUAGUAGACUACACUAUGACGUCGCUUCCCUAAAGGUGAUUCAAUUAUUGACCUUUUAACUAAUGUUUUUUUUUUUUUUGGUUGAAAAUCUUUUAAUUGCACCUUUUUAUUAUUGUUGGCACGGUGAUUUUUUAACUCAACAAGGACUACAGUCAACCAUGCAACGAGGGGACAAUUUCUACGAUGAGAAACAUGCAUGCAUGCAUUGACUAUGGGAGUCUCUGGAGACAAUUAUUCAUUCCUACUGACACUAAGGACCCGACCUCCAUGAUUUGGCAAUUUGCUUUUGCAUUCAUAAUCUACAACACGGAAUUUAUGCUAAAGAGCUUAUUUGAAUUAUCAAUGUCCCUCUUUUCUUUGUGAUAGAAAACUUUCCAUGCGGAUGUUUUAUCGUGUUCAAAAGAAAUGUCAAUCUUUCAUAUCUACAUCAUGUUGCCAUGAAAGUCUUUACACAUUGCACUGCAAACGUAUCAGUACAUGCGUCAAUGCAGUUGAGAGUCGAUUCGGACACCAAUGAGAGUAAGUGCAGGCUAGGUUGAAGAUCUCCAUCAACCGGUGAAUGCAUCAAAUGCGGGAAAUGAUAACUCUAUAAAAAUAGAGUUAUUUUAUCUAUUUUAGGCAACAAUUAAUGCAAUAUCUAUGAGAAGAUAUUUGGAUUUCCUUCUGAUUAUUAGAAUUUUCCUUAUUUAUGCAGAAUAAUGAGAUAUGGAGAAAAUAAGAAAAAUAAUGCAAAUAUCAAGAAUUCAAAUAAAUAAAUAAAUAAAUAAAGCAAUUGAAGAUAAAUAUCAAAUCAGGAAAUUCUUGAUUUUAUUCCCUAAUGUUAUCUGCAAGCGUUGAGAGAUAGAUAGCUGGGAUUAUAUCUUUUGAAGAGGAGAACAUUAAGAGCCAAAGAGAAAGUAGCGAGUUAUAUAUCUUUUGUUUUUGAUCUUUCUGAGAAUUUUUCAAGUAUUUUGAAGAGAAAACAAAAGUGAUGACAUAAUUCUUGUUCUUUAAUUCAAGAUGCUGGGUUUGAUUUAUAUUUUUAUUUAUUCUUCUACUAUGUUCUAAUUUUCUUUUGUUAGGACUACGAUGUAGCCUAACCAUGAUGAUGUGAAAUUCAUGAUUUUUAUGUUUUACAAUUGAUUUCAUUUAUAUGAGUUAUAUAUUAUUGUGUUUAAUGUUUUUGAGUGACUAGCCAUCACUUGAAUGAUUUGAUGUGCAUGUUUGAGACUGAGAAGUGAAAAUAUACAAUUGCUCGUUAUAAUAUAUAACCAUAAAUUAAACAUGGAUAGAGAUAUACCGCGUUAUUUGUGUAGCUUUCGAUGAUAAGGUGAUCCAAAAGACACAUUGUAAGCCGAGAAUAUUCAUAGUUUUUAAUGCACUUAUGUUUAUUUUAAUUCACAUAGAGAUAUAGUAGAUUAAUAAUCUGAGUAGGUUUACUAUUGUUCUUGUAUCCAAAACAAUCUUAAAUUUAUAUCUAGUGGUUAUGGUGAAAUCGGAUGCUCUAACAUAUUUAUCUGAUCGAUUUAUUGCAUUUAGUCUACAAAUUUUGUUUUAAAUUUAUUAUUAAUUAUAUUUUGAUCUGUUAGAUAAAGUUUAGAAUUAGUCUAUUUUAGUAUUUAAUUGGUUUGUUAAUCAUCGAUCUCCAUGGGACGAUACUUUUUCUCAUCAUUAUAUUACUUGUUCGACACGUGCACUUACAUUUAGAAUUUUACGAACAAGUUUUUGGCACCGUUGCCGGGGAUCGUUUGUUUAAUACUAAUUAAUAUUGAUACCGGAUAAUUCUAAGUUUAAUCUAGUUUUUGUUUUGUUUUAUUAUUCAGGGUGUACAUCAGUUUAUGACACAUAGCCAACAGAGGAAACUUGUUGAGCUUGAUCCAAAAAUCGGGCGUACAUUCAAAAGGCGACUGAGAGAACAGAGAAAUCACGCUAAGAAGAUGGCAGACAGUGAGAAUGAAAAUCCACGUAAACUGUUAAGAGAUUAUGCCGCGCCAAUAGUUCAAGGUACCACAUCAAGUAUCAAAAGACCUGUAAUUCAAGCAAACAACUUUGAGAUCAAGCCGUUACGCAUUCAGAUGUUUCAACAAUCAGUGCAAUUUAGCGGGCUACCAAGCGAUGAUCCAAACACUCACAUCGAUGCUUUUCUUGAAAUCCGUGACACCAUUAAAUAUAAUGGAGUUACAAAUGAUGCUAUUAGAUUGAGAUUAUUUCCAUUCUCUCUUAGAGACAAAGCUAAGAGUUGGCUUUCUUCUCUUCCUGGAGGAUCAAUCACUACAUGGAAUGAUAUGGCUCAGAAAUUUCUUGGUAAGUUCUUUCCACCUGCAAAGUCUGUGAAGAUGCGUAACGAUAUUACUACUUUUAUGUAGAUGGAUAAUGAAUCAUUAUAUGAAGCAUGGGAAAGAUUCAAAGAAUUUCUUAGGGGAUGCCCACAUCACGGACUACCCAUAUUAAAGCAGGUAUAAACUUUUUAUAAUGGCUCUAGUACAAAUCUUCGUUCUAUGAUUGAUGCAGCUGCAGGAGGAACUCUAAAUAAUAAAACACCAGAAGAAGCCUACAAUUUAUUAGGGGAGAUGACAUCCAAUAGUUACCAGUGACCUACUGAGAGACUACCAAUACGAAAAGUUAGCAGAGUUCACGAAGUUGAUGCUUUUGCUACAAUUGUUGCACAAUUUGAAACACUCAACAAAAAGCUUGAUAAUAUGAGUGUUUCAGUCAUGAAAAUUCAGAAUUUGACAUGUGAUUUUUCUGGUGGAGGACAUGUUAGCAUAGAAUGUCAGGUAAAAUACUUUUAAAUAAUCUAAUGAAAAUUCUAACUUUGUUGGGAAUUUUAACAGGUCAUAGAAUAAUCCCUACUCCAAGUUCCAACACGUACAAUCCGGGAUGACACAAUCAUCCAAAUUUUUCAUGGAAUAAUCAGAAUGUGACGAGACCAUCGGGAUUCAAACAAUCAAAAAGAGACAAAGUCAAAUUUGGAAGAUAUAGUCACCAAACUUGCUUAUACGACUCAUGACUUCAUCAAAAGCACGGAUGUGAUAUUUCAAAAUCAAGAGGCGUCAAUCAGAAAUCUGGAAAUGCAAGCGGUCAGUUAGCAAGCAUAAUGUCAAGGAGACAACAAAGUUCUUUGCCGAGCAACACAGAGAAAAAUCCAAUUGAAAACAUAAAGGUUAUUACCCUGAGAAGUGGUAAACAAGUGGGAGAAGAAGAGAUUUGCAGAGACAAUGAAGAGGUGAUCAAUCAACAAUCAAAGGAGACAAGCAAGAGUAAACUUUUUCCAGAUAAUCCCAAGCCAUAUGUGCCGCCAAUUCCAUUCCCUCAGCGACUCCAACAGCACAAAAUAGAUAAGCAAUUUUCUAAACUUCUUAAUGUAUUUAAAAAAUUGCACAUUAACAUUCCUUUUGUAAAUGCCCUAGCGCAAAUGCCUAUGCAAAAUUUUUGAAGGAGAUUUUGGCAGACAAAAAAAAACUGGAGGGUUAUGAAACUGUGAAGUUAAAUGAGGAGUGUUCCUACAAAACAAAUUGCCUCCGAAAUUAAAAGAUCCAGGGAGUUUUACUAUUCCUUGCACUAUUGGGGAUUUGUACUUUGAAAAAGCAUUAUAUGAUUUAGGUGCAAGUAUUAAUUUGAUGUCUUAUUCAGUUUUUAAGAAAUUAGGGUUGGGUGAGGUAAAAGUAACCACAGUGUCACUUCAACUAGCUAAUCGAUCAAUAAAAUAUUCGAAAGGUAUUGUGGAAGAUGUUUUGGUAAAAGUUAACAAAUUUAUUUUUCCUAUAGAUUUCAUAGUUCUUGACAUGGAGGAAGAUUUUGAGGUACCACUCAUCUUAGGUCGACAUUUUCUAGCAACAGGAAGAGCUCUUAUUAAUGUACAACAAGGGAAGUUGAUUCUUAGAGUUCAAGAUGAUCUUGUUUCAUUUAAUGUUUUUAAAGCAAUGAAAUAUCCAUCUGAUGAUAAUUCUUGUUUUAGAGUUGAGAUAAUUGACAAGUUGGUGAAUAAAUUUUUUCAGGAAAAUAUUUUUAAAGAUUCACUUAAAGCAUGUCUGAUUCGACCAAGGGACAAAGAUAUUCAGAAUGAGGAGAUAAAGGAGUACGCAAAUUUCAUGGAGGCAAUUCCACCAUAUUCAAGGCAAAAGGCAAUUAAACUUUAGAAGUUGGGACAACACAUAACAAAGUCUAAACCAUCAACUGAAGAGCCUACAAUUCUUGAACUCAAACCCUUACAAUCUCAUUUGAAAUAUGCUUAUUUAGAUAGAGUUUCUUCUUUACUGGUAAUUAUAUAUUCUUCUUUAACAGAUUUGAUGGAGAAGAAAUUGCUCAGAGUAUUAAGAGAGCAUAAAGGUGCAAUUAGAUGGAAAAUAGUUGAUAUCAAGAGAGUUAAUCAUUCUAUUUGCAUGCACAAAAUUUUGAUGGAUGAGCAAUAUAAACCCACUAUCCAACCUCAAAGGCGUUUGAACCCGAAGAUGCAAGAAGUAGUGAAAGCUGAGGUAAUUAAGCUACUUAAUGCAGGUAUCAUCUAUCCUAUCUCUAAUAGUUCUUGGGUAAGUCCUGUACAAGUUGUGCCAAAAAAAGGUGGUAUGACUGUUCAGAAAAACGACAAGAAUGAACUGAUUCCAACUAGAACAGUUACUGGGUGAGUGUGUGUAUGGAUUAUAGAAAAUUGAAUGAUGCCACUGGAAAAGAUCACUUUCCUUUACCAUUUAUUGAUCACAUGUUAGAAAGACUUGCAGGGCAUAAGUUUUAUUGCUUUCUUGAUGAAUAUUCGGGGUAUAAUCAGAUUCCUAUUGCACUAGAAAAUCAAGAGAAAACUACUUUCACUUGUCCCUAUAGUACUUUUGCUUUUAGAAGAAUGCCGUUUGGUCUUUGUAAUGCACCAGCUACUUUUCAGAGAUGCAUGAUGGCUAUUUUUUCUAAUAUGGUUGAAAAAUAUAUUGAUAUUUUCAUGGAUGAUUUUUCCGUUUUUGACUUAUCAUUUGAUUCUUAUUUAAAUAAUUUGGCUUUGGUCUUACAAAGAUGUGAAGAGACUAACCUUGUUUUGAAUUGGGAGAAGUAUUACUUUAUGGUGCAGAAAGGAAUAGUGCUUGGGCAUAAAAUUUCUCAAAACGGAAUAGAAGUUGAUCGAGCCAAAGUGGAAGUCAUUGCGAAAUUGCUUCUGCCAACAUCUGUGAAACUUGUCAAAGGAUUUUUGGGGCAUGCAAGAUUUUAUAGACGGUUUAUAAAAGAUUUUUCAAAAAUUGCUAAACAUUUUUUCUAAUCUUUUGGAAAAAGAUACUCCUUUUAAUUUUUCUGUUGAAUGUAUGCAAGCUUUUAACACUUUAAAGAAGUUAAUUUCAGCACCAAUUAUGGCAGCACCAAAUUGGGAUUUACCCUUUGAACUGAUGUGUGAUGCUAGCGAUUCUGCAGUAGGAGCUGUUUUGGGACAAAGGAAGAAUAAAAUUUUUCAAACCAUAUACUAUGUCAAUCGAACUUUGUCAGGUACAUAGUUGAAUUAUUCAACAACAGAAAAGGAACUUCUGGUGGUAGUUUUUGCUUUUGAUAAAUUUCGUUCUUAUUUAAUUGGCUCAGUUAUAGUUUAUUAUGACUACUCUACUCUUAAGUAUUUGCUUGAAAAGAAAAAAUCAAAACCUAGAUUGAUCAGGUGGAUUCUAUUGCUGCAAGAAUUUGAUUUGAAAAUCAAAGAUAAGAAGGGGACUGAAAAUUUAAUUGCAGACCACUUAUCAAGAAUUCCAAAUUCAAAGGAAGAGAUAAGACCAAUUUUGGAAGAAUUCUCCGAUGAUAAAAAAUUUUCCAUCAAGUCCACAAAAAUUCUUUGGUAUGCUGACUUUGUAAAUUAUUUAGUACGUAAUGUUCUUCCUCCUAAAUUAUCAUAUCAAUAUAAGAAAAAUUCUUUUCUGAUGUUAAAAAUUAUUUUUGGGAAGAACUUUUCUUGUUUAAAGUAUGUGCAGACCAAAUCAUAAGGAGAUGUGUUCCAAAUGAAAAGAAGGCAAACAUUCUACAUCAUUGUCAUAAUGGAGAGGUAGGUGGCCAUUUUGGUGCAACCAAAAUUGCAGCUAAGAUUUUACAAUCUAAAUUUUAUUGGCCUGCACUUUUUAAAUAUGCAUACUCCUAUGUAGUUUCAUGUGAUAGGUGUCAGAGAACUGAAAAUAUUUCAAGAAAAAAUGAGAUGUCUUUAAACAACAUUAUUGUGUGUGAAUUAUUUGAUGUUUGGAGUAUUGAUUUCAUGGGACCCUUUACACCUUCUUAUGGAAAUUUAUACAUUUUAGUGGCUGUGGAGUAUGUGUCUAAGUGGGUAGAAACUGUAACAUUGCCAACUAAUAAUGCUAAGGUUGUGUUUAAAUUUUUGAAGAAAAAUAUUUUUACCCGAUUCGGCAUUCUAAGACAAUCAUAAGUGAUAGGGGGACACAUUUUUACAACAAACAGUUUGAAGCACUUUUAAGUAAGUAUGGAGUCACACAUAAGGUUGCAACCCCUUAUCAUCCUCAGAGUAGUGGUCAAGUAGAGAUUUCAAAUAGGGAAAUCAAGAGAAUUUUAGAAAAAACGAUGAAUGCUUCUAAGAAAGAUUGGUUAAUAAAACUUGAUGAUGCACUUUUGGCCAAUAGGAUAGCGUUCAAAACUCCAAUUGGAAUGUCUUCUUUUAGACUAGUGUUUGGGAAGGCUUGUCACUUACUAGUGGAAUUAGAGCAUAAAGAAUAUUGGGCAUUGAAAUUUUUGAAUUUUGAUAUGUAGUCUGCAGGUGAAGAAAGAUUAUUGCAACCUAAUGAAUUGGAGGAAUAAUCGAGAGUUUAAUUAUCAAGACAAAAGAUUAACUUUUCUUUAUUUUAUCCAGGUUAAUUUUUUAGGGGGCACAUUUCAAGAGUUUAAUCAUCAAGGUCAUCUAUGAACUUCUCCUACAAUCAGGAGAGUUUUCUUCAUCCUAUUUUUAUAUUUUGCAUUGAGGACACUGCUUCAUUCAACUUUAGGGGGGGAGACAAAUUUUUUUGAUAAUUUUUUUUAUCAUGAUUGCAUUCCUAGUUGUGAAUUUUUGCGAUUCUUAGGGAAAUUUAAAUUUUAUUUAAACUUGCAAUUGGUGUGUGAGUUAAUCUUAAUUCUAAUUAUGUUGAUCCACUUAAUGAGCACUAAAAGUCCUUAAUUUUUUAAUUGUGUGUAAAUUUAGAGAACAUUCAUGUGAAGUAUGUGAUUUUCUUGGAUUUUACCAAAAUCUUAGAAUUUGUUUGACUUUCUCUUGAGGCGAAAUCCUAAGCUAAAUCUAAUUGAGAAAAUGAUUUAGGCAAUUUUUGGAUCGAUUGAGCCUUUUAAGCUAACCUUAUUUAUUUAUCCCUAGUCACCCCGUUGAGCCUUAAUUAUUACCCAAUUUUUCAUUGGCACCCAUAUAUGUUUAGCUUAGCCGUUACCAAAUUAUAUCAUUGUCCCAUGCCCUAUGAACAUGUUGAUUUUCUUUUGGGAUUAAAAAAAAAACAAACUGUUUGAGCUUAAUAGAAAUUUAGGAGGAAUGAUGGAGUAUGAAAAAAAAAACAAAAAAAAAAUGAUUGCUAUGGUUGUUUGGGAUGUAUUAUUAAAAAAAAAAAUUGCUAUUAUGGUUCCCUAUCCAACUUUCAGUUGAGUGAGCCUUUUGGAUGUUCAAUGAGUUGGAAAUUUUCAUGUUAUAUUAGGAGGGAUUUUGGGAGAAACUCCACCAUAAAAAAAAAAAGAAUGAUGAUAUAUGGUGGCAGAAAAAUUAUUUUGAAUGAGUGAAAUUGGACAGUGACAUUGGCUCUAAUUAGAUCCUAGAAAUCAACAUAUUGAUGGGUGAUUUGAGCUUAAAAUUACCGUUAUCUCACCUUUAGCCCAGCCUUACAUUACAAAUCAAGAAAAGUCCUGUUGAUUUUUUGUUGAAGAAUUAGCCUACAUUAGUGGAGAGAGGAAUGAAAAAGCAAACUUAUGAGAUUUGGUCAUAAUUAUUGAGAAUUUUUUAGAGGUUGCAUGUCAAUGUUAAUUUGAAAAAAAUGAGGACUCUCACACACACACUUGGAUCACAUAGUUAGAAUUUGUCUUAACUUAUAAAUCAAUUUCCAUGUUUGGAUGAAAUUUAUGUUUUUCUUUGAAUUGUGAAUUUGAGCAAUUAUGGAAAGAUGUCAUGGAGGAGGUUGUUAGCUUGAGUAUGUGUUAUGUCUUAAUUUUGCUUGAGGGCGAGUAAAAUGUUAAGUUUGGGGGUUUGAUAAACCUAGUUAUUUUAUCUAUUUUAGGCAAUAAUUAAUGCAAUAUCUAUGAGAAAAUAUUUGGAUUUCCUUAUGAUUAUUCGAAUUUUCCUUAUUUAUGCAGAAUAAUGAGAUAUGGAGAAGAUAAGGAAAAGAAUGGCAAAUAUUAGGAAUUCCAAUUAAAAAAAACAGUGGAAGAUGAAUAUCAAAUCAGAAAAUUCUUGAUUUUGUUCCCUAAUAUUAUCUGCAAGUAUUGGAAGAUAGAUAUCUAGGAUUAUAUCUUUUGAAGAGGAGAAUAUUAAGAGCCAAAGAGAAAGCAACGGGGUUUUUGUUAAAUUGUUUUUGAUCAUUCUGAGAGUUUUUCAAGUAUUUUGAAGAGAAGACAAAAGUGAUGAUAGAAUUCUUGUUCUUUAAUUCAAAAUGCUCGGUUUGAUUUAUAUUCUUAUUUAUUCUUCUACUAUGUUCUAAUUUUCUUUUGUUAGGGCUAUGAUGUAGCCUAACCAUGAUGAUGUGAAUUUCAUGAUUUUUAUGUUUUACAAUUGAUUUCAUUCAUGUGAGUUAUAUAUUAUUGUGAUUAAUGCUUUUGAGUGACUUGAAUGAUCUGAUGUACACGUUUGAGACUGAGAAGUGAUAAUAUGCAAUUGUUCAUUGUAAUAUAUAACCAUGGAUUAAACGUGAAUAGAAAUAUACCGCGUUAUUUGUGUAGCUUUCGGUGAUAAGGUGAUCCAAAAGACUCAUUGUAAGCCGGGAAUAUUCAUAAUUUUUUAUGCACUUAUAUUUAUUUUAAUUCACAUAGAGAUAUAUUAGAUUAAUAAUCUAAGUAUGUUUGCUAAUAAUAAAUUGAUUAGGAAAUUCUGCUAUCACAUGUUUGAUAUCGUUCUUGUAUCCAAAACAAUUUGAAAUUCAUAUCUAGUGGUUGUGGUGAAAUUGGAUGCUCUAACAUAUUUAUCUGAUCAAUUUACUGCAUUUAGUCUACAAAUUUCGUUUUUAAUUUAUUCUUAAUUAUAUUUUGAUCUGUUAGAUAAAAUUUAGAAUUAGUCUAUUUUAGUAUUUAGUUGGUUUAUUAAUGAUCGAUCUCUAUGGGACGAUAUUUUUUCUGAUCAUUAUAUUACUUGUUCGACAUGUGCACUUACGUUUAGAAUUUUACAAACAAAAAAAUUAUCAUAUUAGGUAGAUAGAAUAUGAUUUUUGGCAUAUAAAUAAUAUGAGUCGAAACAUACACUAUGACCCAUCUUAAAUUUUGAGACCCAUGUUCUCCCUUUAGUCUAAUCACUGAAACCCAUGACCCACACGUAUUUAAAUUCUCUAUCCCUUUGUUUUCCAAUUCAAUUUACAUGUUUCUGAUCUUGAUAUUUUCUAACUUUAUUUUGAUCUUAAAUGCACAUGCCAUUUUCUAAUGAGAGGAACACAGAUUAAAAGACGAUGUGAAUAGAUGAGAUCCGCCACUUAUUUUGAAAAAAAAAAAACUAUUUUUAUGUUUUGUCAAUUUCCUGACAUUACACAUUUCCAAUCUCUAAACCUUCCAAUGUCCUAUAAAAAAAGUCUAAACCAUUCAAUGCUUUUCCAUAGCGAUAUUGGUUGUUAGUAUUCAUUUGAAAGCCUACCCCUUUCUUGAGUCAAGGAAAAAUUACCUCUAUUGCUUGCCACCUAUUUUAUCUUAAACUAAAGUUUAAGUUCAUUUUUUUCAUAGUGACACAAUUAUUAAACUGACGAUAGUUAUAAAAUUGACAAAAUUUUUUUUCCAAAUAUCACUAUUUAAAUAAAUUUUCACUAACAAUUACAUCUAUAGUCAUAAAUCAAACCUAAACCUAAGUCAUUUAAGAAAUAUAGAUAGAUGGAAAAAUAAAUCAUCUUACCUUAUAGUAAUGGCCCACUCAUUGAACGCGAUCUGACUUGCAUUCUCUGACCCACCGAAGUUGCAAAAGCUAACCAACAGUCAAUGUCAACUCAGUAUCGACUUCACUUACUUCCCAAAAUUCAGUCCUUGCGUUGCAUAAAAACAAACCAUUUUUAUGGCAGAGUAGAGAGAGAGAGAGAGAGAGAGAGAGAGAGAGAGAGAGAGAGAGAAGGAAUGGCGUGACAUUGAACUAUCAGAUUCUAUUUAUUAAUUUGAUGAGAAAGUAAAAAAGUAACUAACAGAAGUAAUGGUCCACCGAGAUACAGGUAUUUGUCGGAUUCUACUUAAAGCACCCCUUAUUUUUUGUUCUUUUUCGGUUUGUUAUUUAGGAUACAAGAUUUGGUUUCCAGUUUCGGUGGAGGUCUGCCGGUUUAGAAAUCAGGAUUUACGAAGUUGCAACAGAUCUGUUGUUUUGCUUUGCUGGGUUGUAGUUGCAAUAGCAGCAGCAAAUCACCCACCUUUGAUGUGGACACUUCAAUUUUCGUUGUGGGAUGUUAAGUGUCAACUUCGUCCAUAUUCACUCAGCCCCCACCUCUCAUAUCUCAGGCGGAGAAGACUAACCCAUUAAGCUUUCGGUUUCAGUUUCAAAUUGUUUGAUUCUUUUGACAUUAACCUGGUCGUUACCAUUGACUCAUAAUAUAGAACCAUUGAUGGAAUGGAAGUAGUCUGCUGAUGAGGUAGUAAUCCAACAUUUGUAAGAAACAGUGACUGGACAUGCAAGUUUCUCCAGAUAAAUUUUGCGGGUAGACAUACAAGUUUCUCUUUCAUCAUUUCUCAAAGAUGGGAAAGAUCAAAUUGGCCGACCAUCAUCCACACUAAAGACAAAAAAAUGGCAUCUGCUAAGUGAAAUUCUUGAGUAGCAACAUAUAACAAGUCAAGCUCGUGAACAAACACAUCCAGAGCAAGAAGGUGCCACUCCACACAUCUCGCCAUUCAAACAAAUGAAAAGCUUCCGUAAUAGAUUCCCUCCCUUGCAGUGGCCACCAUCCACAUCAUUAUUGUGUGAAAAGGAAAAAGUUGCAACAUUUACAAAGGGGAAAGAGACAGCACGAAUACAAACACCAAACCACAAGCCAUUGUCUUUAGGCUUUCCCCACUAAUUAAUUCACAAUACCCAAUUACCGCACUGCAUAACACUCGUUGUUUUGUUUAUAUUACCUAUACCUUCAGUUCCACAUGUGAGCGAAAGAGAAACUUCGAAGCAACAUUUAAGAAUUCUGCUGCAAGGAUUACCCAAUGAAGCCCUAGUUCUUUCAAGAACUAAUUUACUUAGAACACAACAAACCAUUUCUUACUCUCUCUUGUGCCAGUAAUCAGUAUCCAGAAGUACUGGCUAGAGAUCAUUACCAGAUGCAGACGAAGCGGUUCCAGUCAAUGGCCCUUCAAUAGACAUACUCUUGGUGAUAUUCUCACCAACUGUCUGAUGUUCGUCACCUCUAAAAUGCUUCCUCAUGGCCUCAAUUUUCUCCUUAGUCAUGAUAGCGCCCGCAGAGUCCAGCACUGGAACAGCAACCUUGCCUUCAAGCAUGCUAACCACAGAUGACAUUGGCGGCCUUAGUGCUGGAGUCACAUAAGUACACAUCAGAGCUAUCUUUAUCAAUGCCAACACUUCCUCUUUGUCAAAGUGAGAACCAAGCCUCGGAUCAACUAGUUCUAUCAAAUUUCCUCUUUCCUUCAGAAAGUGUGCCUAGAUACAGAAAUGUAAAGUGAAGAUAUUUCCCUUUCAAGCUUCAGGUAUUGAUCAGUUGCAAAAUAUGCUCUAAAUACUGAAACAGGAAGAAGUAUAUUAUCUCCCUUGAUAAUUACGUGGCAAAUGCAGUUGAUAAGCACCUGCUAGAUUUAGGGUAUAAAUGGAUAAAAAGAAUCGAAUGAGUCAAUACAGAUCAAACAUGAUUUUUUUUACCGAUUUUAAAGAAAAGGUAGUAGACUCCAAAAUCACUUACUAAUGGUUAACCGGUUGCCAAGAAAUCACCUACACCGCUUUAAAAUCACUAGCUAUUGUCGAGUUUUAUCAGCACGAAUUAUUUGUCAGUGUCAUUACAUGAAACGGUAGACUCGUCUUUCAGAGUUCUUGAUUAUGCAACUCAGGCGACAAUCAGAUUUAACAAGGACUAAUAAUAUGAUUGUUUGCUCUAAUGAUUGCUCACUCAAAGCAAAACAAAAUCUAACUUAGGGAGUCAAUUAUAUGAAUGUGAAAAAAGUUAUACCUCAAUCGAAAGUAUAUGGAUAUUCUGGUUAAGACAUGGUCUUGAAAACUUUUUAAUUUAACAGUAAUUGCCAAAAUAAAAUAGUAGUCGAAGGACUUGUUUGGUGCCAAUGAAACUACAGGGAGUAUGAAUGUCAAGCAUAAAAACAUAAAGACUAAAACUGAACUUUCGAGAUCCACCCUAAAUUAUGGGGUCAACUUCCCCAAAUAUCAAGGAAUAGAAUUUCUUCGUUCAAAAAAAAAAAAUACAUGAAAAUUCAGAGUAGACCAACAUGAUAAGAAGAGUCGGAUUAAUUUGAAAUAAAAAAUUGCACUUAACAGCAUGACAAUUCGAUAAGCAAAUUUCAAUAGCUGUUAACUGUGAAACUCCUUUGCAACCAUUGAAAGUGCAUGUGAGGAUUUAAAUACAAAUAUGAUCAUAAUUGAAAUGAUAGAGUUGAUUACCCAAUCGAGUAGAAUAAAGCAUUCCUCAGUUUUUUGGGAGCUAGUGUUGCUCCGGCCACUAACAACUUCUAAGGCAACAAUGCCAAAACUAUAGAUGCCGGCUUUGUCAGUGAGGUAACCAUGCAUUGCGUACUCCGGUGCCAUAUAUCCACUGCACAACAAGAAAAGAGCUUGUGUUUGCAACAAGGUAACUGCCUUAAAUAGCACAUACUUAAUAUUCCUAAAAUUCAAAAGAAAGAGUCAUUCCUAAAUGUGACGCUAUGGUCUAAAGAGUAGAGGAAAAAAACAAAUGCAUCCUAAUAUAUUCUAAUAUCAUUUACCGAGAAUAUUUCAGGAAAAAAAAAGGACCAUUGUUGUUCUUUGUAAUUUUUCUUUUGGUUUGAAAUAUAAGUAUCAUUUAUAAGAUGACCUACAUGAGCUUAAGGGCAUUUCCCAGCAUUACACAGAUAUCUAAGAACGUGCAAAAAUGGAGUGAGGGAAUCUCCAUAUAGUACCCAAUAUUAAAUUUAUUUGGGAAGGGCUAAAGUUUUUGUAAAGUGAAGCUCGCCUUGUAACAAGUUUACGAAUUUUAGCCACGAUAAUGGGGACAUCAUUUGACUUGUUUUGGAAAUGUCUAUAGUUACGUUUAUAGUUCUUUUUGUUGAAUUAACGUUAGAGUUAGUAGAAUGAACUUACAAUUUUAUCUUUCCCCUAAUUAAUCACGUUCCUUUCACAAACAAGUUGACUUUUCACACGCAUUAAUGCAAACUUCUAAAACAUGUGAACAUGCUUAUCUAUGUUUCUCCAUGUGCAUACAAUAGAAACAUGGGCGAAUUUGCUAUAAUACUAAGUUAUAUUCAAAUUAACAAUUACAUAAGUCAAUACCAGAGUAUCAUUACUUAAUGGUAGAGUAUGACACAAUUUACAUUUUUUUCCUAAUUAAUGUGAAGAGUGCUGGGACAGUCAUAAAGCUUUGUGGUUAAGCCGAAUUUGUUGAGCAACAUGCUUUGGGAUGAUGUGAAUCCACCACAAAGCUUCAUUCAACUCACUUUUCUUAAAUCAGAAUAUAUGUUUCUAUUCCAUGCUUUUAUGUUGUCACUGGCUCCUACUUAGGUUAACAGGAACAAAAAGCAAGAAACUUACUAAGUUCUAGCAAUCUUGGUGCUAAUAUGUGUUUUGUCCUCCUCAUCAAGCUUUGCUAAACCAAAAUCUGAUAUUUUAGGGUUGAGAUCCUUAUCCAGUAAAACAUUAGUAGCCUUAAUGUCUCUAUGCACAAUCUUCAGCCUUGACUCUUCAUGAAGAUAUGACAAUCCCCUGGCAAUACCCACGCAUAUCUUGUGUCUUGUCCACCAAUCCAACUUUAACUGAAAUUCUUCAGGACCUUCAAUUGUAUCAAAAGACAUCAAAGCUGCUUUACUGCCAUGUCAUUAACUGAAGUCAAUGAAGCACAAUGUGAUAUCAAAUUACCAAAUAAAGCGCGAGCAAGACUGUUAUUUUCCAAGUACUCAUAAACCAGCAAAAGUUGAUUUCCUUCAAUGCAGCAUCCAUAGAGUUUCACAAGAUGUGGAUGCUGAAGAGCAGAAAUCAUCCCAAUCUCAGUCAGGAACUCAUUAUUUCCUUGUUGUGAUUUGGAUGAAAGCUGCUUCACUGCUAUAGUGGUGCCAUCUGACAGAAAACCCUGCAAUUCAACUUUAGCAUCAGAUCUAUGUUGUGAAAAUUGAGUUACAUUGAAUGCUGCUUUCUACAUAUCUUCUCUCUUGGGAAUAAGGGGAAUUUGGUUAGCCAAUUUUCCAGCAUACCUUGUAGACAGAACCAAAACCACCUUCUCCUAUCUUAUUGGCAGGGUCAAAAUUGUUUGUGGCAGCUUUAAUCUGUCGCAAGGUAAAUAAACCAAUUUGCAACGCUAGAUACUUCAAAUCUGCAACACGUUUUGGAACUUCUAUGAAUUUGGAAAAGUCAACAGUUAAAGUAUGUAAUCCACUAUCUAAAAAGACGUAUCAAUUCCUUCUCAAUAUUCCAGAAAACCUUUUUGUGACGUUUUGGUCUGAGCAAGUUCAGUACAGAAUAGCUUAGCAUCUUGAAAAUUAUUUUCUAGGAAAGUCUGGCAUCAGUUGGCAGUAUGUAUUUAUGAAAAGUAAAAUGAGAUUGUCCCGAGGGUAUUUAAUAGUGAAGGAAAAUAAAAAUCAUACAGAGAACCCCCUUGGAAACGUAGGGUAUGGUUUGUAUGUUUUAAUUUCUCAUGCACGUGAAGUUCUGGCAGAUAUUUUUGGUGUCUUGAAACAUAGACUUUGUGUGUAUACACACACACACAUCUGAGAAACAAUCUACCGUCUCUCCCUAUAACUAUCUAUUCCUUUAUUUUUCGGAUUUCUAAAUAAAAAUAUUAGUUCAUUAAGCAAACCAAAUGGUUCUACGACACUUUAGCUGUAUAUCGCCUAAUAAUAAUCUUUGGCUUUUUGCGUCGAAUCAAAUUCCCUAUGGAAUGCACAAUGUCAAGAAGGAGGAGGAGGAGGAGGAGGAAGUAUCAUGUGAAGAAGAAGAAGAAGAAGAAGAAGAAGAAGAAGAAGAAGAAGAAGAAGAAGAAGUAUCAUGUGAAGAAGGAGAAGAAGAAAAAGGAGGAGGAGAAGAAGGAGGAGAAGGAGGAAGAGGAGAAGGAGAAGGAGAAGGAGAAGCAGAAGAAGAAGAAGAAGAAGAAGAAGAAGAAGAAGAAGUAUCAUGUGCCAACAGUUUGAAGAAGAAGAGGAGGAGGAGGAGGAUGAGGAGAAGAAGAAGUAUCAUGUGAAGAAGAAGGAGGAGGAGGAGGAGGAGGAGGAGGAGGAGAAGAAGAAGAAGAAGAAGAAGUAUCAUGUGCCAACAGUUUGAAGAAGAAGAGGAGGAGGAGGAGGAGGAGGAGGAAGAGGAGGAGGAGGAUGUGCCAACAGUUUGACAGGACAACUGUGCGAUUUAGAGGAAAUAUAAAUGAAGAAUAGUCCAGGUAAGCAACUACCUUGUGCCAUUUUAUCUUUACAUCCGAGGCAUCCUCUCCACCAAAGGAUAACCAGGAUAAGGAAAACUACAAAAACUAUAGCAGCCAGAAUCCCAGCCACUGUGCCAGCAGAUAUGCUGGCCGGGGGAUCAAAGUCUGCAAUGAAGAAAGAACAAACAAAUAUUUAACCAAAACUGUUCAGUUAAAUGGGGUAGACGUAAAUGCAGAAAAAUAUCUGUAGCUUCUCAUUGAACACAGAGAAAUUGAUGGACAACACAAUAAUCGAGAAUCAAGAGGGCAUAAAACCGCCCAGAGUACUCCACAGAAACUAUCAGAUAAAUGAGCACCAGAAGAUAUCAACUAUGGAACAUGUAAUACAAAAUACAAAGGGAAAAAAAAAUCUACUCUUCAUUCUCAAGGCUGUACUGUAUGAUACAGGCACCAUGGUCGUAAUCCAUAGCGGAAAAGUGAACAAGGCUAUCAUUUCAUAGUCGAAUGGAAGGAUUGAAGAUACAUAGAGAAAACACGCUCAGAUGGAAAGAACACAAAGCAACCUAUAACCAAUUUUCGACUCUAAGAGAAUAAUAAUAGACCCCAGUCAGCUAUUAUGCGUAAUUGACUUGAUCUAUAGUGACAUAUGCCAAUGGCCUGAAUCCAACAGUAGGCAUUUGCAACCAAGCCAAGUAACUGAAUAGCCUAUUGAUGACUUCUGGUGCAAGAACAAAUAUGGGUAUUCUUUUCAACAUGAAUAUGAGUAACUUUCUCAACAGAGAAGCACCAAGUGAAACAUGGAAGCAUCCAUCCGCGUACCAGAGUAGACAGAGAUAGCAGAUAUAAGAGGACCAUAGACUCCAUCCUCAGGUAUACCAGUGCUUCCUUUCCCAGCCCAAUAGAAGCGUAUCUCCAGAGUGCCCUUGGUCACAUCGGCAGUAAAAUUUCUCAUGACCUCCUUUCCAACUCCACCUGCUUCAAUCUCAAUGUUGAAAUCUUUCCACACCAAUUUCCCCUGAAAUAAUAUUUCAUCUAAUUCAAGUUGAGUGUCUCCACACUGAACAAGGUAAAAAUUUUAGUCUCCAUAAAAUGUACAAAUUGUGAGAAAAUCACGAUUUGCAAGUACAAGAUACUUGGAUAAACUUCCCAACCAUAACAUAUUGAACGCUUUAUGUGCUUUAUAUAUUAGAAUCAGCACUCCAUAAUGCUCCGAGUUUACCUGUAUAUAAAUAUUAAAAUCUCUCUUUCCAAGGCUUUGAUAACUUUUGUCGCCUGUGAACAUUAUCUCCGCAAAAUGAAGAAUUACAUUGUAGGGCCCAUCCAUCAGACAAAAACCGUAAUAAGUUAGAGAGAUAGCAGAACGUCGUGCUUUUUUGUAAAGUUGGGCAUCAUUCAUGGACAGUGUGGAUGUGUUUUUAACUACAUAGCUAAAUGCAGUGCUACAGUAAUCGGUGAAGUAACCAGUGCUACUGUAGGCCCAGUAAUCACUCCUGAAGAAACUUGAAGGUGUAGCCUCCUCUGAGUCAGCUUCGUAUGUGGUGCCCUUUACUUUUGCUUUGCUCCCACCGCAAUUUAUGAAGAGGUUAUACUGAGCUGGAUGGAGAAAAGAAGCAGCCACAGAGAAAAUUCAGUUUCUUCUAUUUGUUAAUAUGGAGUGGACUUUCCAGACACUAAAUAAGCUAGCAUUCACUCAUUGGAAAAUUACAUAGAAACUCCCAAGUUAUGAGCAACCCAUUAUUUCAUGCAGGUAGCUUUUGAAAUUAUUAGGGUAAUUAUGCAUCAGCCAUCAAAGAUCGACACAAUAGCCAAGAGGAGAGUUGACAAGGAGACAAAUUUGAUGAGAAAUUACACAGAGAGUAACAUGCAAUAUUAGAAUCUGAUGAUAAUGAUAGGAUAUGUCAGAAUAAUUUAAAUAUAAAAUCAUGUAGUCAUCUAACAGUUUAAGCUUUUAAAACAGUUGGCUGUUAUCUUAUAAAAUUUCAUAUGGUAUCAGAGAUGGAUUUCAUGAGUUCAAAUCUUUCGAAGCCUCGUUUGCCUCCCUAAUUAAAUAUGUCCACACUUCAUCUAAUAGUCUAAACAUUUAGAACAGUUAGCUGUGGUCCCACAAAAUUUCAUAAGAUAUAUAGCACGUCAAUUUACUUUUUAUACAACAAUGACUCUGCAGCAUAUUAACUUACUUUUUGCACAACGUUGACUCUGCAAACAUGAGACAAGUCCACUUGUGGCAGAACAUGAGGUUCUGAGCAAGUCAGCAAAGAUUUUACUGUUAUAAUCAUCAUCAUUCUUAAUGAAGUUCGAUGCUAAGCACAUAAACAAUAAAAAUGCGGGUCCUUGGAAAUCCAAGUCUCUCGUUGAAAAGUUAAUCGCAAACAUACGCAUUCUCAACCUCGGAGCUUGCGAACAAGUUGCUGUAGAGAAAAGACAAAAUCAACAUUCAGCAGAGAAAUGGAAAUAUUAUACACAAUCAGUAUAUAAGUUACACAAUAAGUGCACAUUUGGGGGGAGCCCUGGACUGACUGAAGGAAGUAGGACAUACACAUAUCCUUCUUGACAUUCUGAGCCUCGAGCAGUGAAGUUGUUGUAUGACAAAUCACUACACAGAGAAACAGUCAACCAUUUCCAAAAUCUCAUCAAUUUGAAGAAUACACUGAAAGUCAUUCCAUCAAAUGAUUUUUUUUUUUAAUAAUUCCAUUAAAUGAUUAGUAUGUACAUAAAUGCAGAUAAGUUGCAAAAUGUGUACAGGUAAGGCAAGAUAAAAGGCGAAAACAUCACAAGAUGAUGAAAUUGAUAUUUUAUUCCUACUGAAAAUAUUUUAUCUUAGAAUAUGAAAAGGAGAAAGACUAAGUGAAGUAAACGGAGACUUUAAAACUAUUUAUAGUGUAUAAAAACAUUUUUACUCAGUAACAGUACCACAGUCAUGAUGUCUAAGGCAAAGAGGCUUUAAUAGAACUGUGAUUCCACCUACUAGUACGUCGCAUCUUGUAAUAAGAAAUUAUCCAGACCACAUUUAUCUGUUUAAACUACCUCACAAGAGCUUCAGCCCAAGCAACUAAUCAUAUACUUCAGGUGAUACGUUAGACAAACUUUCAAAGAGGAUUAAUAGGAGGUAAAAAUUUUCUAAACAUAACUUUAAUCAUUCCAAUAAGUCUGAAAAUGAUCUACAGCUGGGAAUGGCUUUUUGUAUAAGUCUGAAAAUUCACUUUAUAUUCAUGCAUAUCAUACAGUUCAGCCUCUUUUGUUACAUACAUCCAUCCAAUUAACAGAUCCCAACGAGGAGAAAGGUACUUAUAAUGUUUCCAUUUAUCUCCAAAGGCUACUAACCAUAAACAUGCAAUAUGUGAAUGCAUAAUUGCUUGGUACAGAGCAAGAUUAGCCAGAUAAAGCUAGAAGCAAAUUCAUGAUUAAACAAGAUAUUUUCUUCAGGCAGUGAAGCUUACACAUUUUUUCCUUUCUCCAGGAUCCAAUCAGGGACUGCUCCAGUCAACUGGUUUCCAGUUAGAUACCUAAACAAGAUUAUUUGAAUGAGUCAGCUCCUCAUGUACUUUAUACACUCUAACUGAAAAUUAUUUAAGACUUAUACCUCAAAAACGCAUUAUUUAGCAGAUUAUUAGCAUUUGUUUAUUAGCAGUGUAGAAAAAAAUCAGUUUAAGUCAUGAUAACAAUAUAGAGCUUUCAGCUGGAGAUGAAAGAUUAAGGAAAUCAAUGACAGAGGAAAACCCUGAUCCCUGCGAAACUUGGAGCGCCUGGAGAAAGAUUACCAUAACAGUAGUUCACAAAGCUGGACUAGUGAAGGGUACCUCCAAAUUAGCUUAUCAACUAUUUCCUCGUGAUAAUGUUUUUGUCCUUCUAAGACAUAAAAUAAAUAAUUAAGGAAGAUGUGCCAUUGUCAAGCUUCAAUCGUUGGGCAGAAAGAUGAAAACCAAUGUUAAACAGUCCAAGAAGCUUAGGACUAUAGUUUCUAAUAAUUCUCAAAACUAGGGUUAAGAUACCAAGGUCCUCCACAGACCUUCCAAAUAGCACUUAAGAGCUGCACUCACCAAACUUCUAGAGCCAUUGUUGUGGAAAGAACCAAGUAGAGAGCCUAAGGACUUUUGCUAUAUUUAAUCUCCUAUACAUCAUAAAAUAGGCACACAAGAUGUGCAUUGAGUACAGAAACAUACAACUGUCAAAUGCUAAAGUACCACUGAUCCAUUUAACUCUUCCAGCGUAAACAAGUAACUUUUUGAAACUUGUGAAUCAGGCAAAGAAAUGAUCAAAAGGGCUGCUCCUUAAGCGACAGAAUAUCAACAAUCUACGCCUGCUCCAUGACUAAAGUCCCACCAAAAUAAUUACUUGACAAUAAUCAUAAAUUCUUAACUCAAUUCAUUACAAAAUUUGGAUGGUGAAGUAAUAAGCAUUCACGACCUGAGGACUUUGAGAGUUAAAAAAUGAAUAUGUUAUCAUGGUCUAAGUUCUAUUGAUAGCUCAACUACUUUAUGGUAAAAGUUGCCUGUAGCUUGACCACUAGAAAACUUGAGACUUUAGAUUCUUCUACAAAAUACGAAAAGAAGCCUAAGUUCAGCAUCGAAGUACUUACAUAUAUUCUACGUUUUCCAGGCUGCUGUAGGAUAUAGGGAUUUUGCCACUCAGUUUGUUGAAGCUGAGGUCUCUGCAAAGCAAGUUUAUGUGAAUAUAUAUUGAGAAGGUACUUUUAACUGACCCCCUCAGGACACUCUUUGAGCAUACUUCAGACGAUUGUACAAACACAGACUACAUCAAUGAACAUACAAAGUCCAGUUCAGAUUUUUAGACAUACAGGUCAACUGUCUAGUGCCUAAGCUUUCUACUAGACAUUCAUCUCCAGAGGCAUUCAUUGCCUAAAUCCAAGUUUCAAGUUGGUCACGUGCUAUAAGUAUACAAAACUGCUGUAAAUCAAAUUUACAAAAUGGAAAUUUCAAUUUAUAUAACUAGAAAAGCUAUUUGGGCACUAAAUUGAGUGCAUCCCAAGGAAUGCACCAUAUUAUAGUUCAGAUUGGGAGAUUUCACUCAUCUAAUAGGACCGAAACUAAAGCUAAUCAUAAUUUGUUGAAAACAUCUCCUUCACAAUAUAUUAUUUAUGAAUAAUGGGAUGCCGACUCAAUACUAGGGUGCUUAGAAAAGGAAAUAUCAGCUUCAGUGAAUAAAAAAAUAAAGAACAAAAUGAGGAUUUCAAAAAAUAGGUUAGGGAAUAGAGUAUGCGAUAAGCUGCAGCAGAACCACAGAAAUUUGGUCAUUCAAGAAUGUCAGAAAAACAAAAAAUUAAAGCUCCAUAUGUUUCGUGAAAAAUGUAACGUUUUUAGAAAAAGAAUUCCAUGAAGUUAUUUUUUUAGGAAAAUGAAAAUAUUCCAGUGCUUGACUGAAAUCCUGAAAAUACCCGGAAAAUAUUUUCCAUUGUUUAGUAUGGAAAAUUUAAUUUGAUUUUCUAGGAAAAAAUUGCCAAAAAAUUCGAAUUUUUUAAGUUAGUUUUUUAAUCCUUUUCUUUUAACUUCUUCCUCGGCUGGUUGUCAGCUAUGGCGACCGGCCAUGGGAUAAAAAAAUAUUUUUAUAAGAACAAACAUUUCAUUAACUAAGGAUCCGAACUUGAGCACCAAGGACCUGCACACGGCCUUCGCGGACUCAACCUAACUGCUGGGGACUAGAGCUUGAGUGUCAAGGACCCAAGCACCGCUUUUAUGUACUCGGGGUCACGUAUUAGGGCAUUGGGCCUGAGCACCAGGGCUUCGGGCCCAACCUCGAUGGACUAGGCCCGGGCACUAAAGACCUAGUCCUGAACACUGAGGACCAAGAACCAGGUGUUGGGGUUCCCGUGUCCAAGCAAAGAGUUGCGGGUCCAACCACCGAUACCAACUCAUAGUUUGGAAAAUGUUUUCUGACUUUUCAAAAGAGGAAAUCAUUUCCUAAAUUUAAACAUAGAUCUUUCAUUGACUCAGAAAAUAUUUUCUAUUAACUCAUUUUCCUAAACAAACCAAGCGCUAGAAAAUCAGGAAAAUGUUUUUCGCAAAACAAACAAAGCCAUGAUAGAAUGGCUAAAUGUUGCUGUUAAAAGUAGCGUUUAUUAAAUCUUACAGAGAUGACCACAUGAACAAGAAGAAUUGACUUGUAUAAAGAUGAAUUUGAAGCCAUGCUCUCGUUUGAACUAUGAAUGUUAUGUCUGACAAGUGUACAACAGUCAAGCAAAAAACUCCAGCUAGAUAUUGUAGGGCUGAGAUUCGAGAAUGUAAACCACCGGAAGGAAAGUUUCUAGACAAUCAACCACUAGAAGCCUCCAUUUUGCAUUAAUGCUCUUAAGAAGUUAAGAUAACAUAUCAAAGCAAAAGUAAAUUAGACGAAAUGGGAAACCACAACCAAGGUAAGAAUUCUUGCUGGAAAAGUGAAAACAAGCAGAGUGUUAGAAUAUUUAAAUAACAAACCACGCUUUCAUCUAAUAGCUUGAGUUUUUAGAACAGUUGACAAUAGUUUCACAAAUUCUCACAGAGAGAAAAAGUCCAUAUACUUUUGUGCGAAACUGUAUAUUCUACAGCAGAGACCACAAUCACCAAGAUUUUAAAUGCCACAUCAUUCACAAUUCAGCAUUAUCAAUAGAAAAUAUCAAAACACCAUUGAAGUCAGUAAGGGACCUUCAAGCCAUCUUAAAUGGGUUCUUUAACUGCAACCAAUAGUCAACCAAAAACUAGUAGAAAUUUCACUCCUUAAGGGUAAAAUUAUUUAUUCUGCUUGGAAUAGCCAAAGGGAAAAGGCGCUUUCUACUCACAAUAUUUUUAGAUUUGUCAUAUUUGCUAGAUAACCAGGUAGCUCUCCCAUGAGAUUGCAGCUCCUCAGAAUCCUAUAUGAAAAUAACACCGAUAUUGUCAAAUUGCUAAGACGAUUUGGCUCUUUUGCAUAAAGUAAACUAUCUGUGAAGGAGCAUCGAUCUCACAGUGUUUCAAUUUUUUUACUGUUGAGUUGUGGAACACGAGACUCGGGUCCAUCGAGGUCACUUAUUCUCCUGCAUAUCAAAAUCAAAUAGGAGCUUUAUUUGAUUGAUAACAUCUUAAAGAAAGAGAGAUCAGAUCGAAAUGCCAAAAUUCCAUACUGACAAGUCAUUCAAUCGCUCCAAACGUGCGAUCCCAGAGGGAAUCGGCCCUUGCAAUCCACUUCCUUGAAUAGACCUGAUGAUACGAUUCAUAGAUGGAAUUGUCUUGGGGGUAUAUCUAUAGAGACCGACUUAAAAGGGGAAGAAGCAUCAAGCCUUACAGUUUUUGGAGAUUUGUCAAGUUCUGAAUAAAAUCGGGUAUCUUUCCCAUGAACUGAUUAUCACCAAGUUGCCUACAGUCCAUUAAACAACAUGAUUCAUAUGAAGGAGAAAGAAUAGAAUGGCUAAAUAUUAGCUGAGUUUGUGGAUACUGGAAACUAACAGGUAACGCAAUUCCCUUAAGUUAACAAAUGUUUGAGGCAGCUCCCCCGUGAAAUUAUUUGACGUAAGCCACCUGAAACAAGAAAAACCCAUGACAACACAUUGGUUAAUAGAACCUGAAUGCUGUAUCUCUCAACCCAUGAAAAAUUAUGGAUUAAUUUUUAGCCUUUAAAUUAAAAAGAAAAAAAUUCCAUUAAAUUACACAAUAGAGCACAAGUCAACGCCAGAGCAUGGAGGAGGAGAAGGGACCACUAGGGUAGCCUAAGGACUCGCCAGUGUGCGAGAGACUAGAGGGUGAAGGGUCUCCCCUGAUUGUAGGGGUGUCAAGAACCGAACCGAACCGAAAACCGAACUAAACCGAACCGAAAAAAUCGGUUUUUUCGGUUCAGUUCGGUUUUCAGUUCGGUUCCCGUUAAAAACCGAAAUAUCUUUUAUCGGUUCAGUUUUUAUCGGUUAACCGAACCGAACCGAACCGAAAACCGAACUAAACCGAACCGAAAAAAUCGGUUUUUUCGGUUCGGUUCGGUUUUCAUUCGGUUCCCGUUAAAAACCGAAAUAUCUUUUAUCGGUUCGGUUUUUAUCGGUUAACCGAACCAAACCGAACCAUAAACCGAUAAAAUCUCUUUUAUCGGUUCGGUUUAUUCUCUCCCGUCCCGUCGGUCCCGACUCUAGGUUUUAUUCUGUCUCAACUUUGGCCCUCUCCUCUCGUCUCGUGUCUCCUCUUGGUCGGCUUGGAGGUGCAACGGCGAUGGCGGCAGGGACGACGACUGCAACGGCGACGGCGGUAGGGACGGCGAUAGCCAUAUAAAAGCCCCUCGCCACCUCCCUGUCCGAGUCGUCCACCUCCAAUUCCUACUCCAGUCGCCGCCGCUUCCUCGCCCUCUUCCUCUCCUUCUCUCUCUCGAGCCAUCGAAGGUACCUCCUCUCUUUUGAGUUCACCUCUUCUCAUCCAUCGCUUCCUGCGAUCGUGGGUCGUCGUCCUCGAGGUUCCAGUUUUUGCUCUCGCAUCUCUAGCUCGAUGUGCCCGGCUUUGUUUGGUAGUUUUCGGUUUGCCUGUUUCGGUUUUGCUGAUGCUUGGACUUCGAAAGAUGUGAUUUUUUUUUUUUUGUGCGGAUUGACGUCCUUGUGGUUUGCAAAUGGUGUCGGAUCUCCGGUCAGUGGUGUUGGUGUCUCUGAUCUUGUAGUUGAAGGGACAAAAUUACACCGGGUCGGAUCUUAUUUUCGUAGGGAAGCAUGGCGUUGGCUGGAAUUGAGCUUGUUGAUGGACUAAAGGGUCCUUUCUUUUUCACGCUUUGAAGGAGAUCAGAUGGUCGGAGAGGAAAGAUGUGAAGUGUCUGCCCGUUUGUCUCCGAAGUUGGGAGGAAGCGAUUUGUGGGCUCAGGGGAAUUAUUUAGUUGUUUUGUAGUAGCAUCAGUUUGCUUCCUCUUUUUUGCCCAAAUGGAAGGAAGUAUUUCUCAUAGAUCAGUUCUGUUCACUUUAAUCCAAGUCUUUCGAAGCGAUGAUUGGUUGGGUGGAGUCUGGCGAACGGAAGGUAAGCCGUCCCGAAAAAAAUAAAAUAAUAAAUAAAUAAAUAAAAAUAAAAAAUCGAAAAAAAUCAAAAACCGAAACCCAAAAUUUGAAAACCGAAAAACCGAACCGAACCGAAUAGUUCGGUUCGGUUCGGUUCGGUUCGGUUCAGAAAUUUUCUCUAACGGUUCUGUUCGGUUCGGUUGUGCAUUUUUUAUAAUCUAUUUCCUUAGCUAGUUAAGAAUACAUUUCUUGGACUCAUGAAUGCUGCAUGAAUACUUUAUUUGGUGAUUGAACAAGAAAAAGUAUCGAAAAUGCAUUAGUUGGUUAAUUAGUGUAAUUAAGUUUUCAACUUUAGAUUAUCUGGUUCAAAGUAAGUAAUCCUCCCAGUACUUUACUUAGGAUCUAAUUGAUCCACCUUAAAUUGAUUAAUGUCGUAAUUUGCAUGUUAAAAACUCAAAAUAUAAAUUGCGAAUUAGUAUGAGCUUGAGAGAGUUUGAACUAGAUUUGAACUUAACAAUCCAUUAGCCAAAUUUUUAGUGGUCCACCUGAGGAUAGGUCGCAACAAUUUUGCUAUGACGAUAUCUCAGAUUUAGGUUAUUAUACAAUUUAUCGAUGGUGGAGUCCAAAUUCCAUUAUUCUUAGAAACUUCAUUAGCUCAUUCAGGGUUAUGGCUGUGGAGACCCAAUAAUGUGGAGGCCGAUGAAAUACCCUUCAAGCCUUACAAAUCGGUUAAGUUCAAAUCUUUGGACCUAGACCCAAUAUUAUUUGCACGCUGUUGGUGGUAUCAUAUAUGUUAAAUAUAAAUAAUGGAAAAAAAUUGUCCUAUUAAAGUGGUUACAAAACAAAAAUAUCAUAUACGUCGAGUUGGAAUUCUAAUUUAGAUAACCGGAAUAAUAAUAUCUUAGGAUUUUUUAGGACAAUAAUUGAAUUGUACGAUCGUGAAAAAUAAAAUAUUUGGCAGCAUAGUCUAUCCCAUUCAUUAAUAGGUGCUUGUAAAUUAGCAUAUCUAAGUCUCUAUUGAUGUUGACAAGUGUUUUACCCAUUUAACAUGGAAUUAUUCGAAAUAGAUUUGAUCGAAUUUGGAUUCGGAGCGUGAGGAUUUUGUACUUUGACUUGCUUUGGCCUAACAUGGCCUCUUUUUAUCUCUGUUCCAUGUUAUAAAUCUAGACACCAAUUGCAGAAAAAUCGCGGCACAUAAAACAAAAGUUUAGACUCAAACCAAAUACUAAUGGUUCCAUGGGUGAGGUCGUGCACGAGACUUAGGCAAAACGUCAUCUUCUAUGUAUGUUUAAUCAGGUUAAUGUCGAGUCAUGGAGGGUUAUUUUAAUAUUGUCAACCAAUGCAAUAAUAUUGGACCCGUGAGUUUAUGAGAGCUUUGAAAAUUCCAAGUUAACUUUAAAUGAUGAAUUCUAAGCAUGUAGUGUCGUCAUUUAGUGUCAACCCCUAAACUUCGAGCGUGCGAACAUCCCACAAUGGUCAAUUAAAAUGCAACUUCUCAAGACGUGUCGCCGACUUGCCCAUUCGGCAACAGCCUUAGGCUGAAGUUUGAGAGCUGUGCUGGGAUAUACAGAGGAAGAAAACCCUUCCAUUACUCUUCAGCUCAUACACCCAAUCACACUGACCAUCACCACCGUGCCAUCACCAAUCGCCCCUUUGCCACCACCCACGAAGACUCAUAUGAGUGAAUAGUCGAGAUUCCUUUUGUUCAAUAUGGAACUUUCAGAAGUUUGUUUAAUGAAACUUGACUGUCCCUUUGAAAUUAGUUGGUGAGAUUGAAUACACGAGAAUUCGCUGGUUGGGUUUUGUGAUGAUGAUUGCUGCUCUUCUAGUCCAAUCAUAGCCCGCACGUGUUAAGAGUAAUAAAUUACACCUUUAACAGUUUAAGCUUUUAAAACAGUUGAUAGUGGUUUUACAAAUUUUCUCGUUGUAUUAGAGCUAGAGGUCCUUCGUUCAAAUUUUCUAGGCCUUGUUUGCUUACCUAUUUAAAUUUCCAUGCUUAGAUAUUACGCAAAAAGAUCAGACUAAGACUAAGUGUCACCUCAAGACCUUUAGGAAGAUGUACAAGAGGAGUUGCGGAACAAAUAACUUCAUGGUCUAAUAUGCGGUUAUAAGAAAUGUCAUAUUGUCUAAUAGGACUAUGAUUAGAGGAUGGUACCAUCACUUUCCAUGAAGUGACGGAGCCCUCCUCACCACACAUCCUAAUGUGUAACAUUUUGGGGAUCAGAAUAUCAAAUUGACAAAUAUGUUGUCAAAAAUGUCAUUGCUGUAGAAUUGCCCUACUGUAAAAUUGACCAUACAAAUUUUGAGCUUGUAUGAUGUCAACUAAUAUUUUGUGAAAUUUUCAAUUCAUCGAAUUGAUGUAAUCCCCUUUGAUCACUCAAUUCCAAACUGAGUAUUAAAUGAUAACAAAUUAAAGACAAAUGAAAAACAGAGGCAAAGCAGAAGAUAGGAACUGGACAUAGAUAAAUAGUGGUGCUGGCAAUGGCAGCUGUAGGCGCCGUGCAUAUGGAGGACAACGAAAUGGUGGUGGGGCUGGGUUUAAAUGGAGGGAGGGCGAGGCUGUUGGGUGGCGAUGGAUGUUGCGAUGAGGAAGGAGAGGUGGUGACAACGGAGACGAUCCUACAACCGACUCUCGCCGAAGCCAACGCCUUUGUGUCUAAGUUAUCCUUCACCCUUGCUAUCGAAGCUUGCGGUCGCUCCCUAUCCAUCGUCCAAUCUCCUUCUUUGGUACAGACUUCAUUCUGGAAAUUCAUUAAGUGCCUUCAUUCUCGCUAGGGUUCAGUGGAAGAGAAACUUUUCUUUGAUCGGAGCAAUAACUUGAGAAAAUGUAUGGAGGAAUACAUAGCAUGGAGGAGACAAUAGCAUGUGGGAUAUAUGUGGCUUUACAACAAGGCCAUUUUUGGCAAUUGAUUUUGUCAAUUUGAUAUUCCUAUUCCCAAAAUCUCACACUUGAAAUGUAUGGUUGGGAGAGUUCCCUUACUUUGUAGGAAUUGACAAUACAAUUCUCUAAGCAUUUCUUUGUCUAAAAAUACCUAAGUAGAUACGUUUUAGUGUUGAUCGGUUCUUGUUGAUAAUUUUGUCGAUCAACUUCUCAAAUCUUUUUUUGCUAAUAAUUUUCAAGUUGUGUUGUCAAUGACUUUAUUGGCAAUUUAUCGAUCCCUUCAAAUCAUGGACUGUUUUGUUUUAUCAGUGAUUUCUAUUUUCAACAAACCCCACUCUUAUCUAUUAGAAUAAUAUAAAAAUGAUUGUUGAAGAUUUGAGUAAGUUGGUUAUUGACUCUAGAUUUGGUGUGAAGAGGAGAAGAAGAAGAUUGCGCACGGCUUCCAUGUAAGAUUGUCAGCCGAAUAAGAAAGUGAAAAGAAAAGGGACAACAUAAAUGAAGAGAGGGAGGAGUCGAAAGAAAAAUUGGCCAGUAAAAAUUGUGGGCUUCGUUUGUCCUCUUUCAUUCAUUGCAUGGAUCAAAUAAAGAGGAAAGAAGGGUCCAUGAAGGCCCAUUAAUGCAUGCGCAUGUAUGCAUGUCAUGAAAAAUGGAGGGGGCCGUUGCUAUUGCAGAGAUUUGUCUUGCAGGCACCGUUGCUAUUAUUUAAUGUCUGUGUGUUUUCCUUUUAGCUUUGUUGACUUUUGUAGUUUCACUUUAAUGUUAACAGAAGGAGUGUUGAAGAUUUCGUGUGCUAUGUUUAUCUCCAUCUCUAUUGUAAUUUAGUGUUAUGCUAUUAUGUAAGAUGUGUAAGGGGGUGUUGUAAAAGAGUAGCCACCACAAAGCAUUCUAAGAACAACUUCUCCCUUUGGUCUUCACUUGUGCCUUGCUCCGAAAUUUUCAAAGUUGCCAUUAAUUUUUUCUUUUUGGCUCCAACAUCAUUGACUAGUCUUGGUCAUCUUUUGGUGUCAACAAUAAUGAAAAUGUGUCAAUACAUCUUAACGGGAACUAAAUUAGUAAAACACAGAAAUUAUAUUAUGUUAGUUUGAUUUAUGUCAAUGUCAGUAGGGUAAGUAAUCUUUUGCUCUGUUGUGAUUAAUGAAGAAUGGUGACGGAAUUUUGUGAUCAAAUGCAUCGCUAUCUGCUCCCACCUCCCCAUUUAUUAUUAGAUUAGAUAAACACAUUUUACUCAACUUUCUUGAGGCGAAAGUGACUGAUGCUAAAACAUCACGUGGAGAGAGAGAGAGAGAGAGAGAUCCAAGACUAAAAGUCAGCUGCUACAGUGCUCGUAAAUAAACAUGCAGGGGUUACGAGCAAUCGCCAUACCCAUGUAGGAGACUGCAGAAAACGAAGCCAAGCUGACACAAACUGCUUUCUUUGUUCUUUCUCAUUGUAAAGCCACCAGUGUAUGUGUUUGCGUGAUCGAGUACCGAGUGUGUGCAGGCAAAUGUUCAUCAAACCAGCGAUAUAAAAUAAAAUGAUCAACAAAUCAAUCAUAAUAAAGUAAAUAUGUGAAAAUAUGUCUUCUUCUUCUUCUCCUCCUCUUUCUGAAGUAUGGCGCCUCAGAUGGAUUAGGUCUAUCCAGGCAUGUGCAGUUGAAUUGAUCAUGUUGGACGAGUCUAAGGAGUAAGUUCUUGCAGCCUCUUGAUCGCGCUUGGGUCACUCUGUGGGCUGAAGGUUAAAAAUAGCUAGGUUAUCGAUGCUUCUUUUACUUUUCCUAUCAUUACAUCUUCAAAUGGAAAUCAAACUUGGUAUACGCAAACAACCCAGUCAAGAUCCAAGAGAUUCAAAUGUACUUAUGAAGCCCUGCAUCAAAAUGACAAAAACCCUUGAAAAGGAAAGGCCAUGGAGUGGGAGAGAGGGAUCAAACCAGCGUUCAAUUGAAACACCCCACGGCCAACUCAUCUCAAUCUGUCACCAUCCGGGACCACAUAAGCAUGUCAUACCUCAGGCCCCCUCCCAUUCCUAUAUAAUUGGUAUCCAUCCUCAUAGGCCUUUCCCACUUGCACUACAUAUCCAUUAUAAUCCACACUGACCAGCACUCGCAGCUGUACUUGGCUGGGAGCUAGAAAACGAGACCACCGAGACAGAGAGAGAGAGAGAGAGACAUGAAAAUGAUGGAGGCGAGGAAGAAUGUGAUAAACAAUGACUUUGCAGAGAAAGAGAGCAACUGCAUCAACGGGCAAUCGUCCGCGUCCUACCUGGUGUGGGACGACUUGACGGUGUCGGUGCCCGCUGGUUCCAAGAGGAAACUGCUAAACCAGCUCAGCGGGUACGCUCAGAUGGGUCGGAUCUUGGCCGUCAUGGGUCCUUCCGGCUCCGGAAAAUCCACUUUCCUCGACUCAUUGGCAGGUUUCUCCGCUUCUCUCUGCCAACCUCCUCAUUUCGGAACAUUUUCUGGAAAUAAUAUAUCCAUUUACUUGGCCUUGUUGUAUUGCAUUUUUAUUUGAGUUAUUAAAAAGUCCACCGCCGGUGAAAUCCGAAUUCCACCUUCGAAGCUCUACGUACGAAACUCCUAGUGAUACCGAUACGGUUACCGAAAGAUCGAGACAACAAGCAUUGCCCAUAUAUGGAAAAUAUAGCAACUUAAUAUAGUCACCAAAAUCAUUAAAAGCAUCGAAAAAAUUGCAAGAGGCUACGAUGAUUACCCCUUUCCAUAGCCAGAUCUAGUAGUGUAGAAACGAAAGUGCAGCAAACUGUUUAUUCUCAUAUGAAUUGGGUCUCCCAUGUAUAUUGAUGCUAUUCUCUUUCGAUAUCUAUUAUGUAUAGUUAAACUCACUUUAUUUAAAGAUUAGAAAUAGAAUUACAUAAAAAAAAUAAAAAAAGAUACGGCUUAUAGAAGUAAAAUAGUGAUGAUAUAAUUAUUUUUGUAACUAAUAAAUUCACUUGAUAAAAAUUCUAAUGGCAUAAUCAAAUUCUUACAAAAAAAAGCUGAAUAGUAUUUAAGUGUAACUCUUCAUAGUUAUAUCAUUUCAUUUGGCUUGAUAUCAAAAUCCUUUGAGGCACAAACAUGCUCUACAACGAUUUUGUCUCUCAUUUAUAUUGAUGUUAUUUUUUUUUCUUUCUUGAAUUAUAAUAUGUAGUUGAAAUCAUGUCAUUAGAAGAAGAGAAUAAAAUUAGCUAACGAAAAAAAUUAAGAAGAUACAACUCUUAAAUUUCCAGUAACUAUAUCAAUAUCACUUGGGAGUUUCCAUAUAUGGUGCACUGAAAGUGGGAUUCGGAUUCCACUAGCGGAGGACCAUAGAAUAACUCUAUCUUGUUCACCAUGGUUUUAAAAGAAAAAGGAAACUCUUGAUUUGAUCAAUAAAACCGCAUUAAUUAUAUCAUGUGAUGAUAACAUAGCGUAUUUUUGUUACACCCAUGCAAGCUUGAGGGUUUUGGUGACAAAAAAGGGUUUUUGAGUAUUGAUAUAAAUUAGGGAUGAGCGGUUCCAGAUUUCUUACAAGUUUCACUUGGAACCUGGAACCUACCCUCGAGUACAAGUUCCUCAUUUUUUGGAAUCUAGAACCUACCUGUUACAACCUACCUGUUACAGGUUCGGGUCGGUUCCAAGGUCCAACAAGUUCUUUUAUUCUUUUCUAUUUAAUUUUUAGUUUUAAAAAAACGAAAAUGAAUGCAAUAAUAAUAAACAAGCUUGUCUUUCAUCAAAGAGAAUACAAAACGAACAAAACUAUCAACAGAGGAAAGGAAUUCUUGGCAAGGAAUUCGACUAAAUAAAAUAGAGGAAAUUAGUUCACGGAACAUCCUAAAUAAUAAAGCUGUCAGUCAAUAACCGACACAAAAUAGAUGAAGAAAUACACUUUCAGAUACACAUUCAGCAUUGCAGAAUGAGUCAAGGGGUAUGGUUACUUCACACUAGAGUGUCACUAACAAUGUAAACAAAUGCCAAACAGAGAGAUAAAGUAAUUCCAAUUCCAACGGAGUUCUUACAUGAUGAAUGUUGAUAGCAUUCAAGAACUUUUCAAAUGCCUAAAUCCAUUCAUGAUGGUUCCAAACAAGUGGAAUAUCAACAAAAAUCACCCAAUAACCCCGAAAGUUUUUAAAAUAGGCCAAUUAUGGAAAACCCAUGCUCUAUAUCCUUGGAACAACAUUAACAACACCAAAGAAGUUUGUUGUGCAGUGACCAGUAAGUGGUCAAAGUGUAAGAUGAUAAAAUUGGAUAGCAAAUAACUAGAAAUUCCUAAUCAUUACUCAUAUUGCUGUUGCUGAAAAAUCUUUAUGAUACUGAAUUAACUACCUUCAUCACCAAACACAUGACCUACUUGUAAUAGACAUCAACCAUUCCUGCUGUGCCAGGAAGACAAACAAGCAGUGGCACCACUUUUUGACCAAAAUCGUAAUAUCUCCAUUGCUUUAUGCUAAUCUGGCAAAAAGAAAAAGACGUCAGUUCGGUAGCUAUGAAACAACGUAAUGCAUGGAAUUUUGCUAGAGCAAGCUGAGAAGUUGGGGCUCAAGGGUGGUCUAAGCAUGGGAACUUUAGCUUAGAGUACGAGGACAGCUAAGGUUCUUAUGAGGACUACAAUAGACAACAGAUAAGCUACAUGAAAAUUGACCAAAAGAGCAAAGUAGUACUCUUGACGAUUUGAAUUCGUGAAUGUCACAUGAAGCUACUUGAAGCAUCAAGUUUCAACAAACUGUCAAAACAAAAAGUUGUCAAACUAUCGAAUGUCCAUUAAUUUGUAAAAUUGGAAAUGUGUAAGAUGUCAAAUACUCUAUGGAACUUUAGGAAGGACAUGACAUGCUAUUGCAUAUCAUGGAAGCAAGCAUAUGUCGAAACCAUUGUAAGCUAUCGAACAUCCAGCAUUAGUCACUUGAUAUCUUUGCUGAACUUGAACCCAGAUAUGAUGUUAUAUGGUAUGUAUAUCAUUACCCUCAUUUUUCCAUUUGACAACUAUGAUUUAGUACAAAGUCACAUGGUAAGAAUAACUAAACUCUACAUCAUAUCAUUAUUGCAGAGAGGUCACUGCCAACACAAGAACGAUUCACAACCAGAGCUUUAUAGUCCAGUUGCAACAGCAUUAGAUCAGAACCUGACAUAAUCAAACAGAACACAAAAAAGGGGUUGAUUUGAGCAACCAAGUGGUCAGCAUCAAAUGGUUGAUUUGUGAACUUUCGAGAACAAAAAGAACAUAAUGUAGAGACAGAACAAUUCUUGCCAGAUUUAACCAUCUCACUGAAUUCAUUACUAUGUGAACACGCUCGGUUCUUGGGCGUAAUUUUUACUGCAAAGAAGAAACUUUGGAACUCAACCAGACUGAUCGAGCAAGAAGCAAAAAUGAACAGAAGAAUUUCCAUGUCACAAUUAGUAAACUAAACACAGCAAAACAAGAAUUGACCAAACUGAAAGGAAAAAAUGGAACCCAAAUGCCAACAUCCAGGCGCACGCACAAACAACACGAAACUAAUCCCACAAACAAACGCAGCAAUUCCAAGCUCAUGGGUUCACGGAACAUCCUAAACAUGACAUUGUCCUGUUUUAUAAUCAAGAGAUUGCCAAUCCUUUUGGCUAAGUGUAAAUGAAAAAAUGGCUAGCUUGUACACUCACAUAUAAAGAAAAUCAAGGAAUCUUGAAGUGGCAACCCAAGACAGUCCACAGAAACAAGAUAUGACCUACCAAAUCGAUGCUCAGAGAACGGAAACAACAUUCCAGAAAGCACACGCAUAAAAAAUGUUUAGGCUAGAGGAUCUACCCAAUAUUUUCGAUCCUUCCAACUAAAGAGCUACUCAACGGCAACUGAAGCGCCUCCUUCACGCCAUACUUCCUUUUAGCUUCCGUCUGUCGUCGAUGGUAAACAUUACAAGGCUCGCCUACCACUCUAUCACCAUAUCCUAGUAAAAUAACAAAAAGGUCGUCGAAGAACUAGCAAUUACAAGAAGUAAUGUUCAUUAAGGCAGGAAUUUGGAAUCUACUCACAUUCGGCUAGCAAUAAAUUGGACUAGAUCUCGCAGCUGAGCUGAGUCGCAACCACUUGCGGUGAGUCGGUGACAGCAAACAGAACCGACGUUCGGUGAGCUUGGGGUUUAGUUCUGGGUUGAAGCAACGUUCGGCGACCUCAAGCAACGUUGGGCACGACGCGGGCAAUGCUGGAUUCGGCAAGGAUCGGCAACAAGGACGUCGAGGCGGUAGUUGCUUCUGUCCUAGUUGCGGCGCGAAUAGCAGCAACUCGUCAUCGGGAGGCCGAGAUGCGGCGGCUCAUCGUUGAAGUCUGAACAGACGUGGCGUCGUCGAUGGCCAAACAGCGACGGUGGAGCAACAGCAGCGUCGGGUGGCGGCCCGGCAACAGCUUGUCGUUGGGAAGCCGGCAGCGCAACGGCGAGAGCCGGCGGCGUCGUCAAACGGAGCAGCAAUGGUGUCGACGGCAACAUCGUGGAUCAUGAUGGCGGCAUCGAGGGCGGCGAGCAGCGUCGGAUCAUCGUCGGGAACGUGGAGUGUUGCAAAGAGGAAAUGGAAAGAAAUGGAAAAGUGAAGAAUGAACAUUGAAGAAAAGGUUAGGGUUUUGGAGAGGGGGAAUCUCGGUUCCGGUUCCAACUCGACUGAGAACUGGAACCUAUUUCCUCAUGACCUCGGGUUCGGUUCCCCGGUUUCCGGUUCUACGCGGGAACCGUGCUCACCCUAGAUAUAAUAGUGGUCAUAAUUUAGGAUUUUAAGGUUGGAUUUUUUUUUUUUUUUCAUGAUCUAAUCCUCUUAAAAAUCACAGCUCCCCUAAAAAAAUCUUCUCUCCUAAAAAAAUCUUCAACUUUAGAUUUACAUCCUAAUUUUUCUUCGAACUUAAAAAAUUUCUAACUUUCACUUUAGCCUCAAAUCAGUUUCACAUCCCAAAAUCGCCACUAAUUUUUUCUUUAUGUCAUCAGUAUUGGGAGGUUCUUGUCAUUCCAUAUGAAGGUGAGGGUGUUUAAGAAGAUGUGAGUUUUGAUUGUAAACCUCUAACUAGCUCUGGUAUUGAAAAUUUCAAAGAAAAUAAUUACUUUUUUUGAACGCAGGGGCAAAUUUGGAACUAUAGUGAAAUUUUGUGAUUUUUUUUCAUAUAAAAGAAGUUUGGGCCAUAAUAAUUCAGGUUUUUCUAGAGAACUAACCUCGAAGUUUUGUCAUGUUCUUAUUAUGGCCCAAUUUUUUUUUUUUUUAUUUCAUAAGAAAACCACAUAUCAAUGUUACACAAAUCCAGUAGUUUUCAUCCAAUGAUGUUGUCCAAGAUUCGACCUGCCAAUUCAUGUGUACUUGGCAAAAUCUUAAUGAGGGUCAGAUGUGGGUGCCAAAUGAAAUUGGUAUUUUAUUAUGGGAUGGAAAAAAUUUGGACUAAAAUUAGGCCACAAUUUGAAGUUAAUGUCUUUUUAUGAGACAAAAUUUAUGGAUCAGGGCUUUAAUCCAAAGCCAACAUUUUUCUAUGAGAGAAAUAAUUGAGUCAACAUUGAGAUUCAAGGUAAAGUUGAUGCAUCUUGAAAUGAAUCACGCUUUAUGAAAGAACCUUUACGGAUUAUGGCCCAGAGACUUUCCCGAAUUCGGGGUCGACCCGUCCACUUCGUCCCGAGGCUUGACAAGACAACUUCAAUUUAAAGGGAUUAUUUGGUUGCUUCUAGUUGAUAUGGGACAAGAAUAGUGUAGGUAGAGAGAGUUAAUUAUGACUUAUGCAUUCCAUAUUUUAGGUGCAUAAUUACAUUUACUACAUAAGUACGUAUACACCAAGAAAUACAUGUUUAAACCACUUAGGAGCCACUUUAGUUGACUACUUACUAUGUUUUGCUUUUCAGCAGGUCGGAUUUCUUCUGACGUCAGCAAAGAGGGAAAUAUUUCCCUAAGCGGGAGGAAGAAGGGGUUCCUAAACCACAAUGAUCUGAUAAGUAUAUCAAGUCCUUAGGCAUAAAGUUAUCUUUUGCUGUAAAUUAUUUGUUGGGGGCAGAUUUAAUAUGACAAAGUAAAAUAGAUUAUGAGACGAGUAUCUUGACUCUUGCAGAAGAUAACUCUCUUUAUUUUCAAGAUUACUAUCAUUAAAAAUUUCGAAGUGGCAUUUCAUGACAUAUCUAUCCCAAAAGAGUUUUUGUUUCCCACAAAAUCUCAACUAUUCAUUCGAUUAACUAAAAGAAAACUUUAGUCUAGUAAUUCUUAGAUCAUCAUUGGAAAAACAAGAUUGCUUCCAUCAGCUCAAUCCUGGCAAUAGUUUCGGUUUAGCAUACUAAUACUGUGACCAGUGACCUCUAAAAUGGCGCAUCACUAGGCCACUCUUCUGUCAAUUUUGUUUCAUGAAGCAUUCUUUUAGCCUUCAAAAGAUUAAAUCAUAUUUUCAACUUCCUCUAAUUCAAUCCGGCGGUUUAUGUGUAUGACUAGACGAUAUUCUUAUAAUCAAAAUUUGGCCGAAAAAAAGAGAGAGUCACAAUUUGGCUGGUUUGGCCAUGUUUCUCCUUUCUGAAAUUUGAGCUUGUAACUGACAAAUAAAUUUCUAUCUAAUGAUUGAUGUUUCAACCGGGGUCCCAUGCUUGCAUUUAGAUGUGAGCAUAAUUUUAGGAUUGAGUUGGGAGUUAGAGAACUGGACCAAUCACCAAUUCAGUUCUAGGUUCCAAUGCGCCCUAGUCCGGUUCCAUUUUUUUAGGAACCGAUGGUUCUCGAGGGAACUGGGAACUGAGAAUCAAACCGAUAAUUGGGGAAUCGAGAAAAUCCUGAAGAGAGGCUUUUUACUUUUUCUAAUAAGAACUUAGAUGUGCUUAUAGAGGGGUUUAUACUAAUUUUAUUUGCAAUCAAUAACGAUCAAUGUGCGUGAGGUCGUUAGCAGUUGAAAUAAGGGUUACUCCUAGGAAGAGUUAUAAUUCUCUACUAAUAGUCACUUAUAAAGUUCUAAUAAAGGAAUUAGACCGAGACUUAACAUAAAAGGUUUUCAAAUAUUAGUAGCUAGAUAAAGCGGCAAUAAUGUCAAAUAUCGCACUAAUUUUUCAAGACCAUUAGAUCUAUUCUAGUUUCAUUUCCUGAAAACAGAAUAUAACAUUUGUGUCUUGUUGUAAUUCAUAUCAUUCUAUGUUGUUCAUAGACUGAAUAAAUUACCCUACGUAGCAUUAUCUAGUGGGAAUAUGCAAUGGCGAGUAUCAUACUAUCACAAAAUUUCACAUGGCAUUCAAUAUAUUCAAGGUACUUUUGUUGUACCCAUUAAAACAAAAUUGGAAUCCAUGGACCUUUUGCUCUAUAAGACCGUAAAUAUGGUGAUUAGUUUGGUCAUGAUCUUCAUUGGAUAUUGGCCAAAUCUUAUGUUAUCACAUGUUAACAUGUAUGUCGAUAAUCUAGAUUUUAAUUUCUUGAUUGGUUUAAUUAUAACACCUUCUACUUAUAUUCUAUUAUUGAUGUGUCUGUGCGAAAUUGACGUAUAUAGCAUGUCAAUGGAGGUGGAAGAAUGAGAGGCAAUGACUUUCAUUAUGUGUGAGGGAUGUCGAUGAUUGAUGACUAAAAUUCAAUAACUUAAGUUUCAUGUAAUGUGUUAUGAACUUUUUAUUAUUUAUUUUAUUUUAUACAUUCAUCUUUUAUAGAUUAUUUCUAUUGACAAAUGAAAAACUUUCAUUUUUGUUUUUGCAUUCACUAUCAUUUUGCUUCACUAAAACUGCCCAAAAAAAAAAAAAAAAAGAACAUGUUAGACCACAAAACCGACCUUAGAAUCUAUGACAAGAUAGGUAUAGGUUCCAGGGUAUACAGGAUAAGUUUUAUGUUUUAGAAAAUGGGGAACAUAUUUUAAUGGAUAGGUUCCAGAUUUAAAGUGGAAUCGGAACUGCUCAUCCCUACUUAAAUCUUCUCAUUUUGGGCAUUUUUUCAGUCCUAUGUGACCCAAGAAAAUCUUUUCUUGGGUACUCUCACUGUCAAAGAGACCAUAGCCUACACAGCUCAUCUGAGGCUUUCUUCUGAAAUGACGAAAGCCGAGAUCGACGAGGUGGUAGAAGCAAACAUAAAGGAGAUGGGACUUGGAGACUGCGCAGAGAACAAGAUUGGUAACUGGCACUUGAGGGGCAUAAGCAGUGGAGAAAAGAAAAGACUCAGCAUCAGUCUUGAAAUGGUGACAGACCCACUGAUCUUGCUCCUUGAUGAGCCUACCACAGGCUUAGACAGUGCCUCGGCUUUUUUCGUGGCAAGAGCUUUAAGAAAUAUUGCAGAUGAAGAAAGAAUAGUUAUUUGCUCAAUCCACCAGCCCAGCAGUGAAGUUUUCGAUCUUUUUUAUGAUUUACUCCUUCUGUCGAGUGGAGAAACUGUGUUUCUAGGAGAAGCCAAAAUGGCCAUUGAGGUAAUAAAGAGUCAACACUUCAUUCUUAUUCAGACAUUUAGGCUGUGCAGAAGCAAGAUAAUGUAAUUUUAAGUCCUGGUGCAGUUCUUUGCAGAUGCUGGAUUUGCUUGUCCGAGGAGUAGAAAUCCCGCUAAUCACUUUCUGCGGUGCAUUAGCUUGGACUUCGAUUCUGUAACUGCUACUAUUGCUUUCUCGUAGAAACUAUGUUGAGUUUUAAAUCGAGCACUUCUAUACUCUGCAUCAGUUCUUGUGAUAUGUAAAGUGACUUCCGAAUAUAAUUAUCAGGGCUUGCUAUUUUAUCUUGCAGCAAACUCCAGCAUCAUCUGGUUUUUCAAUGAACAUGAAAACAGCAGAGAUUAAAGCCACACUCAUCCAAAGUUACAAAUCCUCAAAGUAUUCAUGCAAAGUUAGGAAAAAAAUGCAAGGAAUUUCAGCUACUGUAAGCACUCCAACUCAGAAGAAAUAAAAAUCAAGAUAAUGCUUAUGCAGUCAUUUUUCUUGUCUUUACCGCUUACCAUAGUUAAUGAACAAUGUCUCCAACUGUGAUUUUUGAAACUAAUGGAGUUAUAUCCAUAUUGAAGUAGCAUUUUCCAGGACUGAUGUUUUCAAAACUGAGUCUCUUCUGUUGAAUGCUGAAGGAUUAUCAGGUCUGCCGGUUGAAUAAGAAUACUAAUUCCAGCAAGUGGAAGCAGCUCAGCGUUUUGACUCGUCGGUCCUUCAUCAACAUGUAUAGGGACAUUGGAUACUCCUGGUUGAGGAUCAUGCUCUACAUUUUAUCAUCAAUAAGUGCUGGAUCUCUAUAUUUUGACAUCGGAUACGACAAUGGGGCAAUUAUCAACAGAGGAAAGUUUGUUUCAUUCCUCUUCGGCCUCAUGGUAUGUUUGUCUUGUGGUGGUGUCCCUUUCUUCAAUGAAGAACUGAAGGUAUAGCAAAGCGUCGAGGCUGAUCGAUUUUCAUCUAUUAUAUAUCAGCAGUAUCUUCAUACUUGAGGUGAUAUUAGAAUGAUUUGUCACUAGGACUAGAAUUAAGUUUCCUCUUCAGGACAGACAAGCUCCACCAUGAUAGGUGUGAAGUUACAAGUUGAAGCCUAAGACGCUGUAAAUAACACAAAUCUAACUAGAGGACUUUUAGUUGAUGGCCUACUCCGACUCAUAGUCACAGAGGAAUGUGAGUAUUGCACAAUCAGUUGGAGAGAUUAAAGCUAAAUCAACUAAGUUUUUUCAAGGGAUGCUUAAGAUUAUUCAUAUGGGAUCGAUCUCAUCAUCAAAGCAAGAAUAUACAUUAAUUACCUAAAAAAGGAGAAAUCUCGGCAGCAUAUGACAUCCUUUUCUUAUCUAUCUCAGGUAUUUUAUGCCGAGAGAUUCAAUGGGCAUUAUGGCGAGAUCCUAUUUGUGCUUGCAAAUUUCCUUUCUUCACUCCCUUUCUCGGUGGCGAAUUCUCUGCUUUCAGGAACGACGAUAUUCUACAUGGUGAAGCUUCAUCCAGGAUUCUCUCAUUAUGGUUAUUUCUGCAUUAACUUCUUCUGCUGCACCACCAUUAUUGACAGUUGCAUGAUGGUUGUGAACUCAUGUGUCCCCAACGCCUCGAUGGCUGUAGUAACGUAAGCAAAUUUUCUCUCUUAAACAUCCCUUCUUGUAAUCCUUAUAGAUUACGUUGUCGUUCAUAGCUAAUUUUUGUGGAUUCAGGUUCUAAUGAUGAUGGCAUCACAGAUCUUUAGACUUCUCGCUGAUCUUCCCAAGUUCUUUUGGCGGUACCCUAUGUCCUACAUCAGUUUUGCCAAGUGGGCAGUUGAGGUAGUUAGUAUACAGCUUUUUUGAAAUCAAGCUUGAAAAUUUAUCAACAUAUUUAUGCAUAGAGCCAUGACAUGGAAGAUAUUCAUCUUCAGUUUCAAUAAUAUCGUCUGAUUAGUAAAACUCCACCAGGAGCAUGCGCUACUACUUGCAUUGCAUAUUUAAACUCAUUGAAGUAAAAAUUCUCAUCUUCCGCCUGAGGUACAUUUAUGAGAAGGAAAUGUCAAAACAACAGAAAUUAAGUAAGAUGCCUUCUAUUUUGAUGUGAAGAAAUGGGUUGAAUGGUCGACAGUUCCGCCACUCCCUUCUUCCUUUUCGGAUUGUUGACCCGCUCUUCCAUAUGCUAGAGGUUAUGUUAACCAAUGUAAUAAUGUAAUACUAUGAAGAUUCUGUUAUCAGUCUCUUUCAUAGAUUGAUCAGAACACUACAAGGCUUCACCACAUGUUUCACUCCGUCUCUUUACUCAAACUAACGCUUCAAAUGAACAGGCUUCUCAAGAACAGUUCUGCGACUAGCUAUGGCAGUCAACAAUACAAGCAUAUGAUUUGGAUCAGUGACUUUGAGUUCUCCCAAAUAUCUCAUGAAUUACAAGUCACUCAUACAAAUCAUUCACACACCUUGCAGGGUCAAUACAAGAAUGUCAUGACCGGUCUUGAGUUUGAUUCAGCAGAGCCAGGAGAACCAAAACUGGAAGGCGAGAUGAUCCUCAAAACAACUUUCAGCAUAUCACUGGAUCAUCCCAAGUGGUGGGAUGUAGCUGUGCUUCUGUUUCAACUGUUUGUUUACAAAGUACUACUCUUGUUAGUGCUUAGGUACAAGAAGAGAAUAGCACCUCAAUUACAGUCGUCGUCACAAGUGUUACUCAAGAAGGUGUCUUGACAGAUGAUUUCGGUGCCAAAUAGCAGCAAGCAUCCAUUAUAUUUCCAGAACAUACUUACUUUAUCGGCAACUAAUGCACCAUGGUUAUGUAAAUGAUGCAUAUGUCUCUAGUUGUCGCAAGUUCUAAAUGCAAUUCACCUUUUCACUUCAAUGUUAUGACUAAUUUGAUAUUGGUAUACGCAACGUGACAAAAUUUACACCUAAUUCUCGGCCUGAGGUCCACCCCUUCAUCUUUGUAAUUAAUGUAGAUUAUAAACCUCUUACAAAGCACAAAAUUUGGAGAUACGGCAUUGGACAGACGGCCCGUUUAGUGCCUCUCUCUCUCUCUCUCUCUCUCUCUCUCUGUGCUACAAGCUACUGCAAGAUUCGAUGUAGUGGUUAAUAAAGUACAUUGAUUACAAGCAAAACAUAUGUCACGCAAUGAGUUACAACUUAUAUUGAAAAUAAAGAUUAAGCAAUUCAAGGGUUGUACAAGAGUCAGAUAUAGCUUGCACUCAUUUACAAAAAGAUUAAAAAAAAAGAAAAAAAGAAAAGAGAAAGUGGGAGGUAAAGUGUACACUGUCUUUGAACAGCCUCUGUGUCCCCUUAUGGCGCACCAAACAAAAUCAUACCCAUGACCUCCAAAUCUAAUCCAUGGCUGUGAAGCAGACCCAGGUGGAAUAUUCAGAUCUCUCUUUUCCCCCAAAACCGAAGGGCCAAAUAUGUAAAAGCCAAGAAAGUGUACUUGUCCUCGAAUGCCCAACUUUUGAGGCGCCCAGGAUAAACAAAAUCAUCAUAACUUUAAGAUGCUUUGCAAGAAAAACCGGUAUCCUCAUCCUUCCUACUUAUUUCUUCUGUUUUUUCCGCACAGCAUUAUGGCCAUUGCGCGCUCUGGAUGCUUUAUGAUUUCUCAUUGAGGCUUCCAUGCUCAUGCUACCUUUUAGUUCCAUCUUUCUCUUUUCCCCACUUUUAAGUUUGUGAAAGGUCCUCUUCCUUUUCUUUCCAGAUUCGUUGGAUUGAAUCUUAGAAAAUUUCCCUGCAGCCAAAUCACCAUCCUUUUCAGAACCUUCUAAUCUGCCAUCAGCAGUAAGAGUAAGUUUCAUAUUCUCCUGAGUGGGGGGAGCCAUCUUUGUUCUUCAAUCUCCUUUUGUAUCCUCAUCCCUGGACAUCUUUCUGAUUUGCGGAAGCUUCCUUGUUCUCUAUCCCGCCUUCAUUUGAGGUUUUGUUUCACAGAUUCUAAAAGGUCAAACAUGCGAUCAUUUUACAAAACAAUAUUACGACCUCCAGAAAUCAUGCACUGCUAAAUAAUAUUUCUGUAGGAUACACAUCCAAGCGUUGUUGAAUUCAUUACCUCCAUAAUUGUCUUAAGAAAACCCUUGUACUUUUCUGGGGUAACAAGCUGAACAGCAGCAAAACCACACUUCCUAGUCAUUAUCUCAAGAAUGACUGUGACCUGCAUAUACAGUGAUAAUGGACAUUCAUUACCAGAUAGCAAAAAAGAGGCCCUUGGAAGGAUGUGUGCAUGGAAUUAUCACAAAAAAACUCAGCAAACUCCCAGUAAAUUUCACAUGCCUUUGAUCUGAAGUGAUGCCUGGAGACAGAUGACCAUGAAAUAACACCAUCAACAAUGUCUGAAAGUAAACUCUGAAGGUCUUCAUUUCGUAAGCAAGACACUACUACUUUCACAAAACCUAGAACAGCCUGCAAAAUGUGCAUGAAGUAACUCUCAAGCCAUGCCAAUUGGGGCAAGAAUCUACUUUGGUAAUGGUAUACUCAUUUUUAUCACUUCCACCGCUUUGCUUUGUAGCAGAGAAAGAACAGAAGGAAUAAGAUCAGGAAUUGAUAGACAGAUAUCUGUAUCCUUGUAAACUAGUACGGACAAUGCAGAAACAGCUCCACUUGUAAUUUGAGGUGAUGAACCAGAAAGAUAGUCCACUAUCUGAAAGCACGUUAUUUAGAAUCAAAACACUAUUACUUGAAUAAAAUUACAAUCCCGAGAAUUGCAAUUGUCCAGUAAUACAUCCAGUAAUACAUCACUGUUAAGAACUACAAGCAGAAAGGAAAAUUGCAGAUUAGGUUAGACAAUUUCUACAUAAGUAUGCUCUCCCGAUCAUCCGACAGAAAGUCCUGUAAGCAAAUAAAAUUCCCCGAUGGUCACAAGACACUUAAAGUGUUCAUCUGUGCAGUGCAUAUAAAACUUCUUUGGGCAACCAUUUACACGAGGAACCCAAGCUUUAAUAAUAACACAUAAGAAAGGGACUCCACUACCCCUUGAUUAACCAAUUUGGCUUCUUAAAAUUUCUCAAUUUUUCAUCGGAUGAAACAAAUGCAAAAUUUCGACUGAAUAGGCUUAGGGGCCACAAGGCAUCCACAAGAUACAGACCACAUGAUUUUAAAUUUUGCCACUUGUAUUUUGGUUCUUCGUUUUUCUACUGGUUAGAGGGCAUUAAUCAUCUUCUCCUCUGGCUGCAACUGCAAAGCCUAAUCCCUUGGCAGAAGCAGCUAGACAUGAAUAAAUGAAGGAAUAUGCCGUGACUCAACCAUACUGCAGCCACGAAAUUAGCUUUAUUCUUUUAGAAGAGAAAUAUGUUUUAAGGCCUCUGAAUCAAUUCGUAGCCAUACCAGGCUUACAAUCUUCAAAUACAAUGCACAUACUUAUAAAGAUUUUAACCAAUACCAGGAAGCAGUAUACACAAGACCAUGAGGACUUCAGUCCACUGUUUCCCAAUUUUGCAGGAACAACAACAUGGCAAAAGAAGAGGAAUUUAAAUAAACUACAUUCUCCUUCAACUUUUCCCCCAUCUAUGGAUGUUACGUGAGGCAGAGCAGAAACCAAUUAUUUACAACUCAAAAGCCCCUCCAGAUGACAACUUACAUAGGAUCUACCAUUGUAAAAUACGUACAUCAGACAAGAUAGAAGGAUCUACUUCAACCUCUUCCAUUGUUGUUACUUUCAACUGCCUAUGCCUCAUGUACCCAUUCUUUUAAAGUUCUAUUUUUGUUUUCCUUGCAUGUUCCUGAUGUUCUAGGAUGUAUGUAGUAUCAAACAUGUCUUAAAAUAUAAGCAGUAAUUUCCACCAAAGCUACCCAAAUAUGUCCCAUAAUGAGGAAUACCGUACCAUGUUAAUCAGUUUCUGACAAGGUUCAACUGAACUAACAGGUGAAAUGCUUCUCAAGCUGGAACUUAUGUUGAUGAGAACAUCAUAAGCUUCCUUCCUAGAUUCCUCCAUAGCCUGCAAAUUUCAUAUCACAACAGUGAUUAGUGCUGAAAGUAGAUCAUCACCCCCACACUGUAAAGGAGGUUCUUACAUCCUUUAAGACAAGUAUAAUCUCAUUGAGGAUGAAAAAAGCUUUUGAAUCUUCUUUCUCCUCCUCCUCCUCCUGCUGCUGCUGCUCCUCCACAGAACAGCAUAUGACAUCAACAAUAGAGGUGCUUAUAUUACUUAAUUUUGAGCUACAAUUGCAAAUACACCAUAACCAAAAGCUUAAGAAUCCGUUCACAAGUACAUAUAUGAUUCCUUCCAUGUUGAGACACGACCCAAAAGAAAAAAGAAGUUUUUGGCCUUAAAAGCGGAAAAGCCAUUCAUGACAUUCAAUAUUAUUUUAACGAAUUAAGGGAAGAUGGGUGAAUGAUGAUAGUAGGAUCAGGUUAUUAGAAAUUUAAAAAAUUGUGAGAUUGGCGAAAACUGAUCUGUUAGGUUCUUUAAGCAAAAUACCACUUACAUAAUCAGUUUCAAUUUUUUUAAUUUCCACAAAGUUCAAUAAAAACAAAAGGGUGAUGAAAUACUCCAUGCUUAGCUCUGUACAAGAACCUGUUAGCCAUCCAUACAUUUAGGAGUUUGGAAAAGUAAAAAAAGUUUAAGAGUCUUCAUAUUCACAAAUACAGGCACAUUAUACAGACGUUACACCUGCUGUGAGGGUGCAAUUCGAAUCUCCUCUAGGAAGGGAAAGGCCUGCUCUUAGAUCAAGUCUUAAUGUCAAAUUUCCAAAGGCAAACUUUAACUGAAGGAGAUCCAUGAAACAUUUUAAGAAAUUCCUUCAAGAUGGAGGGAAUUGCCCAAGUAGGAGGCCAUGCGAAUAUAUUGUGGGGCCAGAACAAAAAAUGAAAUAGUAUUUAAUUUAAGGAUUGUGAUAUAGCUGCUCACCUGCAGCAUACAAUCUAGGCAACAGAAAUAGAACAAACGCCAAACUCAAAGAACUGCUAAAAUAACUGUUCUAGCACAUCAAGAAUAUAAAACCAUGAAACACGAGGAGAAAUUUAUUAUGAAGAACAAAUACAAUUUCUUCUUGAAUAAAUGUUGUAUACUUUGCUUUUCAGUGGGACUAAUGUUGAGCUGUUUUCACAACACAGGAUUAAGACAUUUCUUAAAGGCUCAUUGCACUCUUAUUCCAAGACAACCAGCCCAGGACAUAGCUCAUAUUCAGUUUACGAGAAGAACAAGAAAUGGCUUCUAUUUACGUCAAAACGUGAUAUAUACACUAAAAAUGAAGGACAUAAAAUUCUGCAUUUUUUUCACAAGAAUAGUAGACACCAAACAUACAAAAGAAAACAAGUACUGCAUUGCCACAAGAAACAUUCUGACCUUUAAUGCAUGAACUAUCAGAACAUGGAAAAAGGCAAAGCGGCUUCUCAGAGUUGCAAUAUCAGAUGGAGUCCUUAGGUCAAUUAGUAAAUCAAUCAACUGCAAAUAUUUAGAUGAACAAAACCAGGGAUGCACCUGCAUAAUAGAAAUGACAGAAAAACAAUCACUUCCAGUAAGAAUAUAUCUUGAAUGGAGAUAGCACACAAACAUACAUCCAAAAUUUUGCUCAAAGCAUUAUAGGCUUCAGCAUGGCCAUUGUCAUUGCUUUCCUUGUGGAAGAAAAUUCAUGAAUGAUUUAGGCUAUAGAAAUCACUAAACUCAUCCAUUAAAUCAAGAAAACAAAGCUACUAUUCUUAAAGUCAAUGCACACCUGAAAAGUGUCUUUAACAAAGCUAAACACCAAAUCAAUGAGAUCCUUCUGUGCUCCUUCAAUAAGAAAUAAGGAUAUCUCCAGUAACAAGCACCUGGGUGAAACUGCAUUCUCUUAGUACUAUAACAGGAGUGCAUUCAUCACUCUGUAUGAAGGGGUGUGAGGGUGUUCUUUCUUUUCUUCAUAUGAAGGGGUGUGAGGGUGUUCUUUCUUUUCUUCAUACUUUUUUUUUUUUCCGGGGGGGACCUUGCAUAGAACAUGACAGGAGUGGAUUUAUUAUUGGAUGCAUCCUCAUGAUGUUACUGUACUUGCAUAGAACAUGACAGAUGACAAAAUGUCAUCAAGAAGAGGAAACAGCAGUGCCCAAUUUCCAUAACAUGGUAGCUCAAAACUCUGGUAGCAGAAUAUAGAAUCUAUGCAUACAGACGCAACCUAGAAAUCUCUGCAAUUGCUAACAGUAGAAAAAAGUUCUGGAUGCUCACAAAUAGAGUUGGUCUGUCGAUAAUCAGACAUCUGUUACAAUGAAUUGUCAAAUGUGACCUAAAGGACUCCCCCUUUAUCAAGUGUAUCAUCAGCAGUCAAGUGUAUAUGCGUAUGUGAACAUAUAUGAAUCUUUCAUUUUAAUCAUUAAUAUAGCUUGCUAACAAUUCUAUUCACAAGCAUUCUCUCUCCAUUACCUUUUAGCAUUUACAUCAAUGGCAUGCUCAUUUCCUAGUUCUUUGUCCAUUGAUGCAUCCAUUUCUUUUUUUCCCUGUCGAACUCAUCUCUCUUAUUUAGAAUGCCAAAUCUUUUGAGAAAUGACACAAAAAUUUCUCUGGUUGCAGAAGAAUCUGUGAUAGAAGCUAAGCAACCAAUAGGAUCCUGAGAAAUCAAAACUGAGCGUGAUAAUAUAACUCAUAUUAUGUAUGUCAAUUACUAAGCAAUGGGAAAAGUAAAAGGUAAUCCGUGAGCAUUGACUGAAUAUAUAUAUCUCAGAGUUAAAGUUCUUUAAGACGGCUACUCAAUACAGCUUCCUUUUGCUAAUUCAGUGCUAUCCACAGGACUCAAUCCUCUCUUUCGAAAAAUUCAUUUGCAAAAUUAUUGAACGCUUUAUAGCGCCCAGAAGUUUGAUCCAAUUAACAAAGCAUCCACAAAGUUCUAUAACUCACAUGCAUGACGAUCCCUUCCACAAUGACCAACCUAAUCUAUCUGACCGACUCUAGUACUUUAAAGUAUUUUGGUGUUCCAUGGUGAGUUCAGGGAGGGUAGACACUUGGUACACAACAUUGAUGCCACUUCACUUCUCAUAACUUUAAUUCUUUUUAACUUUUCCUUUGAGGUUUUCUAAUAACAAGUACGUGAUCCAUUGUUUCAAUGCCAACCCAACCUCAACAUAACUUUGACUUUUUUUAUUCCUUUUAUUUUUUUUUGGUCCAUUUCUAAAGAAUAAUUUGUUGUCAAUAAGAAUAUAAUAAAAAACCAUAAAAAUUCUAGCUUAUGCAUGGCUAUCAUGCUUCUAACAUAUGUUUUUUGGUAGGAAUGCUUCUAACAUAUGUUUCUACCACACAAAAGCAAUACCAUUAUUUUCCUUCACCAUUUUACAUUAAAAUAUAAAAUUACGACCAACAAAUAUAGAAAAAUAACUAAUCAAGUAAAAUUAUAUUAUCUAAUCCAAAUUUUAAUGAUAUGAACUUGUUUUUGCACAUGUUAACACAAAUUUCAACUUGCUUAUAAUAUUUUACAAAUUUAAAAGGAAAGGACAUGAAAAAGUUCAAGUUGAAUUUUAAAUUGAUAGUCAAAAUUAUAUUUUCUCAAAUCAGUUCAACUAUAGCUUCCUGAAGUGACAGGACCACAUGUCCUAUAGAAUCACCCUAAUUUAUCAUGCCAAAAAAAGUUGCAUUAUUUCAAACCUACUGGGCCAAUUCUCCACCUAAUGCUUUUCUCCAUAUACAUAAUUUUUCAUCUGAAGAUUCGAUAUUGUCAAUGGCAUGAGAAAAGGAUAGACAAUCAUGCCGAGUAGAGGAUCCCAAGUAAGUUGUAUAAUUUUAGGAUCACUGCAUCUUGAAUUCACACUUCAUUCUAGGGAGUCAAAAGUAUAUAACUAUUCCGACAGUGAAGGUUUUUCUCUUAAUUUUUUAAAAGCUGCUGUUGUCUGGUGGGGCACACUUGGGAACUAUUCUCUCAUGCAAAGCAGGGAUGGAACAAUAUUUUUCCCAUAGGGCAGGGAAUGGGAACAAAAUUCCUGGCCUGCUCCUCCCAAUGGCAACCACUAGUGCGUGCAAUUCAAACAGUGCCUUAAAUGAUGCAAUCAGAAGUAUUAAUUGUACUUAAGGAAAAAUUACAAGUCAAAAGGGCAGGAGGGGGGGGGGGGGGGGAAAAACACAACAGAAACUUCCAGCUAGAAUCCCAAAAUGUUUUAAGCUUCCAUAGGAUAUCAAAUAGCACAUAAUGACCUAAUAUAUGUCAAUGUAGCCAACCCCAUCUACGUGAACUGUCUCCACAAUACUUUCUAAAGCACUUAUAAGAAUGAUGCGGCCUCACUAGGAAGGAGAUUAGGCAGGUCUGAAUCUGACCAACCCAACAAUCAAAUUUAGCAUGUCAACUGCCUCGUACUAAACAGAAACCUUUGAAUUCCUCUAUACUUCUUCCAGCAAUUAACAUUGACAGAAAGAGCUCCUACUAGUUAUACUAUUUUCAAUCUGGACAGGACUGAGGAGGGAGAUGGAGCUUGGAUUAUCAUAGAGUAUUAGUAUCCUAUUAUUAUCUUAUAGUGCACAUGAGUCCUAUUAGCAUCUUUGAGAUGAGGCAUAUGCCUAAAAAAUUGGAGAAAAAGUUCAGACAACCAAAGUAAGUGGAAAAUUAUGAAUAUGAAAGGGGAGAGGAGAAAACAAUUGUGCAAUAACUAUUACGAAAUUUAGUAUAGAGCCAAAAAAGACUUUAGUGAUUGAGGGAGAACCUUCAAGUAUGACCUUGUCACAGGAAUGGAAUCGACAAAUAAGUCCAAUAAAAGUUGAAGCAACUCAGUAGAGCAUGAACUUAAAGCCUUGAUAUUUCUGCUUGUAGUUUUCUUUGAGUAAAUCAGUAGAGUUUGCAAUUCUAAUCCGGAUGCUUGCACAUUGCAGGUGUCUAAAUAUUUAACUACUCUAAAGCUGAGUACACUUGUAUUCUGAUUCACAAGGAUCAGCAGAAUUAGAACAGUACUAUCAGGAGAUAUGAAAAUGGUAUAACAACCUCUUCCCAGCUAAAGAACAAGUGUGAGCCAAAUGUCACCAAUGUGGCAAGAAGAUCACCUUUAAAGCAAGAGCCACACUUUCAUGCAUAAAAGAAUAUUUUUUAAGAAAAUCAGUCAAUAAUACUGCCAAACGUCUAAACUGUUUUGUCUGUGUCACUUGAACCCCAGCAAAAGGCCGGUAACAGUUUCCAAAGGUCAUGAGCAUGACCCAGCAGCUCCUUACCAAGUACUGAUUUCUUAACUGGAGAAAAGAUAAACAGAAGCACAAUCAAAUCCCCGAUGUCACUAAAAUGUUAAUGAUGAACUGAACAAUUGAUAUCUACGUGAGCGCCAACUGUACCACGUAGGAUGGCCAGUGUGCACAAUUGAUAUUCAUAUCAACAAUUUUCUAUCAAAAUUAGCCAGUGAAUUUAAUUGGCAAAAUUUGAAAAUAUUUAGGACUCAAUUGAUAUAGUUGAAAAGUUUAUGAUUAAAUUGACACCGGUGCUAUAUAUAUAGACACACGCACAACUGUCUUUGUGUUUGGCUCCUAGAGAAGUCCAAUAAUUUUUAAACUCAAAUAUUUAAAAAAUUAUAAAAAUAUUAUAUGAGAACUAUUGUGGCAAAUGAAAUUUCAAGUGCUUGUAAUUUUUUUUGAAAGUCCAAUUAUGUGCGUAAAUAUUGAAAGAAACUUUUAACUAUUUAAAUAGUCAUCGUCGAAAGAGGCUGAAAUUUUCCAAUUACAGGAUGAGUCAUGGAAUCGUAGCGAGGAGGGGUUUUGUACUUUGACUUUGCUUUGGCCUAACAUGGCCUCUUUUAUCUCAGUUACAUGUUAUAAACGUGGACACCAACCGCAGAAAAAUCAAGGCACAUAAAACAAAAGUUGACUUAGACCAAACAAUAAUGGUUCCACGGACCACGUCAUGCACAAGACCUAAGCAAAACAUAAUCUUCUAUGCAUGUCUAAUCAGAUUAAUGUCGAGUCGUUGAGGGUUGUUUUAAUACCGUCAAUCAACGCAGUUAUAUUCAACACGCAAGUUUCAGAGCUUUGAAAAUUCCAGGUUAACUUUAAGUAAUGGAUUCUAAGCAUGGAAUCUCGUCACUUACCUUGAAAUCUUCCUUGACUACAAGAAACCAUGUAGAUUGGAACAAUUUUCCAUUGUAUGUUUCAAUACUCUUGAAAUUUCGAAAGCUAUUAUAUUUUUAACAAUUUUCGACCGUCAUCAAUUUGUAACCAUUUUUAUCUGCCAUUACUUUAUUACAAUUUUAUACUUCUAACGGGGUUGGAGUAAAUCUCUUAAUUAGACAAAUAAGAAAAUAGUCAAAUCUCAAUCACCUCUCCUUUCGAGCUUCUAAUUAAAGAUAAGAGAUUUCUCAAGCCCUAAUUAGUCAACUGGACUAUUAGAGAUAUAUUUAAAAUAUUAUAUGAUUCUAUAUAUUAUUAUAUGGUUCUAUAUAUUUCCUUUGAUUGGUCUUGAUUUGUUACUUUAGAUAGUUAUUAUAUAAAGCCUAUAAAUUAGCUCGUGUAUAUCUUUAUUUGAUGUUCUACAUAAUAUUACAUCUUUCAGUCAUUAUGAUUCUCAACUUGGAUGAAAAAAAAUCAACUCCUCAAAAGUAGAACCUCGUCAGUUUACUUGCCUAGCCGCCCAAAACGUUAUUAGUAGACUACACUAUGACAUCACUUCCCUAAAGGUGAUUCGAUUUUUGACCUUUUAAUUACUGUUUUUUUGGUCGAAAACCUAUUAAUUGCACCUUUUUAUUACUGUUGGCGCGGUGAUUUUUGAACUCGACAAGGAUUGCCCAGUCAACCAUGCAACGAGGGGACAAUUUCUACAAUGAGAAACACGCACGCAUGCACUGACUAUGGGAGUCUUCGGAGACAAUUAUUUGUUCCUGCCGACACUAAGGACCCGACCUCCAUGAUUUGGCAAUUUGCUUUUGCAUUCAUAAUCUGGAACGCGGAAUUUAUGCUAAAGAGCUUCUUUGAAUUUUCGAUGUCCCUCUUUUCUUUUUGUGAUAGAAAACUUUCCACGUGGAUGUUUUAUCGUGUUCAAAAGAAAUGUCAACCUUUCAGAUCUACAUCAUGUUUCCAUGAAAGUCUUUACACAUUGCAUUGCGAAGGUGUGUUGAAGAUCCCCAUUCAACCAGCGAAUGCGUCAAAUGCGGGAAAAUUAUCAUAUUAGGUAGAUAGAAUAUGAUUUUCGGCAUAUAAAUAAUAUGAGUCGAAACGUAUACUAUGACCCAUCUUAAAUUUUGAGACCCAUGUUCUCCCUUAAGUCUAAUCAUGGAAACCCAUGACCCACAUGUAUUUAAAUUCUCUAUUCCUUUGUUUUCCAAUUUGAUUUACAUGUUUCUGAUCUUGAUAUUUUCUAACUUUAUUUUGAUCUUAAGUGCACAUGCCAUCACCUUAUGAGAGGAGCACGGAUUAAAAGCAAUGUGAAUAGAUGAGAUCCGCCACUUAUUUAAAAAAGAAAAAUCAUUUUUUUGCUUUGUCAAUUUCUUGACAUUAACUCCUUUCCAAUCUCUAAACCUUCCAAUGUCCUAUUAAAAAGUCUAAAUCAUUCAAUGCUUUUCCACAGUGAUAUUGAAAGCCUAUCCCUUUCUCGAGUCAUGGAAAAAUUACCUCUAUAGCUUGCCACCUAUUUUAUCUUAAAUUAAAAUUUAAGUUCAUUUUUUCAUAGUGACACACAAUUAUUAAACCGAUGAUAGUUAUAAAAUUGACAAUAAAAACCUUUCCAAAUAUCACUAUUUAAAUAAAUUUUCACUAACGAUUACAUCUAUAGUCAUAAAUCAAACCUAAACCUAAGUGAUUUAAGAAAUAUAGCUAGAUGGAAAAAUAAAUAAUCUUACCUUAUAGUGAUGGCCCGCUCAUUGAACGCGGUCCAAUUUGCAUUCUCAGACCCAAUCAAGUUGCAAAAGCUAACCAACGAUCAACGUCAACUCGGUAUGGACUUCACUUAGUUCCCAAAAUUCAGUCCCUUGCAUUGCAUAAAACGAACCAUUUUUACUAAAUUUUUAUUGCAGAGUUGAGAGAGAGAGAGAAAAGGAAUGGCAUGACAUUGAACUGUUAGAUUCUAUUAAUUAAUUCGAUAAUAAAGUUAAAAAAGUAACUACUGGAAGUAAUGGUCCACCGAGAUACAGGUACUUGUCGGAUUCCACUUAAAGCAGCCCUUCUUUUUCGUUCUUUUUCGAUUAGUUACUUAGAGUGCGUUUGGUAACGCUUUUGUUUCCAGGAAUAAUUUUUUAUCAAAAAUAAAUUAUUUUUUUUGUUCUUCAGAACAAUUUCUAAAUAUAAGAACGCACUUGAUAACUGCACAAAAUUUAUAUUUCUGGGAAAGAAAUGUGUUUGGUAAAAUUGUAUAAUUUUGUUGUUUCUUUUAAUUUUUUAAUAUUUUUAUUAUAAUUUUUCUUCUUUUCUUCUCUCUUUUUUCUUUUUUUGUCUCUCUCCUUCUUCCUCUUUUGUGGCCGGUUGCCAGUGACUAGGUUGGCGAGGUCCGACGAGCUCACCGAAGCCUUCUCGGGCCAAGGCGGGAGUUGGCGAGCUCGCCGGAGGCUUGCCUAACCCCCGCAAGGCUCAGCCUCGCUAAAUUUAGGCGAGGCCGAGCCUCAUCGGUGGCCUCCGAGCAUCACAAGGCUCGACCUUGCCCAGGCAGUGCGAGGUUGGCCUUACCUAGCCUAGGCGAGGCCGAGCCUUGCCAUCCCUCGCCUAGCCAUGGCAAGGCUCGAGUUGACGAGCCUCGCUGUGGCUCGGCAUUUCCAGGGGCCAACAACAUUCCGGCAAGGUCGCCGGCCCUCAUCUAAUCGGUUGCCGAUGCCAGCCAUGGCCAAGGCCAACGACCAGCCAAAAGGAAGAAGAAGAAGAAGAAGGAAAAAAAAAAGCAAAGAGAGAAAUAUAUUCUAGAAAUUGUUCUUGGAAAUAAGAAAUUACUUUUAUCUACUUCUCAUUUCUGUUCCAAAUCUAUUCUCGAAAACAAAAAUUUUACCAAACAAGUUUCUAUUCUUUUUUCGUUCCCCCAAACAAAAGAACAAAAAUAGUUGUUCUAGGAAAUAGAAACAGAUUUUAACAAACAGCUCUUAGGAUGCAAGAUUUGGUUUUCAAUUUUAGUGGAAGUCUGUUGGUUUAGAAAUCAGGAUUUACGAAGUUGCAGCAGAUCCGCUGUUUUGCUUUGCUGGGUUGUAAUUGUAAUAGGUGCAACGAAUCACCCACCUUUGAAGUGGACACUUCAAUUUUCGUUGUGGGAUGUUAAGUGUCAACUUCAUCCAUAUUCACUCGGCCCCCACCUCUCAAAUCUCAGGCGGAGCAGACGAACCCAUUAAGCUUUCGGUUUCGGUUUCAACUUGUUUGAUUCUUUUGACAUUAACCAAAGGUUGUUUUGGGCUUUGACUCAUAAUAUAGAACCAUUGAUGGAAUGGAAGUAGUCCGCUGAUGAGGUACGAUGAGGUAGUAAUCCAACAUUUGCAAGAAACAGUGACUAGACAUGCAAGUUUCUCCAGAGAAAUGUUGCGGGUAGACAUACAAGUUUCUCUUUCAUCAUUUCUCAAAGAUGGGAAAGAUGAAAUUGGCCGACCAUCAUCCACACUAAAGACAAAAAAUUGGCAUCUGCUAAGAGAAAUUCUUGAGUAGCAACAUAUAACAGGCCGAGCUCAUGAACAAAACACAUCCAGAGCAAGAAGGUGCCACUUCGCACAUCUCGCCAUUGAAACAAAUGAAAUGCUUCCAUAAUAGAUUCCCUCCUUGCAGUGGCCAACACAUCGUUAUUGUGUGAAGAGGAAGAAGUUGCAACAUUGUUGCUCUUUGAAUAACAAAUGGAAAGAGAUAGCACGAAUACAAACACCAAACUACAAGCCCUUGUCUUUAGGCUUUCCCCACUAAUUAGUUCACAAUACCCAAUUACUGCACUGCAUAACACUCGUUUUGUUUAUAUUACCUAUACCUUCAGUUCCAAAUGUAAGCAAAAGAGAAACUUCGAAGCAACAUUUAAGAGUUCUGCUGCAAGGAUUACCCAAUGAAGCCCUAGUUCUUUCAAUAACUAAUUUACUUAGAACACAACAAACCAUUUCUUACUCUCUCUCUUGUGCCAGUAAUCAGUAUCCAGAAGUACCGGCAGAUGCAGACAAAGUGGUUCCAGUCCAUGGCCCUUCAAUAGACAUACUCUUGCUGAUAUUCUCACCAACUGCCUGAUGUUCGUCACCUCUAAAAUGCUUCUUCAUGGCCUCAAUUUUCUCCUGAGUCAUGAUAGUGCCCGCAGAGUCCAGCACUGGAACAGCAACCUUGCCUUCAAGCAUGCUAACCACAGAUGACAUUGGCGGCCUGAGUGCUGGAGUUACAUUAGUACACAUCAAAGCUACCUUUAUCAAUGCCAAUGCCUCCUCUUUGUUAAAGUGAGAACCAAGCCUCGGAUCAACUAGUUCUAUCAAAUUCUCUCCCUCCUUCAGAAAGUGUGCCUAGAUACAGAAAUGUAAAGUGAAGGCAUUUCCCUUUCAAGCUUCAGGUAUUGAUCAGUUGCAAAAUAUGCUCUAAAUACUGAAACAGGAAGAAGUAUAUUAUCUCCCUUGAUAAUUACACGGCAAAUGCAGUUGAUAAGCACCUGCUAGUUCUAGGGUAUAAAUGGAUAAAAAGAAUCGAAUGAGUCAAUACAGAUCCAACAUGAUUUUUUUUACCGAUUUUAAAUAAAAGAUACUAGACUACAACAUCACUUACUAAUAGUUGACCGGUUGCCAAGAAAUCACCUACACCGUUUAAAAAUCGCCAGCUAUUGUCGAGUUUUAUCAGCACAAAUUAUUUGCCAGUGUCAUUACAUGAAACGGCAGACUUGUCUUUCAAUGUUCUUGAUUAUGCAACUCAGGCGACAAUCAGAUUUAACAAGGACUAAUAAUGAUGGUUUGCUCUAAUGAUUGCUCACUCAAAGCAAAACAAAAUCUAACUUAAGGAGUCAAUCAUAUGAAUGUGAAAAAAGUUAUACCUCAAUCGAAAGUAUAUGGAUAUUCUGGUCAAGACAUGGUCUUGAAAACUUUUUAAUUUAACAGUAAUUGCCAAAAUUCAAUAGUAGUCGAAGGACUUGUUUGGCGCUAAUGAAACUACAGGGAGUAUGAAUGUCAAGCAUAAAAACAUAAAGACUAAAACUGAACUUUCAAGAUCCAUCCUAAAUUAUGGGGUCAACUUCCCCAAAUUUCAAGGGAUAGAAUUUUCUUCAUUCCAAAAAAAAGAAAAAAAAAAGAAUCUACAUGAAAAUUCAGAGUAGACCAACAUGAUAAGAAGAAUUGGAUUAAUUUGCAAUAACAAAUUGCACUUAACAGCAUGACAAUUUGUUAAGCAAGUUUCAAUAGCUGUUAACUGUGAAACUCCUUUGCAACCAUUGAAAGUGCAUGUGAGGAUUUAAAUACGGAUAUGAUCAUAAUUGAAAUGAUAGAGUUGAUUACCCAAUCGAGUAGAUUAAAGCAUUCCUCAGUUCUUUGGGAGCUAGUGUUGCUUCGGCCAUUAACAACUUCUAAGGCAACAACGCCAAAACUAUAGAUGUCGGCUUUGUCAGUGAGAUAACCAUGCAUUGCAUACUCCGGUGCCAUAUAUCCACUGCACAACAAGAAAAGAGCUUGUGUUUGCAACAAGGUAACUGCCUUAAAUAGCACAUACUUAAUAUUCCUAAAAUUCAAAAGAAAGAGUCGUUCCUAAAUGUGACGCUAUGGUCUAAAGAGUAGAGGAAAUAAACAAAUGCAUCCUAAUAUAUUCAAAUAUAUCAUUUACCGAGAAUAUUUCAGGAAAUAAAAAAGAUCAUUGUUGUUCUUUAUAAACUUUUUUUUUGGUUUGAAAUAUAAGUAUCAUUUAUAAGAUGACGUACAUGAGUUUAAGGGCAUUUCCCAGCAUUACAAAGAUAUCUAAGAACAUGCAAAAAUGGAGUGAGGGAAUCUCCAUAUAGUACCCAAUAUUACAUUUAUUUGGGAAGGCCUAAAGUUUUUGUAAUGUGAAGCUCGCCCUAUAACAAGUUUACGAAUUUUAGCCACGAUGAUGGGGACAUCAUUUGACUUGUUUUGGAAAUGUCGAUAGUUACAUUUAUAGUUCUUUUUGUAGAAUGAACGUUAGAGUUAGUAGAAUGAACUUACAAUUUUAUCUUUUCCCUAAUUAAUCACAUUCCUUUCAAAAACAAGUUGACUUUUCACACGCAUUAAUGCAAACAUCUAAAACAUGUGAACAUGCUUAUCUAUGUUUUUCCAUGUGCAUACAAUAGAAACAUGGGCGAAUUUGCUAUAAUACUAAGUUAUAUUCAAAUUAACAAUUACAUAAGUCAAUAUCAGAGUAUCAUUACUUAAUGGUAGAGUAUGACACAAUUUACAUUUUUUUCCUAAUUAAUGUAAAGAGUGGUGGGACAGUCAUAAAGCUUUGUGGUUAAGCUGAAUUUGUUGAGCACCAUGCUUUGGGAUGAUGUGAAUCCACCACAAAGCUCCAUUCAACUCACUUUUCUUAAAUCAGAAUAUAUGUUUCUAUUCCAUGCUUUUAUGUUGUCACUGGCUCCUACUUAGGUUAACAGGAACAAAAAGCAAGAAACUUACUAAGUUCCAGCAAUCUUGGUGCUAAUAUGUGUUUUUUCCUCCUCAUCAAGCUUUGCUAAACCAAAAUCCGAUAUUUUAGGGUUGAGAUCCUUAUCCAGUAAAACAUUAGUAGCCUUAAUGUCUCUAUGCACAAUCUUCAGCCUUGACUCUUCAUGAAGAUAUGCCAAUCCCCUGGCAAUACCCACGCAUAUCUUGUGUCUUGUCCACCAAUCCAACUUUAACUGAAAUUCUUCAGGACCUUCAAUUGUAUCAGAAGACAUCAAAGCUGCUUUACUGCCAUGUCAUUAACUGAAGUCAAUGAAGCACAAUGUGAUAUCAAAUUACCAAAUAAAGCGCGAGCAAGACUGUUAUUUUCCAUGUACUCGUAAACCAGCAAAAGUUGAUUUCCUUCAAUGCAGCAUCCAUAGAGUUUCACAAGAUGUGGAUGCUGAAGAGCAGAAAUCGUCCCAAUCUCAGUCAGGAACUCAUUAUUUCCUUGUUGUGAUUUGGAUGAAAGCUGCUUCACUGCUAUAGUGGUGCCAUCUGACAGAAAACCCUGCAAUUCAACUUUGGCAUCAGAUCUAUGUUGUGAAAAUUGAGUUACAUUGAAUGCUGCUUUCUACAUAUCUUCUCUCUUGGGAAUUGGGGGAAUUUGGUUAGUCAAUUUUCCAGCAUACCUUGUAUACAGAACCAAAACCACCUUCUCCUAUCUUAUUGGCAGCGUCAAAAUUGUUUGUGGCAGCUUUAAUCUGUCGCAAGGUAAAUAAACCAAUUUGCGACGCUAGACCCUUCAAAUCUGCAACACGUUUCAGAACUUCUAUGAAUUUGGAAAAGUCAACAGUUAAAGUAUGUAAUCCACUAUCUAACAAAGAUGUAUCAAUUCCUUCUCAAUAUUCCAGAAAACCUUUUUGUGACGUUUUGGUCUGAGCAAGUUCAGUACAGAAUAGCUUAGCAUCUUGAAAAUUAUUUUCUAGGAAAGUCUGGCAUCAGUUGGCAGUAUGUAUUUUUGAAAAGUAAAAUGAGAUUGUCCCUAGGGUAUUUAAUAGUGAAGGAAAAUAAAAAUCAUACAGAGAACCCCCUUGGAAACAUAGGGUAUGGUUUGCAUGUUUUUAACUUCUCAUGCACGUGAAGUUCUGGCAGCUAUUUUUGGUGUCUUAAAACGUAGACUUUGUGUAUACACACACACACACACAUCUGAGAAACAAUCUACUGUCUCUCCCUAUAACUAUCUAUUCCUUCAUUUUUCGGAUUUCUAAAUAAAAAUUUAGUUUGUUAAGCAAACCAACUGGUUCUAUGACACUUUAGCUGUAUAUCGCCUAAUAAUAAUCUUUGGCUUUUUGCAUCGAGCCAAAUUCCCUAUGGAAUGCACAAAUGUCAUGCAUCAACAGUUUUAUGGGAACUGUAAAUCUAGAUGGAGCAUUAAUGAUCCAUUGUCAUUACACUUUCCCCAACCAGGAAAGUAAGAAGAAGAAGAAAAAGAAGUAUCAUGUGCCAACAGUGUGACAGGACAACUGUGCGAUUUAGCUGAAAUAUAAAUGAAGCAAUGUGACUAUCCUCCCUCUCCACCAGAAUAUGGAAGGGGGAAAAUGUAUUCAGAGUGCAUAACAUUCUCAUAUUUCUUGACAAAUACACAUGGACUAAAUAGCGGAGAUUCCAGGUAAGCAACUACCUUGUGCCAUUUUAUCUUUACGUCCAAGGCAUCCUCUCCACCAAAGGAUAACCAGGAUAAGGAAAACUACAAAAACUAUAGCAGUCAGAAUCCCAGCCACUGUGCCAGCAGAUAUGCUGGCCGGGGGAUCAAAGCCUGUAAUGAAGAAAGAACAAACAAAUAUUUAACCAAAACUGUUAAAUGGGGUAGACGUAAAUGCAGAAAAAUAUCUGUAACUUCUUGUUGAACACAAAGAAAUUGAUGGAGAACACAAUAAUUGAGAAUUAAGAGGACAUAAAACCGCCCAGAGUACUCCACAGAAACUAUCAGAUAAAUGAGCACAGGAAGAUAUCAUCUAUGGAACAUGUAAUACAAAAUACAAAGGGAAAAAAAAAAACAAAAACAAAAAAAAAUUCUACUCUUCAUUCUCAAGGCUGUACUGUAUUAUACAGGCACAGUGGUUGUAAUCCAUAGCAGAAAAGUGAACAAGGCUAUCAAUUCGUAGUCAAAUGGAAGGAUUAAAGAUACAUAGAGAAAACAUGCUCAGAUAGAAAGAACACAAAGCAACCUAUAACCAAUUUUCAACUCUAAGAGAAUAAUAAUAGACCCUGGUCAGCUAUUGUGUGUAAUUGACUUGAUCUACAAAGACAUAUGCCAAUGGCCUGAAUCCAACAGUAGGCAUUUGCAACCAAACCAAGUAACUGAAUAGCCUAUUGAUGACUUCUGGUGCAAGAAAAAAUAUAGGUAUUCCUUUCAACAUGAAUAAGAGUAACUUUCUCAACAGAGAAGCACCAAGCGAAACAUGGAUGUAUCCAUCUGCGUACCAGGGUAGACGGAGAUAGCAGAUAUAAGAGGACCAUAGACUCCUACGUCAGGUAUAGCAGUGGUUCCUUUCCCAGCCCAAUAGAAGCGUAUCUCCAGAGUGCCCUUGGUCACGAUGGCAGCAAAAUUUCUCAUGACCUCCUUUCCAACUCCACCUGCUUCACUCUCAAUGUUGAAAUCUUUCCAAACCAAUUUCCCCUGAAAUAAUAUUUCAUCUGAUUCAAGUUGAGGUUCUCCACACUGAACAAGGUAAAACUUUCAGUCUCCAUAGAAUGUACAAAUUGUGAAAAAAUCAUGAUUUGCAAGUACAAGAUAUUUGGAUAAACUUCCCAACCAUAACAUAUUGAACGCUUUAUGUGCUUUAUAUAUUAGAACCAGCACUCCAUAAUGCUCUGAGUUUACCUGUAUAUAAAUAUUAAAAGCUCUCCUUCCAAGGCUUUUAUAACUUUUGUCGCCUGUGAACAUUAUCUCCGCAAAAUGAAGGGUUACAUUGUAGGGCCCAUCCAUCAGACAAAAACCGUAAUAAGUUAGAGAGAUGGCAGAACGUCGUGCUUCCAUGUAAAGUUGGGCAUUAUUCAUGGACAGUGUGGAUGUGUUUUUAACUUCAUAGCCAACUGCAGUGCCAUCGUCAUCGGUGAAGUCACCAGUGCUACUGUAGGCCCAGUAAUUACUCUUGAAGAAACUUGAAGGUGUAGCCCUCUGUGAGUCAUCUUCGUAUGUGAUGCCCCUUACUUUUGCUUUGCUC
rnacentral:lncRNA from 1 species